rnacentral:lncRNA from 1 species
UGCUCUUCCGUUCAUUUGUACUUAACUUAUUUCUAAAAAAUUGAUUUUUUUUCUCGUUAUUUUUGAUAUAUCAAGAAAAAUAAUUUUUUAAAAUAUUUUACUUUCAACAUUAAUUAUUUAUUUUCUAAAUUAUUUUUAAUGCCUAAUACUAAGCAUCAAUUAAUAAGAACAGUGUGGUAAAAUCGUCAUGCUAAAUAUUCUUUUUCUAAUGAUAUGCCAAGUCAAAAUUAGAUAAGUAAAAUUAAAGAUGGCUAAUCAAUUAGAAGCUUAGAAGAAUUAUUAAUAAGAUUAGUUAUAGUGAAAUACAUUCCUUAAAAAAGAAUUUAAGGAAACUGAUGUCCAAAUCUUGGUUGAUCUUACUGAUGCAACAAAAAUUUGAAAACUUGAUGUUCAGAUCUUUUGUUCUUUUCCUUGAACUUUGACAAUUUUUUAAUCAAAACAAAUUAUUAUAUGAAUGAUUAACAAAAAUAACACUAUAGUAUUUUGAAACUAUUUUUUACAUUUUAAAAUAAUUUUCACCUUAAUAUCCUUAAUUUCUUGCAAAAUAAUAAAAAUACCUUUUCCAAUUAUUUACAAGUAACAAAGUAGAAAAAAAAAACAAUCAGUUAUUUGCAUGAAAUUAUACUCCUAUAUAACAUAUACAUGUACUUUUAAUUAGAUUUGCAUUCAACUGACGAAUGAUGAAACUUAAUGAAACAGUAAAAGUUUUUUUUUUUCCCUUUCUAUUAAGAAUUUUAUCAUAUCUAUGACUCAUAUUCGACAUCUUUGAUUAAGGAAGAAAUAAUCUUAUCACUGCAUCACAUCAUUUCGUAGUGUAAACGGUAUUUUUAUUUUGUCCUCGAAUGAACUUCUAAUCUUCCAACAAAUACUUAAGCAAUUUGUGAUAAAUCAUUUACAACCAUGACCCACUUAAUUAAGGUGAUAACUGAUGAAAAAAUAUUCCACGUUUAAUAUUUAUUUACCUCUUAUUGUACCUACUGAAGACACAGACAUACAAUUUUUAUUGCCUUUAUCUAUACAUACUAUUAUUUACUCUCUGUUCACUUUACUUGUCACUAAUUUUCUAAUUAAAUUUUUAUUUUUAUUUAUCAUUUUUGAUAUAUCGAGAAAAGAUAUUUUUUUUCCUAUUUUAUUCUUAGCAUUAAUUAUUUUUUCUUCAAAUUAAUUUUAAAACACAAUGUAAACAUCACUUAAUAGAGAUAUUAUAGUAAAAUAAUCAUGUUAUUAAUUAUUUUUCUUAAUAGGUGUGUCGUCUCAAUUUGUGACAAGUAAAACUGAACGAUAAAAGUAUUUAACUCAAUUUAUUAUUCUUGAUUGGACGCAUAUCAAUAGUAAUAUAAAAUACUAUUUUUUGUCUCGUUAAAAUAAUUAAAUGGGCCCACUAUUUCAUGUGUCAAAAAGGAACGGAGCCUCAUCCAACUUUUGUUGGUUGACCUCAACCAUAACAAAAUUUUCCUCCUUUUAGAGGUCACUAUUUUUUUCUGAACACACUGAUAAAAGCUGUUUACUGACUUUGCUCUUGUGUGAUAUCGAGUUACGAGUUUUUCUUUUGUGUUUCAGUGGAUUGUUUUAUUAUAACAUAUCUGUCCAGUAUAUUAUCGGCCAUUGAUAUUCAUUAUUUCCAUGUCUCUUAUUUUAGGUUUAUCAUGUGAUGGAACUACACUGGUGGACAUAUCUCAGGUUCCAUGUUUUAAAUAAAAGAUUGAUUGUUGGUUUGUAAUGUAAAGUUUGACAUGUUUAAUCAACUCGAAGGAGAAUGCUCAGCUUUGUGAAUGAUUGAUACUUUGCCUUGUAGUACAAGGGUCUAGAUAUGUGCUCUCAGAUUUUUUUUAUCAAUAUUUGUGGUUUAGGAUAUAUUAAUUUGCUGUGCAAAAAAUAUUUAGCAAUAGUAUUGGCUUACAUCUGAAGAGAUUUUGAACGAUUGUUGCCGAAAAGGUUUUAACAGUUCUACAGGAUAAGUCCCCUUCAUCCAGAAAAUCACUAGUUCUUGAGCGUGUAUGUGUUACGAUCGAACUAGUAUUUUGCAUACUGAAUAUGUCUUUUGGCUCUAUUAAUGUGACGUAUAGCAAGUAAUUGCCAUGUAUCUAGGUUAUUAAAAAUAAAAUUAAAUCUGGCCAACUCAUCAUAAGUGAUUUGAUUGUGUAAAAUAUUCUAUACUGCCAUGAAAUAGAACACAAAAUUCAUAAUUAUUCUAACUUCAGUAUAAUUCGUAAACAAAAAAGAGGUCACGCGAGAAUAGGGUUUCAGCUAUAUAACUUUGUCAUUCUUUCUAAAACAUAUUAGAGCGAAGGAGUUGCGUAAAAAAUGAAAUACCACACGCAUCAAGAACACAUGCAUUUAUUAUUAGCUUAAUAAUUUGACAGGGAUUUUCAUCAGAUGAUAAUACAGUAAUACAUCACUGUGAUGAUACAAACUUGCUACAACAAAUGCAAUUUUAGGUUUUGAUGCUGAGGAACUUCUUCUGGAUCAAGCUCUCAACAGUGCCUUUUAUGUGUAUUUGACGACUAUAGUUUUUGCUCUUUCCCCCGAUAUUUGGAAGGUCGGGGUAACAGGCAAUCCAUUUUCUUCAAAGCCAAUCCAUUUUCUUCAAAGCUACAUCCAAAUAUAAAAAUUAUGAGUGAAAAUCUUUCGUAUUAAUGAAGUUAAACAUCAAGAUAAGUUGACACUAACAUUGGAAAUAUUUACAUACUUCCCAGGGACAGUGAUGGAAUGGUGAAGCUUCUGUAGGAUCUUCAAAAGUGAAGAAGAAGAAGAGUCACCAUUCGCCCCAACUAAACAAUAUCUCCCAUUUGCUGAAGGAACCUCAAAUGCUAGUAUAUGUGCAUUUGCAACAUCCCUAACAUCGAUAAAUUUAUAUAUUCCGUCAGACCAUGCUUCUUUCCCUACAUCAAAUAAAACACAAAUGUGUCAAAGCUGAGCAAGUUUUUGAAACAACAUAUGCAGUAUUGCGUUAUGUUUCACAGAGAAGUAUUUUUGUUGAAACUUAAUUUCACUCAUCUUAAGAGAAAUUACAACUAUAUAAACAUUCCAGAUCAGAAAACUUUUGUGUUGUCCGAACGGUACAGAGAAAACGUGUAUGAUUUCUGCAAAUCUUGCUUCUAGAGACAUUUGCCAAAAGUUAGCACUUCCCUGUCUUCUUAUUAUACUCUUUGAAGGUCUUUAAAAAUAUAUUGUUAGAAAUGUACUACAGAUCUAGAUAACUUUAAUAAAUAUUUUUAUGUGGCUAGACUUCGUUACUUAAAUGAAACUAGAAUUUGUGGAAUCAUAUUAAAUAUUUGACGAUACAUUAAUGUACCUUGCUAAAAAACCGAUUUAAUAUAUAAUGCCAAACAAUCAGAAGCAGAGGUUCAUACAUAAAUAUUUCUGAAUCAAGAAAGCACUAGAUCAUAACAGUUUCUGUUUAAAUACAUCAUUCGAGAUCCUAGAUUAUUAGAAAAAAAGACACGUUCAAUUCCUACUUCCUAUCAUGCAUGUAAUGUGUGUGUUCAAAAUGUGAGGAGGCUUACCUUGUGUUAUGAAGUUGAGCAUAGCCUCGGAUGAGAAAUUAAGGGCAGGCUGCAGAAAUGGACCAAUGACUAGAACUGGAUGAAGUGUAACCAAGUCAAUGCCAUGCUGUUUUGCAAAUUGCCAAGCAACUUCUUCAGCCAGGGUCUUGGACAGAUUGUACCAUUGCUACAACAACAAUAAAGGCUUUGUUUCAACAGGGAAUGCAUAAUUAAGUAAAUUUCUGGUAUAACAACUAACCGUUUCUUACUUGGGUUUGUGUGUGUGGGCGUGGGCGUGGGCGUGGGCGUGGGGUGGGGGUUCAAAGUUAUUUGGACUGAAGUGGGCUAAAAUGUGGGUAUAACCCAACCUAAUUUUAAUUAUAUUUGAUUUCUUUAUUUCAACCUAAUUUUAAUUAUAUUUGAUUUCUUUAUUUGUUCUUUUAUGAUUCUUUUGCAUGUUAUAAAAUCAUUAUGUCUCCUUAUUAUGGUCUUUCAAGAAAAUGAAUCAAUUUGGGCUAGAUAUUACUUCAAACUUUAAAGAAGAAGGACAAAAAUAGCUUAAUAGUCGUUAAAAUAAUACCAUAUUUUAGCCAUCUUCUAAUCACCGCUAAGAAGCCGCCAAAAUAGCAUAAUAUAUUUCUUUCCUUUUCAAUUGAAACUCACACUUUCCUUCUCCAAUUUUACCCCGGGAUCCUUUCCAUUUAAAAUCUCACAAAUCCUCUUUCAAAUACACCAUAUUACCUUAAAAUACCUUCAUAAAUUGUAUAUAAAUAUACAAUAUCCUCUAUCAAUUAGCUUCAAUUUUUUUUUUUUCAUUCACAAUUAGCUUCAGUUGAUACGAAAUUAUGGCUUCAAGUUCGAUUUUAGUUUCAAUUAUGCUACAAUACGGAGGAGAGUGGUUAAGUGAUGUACAGUUCAAAAAGUUUACAAUCAAUGGAGUACUUUAUUUACAAUGAUAUGAGUGUUAGACUUUAUAUGGAGAUGAAGAACAAAAAUUUAGAUAUAAAUGAAUUUCCGUUGUGUAUAACACUACAAAACACAUUUGAAAAUGGAGAAUCCUCAAUUGAAAAUUUGAUCGAAACAUCUCCGGCUGCUAUUCAAGUUCAUCCGAUACCUAUUUCUGAUUAUACAAUUGAAGAUGUAGAGAUUGAAGAACAGACCAAAUCGAUAAUUAAGGAUCCACUUCAUAGAGAUGUUGAAGAAGGGCAGCUGUACUGGGAUAAAAAUACAAUAUCAAGUGUGAUGAAACAUUAUGCAAUCCGUGAGAGAUUUCAAUUUAAGGUGAAAAGAUCAUCAUCAUCAAGGUAUAAACUAUAACUACUUUAUAUAACCUGUGUCAACAAUAUAUAACGUUUAUAUUUUAUUAGAAUGUUGAUUUUAAAUUUGCAUAAAUACUGCAUAUAAACUGCAUAUGACCCGUGUACAGACUGUGUAACUACUAGGACCUGUAUAUAUACUGCAUAUGAACCGUGUAAUUUUUGUAUAACACCUGCAUAUAUAUUGGAUAUGAACAGUGUACUGCAUAUACAUUUAUUGUAUAUAAAUGUAUCUAGGUAUUAUCUUAAGUGUAUCAAUCAGAGAUGCAAUUGAACUUUUAGAUCUUCAAGUCAAUAAAAUUCAGAAGUUGUCAUGGUGACCAAAUUUGUUGAUGAUCACACUUGUCCAAUUACGGACAUAAUGCUUUCACAACGGUAUGCUACUUCUUUAACUAUCGCUAAAAUUGUGAAGCAUAACUUUCUAAAUCUAAAGUCAACAUACACUCCAGCAGAGAUCAUGGACGAAAUGAGAAACUUGUACGGAAUUAGGAUGAACUACAAAAAAGCAUAUAAAGACAAAGAAAAAGCACUUGAACUGGUCAGAGGUUCCUUGCGUGAAUCUUAUGCUAAAUUGCCAGCUUACCUAUACAUGUUAAACACAAUAAAUCCUGGAUCAUUCACAAGACUACACAAAAUGGAGGACAAUAACUUUUUAUAUGCUUUUGUCGCGUUGAGCACAUCAAUUAGGGGCUGGAGAUAUUGUAUGCCUACCAUUGUUGUUGAUGGAACUUUUCUGAAAUCUGCAUACAAGGGAACAAUGUUGUCUGCUAGUGUUCUGGAUGCAACAGGUGAGUUUUAUGAAAUUAAAAGCUGCUGCACUUGUAUAUCCAAAUAUGGCUCACUGUAUACACAUAUACCAUCUAUGAAACAACAUCAAGGGUAGAUUUAAGAAGAAUGUAGAUUUAAGAAGAAUCAAAAGCAAUUAAAGGGGAUCUUCUUUACAAUGACCAGGACAUACAUAAAAGCAGACUUUGAUAGGCUUAUGAAAGACAUAAACAAAAUCAAUAAUGGGGUGAAGGAGUAUCUGUUUGAUAUAGGCUAUGAAAAAUGGUCUACAACUCAUGCCCAUGUCAACAGGUCGAUGUUCAUGACUUCAAACUAUAACGCCUCAAUUUUCUAAAAUCGAAAUGCCACACGGUGCUCAUGAUCCCGAAGGACACAAGCUAACCCUCUUAUGAUAUCUAUACCUGAGCACUGCAUAAUCUAGUAAAAUAAAUGCGAAAACUGUCAAAAACUUGCCAUAAGGUUCAAACGUCUAAAAUACUCAAAACUGAAACUAAAUAAUAAUACAUCUGUCUGAAAAAACUUCUAACUGUUUGAACUAUGGAGUUGAUGGGACAUGUCCCCAACUAACUCCGUUUACUAAAAAUAAACUGAAUCUAAUAAAGUACUGAAAUAAGAAACAUCCUCGGAUGAUAAGGACUCACUGCUACGUCUAUCGCUGUUGACUGAGUCUGGACUGCUAAGGGUACUCUUGAUCUCGUGCUUCUGAACCUAUAACGUUAAAUAAAACACCAUAGUGUAAAUGCGUCAGUAUGUUUGAAUGUACUGAGUAUGUAAAUGGGGUAAAGCUGAAUGCAAAGGCUUAUGAAUGAACACAACUUAACUAAAUGAUAUGCAAGAGCUGGAUUAGCAUAUAUAGAAAAUCUAUAACGACUUGACAUACUGUGACUGAGCAUACUGGGACUGAAUCUGAUAAUUAAUACUGAAUCUAAAACUGAUACCCAUGCUUAUUAAUACUGAUAAACUGGAUGACUGAGUCUACUGAUAAUGGAUAUCGACUGGCUGAAUCUAAGAUCAAACCUAUCUAGCGGGAUGACCUCUAGAUCUUCUGAUAAUGAUUAAGAUUUACUAAGCUUGAGAUCAGGCCUAACUAACGGGUGAUCUAUGGAACUGAUAAUGAUAAUACUCAACUGAAUCUGAGACUGAGAUCAAGCCUACCUGACGGGUGGUCUCGGUAAGUAUUAAUACUGAAUAACUUUGUGUGAGACCAGGCCUAUCUAACGGGUGGUCCAUGAAUCACUGGAACUAUCUGAGUUCCUUACUGAGAUAGAUGAUUGUAUCUGAUAGUCCUUAUAAUUCUACUCUGAAGACUGAUACUGAAACUGCAACUGUGGGAGUACUCACUUAACCGACAUGCCCCGAGUCUGAACUAAUGGGGUCCAACUUGUAACCCCAACUGGAAGGGUGUCAAUACCGUGCCACGGGUAAAGACCUCUCUGGUCAAGCCUCUCUAACGAGUGACCCUCAAGAGGAAGUCAGCCUAAGGCUAUGUGGACUCCUGCAGGUAGUCAAGCCUUUAUCUGACGGGUGACCCUCAAGAGGAAAUUGAUACAUUAUUUUUUGUCUUUGGCCUGACUCUUGAUGGACUGGUGGUUUCGAAGAUAAAUUUUGUUCUACUUAAGCAAAUCUGAGAUUUACUAGUUACUAAGCCGUGGACAAAAUUUAUCUUAAAAGUAGAAAUUAAUCACUUAGUAGUUACAUACUCGUUUGAUUUUGCACACUGAAUAUAUAUUUUAGCUCUAUUAAUGUGACGUAUAGCAAGUAAUUGCCAUGUAUCUAGGUUAUUAAAAAUAAAAUUAAAUCUGGACUCAUCGUAAGUGAUCUGAUUGUGUAAAAUAUUCUAUACUGUCACGAAAUAGAACACAAAUUCAUAAUUAUUCUAACUUCAGUAUAAUUCGUAAACAAAAAAGAGGUCAUGUGAGAAUAGGGUUUCAGAUAUAUAACUUCGUCAUUCUUUCUAAAACAUAUUAGAGCGAAGGAGUUACGUAAAAAAUGAAAUACCACACGCAUCAAGAACACAUGCAUUUAUUAUUAGCUUAGUAAUUUGACAGGGAUUUUCAUCAGAUGAUAAUACAGGAAUACAUCACUGUGAUGAUACAAACUUGCUACAACAAAUGCAAUUUUAGGUUUUGAUGCUGAGGAACUUCUGCUGGAUCAAGCUCUCAACAGUGCCCUUCACGCUCAAUUCAAGAGAUGUAUAUUUGACGCCUAUAGUUUUUGCUCUUUCCCCCGAUAUCUGGAAGGUUGGGGUAACGGGUAAUCCAUUUUCUUCAAAGCUACAUCCAAAUUUAAGAAUCAUGAGUGAUUCAUCUUUCCUAUUAAUGAAGUUAGUAACAAAAACUUACAAAUAUCAAGAUAAGUAUGACUGGUAACAUUGGAAAUAUUUAUGUACUUACUUCCCAGGGAUAGUGAUGGAAGGGUGAAACUUUUGUAGAAUCUUGAAAAGUGAAGAAGAGUAACCAUUUGCCCCAACUAAACAGUAUCUUCCAUUUGCUGAAGGAAGCUCAAAUGCUAGUAUAUGUGCAUUAGCAACAUCCCUAACAUCGACAAAUUUAUAUAUUCCAUCAGACCAUGCUUCUUUUCCUACAUCAAAUAAAACACAAUGUGUCAAAGACGAGCUAGUUUUUGAAACAACAGAUGGAGGAGUAUUAUGUUAUGUUUCUCAGAGAAGUAUGAUUUCUGCAAAUCUUGCUUCUAGAGACACUUGCCAAAAAUUAACACUUUCCUGUCUUCUUAUUAUACUCUUUGAAGGUCUUUAAAAAAAUUGUUAGAAAUUGUACUACAGAUCCAGAUAACUUUAAUAGAUAUGUUCGGUUGGCUAGAUUCUGCUACUUAAAUGAAACAAGAACUUGUGGAAUCUACAUAAUGUACCUGGCUAAGAAAAAUGAUUUAAUAUAUAAUGCCAAAAAUCAGAAGCAGAGGUCCAUACAUACAAAUUUCUAAAUCAAGAAAAUCACUAGAUCAUAGCAGUUUCUGUUUAAAUGAAAUCAUUCAAAAUCCUAGAUUAUUAGAAACAAGAUGCAUCUAAUGUGUCUGUUCCAAAUGUUACCUUGUGUUACGAAGUUGAGCAUAGCCUCGGAUGAGAAAUUAAGGGUAGGCUGCAGAAAAGGACCAAUGACGAGAACUGGAUGAAGUGUGAUCAAAUCAAUCCCAUGCUGUUUUGCAAAUUUCCAAGCAGCUUCUUCAGCCAGGGUCUUGGACAGAUUGUACCAUUGCUACAACAAUGAUAAAGGCUUUGUUUCACUCUAGUUACAACAUGGAAAGCAGAAAGCACAUGUUGCACUAUAUAACUACUAAAGAAUUACAUAAUUUUUUUAGAUUGGUACAAAUGGAAGGAGGGAAUUACUUUUCUUUGUUCGCAGAAUUUUGGAUCAGAAAACCAAGUCUCAUCGGCAACAGCUCCAGGGAUAUAACGAUUUUGAUUACAUAUCAUUGAAGCGGUUGAGGAAGUUAUAACCACUCUUCUCACUGAUGGUGAUUUGGCACAUGAACCAAGCACAUUUAGUGUUCCUUUCACCGCAGGCUCCACUAGUUCCUCCUGAUCCAUCAAAUUAAAUUAAUUAAUGUUCUGAUUUAUCAGCAAAUUGGGAUCAAAGGGAAACUCGGUGCACUAAAGCUACCGCUCUAUGUGGGGUCCAGGGAAGUGCUGGACCAAAAGGAUCUAUCGUACGCAGCCUACUUUGCAUUUCUGCUAGAGGCUAUUUCCACGACUUGAAUCUAUGAACUCCUAGUCACAUGACGAUAACUUUACCAGUUACUCCAAGAAUCUCGUUCUAUUACAUAACAUAACUGAGUAUACAAAACAUGGUUACCUUGGAUUUUGCAGUGAAAGAAAUAGGUGAAGCUGUAUGAAAUACACCUUCACAACCCUGAAUGGCAGCAUCAAAUGAUUGUUCUUCAAGUAAAUCUGCUUCGAAUAGAUGCAACCUCUCAUUAGCUUCAUCAAGGCCUAGCAAGUGCCCAACUUUGCUUCUAUCCUCUGCCAUUUUACAACUAUAUUAUUAUUAUGUUGUUGACUACUCACAAUGUAACUCAACAACUUCAACGCUGUUUACAAGUUUUUUAUGAAAAAAAAAUGUUACUGUACUUAAAAUCUUUCUUAAUUAUGUUGGAGAGGAUGUUUAAAAAGAAGUCAACUCGGUGUACUAAAACUUUCGCUAUGUGCGAAGUUCAAGAAAUGACCAAACCAGAUUUAUUGUACAUCGCAGCCUUAUCCUAUAAUUCUGCAAGAGACUGUCUCGAUGGAUUGACCCCAUGACCUCCCGGUCACGUAAUAUUGGAGUAGAUGUUUACCAAGAUAAUAUGAGAGGAAAUAAACCAGUAUAGUAAAAUAAUAUAUACUACUAAAAAGGAGUGGGAGUAAACUGACUGAUGUUGCGAAGGGUGGCAUUAACAGUGUAACCACGUUGAAGUAACAUGUUGAUUAACCAUGAAGCUAUGAAACCAGAGCCACCUGUUACACACACCAUCUUUCCUCCUCCAAUACACAUGAUUAUUAUUAUUAUUAUUUCCUUCAAAAUAAUCACUACUUUUUUUUCUUUUUGUUCAAGUGGUGAUAGCUUGCAUGUCUCACACAGACAUAUAUAGUCAUUUUUCACGUUGACGACAUACAUAUGGCCUAUGGGUCCUUUUCUGAUAUGCAGUGAAAUAUAAUAUCCUGGAUGAUUGGAGCCUAAGCGGGACCAAUGACACUAAUAUGCACAAGGAAAUUGAAAGUUAGGUAAUAUAACCGACAGAUAUAGAAAGAUUUUCAUAUAUAUAAUACAAUUCAUAGCAAUAGAUUUACAUCAUCAUGUUUCUGAAAAAAGUUUCUGAAAACUUAGUGGGCGUUUGGUCAAGAAAGUAAAAAGAAGUUCACUUUAAUUGAGUUUUUUCAAAAUUUAGAGUCGGAGUUGUGUUUAAUCAUACUUUUUGUAAUAAAUAUUUAUAAUUUAAAUGUACUUUUUUUAAAAAAAAAAAAUUAAAAAUGAAAUAUGAUCUAUGUAAAAGACUAAAUUUCGUUUCUGGAAAAUAAUAAUUAAGAAAAGAAAAAUAAUGAAUUAAUAUUUAAUUUCAGUAAUUCGUGUGAGGGUUAGAAUCUUCAUAAAAAUCUUAUAUAAAACUAUGUAAUUCUCUGAUUCUUCUUCUCACAACCGUCAAUUCAAGGGCUUUGCUUUAUUCUUGAACCGAUGGAAUAUUUUUUGAAAUUUCAACUCGAAUGCCGAAUUAAGCUUUGAUCACAAUCGCGGAGGUACGGCAACUUGCAGCUUACCACUUGGAGAUAAAUACUUCUUUACAUGCGGAGCUUACAACUUGGAGAUUUACAGACCACUGUUGAAGAACAGAGCUUCUCUCUAUCUUUCUUUUUUGGUCUUUUUUUUUUCUAGUCUUAUGAAAUAUAGGCGUGAGCUAGAAUUUGAAAGUAUUUUGAUCAUCACCAAGUAAUUUUAACGGUCCUUGGACUUGAAGAGCAAGGAUUGAGCUUGAUUUAUCAACUUAAUAGACUAGCUUAAAUGUAAUUCAAAUCGUAUCCAACCUUUGUAAGUAGAUUAUAAGCAUUUGGAUCAAAACCUUCAUCUAUACGCGUCAUAGUUUGAGAAAAUUAAACAUAUAUAAUAACAAAAAUUCAGAAAAAGAAAACUUCUAACAUGAUUUUACUAGUAUAAAUAAUGCAAUAAUAUAAAAGUUAUUAUGAUGUGUAAAUCAAUUCUUUAGUUUUGAGUUUAGUCACACAAAUUAGUCUACUGCUUUAAUUUCCCUGAGUACUCACAACGUAACUCAACAAAUUCAACGAUGUGCACAUCUUAUAAGUUUCUUUAUGAAAGAAAUAGGAAUAUGUUACAAUCUUUCUUAAUUAUAUUGGAGUAAAUGUUUUUAAUACCAAGAUAAAUGAAAACAAAUAAUCAGAAAUUACAUUUAAAAAUGGGCUAUCUGGCAGCGGUGGACCUAUAUGCAAUUUUGGUGUUUUGGUAUUGCUAAAUUCAAUGUAGAUUAAAUAUAAUUAUAUAAAAAAAAAAUUAAAAAUUGAUAUAAAAUUUAAAAAAGCAUUCUAAAAAUUAAGAAAAUGGUUAGGUGCUUUGAUUUGCAAGUAAAAGUUUUAAAUUUUAAAUAUUAAUAUAUGUGUUUGAUUCUCCCAAAUAUCCAUAAAUUCUGAAUCUCCUCCUGUGAACUAUUUAUUUGGAUCCUCCCAUACUUCUCAAUGAUUGGAGCUAACACGGGCCCAGUGAAACAAAUUUGCACAAGCAAGAUUUAGGUUAAAAAAAAAAUAUAAAUAACAUAAAUACUAACUUUUUGGAAGUAAUUAUUCCCUCUCAUAUUUUUUUAAUUACUUUGCUUUCUCUCCCUAUUAAUAUACAUAACAUAGCCAACAUAUAUAUAGUAUUCUGUGUAUAUAUUAUGAUUUUCUUAAUAUGUUUAAAGAGUUAAAAUUUUUGUAAUAUUAGAAACAUAAAUUGUGUAUUUGUAUAAUUUUUAGAAAAAAAAAAAAGAUACAGAAAAUCUUUCAUGGAUACUGGAUGUCGCUACGGGCCCAAUACUUUCUGUUAUACUGCCUCCAUUCAAUUUUAGGAGUCCUUUAGUAGACUGUAUUAGAAAAAUAAUUUAUAUAUUAAAAUAUAAUAUUAUUUAAUAUAUUGUUUGAUAAGAAUUUUAGAGCAAUGCGUGAUUAUAUAGGUAUUAGUUAUACACUCCAUAUGAUAUUAUAGGAUGUAUAACCAACACGUCUUAUUUGAUGGUAUUAAUAAUUCAUGAAUUUUAAUGCAUGGAAUAAAUAUGAGUAAAGCCAGAAAUGUCCUCAAAUUCUUUUAAAUCUCUUCUAAAUUGUUUUAAAUUUAUUCAAUGUCAGUUAUUUCUUUUCAAUUUAUCAAGACGAUAAUUUUCGUCCAAAUAAUUUUUAGUCAUAAAAAAUUACUCCAUUAACUUAAAAAAUACUUAUAUUUUAGUAAAUUGGUCAAAACCCAAUAACAAAUUGCAUGAUUGGAUACAAGCUUUAAUUUUGUAAAUAGGAUAUAUCACAAAUAAAAAUAAUUUUCUGCUUAACUUUUACACUCUAUAGAACACAAUUUUAUAUUAAUAAUGGUUUCAUUGUCUCAUUCAAAAAUUACACAUACCUCCCUUCACCUUAAGAACACCACAAAUUGGGAACAACAAACAAAUGAUGAACAAAUAAAGAAAAGAUAAACAAAAAUAAUAAUAAUUCCUGCAAGUGAAUGAUUAAAUCUUGAAUUUCCAAAGUAAGUAAUUUGUUAUAUUGUUGAUUUUUUUAUUUUAAAAAAAGAAUAAUAAAGUUUUACAAAGAAAAUACAUAAAGGUAUAGUAUGUCGAGGAUAUUUUUCUAAACAAACAAUAUUAUUUUAAAAAUAUAACAAUACAUAUUCUUUUCAAUACACCAAUAAUCACAACAUUACUAAUCUUAGUAUUACUAAUACAUCCUAUUUAGUACUACUAUAUUAUACAUUCUACCAAACGAUCCCUAAAAAACAAGCAGUUUUCCCUUCAAUUUGUUUCUUCUAUGUUUCUUUUUAGCCAGUUACAAAAAAAUAUUUUUUUUGACAACUCUUUAAUUUUAACUUUUCACAUGAUAUGUUUAAAAUCACAAAAUUUAAAAAUAUUUUGAUAUAUUUAUUUUACAAGUUUAACAAAAUAAAAAAAUGAAUUAAACAUUUAUUUUGCAAGUAGUACUUCUUUAGGAACAAAGAAAAUUAUAAUAAUCUUGAAAGUUGUCUUGCUCAAAUCUAAACCUACGAUAACCAAUUAAUAAAUUUUCAGAACAACUAAUUAUAUUUAAUUCUGUAAUUAUUGAUCAAUUAAUUAUCUCAUUUUUGUAUUACAGUAUACACCAUAUGUGAUUUUAUUAUUAUGUUUAAUUCUUUAAUCUAAAUAUCAAGAAAAUUGAAUAAUAGUUGAUUCUAAUUUUCAUUUAAAAAAUGUCAACAUGAGCGGAGCGCAUAAGGGUUAAUUAUUUGUUAUAUAUAUAUAUAUAAAGUGUAAAAUUAUUUGUUAUAAUGUAUAUAUAGUUGAUAUUAAAUCUAUUUAACUUCUUAUGUUCACUUUGAAAUCUCUUACUGAAAUCUUGACUGCGCCCGACAAUUUUUAUUGAAAUAAAUUUGUAUAAAAAUCUACACGAAACAAUAUAAAUUGAGAUAGAAAAUAUUUACUUUGGUUGAUCAUAGUAGAAUUAAUUGGGCUACUAUAUUAAUUAAGAAAAUAAAUAAUCAACACACGAUGUAUUGUCCAAGGAGAGGUAAAGAUUAAUUACUUUCAAAUCAGAAAAAAAAUAAAAUAAAGCAAGAUAAAAUUUUAUAUCAAAACAAUUUUUGAUAUUAUCAGAAGGAUUGAAACCACAUAUGUAGGCUAACAUCCUAAUUACCACUCCUAAGUAAAAAAAUUUAGAGGUUGUGACAAAUUAGCAAGGAUCAAAUAAAGUAAAAUAGAGAAAAUACUUUCAAGCACAAAAAUUCUAGAAUAUCAAAAUAAUCAUAUGAGCGAGCUUACACUUUAAGCAGCUCUUUUAUGAAUUACUAGUUUAGUUAUAUGCAUCUUGUGCAUGUACCUCGCUUUAUUGAGUUCUAUUCUUUCACCUCACAAAUUUUUCUCUAAUUUGUGUAUUAAUUCACUCUUCUGUCUAGUAGUCACUCAUGAAUGAAGAAAUAAUUAAUUUUUGCUUCCUUAAUUUCUAGGUCCCAAAUCUUUAAAUAUGUAGAUAAUGUCUACGAAACAAACUAAUAAACCACGUAAAUACAAAAAUGUUAUAGGAACAAUGUAAAGAUUAAGCUCUACUUUAUAUCAAAUAAAAAUAUAAUUGUUACCACAUUCAAGUUCAGCCAUCACAAUUAAUUAGUGCGCCUUCUCAAAGACUCUACCGGAAGAAGUGAAGUUGAUGUUAGUCAUAAUUUAGCUACGACAUUUCUCUAUCUCUUGAAAUCCUAAGUUGUGUGCUUGUACAACAGGUAGAAUCAUCCUAUCAAUACUAUAACCAAAAAAAAAAAAAUAUUAAUCAAGUGGAUCAUUCUAUCAAUAAAGUUACAACAUAUUGCAAUUUACUUUCACCCGCAAAAAAAAUAAAAUAUAAUUAUAUAAUUUUUCAAAUGCGUAACAGAAAACGCUAACAUGCCAUUACGAAUUCAACUCAUUCAAAUUUCACAACUUAAUACUUUAGAUAACAAUAUACAUGGAAAUUGACAGAGAAAAAAAAUACAUUGAGAAAUAAUUAGAGCCAGAGAAAAAAAAUACAUUGAGAAAUAACUAGAGCUAUUAAUAAGGAUAAAUUAUGAAUUGCCAAAUAUAUCAAUCUUAAUGUGAUUGCCAAACAAUAUAUACUGAGUAUUAGCAAAAGUAUUAAUUCUUGUUAACGUUUUACAAUAUCUACAUUAGCCAAACAGGAAAAAGUACUACAUCUGCAUGUGAUGGUGAUUUAAACGAAUUAAUUUGACAAUUGACAUAGAGUUGGAUUAUUGGAAAAGAAAAGCAAUAAAAAAAACUAAACUAAAAGAGGCAGAAAAUAACCAAAACUUCCAUGUGUGUGGGACACGCAAUAUUACAAUAAUAAAUAAAUAAUGGUUAAAGUAGUGCAUAUAAUACGAUUAAAUUUAACCUUUACACAAAAAUUCCUCAAAGUCCGAUCAAACAAUCAUAUACCACCUGUAUAAACAAAAAAAAAAUAGAUAGUAACAGAACUAUUAUGAAAUAUAAAGCAAAGAAGAAGAAAAAUGGAGAGAAAAGAGAGAGUGAUUAUUGUUUAUCUUAAGAGAUUUCUUGAUGGACUGAAUUACAAUGAAGGAAACCCCUUUAUUUCUACGGAAAACUAACUUUGGGGUUUCUACCUUUUUCAUAAAUAGACAUUCACUGUAUAUGAUAAAGUAAACAUUCACUAUAUAUGAUAAUAUAUUUAUAACACUACCCUUUGAAUGUCUAAUUGAUAGAUAAUGUGACUCGCUAAAACCUUACUAGAAAUACCCAGUGAAAAAAAUCUAGUGAAGGAAAAAAAGUAUACAUCUCUAACAAUACGCAUAUAGGUUGCCCUCAUUAAAAACCUUACAAGAGAAACUCAGUGGGACAAAACCUCGUAAGGAAAAAAGAGUACAACGCGUAUUAACUCCCCCUAAUGAGAACAUCCUUGAACCUUUGCAUACCGAUCUUGUGCACCAUCUUUUUGAAAGUUGCAAUUGGAGGAGACUUGGUGAAUAAAUCAGCCACAUUGUCAUUUGAACGAAUCUAUUGCACGUUAAUAUCACCAUUCUUUUGUAGCUCGUGUGCAUAGAAAAGUUUUGGCGAAAUGUGCUUUAUUUUAUCUCCUUGAGUCCUCCCUUAAGUUAUAUUGUGCAUGCUUCAUUAUCCUCAUAAAAAUCAUGAGUACUUUGUCUCAUUUCAAACUACAUUUUUUGCGAAUGGGAUGUAUCGUAGACCUCAACCACACAAACUCUUGGCUUUCUUCAUGAAUAGUUACUAUCUCAGCAUGGCUCGAUGAAGUGGCUACGAUAGACUGCUUUGUAUAUCUUCAAGAUAUUGCAGUACCCCCACAUAUGAACACAUAACUUAUUUGAGAUCGAGCUUUAUAUGGGUCAGAUAAGUACCCAGCAUCAGCAUAACUAACAAGAUCAGGACUACAAUCUUUAGAAUAAAAUAAGCUCAUAUGUUUAAUAUUUAUUCCGAUGUUUCCUAGUAGGAGGAGAACUAUACCUUGCUAACAAAUUGAUCCAAAUGCUAUAUCGGGUCUUGUAGUAGUUACAAGAUACAUUAGUACACCAAUUGCACUAAGAUAUAUAACUAAUUCAAUUUGGUAUAUUUCUCAUUCCAACAAAUAAUCUAUUACUUUUGAAAACUCUCCAAGAGUUUCAAUAAUUUUCAAGUUAUAAAUUUAUGCAAUAUAAGGAUUAUAGAUAAGUUUCCCACAAACUUUUAUAUGCUUCAAAUUUGAAUGCUUAAAAGUUUUCAUAUAAAUUUUGUCAAGUGACAAUAUUCAGUAUUUCGUGUGUGACAUCUUUAAGUGUUUGGACUAUAAAUCAAAUAAGUUUUUAUACUUAUCAAGAUGCAUCCUUUCAUGUCACUUGAUAAAUAUUUCUACAUCAACAUGCUUAAAUAAACAUUGAAUUUAGAUCCUUGUAAUCUUUUACAAUAUUGUGUCAAUAUUGUAUUAAAGAUAUCGUCGACGAUAUAUUAUUUUGUAUCAAUUCACAAUGUGACAUAAUAUUUUGAGAUCUCAUCACUUCAUUACUUUCAGGUACCUGAACCUCUCAUAAGGUUUCAUGAAGUGUUAUGUCGUAGGAUUUUAAAGAGCAUAUUGCCUUCUUAUUAUGAUUAUUUGCUCUUUAUCCUUUUCAAGUGUUAUUUUAUUUUGAACCGAUUGGUCUACCAUGCUUCAUGCAUGCAUAGACUUUGUCCUUUAGGGACCCAAAAUAGGAGCACUUAUAGCUUACAAUUGAGAUGAUUUCGGUAUUUGACUUGAAUUAGCUUUUGAAUAGGAUCUGAUGAUAAUUCCUAACAUAUUUCAUAGCUGCUUAUAAUCUCUCCUUUAUGUUAGGAAAACUAACAUACAUCCUGCAUUUUCUUUUAGGAAUUCAUCUUUGUACAUUAUGGUAUAUUUAUUAAUCGUAUACCUCACAUCAAAACUAUUAGAUGGACAAGAUGUGGUUCUUGACUCAAAACCAACUUUGAGGGGGAAUUAAUCAUAAUUUAUUAGUUUGAUGCAUACAAGAACUUUUGCAUAUAAUAUUUUAAACCAACACAUGAAGCUUUUAUUCUCAUUAGCAAUGCUUUAGUUAUUUAUCAAAGGUAUUCAAUGUCAAACCGACAUUAUCAAAAUAAAUUAUCUUGAUUACACAAUUUGAAAAUUAUGCUCUUAACUCAAUUUUAUUGAUCAACAACUUUAUGAAUGUCAAAAUGUAGGUUGACAAUAAAUGUACAAGUGAUCAUCUUAUAUUGAUCCAUCUUAAUAGAUCACAUGACUGGUGAACGGACCUGUAUUCACUUUUUAUACUUUUCAGAUUUUGAGAGAUCAAAUCCUAAUAUUAGUUGGUCCAACCAACUUAUCACGAGAACAAGCAACAUAAAUAAUUCUUGAAGAAUCUUCUAUUUCUUCAACAUAUGUCUAAUACUUAAUAUUCACAUCUUCGUGAUGACAAAUCGUUUAUGUCAAUAAAUUAAAUAAUUUGUAGUAGUAACUCCAAGUUAUCAUAACAUGUGCAAAAAUUCUUUAGUAAACAUCAAGUUUACUAUUGCAUGAAUUUCAGAUUUACUACUUUAAGAGUAAAUUUUAGAGUUCUACUAUUUCAGAAAUAAACUUUUCUCAAUUGUUUUAUCUCUUCAGGAGGUGGAUCGUGAUAUCUUUGCAAUCAAGAACAUGUUCAUACUUAUAUUGACUAAAUACAAACACUUCACUCCAGGGGUAUGGAUCUGUAUUUAUAACAAUUAAAAUUCUCAUUCCCCAGGAAUGAAAUAUAAUCGUGCCUUAAGCAUAUCAAAUUAUGAUAGCUUAUAAUCUCUUUCAAGAUAUUGCUACUUUAGGACCAAAUUGAGGCAUACAUACGAUAUAAAGAAUUUUUUUCUAACAUAUCUUUUAGAGUAUAUCAUAUAUUGCUACCACAUUCACUUCAAGAAUGGAGUAAAUUGUCAUCUUUCAGACUUAUCGUAUAUUGCUGCCAUUAGUGGCAGAUCUAGCAUAUAUCCAGGGGGUUCGUUCGAACCCCCUUCAACGAAAAAUUACAUUAUUUUUACAUGAUUAAAAUUAUUUUUAUGUAUAUAUUGUAUAUGUUGAAUCACCUCGGCUAGUUCGUGUGUGCACUUUCGAACCCCCUUAAUGAAUAUCUUGGCUCCGCCACUGGUUACCACAUUCACUUCAUGGAAUGAAGCAUAUUUAUUGAGGCAGGUUUCAUUACUUUUCAUCAAAUACACAUUAUUUUGCCUUAGCAAUCAUAAUGUCAUCAAUAUGGUUUAUUGAGAUUCAAACUUAAUAUCUUAUCCAUAUAAAGGCGUCUUGAGCUAUAACUCGAUGGGACUUUAACCCAACAUCUUAUCAUCAUGAUGCAUUAAAAAUUUUAACCCAGUGUCUUACCGUGGUUUCAAACCAAUUAUUUUUUCCUCAAAUCCAACAAUAAUUAUAUCAUUAGUAGCAAAAGACAAAUAACAUAAGGAAUUACUAACCUUGAAAUUACCUUUAGGUUUAUAAUCUCACCUUAUUUGGUAAAGUCUCGUGCUGAUAACGUGUUAUGAAGUAUAAAGCAAAGAAGAAGAAAAAUGGAGAGAAAAGAGAGAGUUAUUAUUAUUUCUCUUGAGAGAUUUCUUAAUGGAGUGAAUUACAGUAAAGAAAACCCCUUUAUUUAUAUGAAAAAUUAACCUUGGAGUUUCUAACUUUUUCAUAAAUAGACAUUCACUAUAUAUGGUAAAGUAAACAUUCACUAUAUAUGGGAAUAUAUUUAUAACACUCCCCUUUGAACGUCUAAUUGAUAGAAAUGUGCCUCGUUAAAACCUUACUAGAAAAAUUCAGUGAAAAAAAAUCUCGUAAAGGAAAAAGAGUACACAUCUCUAACAAUACACAUAUAGUUUGCCUAAUUAAAAAACUUAUAAGGAAAACCUAGUGGGACAAAACCUCGUAAGUAAAAAAGAGUACUACGCGUAUUUACUCCUCCAAAUGAGAACAUCCUUGAACCUUUACAUCCUAAUCUUAUGCCCCAUCUUUUUUAAAGUUGCAGUUGGAGGAGACUUGGUGAAUAAAUCAGCCACAUUGUCAUUUGAACGAAUCUGUUGCACGUUAAUAUCACCAUUCUUUUUUACCUUGUGUGUAUAGAAAAUUUUUGGAGAAAUGUGCUUCAUUGUAUCUCCUUGAGUCCUCCCUUAAGUUGUAUUAUGCAUGCUGCAUUAUUCUCAUAAAAAAUCAUAGGUACUUUGUCACAUUUCAAACUAUAUUUUUCGCGAAUGGGAUGUAUCAUAAACCUCCACUAAACAAACUCUUGUCUUACUUUAUGAAUAGUUAUUAUCUCAGCAUGGUUCAAUGAAGUGGCUACGAUAGACUAUUUUGUAUAUCUUCCAGAUAUGGCAGUACCCCACAUAUGAACACAUAAGUUAUUUGAGAUCGAGCUUUAUAUGGAUCAGAUAAGUACCCAACAUCAGUAUAACCAACAAGAUCAGGACUACAAUCUUUAAAAUAAAAUAAGCCCAUAUGUUUGAUCUUAUUCCAUUGUCUCCUAGUAGGAGCAAAACUAUACCUUGCUAACAAAUUGAUCCAAAGGAUAUAUCGGGUCUAGUAGUAGUUACAAGAUACAUUAGUACACCAAUUGCCCUAAGAUAUAUAACCAUAUAUAAGUUGAAUUGCAAUGAAGGAAACCCCUUUAUUUAUAGGGGAGAAGUAACUUAGGGUUUCUAACUUUUUCAUAAAUAGACAUUCACCAUAUAUGUUAAAGUAGACAUUCACUAUACAUGGUAAUAUAUUUAUAACAAGAACAAAUAUUACAAAAACAUGACUUUUAUAACCUAAGACAGUUUCGAUACAAUAUAUAGUCCUAAAUCUUAAGUGCCAGUAAUGUGAAUGAUUUUAAUAUAUAAACUCAUUAUUCUACAUCUAGUUAGUAUAUGAAUUAGCUCUAUAAAGCCAAUUCAAUUAUAAAUAAUUUUAAAUUGAUUUUAACAGGUUAAGGAUUUAUUCAGUCGUCAUUCUCCUUCACGUUGUCCUCUUUAUCAAGCAUAGGGCUUUUGUUUUGUAGUUUCAUUUAUUAGCAUUAAGAUUCUGAGAACCUUUUUCUUAAAAAUAAAAUAACAUAAAACUUUUAAGAUAAAAAAUGUAUCUAAAGAGAAACAUAAUAACCGAUCAUUACAUUAAUAAAUACAGAGCAAAAUUGAGUAUAAUAAAUGAAAUUUCAUCGUUGACAUCAAAAGUCCAAAGUAUUUUGAUAUUGAUACACGAAAACACUCUCUAAAUACUAAACUAAAGUAAAAAAUUGAACUACAUUACCAAUGCCUUAGUAUCUGGACUUUUGUUAGGAAUAGAACAAAUUCUCAACCGAAGAAGAAAGAAUAACAUAUAUGCAUUUGCGAAAUUAUAUCAUCUUAUUUCCCUGUCUUGCUUUCACCUUAAAUUUGGCUGGUAGUUCUAAUUAACUCCUAUUUUAUGUUCCUUCUAUAUUUUAGUAUACCCAGUAAGACCAUUUUAGUUAUCUUGCUUUUCAAUGUUCUCAUACUCACUGAGUAAGCCUUUAUGGGUUGUUUAGUGAAGAAAAAUCUCAUGUUUCUUAUUUCUGGAGAAAAGAAGCAUUCACCUGCAUGGAAAAAAUUGGCAUAGUAGAAAUUUUCCAAAACUAUUUUGUCUUAGGGUUAGGGUUAAAAAAGUGGGAAAAAGUUGUAAAAGUGGAGCCCACACAUGGGCCAAGGGACCAUUUCAUUAUUUUUACAACUUUGAGAAUUUAAUAUAAUACACUUAACACCGUUCACUUCUUUCAAUAUUAAAUAAAACUCCUUCUCUCUCUCCUUUUCAACUUCAACUACUCUCAAGAAUUCUCCCAAACUCUAUUUUUUCUUCUUGUUUUUCAGCGACAAAGGGCUCGUGUUUGCAUUGUAAGGUUAGUUAAAAUCAAGUUUUGAUUAUUUAUAGAUCCAUUUUAUCGGUUUUUAUUCUUAACCGUUUUGUAGUGAUGUAGUACAAGAAUUUUUUUCCGAAUGUGGUUGCUUAAAUAGUUAAAAUAUAUAAAUUUUAUACGUAAUUAGCUUGAUUCCGAAACAAUGGUUGAGUUUUGGUUCGGUAGUUUCGACAGAUUUUUUCGUCAAUCACGGUGUUGAAUUUUAAAAUUUUUGUUAAGGAGUUUUGAUUUAGUUCUGGAAUUUUUUGAGCAUUGUGGUGUCGAAUGAUGGAAUAAUUAUUAUUUUAUGAGUUAUUUUGGCUCUUUGAUUCAAACAGUGACCUGUUUCUGUCCGUAGACUUAUGGUCUAUGAAAUAACAAUGCCCUAGAUUAAAAUUAAUUUUUAGGUGUAUUAAAUUCUUUUAAAAUAUGAUUGAUGAAAUAGUGAAAAUUGAAAUAUUAAUAGCUAAUUAGUUUGAUUUAUAGCAAUAGUUGAGUUUUGAUACCGGAUGUUUGAUUGAAAAUUUUUCGUUCAUCACGCUUUUGGAUUUUGGUUCAGUUUUGGUAUUUUCGUGUAGUGAACUGUUUAAUGAUGGGGUGAUUCUUAGUUGUUUUGACUUUUUCAUUUGAGCAUUGAAUUGUUUCUGUUAGUAGACUUGUGGUCUAUGAAUUGAUAACAACAGAAUUAUUUUAGCAGCAGACGAUGAAGAAGGAGAAGACAAAAAGUGUUAAUAUUGAAGGAAUAUUGUGAUGAUGAGGAAAAAAGACAUUUGAAUGCUAAUAUUGUUAAUAUUUAAGACUUUUUUUUAUUUGAGAAACAAGAGAGUUGAAUGAUCGCCGGAAUGAUAUAACAAUCAUUUUUUUAUUUUAUGAAAGUUGUUAGGAUUCUACACUGAUGCUGUUUUAUCAAACUGUAUUGUUGCAUAAAUUUGAAUAUGCAUUGUGUUGUCAUAACUGAUACAGCGUAUGAUUGACAUCAUAGAAUGCAUAUUUAACCUUUCGUAUACUGUUAGCAUAGUCUAUCAUUACCAUGCUACUCGAUUUUAAGUUGGUGUGUAGUUUGAUCAACUGUGAUUCUAUGAAAAACAGUAUUGACAUUAUUGAAAAAUAAAAGUAUUUUUAUUUAUUCAAUCUCACUACAUCCAUGUUACACCAUUCCAAAUAAAGAAUACUAGCAUUAUACCACAUAACAUCAUUUUUAGGCCAUUCUCCUUUUCUUCGGCCAAAACCAAUUUUUCUUUUAGUUGAUCCCUCUCAAUUUGGGUGUCUUGUAGCAAUACUUUAAAGUGAUCCCUCUGCUCUUCGGCUUCUUUGAACAAAGUCAUGAGAAAAUCUCUACUUUUUUGUAUUCUCAGAGCCUUUGUAGUAGAGUAAAUUUAGCCACGCCAUAAAAAUUUGAUGUCUCGAAUCCCAGACUUAACGUUGAUGGACUGCUUGGAGGUGAUACCUCAUCAAGCCAUUUAAAAAACUAGCAUGCAUCACUAUUCUAAAAAAUAAUAAUAAUUACACAACGAUUUACUUAAUUUUUAAAAAGAUAUACACGACUCACCUUCGCAAUUACACAAUUAUAAAAUUUGCGACCUGAAUUUGAGUCCGUGCGUUCUAUUCUCAAUACAGUCGCAUUUUCACAAUGGCAAAUUAGAGUCUUUUUAGAAUUGGAAGUUUGAGAUGCUUGAGACAUUGUAGAAUUUUAAAAUAAAAAUAAAGUGGAUGAAAUAAAAUAAUGAGGGAUGGAGGACUUUAUGUAUGAAGUAAAAAGAAGUAUUAAUAUUGAAGGAAUACAAAAUUAGCCGUUUGUUAUCGUGGGAACAGUAAUUAUUUUUUUGAACUGUUGGUGACACUUAAUAUACUGUCAUCGAUCAUGACCUAUUUCAAUCAUCAACGAGAUAUUAAAGUCUACCCUUGACACUCGUAAUCGAUGGAUCCUCAAAAACAUGUUUAAAAAGAAAAUAAUUAAGUAAAAAAUAUACUUGUGCUUUGAGGGUUCAUCGAUUCAAUUGGUCUACCAUAGACUUACACUGUAGGUAGUGCAUCGAUUCAUCUCUAUAUCAUUGGUAGACUCAUAGAUGCAUGUACAUGAUUAUAGACCCUUACUAGCAUGUUGUUUAAAAAUAAAUAAAAAAUAAAUGUAGUGUGAAAUUCUACAUAUAUGAAUGAGUUUAAAUAAGUCACAUAAUCAUAUUAGAGCUUAUACAAAUUAGGAGUGGUGAAUUAAGGUGUUUGGGGAUAGGUAGUGGUUGAACAAACAAUAUCUUAAGAGUAAUGUUUAUCAAAGCACAAGCAUGUUUUGAGGAUGUUGAUUAUAUUUUAUGCCUACCCAUCCACAUACUCGGUCAAUCACCACCCCCAAAUCAAAAGAGUAUAUGGAUAGGUAGUCAUCAAAUACAAUCAAUAUCCUCAAAAUAUACAUGUGAUUUGACAAACAUUGCUUUGAGGAUGUUGAUUGUUCAACUACUAUCCAUCCACAAAAUCCUUCAAUCACUACCCCCAAUUUGUGUAAGCUCUAACAAGAUCAUGUGACUUGUUUAAACUCCUUCAUAUGUGUAGAAACCCAUAAUUUAUUUAUUUAUUAUUUAAUUAUUCAUUUUUAAACAACAUCCAAGUGAAGGUCUAUAACCAUGUACAUAGAUCUAUGUGAUCUAUGAAUGAUCAAGAGAGCAAUCGAUGCAUGACCUACAAUGUAACUCUACGACAGACCAAAGAAAUCGAUGAACCCUCAAAGCACAAGUAUAUUUUUUAAAUAGGAUUGACAUGGGUCAUCAUCGAUGAUAGUCUAUUAAGUGUCACCAACAGUUCAAGAUUUUUUAUUUAACCAACAGUUCAACAAUUCAAGUGAUUAUGUGUUUAAACUUUUUUUAAUUUAAUUAUUUUCUUUCACCACCCCUAAAUCAUAUGAUUAUGUGUUUAAUUUUUUUUAGUUUAACUAUUUUCUUUCACCACCACCAAAUCAUGUGAUUAUGUGUUUAAACUUUUUAAUUUAAUUAUUUCCUUUCAAACUACAAACUACUGAUGGUUCAUCGAUUCAUAUCGUUUACGAUUGACUUAUAUAACGCCCCAAAUUCGGUACCCGAAAUGCUACACAGUGCUCAUGACCCCAAAGGACCAUAAGCUAACCUAUGAUUGAUAUCUAUACCUGAGCACUACACAAUAUACUGUACAAAUGCGGAAUAAAAGGCUGAAAGGGCAUAAGGUUAAAAAAUCUGAUAAAAUAUAACAUUUGGAGAUAUGGUAUAUCAAUACCAAAAUGACUGAAAUAACUGUCUGAACAUGCUAUAGUCUGAAAGCCUCUAAAACUGACUGAAUAAAGAGUUGAUGAGACAUGUCCUCAACUAACACCAACUACUAAAAUAAACUAAGUACUGAAAGAAUGAAAUAAUCAAAUAAUAACAUCCUCAAAUGAUGAGGACUCCCUGCUAGUCUGACUGCUGAAACUGGAAUGCUACUGAUACUCUGGAGCUCAUGCUUCUGAACCUAUGGUAUAAAACAUCAUAGCGCAAAAAAAAAAGUAUGCGUCAGUACAAUUAAAUAUAAUAAUAUGCAAGUGAGGUAGGCUGAAUGCAAGGGUUUAUAUGCAUGAACAAUACUGACUGACAGAGUAACAUGAACGUGGGAAUACAUGCAUGAAUACAUAACUGUAAAUGAGAUUAUGAAAACACUGAUUACUGAGUCUUAAUACUGAUAAAAUGGAUUUCUGAUAACUGAUACUGAGCGACUGUGUCUGACAGUCUAGGUUUUGAUGGAACUAGCUGAGUUUUGUACUGAGCUGAGUGACUGUAUCUGAUAGUCCUGAAUUCUGUAGAACUAUUUGAGUUCUAUUACUGAGACUGAGACUGAGACUGUAACUGUGGGAUGUAGUCAUCUAACUGACAUGCCCUAAAUGAGAUAAUAUAAUUGAGUUGGGGUCCAAUCUAUAACCCCAAUUAGAAGAGUGUCAAUACCGCUCCACUGGUAAGGACAAGCUGUGAGUAAUCCCUUAUCUAACAGGUACUCUAAGGAGAAUGGUGGGACCCUCAUCUAACAAGUUAAGUCACCUAAUCAACCCUUAUUUAAUAGGUUAGAUGUCUCAACCUAUGUUGGCUACGUAGUUCUGAAGCACAAGGAUUGCUUCUAAGAAUCACACCCUCUACUCGCAGGUGAGUUCCCAUCCUUGGGCUCACUCGGUACUGAAUCAUACUCUAUAUGAUUAGACACUAAAUUAAUUAUACUGAACUGACUGGACUGAGUUCACUGAGUUUUGUUGACUGACGGAAUAUUACUGAGAUCUUAUAACUGACUGAGAUUACUGAGUUUUUCUGAGUCAUGAGACUAACUGAAUUCUAUUGAACAUGACUUGACUGAGAGUAUCUUGAAAAUUGACACUGGCUCUAGGCACACAGUUAAAUUAUUAGAUACAAGUACCCCUAGGACUCGAUAGCAUAAAACUGAUAAGACAUGACACUUUUUAGACUCAUGACCAUAAUCAACAAUCCAUAAUACAAUCAUUGGGGAAUUUCAUAAGACACUUGAUUAUCAUGGUUUUGUACAUGAAUAGGAAUGCAUAUAAACAUGUCAUAAUUUCAUAGGACUAAUCUCCUGAAUAAUCCAUCAAAUAAUUUCAAUCCAUAACAAUAACAUGGAAGUCAUUUUGAAAUAAGGAUAAAGCAUGGGUUCAUCAAUUUGGUCAUAAUUGAGUCCUAAAGUAUGAUUCUUAUUAUCUUGGGCAUUUUACCAAACACAUUGCAUGCACAACCUUAGGCUUAGGCAUGUACACUAGUUCAUAUAUCAUGGUUACAUUAAUCAACUCAAUUUAAAAGUUUCCAAACCCACAUACUAACAUAAUUUCAUGAAAAGUACAUAAAGAUUCCAACUUGGGAUUCAUACAACCACAUCAACAUAAUUAAAAUGAACUUGGCCAGUCCUGACUGUUACACUUGGCCAGAACCUAAACUUCCUGCCUCAUCUGCAACAGUUUGGGCAACGGUCUGUCGCUAGAUCGAUGGUCUAUCAAUCCUGACCGUCACACUUGGACAGAACCUGAACUUUCUGCCUCGUCUGCGACGGUUUGGGUGACAGUCCAUCGGUCCUGACCGUCGCACUUGGACAGAAGAUAGGUUCACUACCUUAGUCGCGAUGGCUUGGGUGACGGUCUGCCUCUAGCUCGACAGUCCGCCGGCCUGACCGUCGCUUCUGGACAGUUCCGACAGUUCUCUAUAAAACGUCCAUAACUUUUUACACUGAAACUGGAUUUGGACGAAAUUAGUAUUGUUGAAAAUCUAAUUCAAUUUUCCACAUGAUAAAAAAUUGAAAUUGGAGAAAUUCUCUCUAAUUUAAACAUUAAUUAUUUAGGAAGUCAUCACUAACUCUUCUGGAGACUAGAUUUGGCUUAAAGAAAGUUUGGGGUAUUAUAAUAUCUCCCCUUGGAUACAUUCAUCCUCGAAUGGUACUGACUAGAUUGGGAAAACUAAUGGACUGAUCUUACUUAAGGGAUGUGAACAUUUGAACAUAUCUGUAUGACUGGAGCUUCUGAUAUACUAAAAUCGCCUACUUAAUAUGCAUGUCUGAUGCAUGGAUAUGUGAUGGAUAGUCUUCGUGAAUGCAUGACUGAAAAUACUGAGAAGCUGAGUUUCUCAUGAUGAGAAUGCAUAUCUGAUGCAUGAAUACGUGACUGGCAUGAUACAUAAACAUAUGACUAGAUAUGCAAGGGUAUUUGAUACCAAGUUUAUAACUAAAAUCUGAACAUAAAACUGAAUAAACUUAAGGAAAGCUAUUACCUUGGCCUGAUUCUGAGUUUGCAGAGAAGAGGUGAGGAUACUUGGUCCGCAUGUCUGCUUCUUCUUCCCAAGUAGCUCCCUCAAUGGACUGAUUCCGCCAAAGAACUUUGACUAGAGUGACUUCUUUGUUCCUCAGUCUACGAGUCUGGUAGUCAAGAAUUUCAACUGGGAUCUCUUUAAAAGAAUGGUUGUUUUGAAUGUCUAAGGCCUCUACCAGGACUACAACUUUUGGGGCACCUAUGCACUUUUUUAGCAAGGAAACAUGGAACACUGGAUGAACUGAGGCUAGAUCUGAAGGCAAUUCGAUCUCAUAAGCUACCUUGUCGAAAUGACUGAUAAUUUUGAAGGGACCGACAUAUUUCCCUUCUUGCCGUAUCACUUCACUUCCUUCAUGGGAGAGAUUUUCAAGUACACAUAAUCACCAAUCUCAAACUCAAGAUCCUUUCUGUGUACAUCUGCCUAUGAUUUUUGUUGACUCUGAGCUAUCUUGAGCCAUUCUAUGAUCAACUGAACUUUCUAUAAGGUGUCGAAUACCAAGUCAGGCCCUACUACUGUGGCCUCACCCACUUCAAAGCAACUGAUUGGAUAUCUGCACCUCCUACUAUAGAGAGCCUCAAAUGGAGCCAUCUGAAUACUAGAAUAAUAGUUGUUGCUUUAUACAAACUCAAUCAAAGGCAAGUGGUCCUCCCAACUCCCCUUGAAAUCAAUUGUACACGCCCUUAGCAUAUCUUCUAAGGUCUGAAUGGUCCUUUCUGAUUGACCAUCUGUCUGAGGAUGAAAGGUUGUACUGAGGUGAACUUGGGUACCAAGACCUUUUUGGAAUGCUUUCCAGAAGUGAGAUGUGAACUGGGUACCUCUAUCUGAAACAAUAGACAACAGAACACCGUGCAAUCUGACCAACUCUCUGAUAUAGAGUCCAGCGUAAUCCUUCGCUGAAUAAGAGGUAUGGACUGGAAAAAAAUGAGUUGAUUUAGUCAUCAUAUCUACAAUGACCCAAACUGAAUCAUGCUGAUGACAAGUAUGAGGCAAACCCAUCACAAAGUCCAUGUUCACUUCUUCCCACUUCCAUGUAGGAAUAUUGAAUUCCUACAUGGACCCACUAGGCUUCUGAUGCAUUAUCUUAACCCGCUGACAUACAGAGCACUUAGCCACAAAAUCUGCAAUAUCUCUCUUUAUCCCAUUCCACCAAUAGAUCUCUCGCAAGUCGCGGUAUAUCUUAGUGGACCCUGGAUGAAUAGAGUAGUACACACCAUGCACUUCUACAAGAAUUCGUUGCCUCAAGUCAUCUACACCUGGAACACACAGACGACCCUGAUAAUGGAGAACACCAUCUCUCCCUUGGAAGAAAACCUCUAACUUCUGAUCUUAAACCAACUCUUUCAACUUAACAAGACUGGGAUCUCUAUCUUGUUUUUCCUUAACUUCAAAAACUUGAGAUGAUUCUGAACUGUUCUGAACCCAUAUACUACCUUCUGCUGAAUCGACUAAGCGGACACCUAGUCGGGAAAGCUGAUGAACUUCCUGAGCUAGAUUCUUCUUACUAUCUUCAACAUGAGCAAUACUAUCCAUAGACAGUCUACUAAGAGCAUCGAUUACUAUAUUGUCUUUGUCCGAAUGAUAAAGGACACUAAUGUCAUAAUCUUUCAGAAGCUCUAACCAUCUUCUUUAACGGAGAUUAAGAUCUUUCUAAGAGAACAGGUACAGAAGGAUUUUAUGAUCUGUGAACAAAUCUACAUGAACGCCAUACAAGUAGUGCCUCCAAAUCUUCAAGGCAAAAACUACGGCUGUUAACUUAAGAUCAUGAGUUGGAUAAUUCUUUUCAUGGGGUUUAAGCUAUCUGGAGAUGUAAGCUAUGACCCUACCAUGCUUCAUGAGGACACAAUCCAAACCUACUCUGGAUGCAUCACAGUACACUACGAAUCCAUCUGAACCGUCUGGAAGAUUCAAAACUAGAGCUGAGGUGAGUCGAGUCUUCAACUCCUGAAAAAUCUUUUCGCAUGAAUCUAACCAUUGAAACUGAAUACUCUUCUGAGUCAAUCUGUACAUAGGGGAUGCAAUAGAUGAAAAUCCUUCAACAAAUCGAUGAUAAUAGCCAUCCAAACCUAAGAAACUCUUGAUAUCUGAUGGAGAGAUGGGGCGAGUCCAGUUUCUUACUAAUUUGGUCUUUUGAGGAUUAACUCUAAUGCCAUCACCAGAAAUUAUAUGACCAAGGAAUGCUACUGACCUUAGCAAAAAUUUGCACUUACUGAAUUUGGUGAACAACUAAUGAUUUCUAAGAUUCUGCAAUACUAUUUUAAGAUGGUCUGCAUGAUCAUGCUCACUGCGAGAAUAGACAAGAAUGUCAUCUAUGAAGACUAUGAUGAACAUGUACAAGUACUGCUUGAACACAUGAUUCAUCAAGUCCAUGAAGGUUGCUGGGGCAUUGGUAAGACCAAAGGAUAUGACUAAGAAUUCGAAGUGACCAUACCGAGUUUGGAAAGCUAUUUUUGGAAUAUCAUAUUCUCUGACUCUGAGCUGAUGAUAGCCUGAUCUGAGGUCUAUCUUAGAGAAAUAGCUGGCACCCUAAAGUUGGUCAACUAAAUCAUUGAUUCGGGGAAGUGGAUAAUUGUUCUUGACUGUGUCUUUAUUGAGCUGACAGUAGUCUAUACACAUUUUGAGAAAACUGUGGUUCUUGCGCAUAAAUAAGACUGGUGCACCCUAUAGGGACACACUGGGUCUGAUGAAACCCUUAUCUAGGAGAUCCUUCAACUGAUCUUUCAAUUCUUUGAGUUAUACUGGUGCCAUUCUGUAUGACGGAAUAAAUAUGGGCUGAGUAUCUGGAAGAAGGUCUAUGUCGAAGUCUAUUUCCCUUUUGGGAGAAAUUCUGGAAAGAUCUUUGGGAAAGAUAUCUGAGUAUUCAUUCACUACUGGGGCUGAUUCAAGAUUGGGAGUUUCAGAACUAGUGUUCUUAACUCGAACAAGAUGAUAGACACAUCCCUUAGAUAUCAUUUUCCAUGCUCAAAGCUAGAAAACAAGCUGACCUCUGAACGCUGAAGUACUACCCCUUCCACUCUAGGACAGGUUCAUUCAGAUAUUGAAACUGGACAACUCUAUUUCUACANNNNNNNNNNNNNNNNNNNNNNNNNNNNNNNNNNNNNNNNNNNNNNNNNNNNNNNNNNNNNNNNNNNNNNNNNNNNNNNNNNNNNNNNNNNNNNNNNNNNNNNNNNNNNNNNNNNNNNNNNNNNNNNNNNNNNNNNNNNNNNNNNNNNNNNNNNNNNNNNNNNNNNNNNNNNNNNNNNNNNNNNNNNNNNNNNNNNNNNNNNNNNNNNNNNCCAUUCCAUGCCAAAAAUGACAUCAAAAUUAGUCAUCUCUAAUUUGACUAAGUCUGCUAAAGUGACUUUCUGAGAUACCAUAAUCAGACAGUUCCUAUAUACCCAUCGGGCUAUGAUAGUUUUACCCACUGGGGUAGAGACUGAGAAGGGCUCUGCUAGAAUUUCAGGACUGACUCCAAAAUUAACUGUUAUAGAGGGAGUAAUAAAAUAUAAAAAAGCUCCUGGAUCUAGCAAGGAGCAGACAUGCAAGUGAAAGAUCUGUAACAUACCAGUAAUCAUAUCAGGAGAAUUUUCCUGAUCCUGUCAGGACUUAAAAGCAUAGAUUCUAUUUAGACAUUGCCCGUUAGUAGCACUGGUAUAGGCAUCCUGCUAGCUUGGAUGAUUGGACUGAGCUGAGGAACGGUUCUACUGACCCUGAAAGCUUGAUUGAGGAUAAUCUCUGACUCUGUGGCCUGGCUUACUACAUCUGAAACACACAUCACUGCCAGCUCUGCAAAUACCCUUGUGGUUCUUACCAUAAGUCUGGCAAAUAAGAUUGGUUUAGGCACUGCUAACGUUGCCCUAAGACUUAGAGCCUAGCACCCUAUCUUUGUUACUCUCCCUGAACUUAGGAACUAGAGCACUGGCUGAGGAAGGAGCUGGAAUGGAUGAAUUUGGGUGGAACUUAGAACGGUUCCACCCUCUGACUUAGGUUGAUUGAAGUUGAAGCUACCGUUCCUUGCUCUCUUAUUCUGCUUCUCCCUUAUCUUAAUCUUCUGCUCUUCUAUCUGUUGAGCAUGGAUCAUAAGCCCAGCUAUGUCUAUCUCACUAAUCAACAUUACAGAUCUUCACUUAUUGACCACACUAUCAUUUACCUCUGAAAUAAACUUACUCAUCUUAGCCCUGCUCUAGGAGAAAGAAUCUAUCAAUAAAAGCAGUGGCAAACUCGUCCCACUCUAUAGGCCCUGUGUCACUAUCCCUCUCUGCUUUCCACUAUUUGAACCAUAUGUGAGCCACAUCCUGCAACUAAUAUGUAGCUAGCUCAGUACUCUCAACGGCUGAUACUCCUAUGAUAUCUGUAAUCUUCUGAACCUGAUCAAGGAAUUCCUGAGGGUUCUUAUCUGACUUAGGCCCAAAAAAGGAUGGAGGAUUCAUUCGGGUGAAGUCUCAAAUCUUGGAUGUAGUAGUAUUGGCCACUGGUUUGGUCGGAAUAGCAGUUGGUCAUUCAUUCUGAGCAGCAACUGAAUUAGCAAGAGUAGUGAAUGUAGCUCUGAACUCUGCAUGAGAGACAUAUUCAUCCAAGGGAUCUUCUUGGAUGGGCUGAGGGGCUGACUGAUUUUUGUUUCUUCUCUUAGGAGGCAUGUUCUGUAGAAGAAAGAGAGAAAUGAAUUAGACUGAGAGUUAAACUUGAGCUCAUGUUCACUGGCACGACAUAAAUACUGAAAGAAGGGAAACUAUUUCUAAAACAUCUUAUAGCCUCUUGUACAUAAAUGUGGCGCGCAAUACACCCAUGCACAAGACUCUACUAGAUGCAACUUUCAGACUUUCUAGGACACUAUUGAACCUCAGGCUCUGAUACCAAGUUUGUAACACCCCAAAUAUGGUAUUCGAAAUGCUACACGGUGCUCAUGACCUCGAAGGACCACAAUCUAACCCAUGAUUGAUAUUUGUACCUGAGAACUGUAUAAUAUACUAUAUAAAUAUAGAAUAAAAGGUUGAAGGGCCAUAAGGUUCAAAAAUCUGAUAAAUAAUAACAUUUGGAGAUACAGUAUAUCAAUACCAAAAUGACUGAAAUAACUGUCUGAACAUGCUAUAGUCUGAAAGCCUCUAAAUCUGGCUGAAUAAGGAGUUGAUGUGACAUGUCCCCAACUAAAUCCAACUACUGAAAUAAACUAAGUACUGAAAGAAUGAAAUAACCAAAUAAUUAUAUCCUCGAAUGAUGAGGACUCACUGCUAGUCUCAUUGCUAAAACUGGAAUGCUAUUGAUGCUCUGGAGCUCGUGCUUCUGAACCUAUUAUAUAAAACACCAUAGCACAAAAGAAAAGUAUGCGUCAGUACGAUUGAAUAUACUGAUAUGCAAGUGAGGUAGGCUGAAUACAAGGGUUCAUAUGCAUGAAUAAUACUGACUGACUGUGUAACAUAAAUGUGAAAAUAUAUGCAUGAAUACAUAACUGUAAAUGAGAUUGUGAAAACACUGAUUACUGAGUCUGAAUACUGAUAAUAUAGAUUUUUUAUAACGAAUAUAACUGAUACUGAGCGACUAUGUUUGACAGUCUAUAUUCUGAUGGAACUAGCUGAGUUCCAUACUGAGCUGAGUGACUGUAACUGACAGUCCUGAAUUCUGUAGAACUAUCUGAGUUCUAUUACUGAGACUGAGAGUGUAACUGCGGGAAGUAGUCAUCUAACCAACAUGCCCCAUAUGAGAUAGUAUAAUUGAGUUGGGAUCCAAUCUAUAACCCAAUUAGAAGGGUAUUAAUACCGCGCCACUGGUAAGGAUAAGCUGUGAGUAAUCUCUCAUCUAAUAGGUACUCUAAGGAUAACGGUGGGACUCUCAUAUAAUAGGUUAAGUUACCUCAUUAAUCCUCAUCUAACAGGUUAGAUGUCACAACCUACAUUGGCUAUGUAGUUUUGGAGCGCAAGGAUUGCUUCUAAGAAUCACACCCUCUACUCGUAGGUUAGUUCCCAUCCUUAGGCUCACUCGGUACUAAAUCCUACUCCCAUCUGAUUAGACACUAAAUUAAUUAUACUGAACUGACUGGACUGAGUUCACUGAGUUUCAUUGACUGAUGAAAUAUUACUGAGAUCUGAUAACUGACUGAGAUUACUGAGAUUACUAAGUUUUCUUCAGUCAUGAGACUGACUGAAUUCUACUGAACAUGGCUUGACUAAGAGUAUCUUGAAAACCGACAUUGGCUCUAGGCACACAGCUAAAUUAUCAGGUACAAGUACCCCCAGGACUCGAUAGCAUAAAACUAACAAGACAUGACACUUCCUGGACUCAUGACCAUAAUCAAUAAUCCAUAAUACAAUCAUUGGGGAAUUUCAUGAGGCACUUGAUUAUCAUGGUUUGGUACAUCAAUAGUAAUGUAUAUAAACAUGUUAUAAUUUUAUAGGGCUAAUCUCCUGAACAAUCCAUCAAACAAUUUCAAUGCAUAACAAUAACAUGGAAGUCAUUUUGAACAUAAGGGUAAAGCAUGGGUUCAUCAAUUUGGUCAUAAUUGAGUCCUAAAGCAUGAUUCUUAUUCUCUUGGGCAUUUUANNNNNNNNNNNNNNNNNNNNNNNNNNNNNNNNNNNNNNNNNNNNNNNNNNNNNNNNNNNNNNNNNNNNNNNNNNNNNNNNNNNNNNNNNNNNNNNNNNNNNNNNNNNNNNNNNNNNNNNNNNNNNNNNNNNNNNNNNNNNNNNNNNNNNNNNNNNNNNNNNNNNNNNNNNNNNNNNNNNNNNNNNNNNNNNNNNNNNNNNNNNNNNNNNNNNNNNNNNNNNNNNNNNNNNNNNNNNNNNNNNNNNNNNNNNNNNNNNNNNNNNNNNNNNNNNNNNNNNNNNNNNNNNNNNNNNNNNNNNNNNNNNNNNNNNNNNNNNNNNNNNNNNNNAACAAUAACAUGGAAGUCAUUUUGAACAUAAGGGUAAAGCAUGGGUUCAUCAAUUUGGUCAUAAUUGAGUCCUAAAGCAUGAUUCUUAUUCUCUUGGGCAUUUUACCAAAUAUAUUGCAUGCACAACCUUAGGCUUAGGCAUGUACACUAGUUCAUACAUCAUGGUUACAUUAAUCAACUCAAUCUAAAAGUUUCCAAACCCACAUACUAGCAUAAUUUUAUGAAAAGUACAUAAAGACUCCAACUUGGGAUUCAUACAACCACAUCAACAUAAUUAAAAUCAACUCACCACAUGAGAAUCAUAAUUCAUGAGUUUAAAAUGGGAUUCUUGAGCUUCAUGGGUGAAAUAAACCUAUGAAUCAACACUUAACAUACCUGGGUGGAUGAUUUCUUGAAGAUUUGUGAAGGAAAACUUGAAUUCUUGCCUUGGGAUUAGACACCUAGGCUUUCUUGUUCUUGAGGAUUGAUCUUUGUGAGAAACCCUAAUUUGGUGUUAUGGAUGAAUAAUGAAGUUAUGAGCUCUGGUCAAGUAUAAUUAGGGGUCAAAAUGGGUGGAAAAAGACCCAAAUACCCUUUUAAAAAUGGCUUAAAAUCAUUGAUCAGAAGUGGCAAUGGUUUGGGCGAUGGUCCGUCACUAGCUCGAUGGUCCGUCACUAGCUCGAUGGUCCGUCGAUCCUGACCGUCGCACUUGGCCAGAACUUAAACUUCCUAUCUCUUCUGUGACAGUUUGGGCGAUAGUUCAUCGGUCCUGACCAUCACACUUGGCUAGAACCUGAACUUCCUGCCUCAUCUGCUACGGUUUAGGCGAUGGUCUGUCGCUAGCUCGAUGGUCCACCUGUCCUGACCAUUGCACUUGGCCAUAAGAAGGGUUCACUACCUUAGUUGCUAUGGCUUGGGCGAUGGUCCAUCGCUAGGUAGAAGGUCUACCGGCCUAACCGUCGCUUUUGGGCAGUUCCGAUAGUUCUUUGAAAAUGUCCAUAACUUUUUACUCCGAUACCGAAUUUGGAUGAAAUUGACAUCGUUGGAAAGCUAAUUCAAUUUAUCAUAUGAUAAAAAAUCAAAAUUGAGGAAAUUCUAUCUGAUUUAAACAUUAAUCAUUUAGAAAGUCAUCACUAACUCUUUUGAAGACUAGAUUUGACUUAAAGAAAGUUUGGGGUAUUACAACUUAUAUGUAUGGUCGAGGAGUGACAUUGUAUAAGAUCGAUGACAGUGCAUAAAACAUUAUUUGGUGUAGAGUAGAUUGAUUUGCUUAUCUACGAUAGACUAUAUAUGAGAUCUGAAUUUAUUAUCAUAUAAUUUUUACUCUUCGUGAAUUUAAUCAAGGCAAUCUACAGUUGUAUUCAUUGAAUAAGCAUCUCCUUAAACACAAUCCUCUGAAUUUUUCUUAUGCUUUGACCCUUACCAUUAUAAAAAUAAUUUACACAUAGUGAAGCAAUCGUCUCGUAUGAGAUUUUCUUAUGCCUGCCCGUGGCGUGAUCAACACCACACGUGUGGAACUCCACAUACUUGUAUAUGCAAAAUAUGUCCGAGGAUUCAUACUUCCUUACCCACAACAACCAACCGCAACCAAGAUUUGCAUAUUUCACCUUCAACAAUUUGGCGCAACUCUUCUCCGUAAAAUAAUUAAAAGACUGCCUCACCGAUGCUCCAUCUAGUAGUAUUUUUAGCUUUUUCUUAUCGGAGAAUGUUUGAUCACAAUACAAAUUAAUUUAAUCUGCGAAGGAAUGUCUUGGUUGUGAUCCUGUUUCAUAAUAUUCUUCCACAUCUUGCGAGUCUGAUGAAACCUAUUCCAUAUGCAUAGAAUCAUCUUCCAUAUUAAUUGGAUGAUCGCCAUCGUUCUCAUAAUUAUUCAAAUUAUCGUCGACUGUUAGGUGCCUAGGUAGGGGGUGGUGAUGAAUUCAACGAUUCUUCAAAGGGCUUGUUAACAAUAUUUAUCCUUAAAAUAGGCCUAAAACCAUCAACAUCAACAUUCACCAUGUACAAUGACACACGUUUAUCAUUAUUUAUUAUCGUAGGAUGCACCUUUUUCCUAGAAUACAUUGGCUAACUAAUCACCACGUCACCCAAAGCACAAUAUAGAUCUCCGCUCUCCAUUAUGCUUGCAACCAACUCGUCGUAUGAACCAUUGCGGCAAACCACAAUGGGUAAUGUCAACUUAGUAAAAGAUUGAUAUUUCCAAAAUUUGGGAGUUUCCUCCUAUUCUCCCAUGAAAUCACCAGAAAUCAGAAUAAAUUCUGCAAUAGACAUUCUAGAAUUAAGCUUUGGUUGAUGGUAGAUUAUGCCGAGGGUCUAUGUCAGGAUGUAUGCACGGUCGAUGACUGAAGAUGACUAGUCGAUGACUGGGCAGAUAUCCGUACAAAAACCUUCAAAUUACAAAAUUGCUUCUAAUCAACGAUCGUUGGGUUUAUGGAAUAGAGGAAUGAACUUGGAGUCGCCUCAGCUACUGUAACGUACUUUUUAAAGAGGUUUUGAGUAAUGCAAGUGAUUUAAAGCUUUUUAACAAUGGUGAAAAUUGUGUUUGAGAAGAUAGCAAACAAAUGAGGUAACAAUAGAUGCAAUGGACAAACUUAUGAUAUUUGUGGAAUGAUUUAGAGCUGAUCACCGAAAAAUAACGCCGGAAUCGAGCCUGAAUCGGAGCUUUUUGGAUGAAAAUAAAAGCUUCUAUUUUAAGCUUUUGGAUUUUUUUUAAAAUUAUUUUUGGAUACCCAAUAUAUUUAUAUAUAAUGGUGGAUGAUAAAGUGGGUUGAAGUGUAUUAUUAAAAACUUGUGGGUGAAUUUGUUAUGCUGGAAAGAUUGGAUUAAAGUUUAUUAUUAGAAACUUGUGGGUGAAUUUGUUGAGUUGAAAAAGUUAUUGAUGAGGUGGAUUAAUGUGGGUAUAUGGCAAACUUUUUAAGACUUUUGUAUAAAUGGCAAAAUAAGUCUUAAAACAUCCUUUUUGGCAGAAAGCCCCACCUACAUGGUAUACCAGGUCCAGGUGCAUGACUUUCUCCUUUCCUGAUAUGGUGCACCUAAACAGCGUGAUUUGCUUUAGCUUGGAGAUGCUCCUUCUCCUGCUCCAACUAUAGUCCCUUCUGAAACUGUGGACUAGAAUAAUUCAAGCAAAAUCUUGAAAUCCCAUGUUUUUUCUUAAAAAAAAAACUAUGCAACUAAAAAGAAUCACCUCAAAAAUCGACUAUUGGGUGUUUUGUGUUGCUUAGGCAUAAAUACAAUUUAAUUCUCUAUAUAAGUAACGGUUUUUACAUAUUUAGAAUUCUUAAUUCCUUGCUAUAUAUAUAUAUACUAGUGUAACCGCAUCACGUGUAAUCUUUGAUUAUCUAAAAUUAGAAAUUUUAUCCAUUGUGAUUUUUAAUGAAUUGCAAAUAGUUCAAAUCACUUAUCAAAUAUUCUUCACGCUUUAAUAGAAUAAUGUAAUCAUAACAUAUAUUUUAUUGUUAGUACAUAUUAUAUAUUUUACCAACAGAAAUUUUAAGUGGUUAAUGGAUCAUCACUUCUACGUAUGUCAUGUGGUAUCUCUUUUCCUUGAUGCUAGAGUCUAAGAGGGGUGCAUCAAUUUGAACCAUAUUUGUAGUACAAUUUUUUUUCUAUAUUUAAAGUCUUUUAUUAUUUUUAAAGUUAAAUCUUUAGAAAAUCUUUGAUUACUUAAGAGAAAAUGGCCAAAAGAGCUCCCAACCUUUGCCCCAAAUCCCAACUACACACUUAUACUUUGCGGAGGUCCUAUGACCCCGCUGAACAUUUUAAAAAUGGAAUUAUUACACCUCUAAAGGCUUAUGUGGCAAAGAAAAUGUAUCUCACUCUCUCUGAGAGAGUGAGUAGUCCUAAAAUCUUAAAAAAAAUAUUUUUUACAUUUCUUUUUAAUAUAAAAGUACAUAUAUAUAUUAUUUUUAUUUUAUUUUAUUUUUCUUUAUUCUUCAUCACCAUCCCAAAAUACUCUCAUAAAAAGCUUCAACAACUCUUCAAUGGCUACCAUGGCCAAUCUCUUUAUCUUCCUCAUCUGUAUUUAUUUUCCAAACAAGCAACAUUUGCUCUCCGUCUUUCCAUCUUUACCAUUUUUCUCAGUGACAAAACAUCAAACACUUUGUCUUCAUCAUUACACUUUUCUUCAAACUCUUCCUUCUCAUCAUCCAAUUUCAAUAAACCACCAUUUUUUUCCUCUUCUAAGUUCGAAUUCAUCAAUAACCCAAUGUUACAAGACUUCAUCUUUUCACUACAUUUUCCAUCAAAAUCAUUUUUGAAACAACACUCAUUUCUUAAUUCACUUGAUUUCCCACAAAAAUCACAAAAAAAUGGUUCCAAUCCUUACAAUACCAACUAAAUUGUAAAACUCUCAAUCCCAAAUCAAACAACAACAACUCUAAAACUUUAUACAAUUGUCCAAGCUACCCAAAUGUCAAAAACCCAAAUCCCAAAUCAGCAUUCAAACUCAAAUACUUUAGGGAUUCAACACAAUUCAUGAAAACAAAAUCCAAAAAUCUCUUAUUGAAUUCAAAAACUGAACACAUAAUGAACAAGAAAUAUAAAAGACAAAUAAUCUGAUGUGAGUAUCAAUGUUUUAUAUGGCACUGUUCCAAAAUAUAGAAAUUUAAGCACAAAAAACUAACAAUGAAUAAUACUUCUUUUUUAGUUUCUAAAAAACAGAAAUUGUUGAUUUUUUGUAGUAUCCAUUGGAGCUCCAUCGAUCGGAGCUCUGAGAGACAGCCGUAGAUUGAGGGGCCAAAAGUUAGAGAGAAGAUAGAAGAUAUAUUAGGUUAUUAAAGAUGUAGAGAAAGAGUAAUAAUUAGAGAGAAGAUAGAAGGUAUAUUAGGUUAUUAAAGGCCAAAAGUUAGAGAGAAGAUAGAACGGGCCAAAAAUAAUAAUUAAUUUUUUUAAUAUAAAAAUAUAAUAUUACGUGAAAAUUACGUGGCAUAACAUGGCAGGUGCGUGUUGCUCACUUUCCAUUACACAUCUGGGUGUGAAUUUUUGGGGGGGGGGGGGUAAAAUAUUAUAGUAUAAGUGUGUAGUUGAGAUUUGGGGAAAAUGUCGGGGGUUCUAUUGGCCAUUUUCUCAUUACUUAAUUAAAACUUUUAAAAAUUUGGUACUUAUUAUAUUUUUCUUAUUCUAAUGCUUUGAUAUUUAUUUCUAGAUCUUCUUAAAUCAAAUUUAGUUGAUUUAGAAUUAUUAAACUAAUGAAAAAGAUAUUAGUUGUACCGCAUCAUUCUAACGUUUUCAUAUUUUUUUUUUUAGAUUUUUCAAUUCUUAUUAUUAGAAUUCUUAAACUAAUGAAAAAGGUAUUAGUCAUUAAUCUUUAUGACUUCUAAUAACGAAAGGUUUUACUAUAAAUAUUUAAUUAAUUUUCAACUCAAAAAUAUAGGAAUAUAGUAAAAAGAUGAUUUUGUCCAAAACAGAGACUUUUAAUAAAGGACAAAAAGUUCAAACAAUAUUUCUAAGACUCUUCACACUUUUAAUUUAGUAUAUAAAAUAGAUAUAUAGAUAUAGAUACGCAACUUGAGUAAUUCAUGAAAAAUAAAUUUCCAUUGAUAGCAAACAUUAAAAUUAUAUUAAUAUAUGCACAUGAAAAUACAAUCUAAACAAUGUUAUCUAAUGAUUUUAUUCUCUAACUUCUGAUUCAACUAUGGAGCCAAUUCGAUUCUAGCUUUAUUACAUCUGCAAAACCUAUUAAAGCAUGCAUUUUUAAGAGCAGAAAAAUAUUCGUAACUGACAAUCACUAAAUCCUAAAUAUGAACAUUAAAAAUACAAAAAUAAUAUAAAAGAAAAAAUAUAUAUAUUUACUUUAUACAAUAACUAUUCCAAAAAAAAAGGAGCUCAAUUUAAACAUAUAAAAUCAUACAAUGGGAUAAUAUUCACAAAACAUAGACUUUUAACCUGCAAUGAAAAACGAACCUACAAGGAUCUGACAAAGGUGAAAGUAGAAGGCCAAACAUCAGCUACUGCAUUGAGCUCCUAGUUUCUCGGAGCUUUGAGCUGUAGGUGACAAAAGAGUUUUAAAAUGAGGUGUAGAUGACGCGAGUCUUAAUAAUUGAGUGAAGUUGACAAUUAGUUUAUUAUGGAUUAAGAAAGUUGGGUAGGUUUGAAAAUAACCCACAAGUUUUUUAAUUUACACUUUAAUAAAAAAUGUUAGUUAAUAUAACAUGAAACGGAGGGAAAAAGGCGUGUUUCUCUCUCUUCUCAUCUAUUGUUGUUUUCUCACUCUUCACGAUUAUUGUUGUUGCUACUUUAUUCAUCAUCUUCUGCUUUAUUAUCAUCAUCUUCUACUUCAUUAUUAUCUUUAUCUCCUUUUUGUCGACCAUUGUUGUUGUUGUUGUUGUUGUUACCACUACUGCUGCUAUCUGGCCAAUUUCUUAGGUCAAAUUUUAUUUUCUACAUCACUUUCCACUUUGGCAUUACUUCAUAGGUGACUUUGGUAAGUAAAAUUAUGAUUUCUAUUCGAAUUUGUCAUCUGGGUACAUAGUUAUUGUUGUUUUUUCCAACAAUGAAUAAAACCCAAUCAUUAAUCCAACAUAAGUGCCCACAAUUUAAACAGAUCACUCAUCUGGCGAAUCAGAUGAGUAAUCUGUUGCAAUGAAAGACUCAUAUAUUGGAUUUAUGUUUAUGCUUCUAUAGUACCCGUAACAUGAAUCAAACAGAUGGGUAAUCUGUUACAACAGAAGAUUUAUCUAUUGUAACAAACUAGUUAGCUGUUGCAACAGACUUAUUAUCUAUUGCAUCAGACUUAUUAUCUGUUGCAUCAGACUGAUUAUCUGUUUUAUCAGACUGCUUAUCUGUUGCAACAGAUGAGUAAUCUGUUUGAAACAACACAAAUCAGCCUCUGCCACAAACCCAUCAGAUAACCAAUAUGUUUCAACUCUUGCUAUUGCUACUGCUACUGAAUUAAAAAUUAUUCCUAACGUCCAUUUGUUGAGAAGAUAAUAGACUGAAUGAAAAUUAAAUAUGAAUUAAAACGUCAAAGCCGAUCAAAUAUAAUUUUUGUAUUAAACAAAAACAAAUAAAAAUACAUAGCCUAAAAUAAAAAUAAUCUAAUUAUUAUUAUUAUUGCCAGCCGGCCAAUCUUCAACCGGCAGUAGCAAGGCCCUUAUCAGCCUGUGGAUCUCACAGAGCAUCCUUGAUCUAUCUGCUCUCAAUUUCCAUUGCAGGUCACGAGCCUGCAUCCGAAGUUCAUUCACGGCGUCUUGUAGAAAAGUAACGUCCCACACUGGAUCAGACAUAUCUAGAACAUAUAUGAAUUGACAAAAAGUUAAAAACAAAAGUAAUGUAAUUCAACGUAUACUACAAAUUGGCAAGAAAAAAACUUACCUGAGUCAGGAAAGAGAAAAUGGUAGAAGGUGUAAUAGAAAGACAAGAUGUAAUAAAUAAAUAGAGUGUAGUUGAAUGAACGAUUGAGUAAGGAGGGACCUAUUUAUAAAGGAUUGAAUUUGAAUGUGUUAGGCAAAAAGGCGAGACUAUUCACCUCCAUUUAUUAAUUAUAUUUUUUAUUACUGUGAAAAGUUAUGAAUUAAUUAAAUUAAGAAAUAUUGUAAUAAGUCCUGACUUUUCAUCUUAUUAUUAUUAAUUAGUUCUUUUCAAGAAUCAUUUUUAUUGAGUUGUGACAACAGAUUCUAUAUAUGUUGCAUUAGAUAACUCAUCUGUGACAACAUAUAUAUCAUCUGUUGUAACAAAUAGAAAACCUGUUGCAUUAGAUAAUCUUUUGCAACAUAUAAUCUAUCUUUUAAAAAAAAAAUUAUGAUCAUAUCAUUAAUCCAAAUUUGCUGACUUUUUUAUUAUAUAAAUUAAAAAAAUAGAUUUAAAAAUAAAAAUAUUUUCUGUGAAAAGAAAUGGCACCUAUUUAAUAUUAACAUCAAUUAUUCAAAUUACCAUUAUUUUACGAUUAAAAAUUAUGUUUAUCAUUUAUUUUCUUAUUAUUUUCUGUGAAAAGAAAUGACUUAAUUAAAUCAAGCUGGUGAGUUUUUUAUUAUUGUGACAAGUCAUGACUUUUCAGCUUAUUAUUAUAAAAUAACUUUUUUCUCAAUUUAAAAAUCGAAGACACCUUUUCAAUAACCAUUUCUUUAAUAAAAUAAUAACCAUUUUUAUUGAGUUAUGGAAACAAAUUGUAUUUUAGUUGCAUCAGAUAAACCAUCUGUUGCAACAGAUAUACCAUCUGUUUUAAUAGCUUUUUUGAUUUCUUCUAACAAUUGAUACUUCAGUCGCAGCAAAUGGGAAAUAUGAUGCAUCAACAACAUUGUUGAAUGUGUUUUACAUAAAAAGUUACGAUAGUUCACCUUUUUUUUAACAAUCCAUAUAAGUUAAUUAAUCCAAUAUUGUGACUUUUUUAUUAUAUAAUAAAUAAAAAAUUUUAAAAAACAAAUUUAAAAACAAAAAUAGUGAAAAGUGUUAUUAAAAUUAAAUAAUCGUUCUUUUACGGUUAUAAAUUGUGUUUAUCAUUUAUUUCCUUAUUAUUUAUUUACAAAUCAUUUUUUAUAUUAAAUAAUUAAAAAGUCAUGACUUUUUUCCCUCUCAAUAACAACAAGAACUCUUUUUUAUUAAUAACCGUCUGUUGCAACAUAUGAUCCAUCUGUCGCAUCAGAUUAACCUCUAUUUCCAUAAAUGCUCAAUCCCUACCAUCAAGCAUCGAUAUGUUGAGAAUAAGGAAUAAACAGAAUGAUAAUUAAAUAUUAAAUAAGAAUUAAAAAUUCAAAGUCGACCACCAAACAUAGAUUUUUGAAUCCCUUAGGUAGAUCCGAUAUAAAACAGGCAAACACAUAUGCUAAUAUAAAAAUAUAACCUAAUCAUUAUUACUAAUAUUAUUAUUAUCAUUAUUAUUAUUAGUAUCACUAUUAUUGUCAACUGAACAAUUUUCAUCUGGCAGUUGCAAGGCCCUCCUCAGCCUUGCUCUGAAGUCGGCCAAAUCCCUCAGGAGUUCAUCAAACUGCCUUUAAAGUUUCCGCAAGGACUCGAUAUGAAUCUUCUUGUAUGAAUCUGGAUCAACCAUAUUUGUAAGUGUAGUAGAAUGAACGAGUAAGGAGGGACCUAUUUAUAAAUAAUUAAAUUUGAAAUGCCUCAACAACUUUUAUGGACUUAAUGAAUCGCGUGUUCAAGCAGUACUUGGACAUGUUCGUUAUAGUCUUCAUCGAUGACAUUCUUGUUUAUUCCCGUAGCGAGAAUAAUCAUGCAUAUCAUCUCAAAAUCAUACUUCAGACUCUCAAAACUCAUCAGCUGUUCAUCAAAUUAAGUGCAAAUUUUGGCUAAGGUCAGCAGCAUUCCUUGGUCAUAUUAUUUACAGUGAUGGCAUUAGAGUAGAUCCUCAAAAGACCAAGGUGGUGAGGAACUGGAAUAGACCCAUCUCUCCCUCAGAUAUUCAGAGUUUCUUGGGUUUAACUAGCUAUUACCAUCGGUUUCUUGAAGGGUUUUCGUCUAUUGCAUCCCCCAUAUCCAGAUUGACUCAGAAGAAAGUCUAGUUUCAGUGGUCAGAUUCUUGCGAGAAGAGUUUUCAGAAGUUGAAGACUCGACUCACCUCAGCCCCAGUUUUGACUCUACCAGAUGGUUUAGAUAGGUUUGUUUUAUACUGUGAUGCAUCCAGAGUAGGUUUGGGUUGUGUCCUCAUGCAGAGAGGUAAGGUCAGAGCCUAUACCUCCAGACAACUUAAGUCCCAUGAGAAGAAUUACCCGACUUAUGAUCUUAAGUUUGCAACUGUAGUAUUUGCCGUAAAGAUUUGGAGGCAUUACUUGUAUGGGGUGCAUGUUGAUGUGUUCACAGAUCACAAAAGCCUUUAGUAUGUGUUCUCUCAGAAAGAUUUAAAUUUGUGUCAUAGGAGGUGGUUAGAGUUAUUAAAAAAUUAUGAUAUGCGUAUUCUGUAUCACCCAAGCAAGGCUAAUGUAGUGGAUGAUGCUCUCAGUAGAUUGUGAAUGGGUAGUGUUGCUCAUGUUGAGAAUGAUAAGACGAAGUUAGUUCAGGAAGUUCAUCAGCUUGACCGACUAGGUGUUCGCUUAGUCGAUUCAGCAGGGGGUAGUGUAUGGGUGUAGAAUAGUUUAGAAUCAUCUCUAAUUUCUGAAGUGAAGGAAAAACAGGAUAGAGAUCCCAGUCUUGUUAAGUUGAAAGAGUCAGUCAGAGAUAAGAAAAUAGAGGUUUUCUCCCCCUGUGUUGCGUUUCCAGGAUCAUUUAUGUGUACCAGGUGUAGAUGAAUUGAGGCAACGAAUUCUUGAAGAAGCGCAUGGUACGCGAUACUCUAUUCAUCCAGGGGACACUAAUAUGUACCGUAAUUUAUGGGAGAUCUAUUGGUGGAGUGGGAUGAAGAGGGAUAUUGAAGAGUUUAUAGCUAAGUGUUUUACGAGUCAGCAGGUUAAGAUUAAGCACCAAAAUCCUAGUGGGUCCAUACAGGAAUUUAGUAUUCCCAUAUAGAAAUGGGAAGAAGUGAACAUAGAAUUUAUAACGGGUUUGCCUCAUACUCGUCAUCAACAUAAUUCUAUUUGGGUUAUCAUACACAAGAUAACCAAAUCAGCUUAUUUCUUGCCAGUACAUACUUUCUAUUCAGCCGAGGACUACGCCAAACUCUAUAUCAGAGAGUUGGUCAAGUUACACGGAGUCCCUGUAGCUAUCAUCUCAGAUAAAGGUAUCCAGUUUACCUCUCAUUUCUGGAAAGCAUUCCAAAAGGGUCUUGGUACCCGAGUUCACCUCAGUACAGCCUUUCACCCUCAGAUAGAUGGUCAAGUAGAAAAGACCAUUCAGACUCUAGAGGAUAUGCUAAGAGCAUGCGUCAUCAAUUUUAAGGGUAGUUGGGAUGACCACUUGCCUUUGAUCGUAUUCGCAUACAAUAACAACUAUCAUUUUAGUAUUCAGAUAGCCCCGUUUGAGGCUCUAUAUAGUAGGAGAUGUAGAUCUCUAAUUAGUUGGUUCGAGGUAGGUAAGGCCGCAGUAGUAGGGCCUAACUUUGUGUUUGAUGCCUUAGAGAAGGUUCAGCUGACCAGAGAAAGGCUUAGGACUGCCCAGAGCCGCCAGAAAUCAUAUGCAGAUGUGAGGAAAAAGGAUCUCGAGUUUGAGAUCGGUGAUUUUGUGUUCUUAAAAAUCUCUUCCAUGAAGGUAGUAAAGAGGUUCGGCAAGAAGGGAAAGCUCAGUCCCCGAUAUGUCGGUCCUUAUAGAAUUCUCAGUCGUUUUGGAAAGGUAGCUUAUGAGCUCGAUUUGCCUUUAGAUCUAGCUUCAGUACACCCAGUAUUCCACGUAUCCUUGCUAAAGAAAUGCAUUGAUGACCCAGCAGUCAUAGUUCCCUUAGAGGGCAUAGAUAUUCAGAAUGAUCUCUCUUUCGAAGAGAUUCCAGUCCAGAUCCUCUAUCAUCAGAUUCACAGACUGAGGAACAAAAAAGUUCCCUUGGUCAAAGUUCUUUGGCGGAAUCAGUCCAUUGAGGGAGCUACUUGGGAAGCAAAAGCAGAUAUGCAGACCAAGUAUCCUCAUCUCUUCUCUGCAACCUCAGAUUCAGCUUAAGGUAACAGUCUUCCUUAGCUUUACUCAAUUCCAUAUACAGUUAUAGUUAUAAUCUUGGUAUCAAUUACCGUUGCAUAUUCAGUUAUGCAUUCAUGAAUUAGUUCAGUCAUGUACUCAUGCAUCAGAUAUACAUGUUCAGUAUGAAAAUUCAGCUUAUCAGUAGCUUCAGUCAUGUACUCAUGCAUCAGAUAUGCAUGUUCAGUAUGAAAAUCUAGCUUAUCAGUAGCUUCAGUCAUGUAUUCCAUACAUCAGAUAUGCAUAUUCAGUAUGAGAACUCAACUUAUCUGUAGUUCAAUCAAGUAGUCAUGUUUCAUUGUGUAUGUUCAAUGUGUAAACUCAGUCUAUAAAUGUUUCUCAGCUUAAUCAGUCUCAUUCAAGGACGAAUGUUCCCAAGAAGGAGAUAUUGUAAUACCCCGUAUUUCCCCAGCUUAAAUUAACUCACAGACUAUGAGUUAUCCAAUAUAAAAUUUUUGAAAUACUCAAUAUUUAUCAGUUUAGAUCCAGCCAAUAAGUAUGAAAUUUAGUUAGCUUUCCAACGAUAUAAAAUUCACCCAAAUCCGAUACCCGGGCGAAGAGUUAUAUCCAUUUUUGUAAAGUAAUGUGCCAAUUGGCACUUCAGCGCAUCGUGAAGCAUGACCAAAUGGCAAUUGUAAAAUCCGGUGAGCCUCCACGAUCAUAGCGCAUCGUGCCAAGCCCUCAAUUUACAAUAAUCCAUUUUUCAGUGUUCCAAUGCGAUCCCACCGCGUCGCGGUGAACUUUCAGGUCGCAUCCAGUGUGGCAACGCGAUACUACCGCGUCGCGCCACUAUGCAUUUUCCCAGUUGUCCUUUUUCCAGAAACACGACGCGAUAGUGUCGCGUUGCGCUAGGUGCCCAAAUCAGGUUUUUCAGUUAUAAAUUUUUAAGUUAUUCUAGGGGUAUUUGGGUCUUUUUUCAUGGCACUAAUUAGUCCUUAACACGUAAUUAAGCCCUAAAAGAGCACUAAUUUUUCAUUAUUUCUCAAGAUCAAAAAGCAUUCUCUCCCAAAUAGCAAACCCUAGCUCCAAGAAAUCAAGGGCUAAAUCAAGAACUUCAAAAAUUAAUAACCCAAGGUAUGUUAGGUGUUCAUCUAUGGGUUCCUUUCACCCAUAGAGUCCACGAAUCCGUUUUUAAAACUACAAGAUUGUUGAUUAUGAAUUACAUGCUUGAAAUUUGAAUUGAACUCAUGUUCAUGUUAUUGUUGGGUCUCAUUCCGUGAUUAAAUUACAAGUUUUCAUGAAAUUAAUCAUUAUAUGUGUUGAAUUACACGAUUUUCAUGAUAAAACCUUCAAUUUACAAGUUGAUUGAUGUAACCAUGAUAAUUAUAUGUGUUGAUUAUUGUAUAACCUAAGCAUGCUCCCCGUGCGUUUGAUAAUACGCCUAUGUGAAUGAAAUAGUGUCAUUAUAAUAUGAUAGCAUGUAUUCCCUAUUCAUGUACAAGUUAAUACAUUACAAGUGUUUGAUGAAAUGCCUCUAUGAAUGAAUCAUGAUCAAGUGAGCAUUGUUAUGUUAUUCAAGAUUAUUUUAUACCUUUCUUUUAUGUUAUCGAGUCUUGGGGGGUAGAGGUAUACAUAGGUUGGGUUGGUUCGAUUUUUCAUUAAAAUAUAACCAAACCAAUAAUGUCGGUUUUCUAAAUCUAUAAACCAAAUCAAACCAAUAUACAAUCGGUUUUUAUAUUUCGGUUUUGAUCGGUUUUUUUGGUUUUUCAGUUUUUUCUUGGUUUUUUUACAAUUAUAAUGUGAUUGAAGAAAAAAUUAAAUGUUUUCACUAAAAAGAUAAAAAAGAAAUAAUGGUCAUAGAGUAGUUCCAAUUAAAAUUAAGUUGGCAAAUUACUAAGACGUCUAAACUACUAUCUCUCAAAGUAAUAUUAUGUGGAUACACAGUGGUUCAAUUUCUAAGUAACUAGACACAGUAGCUUGUCUGAAAGUUUCCUUCACAUAAAAUGUGAGCAUACAGAAGAAUGAGGAAUUGGAGACAACUUAUUAAAAAAUCAACUACAUAAAAUAAUUAACUAUAACAUAAUUCCACAAGAAAAAAGAGAAAGAAGAGAAACAAACCUAAAUCAAAACAUCACGAAUGAGGAGAAUGAGAAAAGUAAGAUGAGUAAAUAAUGAGAACUCUAUGAAAACUUGGAAAGUAAAAUGUAAAGUGAAACAAUUGAAGAGUUAUAGGUUUUUAUAUUAAUAUGGGAUUUUUUAUUAAUUUGUUAUUAAUGGAUAAAUAUUAUAAUUAAAGCCCCAAGAAUAUAUAUCUAUUUUCUGAGUAUAAAAAAAGUAAUAAUAGUAAUUAGAAAGUAGAUUAUAAGUAAUAUUUUUUUUUACGUAUAAAACAUUUAAAUUAUAUAUGUAUUAUGUCGGUUCAGUUUGGGUUCGAUUUAUUUUUAUUUUUCCUAAUACCAAACCAAACCAAGAAUGAUCGGUUUUUUUCCAACACCAAACCAUAAGUCAGUUUUUUUCCUCGAUUUGGUUUGAUUUAUUGGUUCGGUUUGACUUAAGGGUUCGGUUAGUACACCUCUACCUGGGGGUAUUUAAUAACCAAUAAUUUAGUUGUGUACCUAGAGCCAGUGAUAGUUACAGAAUAGUAUCAAUCAUGUUUCAAUUAGUAGAAUCCAGUCAGUUACAGAACUCAUUCAGUUAUAGAACUCAGAAAAACUCAAUAAACACACAGUAUCAGUCCAGUCCAGUUCAGUAUAAUCAGUUAAGUGUCUUUCAGUUGGGAGUAGGAUUCAGCAUCGAGUGAACCCAAGGAUGGGUGCUCACCUGCCAGUAGAGGGUGUGAUCUUUAGAAGCAAUCCUUGCAUUUCAGAACUACGUAUCCAGCAUAGGUUGAGAUAUCAAACCUGCCAGUUGAGGGUUGAUGAGGUGUUUUAACAAGCCAGUUGAGGGUUCCGCCGUUCUUGUUAGAGAACCUACCAAAUGAGGGUAACUCUUCAGUGCUUUUAAUCAUGGCACAGUACUGACACCCUUCCAACUAGGAUCACAGGUUGGACCCCAACUCAGUUAUCUUAUUUGGGGCAUGUCGGUUAGAUGAUUACCUCUCACAGUUAUAGUUUCAGUUUCAGUCUUCAAAAUAGAACUCAAUUCAGUUCUAUAGAAUCAGGACUGUCAGAUACAAUCAAUCAGUAUCAGUGACUCAGUUAUCAGUAACUUCAGAUUUCAGUUACUCUGUGUCAGAACUCAGGACUUAGCUUCAGAAAAUCUCAGUAACAGUAUUUAUUUAUAUGCACAGUAGUGCAUACUCAGUUUUUAUAGCAAUAUCAAUUUUCUAUGUACUCUCAUGUUCAGUUACUCUAUAUCUUUCAGUCAGUUAUUGUUCAUGCAUAUGAACACUUGUAUUCAGCCUUACCUCAUCUAGUAUACCAGUACAUUCCACGUACUGGUGCAUACUCUUUCUUUGCACUAUGGUGUCUCAUAUCAUAGGUUCAGACGCUCAGGUUCCUUAUCGUGUAUAGAUAGAUUCAGAUCCAGCCAACAGUGUCAGAAUUAGUAGUGAGUCCUCAUCUAUCGAGGAUAUUUUAUUAUUUCAGUUUCUCAGUAUAUGCAUUAGUUCAGUAGAUGGAGUUAGUUCGGGGAUUGUCCCAUCAACUCUACAUUCAGACAGUUCAGUUUAGGGGCUUUUCAGACUAGACUUUCAGAUAGUAUUCAGUUUUAUAGAUUACUAUUUUCAGUAGUAUAUUUUAUCAAUACUUCAUAUGUUUUGAACCUUAUGGCAUUUCAUCCUAUUUUCUACAUUUAUUUCAGUAUUAUUAUUUAGUGCUCACAGUAGAUAUCAGUCAUGGGUUAGCUUGUGCUCCUUCAGGGUCGUAAGCAUCGUGUAGCAUUCGGAGUAUAGACUCUGGGCGUUAUAAUGGGCUAGGAAGAAUAAGGUGCAUGCAGAUGAAUGGAUCCACUGUCAUGAGUGAGAGUUAAGUAUUACUAAUAAGGUCAUCGGAACAACACGCACAAAGUACAAUAUUUUUGUGAAUGUAGUUUUUAAUUGAUUAGGCACUGAUCAUUCAAACAAGAUCCUACAUUGUAUAGUUAAGUUUGAUGGGUUCGAAUUGAUAAGGCCGAGGGCCCCAUGAAGAUGGUGUAGAUACCCUAUUACGAAUUACUGAUGGUUGUUGCUCAUGUUUAUGCGUGUCAAGUUUUGAGAAGGGAUCAAUUUGGUGUCAUUACCUGAGGGCAAUUGGAGAGGAGAGAAAAGCAAUAGUGAACCAUACCUUACCUGCAAUGUCAAAAAAGGAUCAAAACAACAACUUCAGUCGAGGAAAGAUAUGGAUUGGUUUAGAUCCAAAAGGAUCUUCAUGAGAAAGAGUAGAGAAAAGAGAGAAAAAAAGUUGUGAUAACCCUAAAGAUGAGAGAUGAAUAAAAUAAAUUUAGGGCUGAAGGAGAGAUGAGAUAAUUCUAGAUGUAGACGUGGGUUUAAAUAUUCAUUAAUAACUCGAGGAGCACGAGGAAGAUGAGUGACAUUGAAAAGACAAGACAAGACUAGUCAAUGAGAUUUUUGAGUUAUUCAAGAAAUAUUUUUUACCGCCUUUAGUAGUACUAUUUUAUUUAUCUUUCUUCUUUCGAACAGAAGCUUGCUUUAAAAUUAAAAGAAAAAAAAUUUCAAACUGAUAUUUCAUCUGUUGCAAUAGAUAUAAAUAUUUGUUUGAAAAAUUCCAACAACUAAGCCAUCUGUAACAACAGAUGUAAAUGUCCAUUUGAUAAUUAAAUCAAAUAUGUCAUCUGUUACAAUAGAUAUCAAUAUCUGUUUGAAAAUUUCCAACAGCUCAGUCAUCUGUAACAACAGAUAUAAAUGUUCAUUUGAUAACUAAAUUAGAUAUGUCAUCUGUUGCAACAGAUAUCAAUAUCUGUUUAAAAAUUUCCAACAGCUCAGUCAGUUAUCACAACAGAUGCAAAUAUCUAUUUGAUAAUUAAAUCAAAUAUGUCAUUUGUUGCAAAAAAUAUGAAUAUCUGUUUGAAAACUUCCAAUAGCCCAGUCGUUUGUUGCAAUAGAUUUUAUUGUAAUUAAUUUAAGUAGAACUAGAAUGAUUUAAAAUUUUUUUCCUGAUAGAAUCUCUUAUAUUUUAACUUUUCAUUUUGUAGAUGACUGAAUAAGCUUUCUGUCGAUAUAAGAUUCAUCCAAAUCGGACACUCGAUGAAGAAGUUAUGGCUCUUUUAAGUGCUAGUCGUAAAACAUUAUCAUUCUGGUGUUUAGCGCGUCGCAGAGAGGGUUUAAUUAGCAAUUGUCAAAUUCUAGUGGGUCCUCAUGAUAGUGGCGCAUCGCGGAGGAUCCCAAAUUCUCAUUCGUCAAUUUCCAGUGAUCCACCGCGAUAGUGGCGCAUCGCGGUGGCCCAUGAAAUUGGGCUCCCAGUUAUAUUUUUAUUCCGGUCUCAUUAAGGGUAUAUUGGGUAUUUUUCCAAACUCAUAUCAGUACAAACACGAGAUUUCAACCCUAAUUGAGCAUACUACUCAUACAUUCACCAAAAAUAUUCAAGAACACUCUUUUGGGUUCCAUAUCGAUAAUCCAAAUAAAUCAAGAUUCAACCGUGGGUUUUCAAAACAAAUUGAAGAUUUAGAAUCCCCAAGUUGUGAGCAUCAAGAAGCAUCCUUUAAAUUUCUAGAUAGAGGUAUGUGGGGUUUAUCCUAAAAACUACAUGAGCUUAAAACCAUUAGAGCAUGAUUUUUUUUAGAUUUUUAUGCAUGAAUUUCAAAGGGGUUUUGGAAUCUAUGUUCUAAAUUACGUAUUUCGAAUGUUUUAAUGUUACUAUUGUUUUGAAUUUGUGGUCCUAUCCCCUAAAUUGAUUUACAUGUAUACGUAUAUGUAUGGAAUUUGAGAUUUAAGAUCAUUGAGAGCAUAAAUUAUGAACUCACUCUUGUGUAUUGAAUUAAAGAUUAUGGUUUCAUUAUUUGAAAGAUGUUUUCGCAAUAUUAUAGCAUUUGAGCAUGAUUUGAAAUUGUUGAGAGGGUGUUUCUUAAUAUAAAUGUGUUCUUGUAUUUAAGAGAAAGAAUUGCAUGUGAAUUAAGAACUUUUACAUGACCACCUUGUACUGUACUACUGAAAUGCUUGACAAAGAUGAGUUCCUUGCAUGUGUUUACAUGAGGGGUGAGAAAGAGUUUCUUUGAAUUGAAUUAUUGAAAUGGUGGUCCCAAAACUUGUGUCUUGAAAACAGAGAUUUAUAUAGCCUAAUAAUGGCUUAGAGAUGUGAAUUUUAAGCCAAUGGUAUGACGAUACCGUAUGUAUUUAUGCCAUAACAGAGUAUGUUUUCAGAGUAUAUUUUCAUAGCAUGUUUUCAGAGUAUGUUUUCAGAGACUGCAUGUUUUGAUAGAGUUUUAAUGCAUGUUUUGAUAAAGUUUUAAAAAGGGGCUUAAAGAGGGUUAGGUGGUUACCCGAAGAAGGCGCGAGUUCAAGCAACUCUUAGCCUGAAACCGUAUUUGCCGAUAUGGGUAUAUUAUUAUUGUAGGCUGGCAACGAUCGUGUAGCAUAGUAGAUUUAGAGACUCCAACCUUUGCGGCAUACUUGGGUUGGGGGCUUCACUGCCGAGUUAAUGGCAAUUUACAUAUAGCCCAUGAAUUUUUUCAGAGUUGUAGGGUAUACCACCUAGCGCAGAAGUAACACAAAUUUCUCAGAAUUGAGAUGAUUUUAACAGAGUCUUUAAAAUGCCCAUAUGAAUUCUUACUAUGUGAUAUACUUAUGAACGGUUUUUAAAUUGCUCUCAUCUAUGCUGAUUUAUAAAUGAUUAUUUUGGAUAUGCUUUGCAUACUAGUACAUUUGUAUUAACCCCUCCUCCCCCUAUCUCUCAGGUUCUGAGACUCAGUCUAGGGGUCUAGAUAAGCAAUAGAUAAUUCAGACAGCUGAUCAUAUUGUGCAGUGGUGAGCCUUCUCUAUUCCAGAAGGCCUGUCUUUUCAGAUUAUGUCACUUAAUUCAGUUUUUUCUACUGGGGGCCUUGCCCCAAUUUUAGACAGUUGUCAUAUUUUCAUGUAGUAGAGAUUUUGCAGACUGAGUCAGAUGUUAUUUAGAUAUAGUUGAUUUACAAUUUCUACUUAUGUUGAAUUCGGAGUUGACUAUAUUUUCAUUGCAUAUUAUGUUUUUGCAUCUUUUUUUAUUAUAUGAAUGUUGUUCAUGAUUGCCAGAUAGAGAAGGAAACUCCAAGCCUUCAUGGUUCGGGAUGUACAUCACGGCCAGGCCCUAGUUCAGGUCAUAACAAACUUGGUAUCAGAGGAUGGUUCAUGGUCCCAGGGUAUCUACGAAAUCACAUCGGGUAGAGUCUUGUUUAUGGGUGUGUAGCACGCCACACUUAUAAGCAGUAGGCUACUAGGCAUUUAAGAAAGUUCCUCUUCUUUGUGAUUUAUUUCGUGCUUCAGAGUCUAAUCUGUCCCCUAAUCAAUGACCUCUUGAUUUUUAAAAAACCAGAAAUGCCUCCCCGUCGCACCAAUAUUAAUGCUCAGGAUGAUGAAGUCCAUCCCACCCAUGGGAUACGGACCCAUAACAGAUCCCAUACCUCAGAACCUGUUCCUACUCCGAAAGUACCUCUUGUACCGACCAUCCUUCCAGAGCUCCCCGGACGGGGGCCAAUUACACUCAGCCUCGUGAAGGAGAGGUUUUUAAUGCUGAAUUCAAACAAUCUAUUCAUAUGCUUGCACAACUGGUAGUCGUACAAACUCAGAGGUUAGAGUAUACUGGUUAUGCGUCUAUUACUUCUGAAGUUACUAGAGUAGGCUAGUUCAUGAGAAUAAACCCGCCCAAGUUCUCUGGCGCUAAGGUAGAAGAGGACCCACAGAAGUUCGUAGAUGAAAUAGAGAAGAUUUUCAAAGUAAUGCAUGUUGAUUAGGUGGAGGGUGUUGAGCUAGCAUUAUACCAGCUAAAGGAUGUAGCGAACCAAUGGUACAAUGAGUGGGAAGAUACAAAGGGUGACAGUGCUGAGCCUACAGUUUGGGAUGAGUUUGUGGAAGCUUUUCUUGACCGAUUCUUUCCUCUGGAGCUGAGGGAAGCUAAAGUAGAGGAAUUCAUGAACCUUAAGCAGGGUAAGAUGAGUGUUUAGGAGUAUACUUUAAAGUUUAACCAGCUGGCCGUUAUGCUCCUGAGAUGAUAAGUAGUAUGAUGGCCCGAAUGAGAAAGUUUGCUUCCAGCCCUUCAGAUGAUCUGGUGCUUGAGUGUCAGGGAGCUAUGCUGAAUAAGGAUAUGGACUUUGCUAGACUGUCAGUCCAUAUACGGCAAGUUGAGGAGAAGAAGAAGAAGAUAGUCGAAUCUAGGGAAAAGGACAGACAGGCAAAGAGAGCUAGAGCAACAGACUAGAGUCAUAGUCAGCAGCAGAGCGGUAAUUGGGGAGGUAAAUGGAAAAAGAAAAAGAAUUAGGGUAAUUCUCAAUCAGCAGCUAAUGCUCUAAUAUCCAGACCCACAGCUGAGCAGUGCACCCAAAAUUUUUAGUCUAGUCAGGGGCCAAGGAUGCAGAGUAUGCAGUCAUAGGGAAGUGUAGCCCAGACCUCUCAAUCCUAUCUGCGCUGUGGGAGAUGCGGGAGGAAUCAUCCAGGGAGAUGUCAGUUUGGCGCUUUGGUGUGUUAUUCAUACGGCCAGCCAGGCCAUAUCCAGAGAGACUUUUCGGCAGCAAAGAGUAAUGUUGGAGGAGCCAAGUUUCAGGCAAAUUCAUUUGCACCACCACCUCAGAAGAGUGCCACUUCAGCUACUGAAAAUGGUCGGAACCGGUUGUAUGCUUUAACCAACCGCCAGGAGGCAGAGGCCUUACCAGAUGUAGUCACCAGUAUGUUGCAAAUCUUUUCUCGUGAUGUGUAUGUAUUACUUGAUCCUGGGUCUACAUUAUUUUAUGUAACCCACCCUAUAUGUGGCUGUUCGUUUUGGGUUUGAGACUGAUGUGAUUGCUGAACCUUUUUUGGUUUCCACCCCGGCGGGAGAUUCUAUUGUGGCUAGAAGGGUGUAUAGAAAUUAGGUUGUGUCUAUUUUCAGUCGUGAUACUGAGGCAGAUCUCAUAGAACUUGAUAUGGUUGAUUUUGAUGCCAUCUUAGGGAUGGACUGGCUCCAUUCUUGCAAUGCCACCUUGAAUUGUAGGACCCAAAGAGUCACCUUUUCUUUUUCAAAUAAGUCGGUGAUAGAAUGGGAAGGACAUUCUCUAGCACCUAGAGGGCAUUUCAUAUCUUAUCUCAGGGCCCAUAAACUUAUUUCUAAAGGUUGCUUGUAUCAUCUUAUUCAGGUUAAAAGAUUUUAGUGCCAAAAGUCUUCCUCUUCAGUCUGUCCCUGUAGUAAAUAAAUUCCCGAAAGUCUUUUUAGAUGAUCUCCUAGGAAUACUCCCUGAUAGGGAGAUAGAUUUUGGUAAUGAUUUAUUGCCAGAUACCCGUCCUAUUUCUAUUCUGCCAUAUAGGAUGGCUCCUGCAGAGCUAAAAGAGUUGAAAAAAUAGCUAGCAAAUCUUCUAGAUAAAGGUUUUAUCCACCCCAGUGUGUCUCCCUGGGGUGCACCUGUAAUUUUCAUGCGAAAGAAAGAUGGUUCCCUUUGUAUGUGCAUAGAUUACUGCCAGUUGAAUAAGGUCACGAUUAAACAUAAAUAUCCCUUUCCUAGGAUUGAUGAUCUUUUUGAUCAACUUCAUGGUUCUAAAUAUUUUUCAAAGAUAGACCUUCAUUUGGGAUAUCACCAGUUAAAAGUUAGAGAGUCAGAUAUUCCCAAAACAUCUUUCCAAACUAAAUACGGCCAUUAUGAAUUCUUAGUCAUGUCCCUCGAUUGACUAACGCCCCUACAGCUUUCAUGGAUCUAAUGAAUAGGGUUUUCCAUCAGGUUCUGAAUCUAUUUGUCAUUGUAUUCAUUGAUCACAUUUUGGCAUAUUCUAAGAGCGAGGAGGACCAUGUCAAUCACCUUCGAAUCAUCCUUUAGACCCUUAAAGAUCAUAAAUUGUAUGUAAAAUUUUCCAUGUGUGAAUUUUGGUUGAAUGCUAUUGCGUUCUUGGGGCAUAUUGUGUCUAGUAAGGGGAUUAAGGUUGAUCCCUAAAAGAUUGAGGCAGUGAGAAAAUGGCCCAGACCCACGACUCCAACCGACAUUCAGAGCUUCUAGGUUUUGGCGAGUUAUUACAGAAGAUUCAUAGCUGCACCACUUACUAAGUUGACUCAAAAAAGGUGAAGUUUUUAUGGUCUGACUCUUGUAAGAAUAGCUUUGAGAAGUUGAAAGACAAGUUGACUACUGCUCCUGUUUUGACUCUUUCGGAAGGUACAGAAGGUUUUGUUGUAUACUGUGAUGCAUCCUGAGUAGGACUUGAGUAUGUCCUUAUGCAGCACGGUAAGGUAGUAGCUUAUGCAUCUAGGAAGUUGAAGGUGCAUGAGCGGAACUACCCUACUCAUGACUUGGAGUUAGCAGCUGUGGUUUUUACACUUAAGAUCUGGCGGCACUUUUUGUAUGGGGUACAUAUUGAUAUAUUUACUGACCACAAGAGUUUAUAGUACGUUUUCUCGCAGAAAGAAUUGAAUCUCAGGCAGAGGCAAUGGUUGGAACUUUUAAAAGACUAUGACAUAAGCCUGCACUAUCAUCCGGGCAAGGCGAAUGUGAUAGCCGGACGCCCUCAGCAGGUUAUGUAUGGCAGUUUUUCUCAUAUGGGGAAAGAAAAGAGGGAGAUGGUGAAGGAUAUUCACCGACUUUCAAAUCUAGGAAUGCAACUUUUAGAUUCCGAGGAUGGAGGAGUGGUUGUUCAUGAGAUAGCUUAAUCUUCCCUUUGUGUAGAAGUCAAAGAAAAGCAGGUUAAAGAUCCCAUCUUGAUGCAGAUCAAGAAAAAUAUGGGCCAAUAAAAGGUAUUGUUUUUUGAAAUUGGUGGUGAUGGUGUUUUAAGACACCAGGGUACAUUGUGUGUGCCAGAUGUAGAUGGUCUGAGGAAGAGAAUCCUUGACGAAGCUCACACGUUGAGGUAUGUUAUUCACCCUGGCUCUACUAAGAUGUAUCAUUAUUUGAAAAUCAUUUAUUGGUGGAAUAAUAUGAAGCGUGAUGUGGCUAACUAUGUUGCCAAGUGUUUGAAUUGUCAACAAGUUAAAGUGGAACAUUUGAGGCCAGGUGGUUCUUCUCAAGAGAUAGCUUUGCCUUUGUGGAAGUGAGAGAUGAUUAAUAUGAACUUCAUUUUGGGACUUCCGAGGUCCUGAAACUGGUAUGAUUUCAUUUGGGUGAUUGUAGAUAGGUUGACCAAGUCAGCUCACUUUCUACCUGUCAGGACAAAUUAUUUGGGAGAGGAUUAUGCCAAGCUGUUCAUUGCAGAAAUAGUUUGUUUGCAUAAGGCACCUGUGUCCAUCAUAUCUGACAGAGGUACACAGUUUUCUUCACAGUUUUGGAGAUUGUUUCAAAAGGGUUUAGGUACCCAAGUAAAUUUGAGCACGGCUUUCCACCCUCAAACAGAUGGGCAAGCUGAGUGCACCAUCCAGACCUUUGAGGAUAUAUUGAGGGCCUAUGUGAUUGAUUUUAAAGAUAGCUGGGUAGAUCACUUUCCAUUGAUAGAGUUCACAUAUAAUAAUAGUUUCCAUUCCAGUAUUUAGAUGGCACCAUUUGAGGCAUUGUAUAAGAGAAGAUGUAGGUCACCAAUAGGGUGGUAUGAGGUAGGGGAGACACAGAUAUUUGGGCCUGAUCUUGUUCAUCAGGCAAUAGAGGAUGUGAAAUUCAUUAGAGAACGACUUAAGAUAGCUCAGAGUCGUCAGAAGUCCUAUACCGAUGUUAGGAGAAAAGAUUCAGAGUUUGAGGCUGGAGAUUGGGUGUUUCUUAAGGUUUCUCCCAUAAAGGGAGCCAUCCAAUUUGGGAAGAAAGGGAAGCUGAGUCCUCGCUAUAUAGGACCAUAUUAGAUUGUGAGAAGGAUAAGUGGAGUUGUGUAUGAGUUAGAAUUGCCAGUUAGUUUGGGUUUGGUUCAUCCGGUAUUUCAUAUAUCUAUGUUGAAGAAGUGUAUUGGAAACCAUUCUUUAGUAUUGCAUGUCGAAGAAAUCAAAGUGACAGACUCAUUAUCCUAUAAAGAAAAUCCUGUAGAGAUUUUGGAUCGCCAAGUUAGAAGAUUGAGGAAAAAAGAGAUAGCCUCAGUUAAAGUAUUGUGGAGAAACCAAAAAAUUGAAAAAGCGACUUAGGAAUCAGAAGUUGACAUGAGAGCUAGAUACCCGAACCUUUUUUAUCCAAUGGAUGAUGAAAUGGAAGGUACAAUCCUUGCCUUAUUCUUUCUAUGCAUUCGUAUGCUUGAAAUUACACUUUUUUGUAUCCCGCGUCAACAUUCGGGGAUGAAUGUUCCCAAGGGGGGAUAUUGUAACGCCCCGAAGUUUUUCUUAACUAAAUUUUGCCUCAAAAAUAUCAAGCCUUGGCUUCUAGAAUGAUUUAUACUUUUUUCCUGGUGGAAACUCUUAGAUUUCAACUUUUUAUUUCGUAGAUGACAGAAUAAGCUUUCUAUCGAUAUAAGAUUUAUUCAAAUCGGACACUCGGUGAAGAAGUUAUGGCUAUUUUAAGUGCUAGUCGUAAAACAUCGUCAUUCUGGUGUUUAGCGCAUCGCGAAGAGGGUUUAAUUAGCAAUUGUCAAAUUCUAGUGGGACCUCGCGAUAGUGGCGCAUCGCGGAGGAUCCCAAAUUUCCAUUCGUCAAUUUCCAGUGAGCCACCGCAAUAGUGGCGCAUCGCGGUGGCCCAUGAAAUUGGGCUCCCAGUUAUAUUUUUAUAUCGGUCUCAUUCAGGGUAUAUUGGGUAUUUUCCCACACCCUUAUCAGUCUAAACAAGAAAUUUCAACCCUAAUUGAGAAUAUUACUCAUAUAUUUACCAAAAAUAUUCAAGAACACUCUCUAGUUUCCAUAUUGAUAAUCUAAAUAAAUCAAGAUUCAACCGUGGGUUUUCAAAACAAAUUGAAUAUUUGGAAUUCCCAAGCCGUGGGUAUCAAGAAGCAUCCUUUAAAUUUCUAGAUAGAGGUACGUGGGGUUUAUCCUAAAAACUACGUGGGCUUAAAACCAUUAGAGCAUGAUUUUUUUAGAUUUUUAGACAUGAAUUUCAAAGGGGUUUUGAAAUCUAUGUUCUAAAUUACGUAUUCUGAAUGUUUUACUGUUACUAUUGUUUUGACCUUGUGGUCCUAUCCCCUAAAUUGAUUUACAUGUAUACGUAUAUGUAUGGAAUUUGAGAUUUAAGAUCAUUGAGAGCAUAAAUUAUGAACCCCCUCUCGUGUAUUGAAUUAAAGAUUAUGGUUUCGUAAUUUGAAAGAUGUUUUCGCAAUAUUAUAGCAUUUGAGCAUAAUUUGAAAUUGUUGAGAGGGUGUUUCUUGAUAUAAAUGUGUUCUUGUAUUUAAGAGAAAGAAUUGCAUGUGAAUUAAGAACUUUUACAUGACCACCUUGUACUGUACUACUGAAAUGCUUGAGAAAGAUAAGUUCCUUGCAUGUGUUUAUAUGAGGAUUGAGAAAAGAGUUUCUUUGAAUUGAAUUAUUGAAAUGGUGAUCCCAAAACUUGUGUCUUGAAAACAGAUAUUUAUAUAGACUAAUAAUGGAUCAGAGAAAUGAAUUGGAAGCCAAUGGUAUGACGAUACCAUAUGUACUUAUGCCAUAAUAAUAAUAGAGUAUGUUUUCAGAGUAUGUUUUCAGAGCAUGUUUUCAGAGUAUGUUUUUAGAGACUGCAUGUUUUGAUAGAGUUUUAAAAAGCGGCUUAAAGAGGGUUAGGUGGUUAUCCGAAGAAGGCGCGAGUUCAAGCAACUCUUAGCCUGAAAUCGUAUUUGCCGAUACGGGUAGAUUAUUAUUGUACGUUGGUGACGGCCGUGUGGCGUAGUAGAUUCAGAGACUCCGACCCUUGUGGCAUACUUGGGUUGGGGGCUUCACUGCCGAGUUAAUGACAGUUUCCAUAUAGCCCAUUAAAUUUUUUAAAGUUGUAGGGUAUACCAUCUAGCGCAGAAAUAACACAGAUUUCUCAAAGUUGAGAUGAUUUUUACAGAGUCUUUAAAAUGCCCAUGUGAAUUCUUACUAUGUGAUAUACUUAUGAACUAUUUUAAAUUGCUCUCAUAUAUGUUGAUUUAUAAAUAAUUAUUUUGGAUAUGCUCUGUGUACCAGUACAUCUAUAUUGACCCCCCUUCCCCCUACCUCUCAGGUUCUAAGACUCAGUCUAGGGGUCUAGAUAAGCAAUAGAUAAUUCAGAUAGCUGAUCAGAUUGUGCAAUGGUGAACCUUCUCUAUUCUAGAAGGCCUAUCUUUUUAGAUUAUGUCACUUAAUUUAGUUUUGGUCUACUGGGGGCUUUGUCCUAGUUUCAGACAGUUGUCAGAUUUUCAUGUAGUAGAGAUUUCGCAGACUAAGUCAGAUGUUAUUUAGAUGUAGUUGAUUUACAGUUUCCAUACUUAUGUUGAAUUCGGAGUUGACCAUGUUUCCAUAGUAGAUUAUGUUUUCGCAUCUUCUUUUAUUAUAUGAAUGUUGUGCAUGAUUACCAGAUAGAGAAGGAUGUUUCGGGCCUUCAUAGUUCGGGAUGUUCGUCACGGACAGGCCCUAGUUUGGGUCGUGACAGUUAAGCUAGCACCUAAAUUGAUUUUGGUAUAACUAGGAAUAAAUGAUUCAUAGGGUCAACUACAACUUAAAUUGAGUCUUUGCAAUUGCAUGGUGUUGGUAUUGCGUUCAUCUCGGCCCGAGUCGUCAAUCGAUCACUCUGAGUUGAAAAGAUUCUCAUUAACUUAAUGUUAAGCUAGUACCUAAAUUUAUUUAAGCAUAACUAGGGAUGAAUGAGUUCAUAGGGUCAACUGCAACUUCAAUUUAGUCUUUGCAAUUGCAUGGUGUUGGUAUUGCAUUUAUCCCGACCCGAGUCCUAGAUUGAUCACUCUGAAUUAAAAAUAUUCUCAUUAACUUAAUGUUAAUCUAGUACCUAUAUUUAUUUUGGUAUAACUAGGGAUGAAUGAGUCCAUAGGGUCAACUACAACUUCAAUUGAGUCUUUGCAAUUACAUGGUGUUUGUAUUGCGUUCAACUUGACCCGAGUUGUUGAUCGAUUACUUUAAGCAGAAAAGAUUAUCAUAAGCUUAAUGUUAAUCUAUUACCUUUAUUGAUUUUUGUAGAACUAGGGAUGAAUGAGUCCAUAGGGUCAACUACAAUUUCAAUUGAGUCUUUGCAAUUGCAUGGUAUUGGUAUUGCGUUCAUCCCGACCCGAGUCGUCGAUCGAUCACUAUGAGUUUAAAAUUUUCUUAAUGUUAAGCUAGUAACUAAAUUGAUUUAGUAGAACUAGGUAUGAAUGAGUUCAUAGGGUUAACUACAACUUCAAUUAAAUCUUUGCAAUUGCAUGGUGUUGGUAUUGCGUUCAUCCCGACCCGAGUUGUCGAUCUAUCACUCUGAGUUGAAAAGAUUCUCAUUAACUUAAUAUUUUAAAAACUAUAUCUUUUAAAAAAAAUUAAAAUUUAAUUAAGAUCAAUUUGAACCAAAUUAACAAUUUCAAAACUUGUCAUUCUUUUCCAAAAUUAUAAAUCAAUCAAUACAAAUCAUCUAUUUUCAUGAAAAAAUUUUCCUUAUUUCAAAUCUUAAGUUCUCACACUUCUCUCUCUCUCUCUCAACAAUACAGACAAUAACUACUCAACAUAUUGCUCAACCCUUCAAAACAAAUUAAUUUUUUUUUCAUUUCCCACCACAUAGUUGUUAUUUUCGACAUCAUUCUCGCUUGUAUCCAUCAUUUUCUUUGUCUUCACAGGUAACAGAGUUUGAGAAGAGUUCUAUAUUUGUUAUUCUUUCUAAAAAUUAGGGCUUUUAAGUUAAUGGUGAAAAAGAAGACUUUUGGUUGUAUUAUCUUCGAGAAUGGGUAAACGAUUUUGAGUUUUGAUGCUAAAAACAUAGAAAGCACCCAAGAAAACACUAAUUUUUUUCACAGUGUUUUGUUGACUAUCGUGGUAUUGUUGGAUGGUGUUUGUGGUGGUGUUGGUUAUUGUUGUUGGUGGUGUCGGUAUUUAUGAUUUUGGUGGUGGUGUCGGUGGUCUUGGUAUUGGUGGUAGUGUUGGCGAUCUUGGUAUUGUUGUUGGUAUUGGUGGCAUUGGUGGUGGUCUUGGUGGCAUUGGUGCUGGUCUUGGUGGUAUUGGUGGUGAUAUUAGUUGUGGUGUUGGUGGCAUUGGUAAUCCAUCUGUUGCAACAGGUGAAAGAUCUGUUGAGAGAUAUUAAAUAGGUCUUCAAACAGAUUCCCCAUCUGUUCCAAUUGAUGGGUUAUUUGUUGGAGUAUUUAUUUUGUAAUGUGGCGAAUAAUUUAUUGAAAUUUGUCUUAUUUUUUAAAAAAAAUUAUGCAGACAUCGAAUAUUUUGUAUUUUUUGUUUUCUAUUAUUUGUAGUUAAAAGAUGUCUCCCAAAAUAAAAUAAACUGAAACUGAAAGUGGAUCAACUUUUGACCAACCAACAAAAAAGAGUAGAGUACAGAUAGAUUCGGAGAAACUUCCUGAACAAUCUCAAUCAGGGGAAAAUGAAGCUGAGGAAAGUGAGAACUCCUUCUCACCAAUGGGGCAUGAAUUAAUAUUGAAAUCCCAACAUGAUCCAGUCAAAACCAUUAGUAUCAACAGAUUUUGAGUUGCGAUGCUGAUAGAUCACCCUAAAGAAGUAACUGGUAAUCUUGUACUUAAAUGUCAGUUAGGGAAAGGUUAUGAUGAAUUUAGGGGUAUUAUAAAGAAUGAAAACAGAGAUGGACUUUUUAAGAGGAGUUGCUUUGCAUACUUUUUUAAGCUGCCUAAGGACCACACUCUUCGUUUCUAAAUGAGCAUGGUAUAUGGUCUUCUCAAGCACAGGAUCAAGUAUGCGGGAAAUGAUAAAGAUUCUAAGGAGGGAAAAAAAAAGAUGGAUGAAAUCUGGAUCAACUACUGUGGCAUGCUGGUUUGUUUUGAAUUGAAAGAGUUUGCCAUAGUGACGGACUUGAGAUGCGAUCGUCCAGAAGAACCUCUCAUCAAGGAAACACCCCACAAAAGGUCCAAAAAACGCAAGGAAAAAAAGGAUGGGUUGUUGGGCAUUGUUGGACAUAGCUACAAAGCAGGGUAUUUGAUAGCAAAUCUCGAGGAUAAAACCAUACCAAAGCAGUACGGGGAGAAAUUAUGGUUAAUUUGGUUUUUCCAUUCUGUUAUAUUGGCAAGAGACGUCAGAAAAGUCAUAGAAGAUAAUUUAUUAGAGCUUGCUGAUGAUUUUGAGAAAUUCAACAAUUAUGCCUGGGGACAUGAUAGCUACUACUUGACUGUCCAAUAUUUACUAACAAAGCAAUCCCCAGGGACGAUCACAUUAUACGGCUUUCCUUGGGCUUUCAUGGUAAAAUUAAUCACAAAUUACACAUCUAUUAAUUUAUAUUGAAUAUAGUUAUUAUGACUUUUUAUUGCUUGCUUCCUGUUUACAUUUUUUAGGCUUGGGCAUUUGAAGCCAUUUGUCCCCUCCAAAAAUAGUUCAAGGAUUACCCGGAUAAGGUUUCUCAUCCAAGGAUCCUUAGGUGGUUGGAUGCAAAGGGAAGAAAAAAAUUAAGAAGGAUGAUCUUUUUAACCCUCCGAAUGAUGCAGUACGUCUUCUUUUAACAAAAAUAAUUUGCCUCAAAGAAAGAUAUUGAAAUAAUUGUGCCAUCUGUUGCGACAGAUGGGUCAUCUGUUGUAACAGAUUACCCAUCAAUAGCAACUGGUGCAAUAGAUGGGUAAUUUGUAAUGACAUACGAUCCAUAUUUCAUAAUAGAUUAACCAUCUGUUGCUAUGGUUCCCUGAACCCGACUCAACAGAUUACCCAUCUACUACAAAUUAUGCAACAUAUGGGUAAUUUGAUGUAAUAUAUUGUCAAUUUAUUGUGACAUAUAGAUCAGCUAUUAUGGCAGAUAGAUCAUCUAUUGCAUAAGUUGGCUGUGUUAAUAUCCAAUCUAACUGACAACAAAUUAUUAUUGUAUGAUAUGAUUCAAAUGCCUUCUAUCUUUUUUUAUAGGUUGUGCAUCCUUGGAUCAUGCCUACUGAGCAAGAGUUGGGGAUGACUUCUUUCAUUACUCUAGGUCUUGUUGAUACAACAGCAGACCCAACAGUGGAGUUAAUAAAGAAGGAAUUGACUGGAGCAACAGUCAUAAAAAGAGCAGUUAGGCAAGGUCAGCUUAAUGUUGAAGCUCUUCAUGACCAACCUACUGCAACAGAUCCAUGUGCUUCUUCUGGGGGUGUUGCUGGUGGUGUUAUUGAUGAUGGUGGGAGCCAUCCUGAUGUUGUUGUUGCUUCUAGUCGUGAUUAUGAGCAUGUUGGUACUCAGGAAAAAAUAAAUACAUUUGGAAACACCCCUUGCACAGGUCCCUCUCACCCUUACAGUGGUCCCUCUCACCCCUCUUCACCCUCAUGUUCUUAUUGUAAAUGUAAAGUGUGCAAGAACAGAGAGGAUAAACUCCUUAAAAAUCUAGAGGUUAUUGCUGAAGCUGUCAAGGAGUUAAAAUCCAAGAGGGGUGUCAUACCAUCCAAGAAGGUGAGGAGCCACACACUCCUAUAGUGGCGGUUAGGAGGAAGAGAAGAAACAUUAGACAAAUAUUCUUCAUUCUGAAAAUAGAAAAAAUUACAAUUCUUUCUGCUCCAAGAGUUAUUGAAGUUCAGGGGCUGCUGAAGAAGGUGGACAUAUACGUGGCACUUGGUGACGAAGAGAAGAAGGAACUGCAAAAAAUCAUUACUGACAAGACGAAGUUUUCAUAAGAAUACACCAUACAUUAGUUUGUCGCCCAAGACUUCACGAGUAUAACAAAUAUACGUGAGUGGUACGUGGACAAUGUAAGUUUACUUUUGCUAACCUAGCCUUCCUAUCUAUUCUAUGAAGAAGAAGCUACGCAACAGAUGUGUAAUCUAUUACAACAUCUGGGUAUUCUGUUGCAGCAUAAUACACAUCUGUUGCAUAAGUUGUGUUAGUUGGAUAAUCUGUAAACUAAUUUAGAGAACCCUCUGCAACAAAAUCUUUCCACUGUAUUUAUUUCUUACAAUUACUAACCUAUUUAAAAAUUGUCUUCUUAAACCACAGUAUGUUGAUGAAAUUCUCUGCCUUAUGAGGGGCGGGCAAUUAGCGUAUCCGGAUGCUUAUGAUGCUGCCGAUAGGAUAAUAGACCUCAACUCCUACAAUAAUUUCAAGAGUAGGUACGAUAGUCACCAUAGGAAAUCUGGUUUCGGAGCUGGGGAAUUGAUCAGUUAGUUUCUGCAUUCAAAUGGGAUGAAGACAUGAUUAACUAUGUUAGAGGAAAGAGGCCAUAUCCACACGGCAAGAGCUGGACUAAGGCAAAAUGAAUCCUUGCAGUCAUGAACGUAGAAGUCAAACAUUUCCUCACUGUUGAGAUACUACUCGACGAGGAAAAAAUUAAGGUUUAUGACUGCAACUUACCUGUCUUCAGGGAGGCCACAUUUUUAACCCUCAUGCAGACACUCUUGAAGUUAUUCCCUAAGUUGUUGAUGCAGAGUAAACUGAUAGAUCAUUUGCUGGUGGAAGUUUUGAAGAAGGAAUCAUGGGAUUUUGAAGGUCGAAAUAAGAACAUCGACCUUCAAAAAAAUAAAACCGGUGUCGCUUACAGGCCAUACUCGCUUGCAUACAUUGAGUGUUUGCUGACAAGAAAUGGAUAGGUUAUUACACUGACAGACUCAAGCUAUAAAGAUCUACUCAAUAUGGACAAGUUGUUCUUCAUUCGGUGCUAAGGAAUUCUGCUUUGGUUGUCGUGGAUCUUUAAUGUCGCUUACGUAUGAUUUCUGAGCUUUCGCAUCUUUGUAUUUCCAUAAAAAAGCAGCAUAUCUUUUGUGGAGUAAUCCAGCAUCAAGUCCAUCAUUUGGUACUUAUAAUUCAUCGCUCAAAUACUCGGCGUAAGAGGCAACAAAAAAACCUCAAUCCCUGUGUUUUAAAAAAAAAAGAUAAUUCAUAUCUUGCAGUUCUUGUAAGCAUUGUGAAAUUUAUGAAAAGAAACUAAAUCAUGAUACUUAUACUAACAUGCUACCAAUGAUUUUUUGAGCAAUUUCUUCAAUAUAUUGUACAUCAAAUGGAUUAUCCAUUUUAUCCCGGUAUAUUAUAAUCAUCGACCAAUCAGUAUGAACUUUUUGGUCCAAAAAUCCACUCAUAUCAAGGAAGUAGGUAAUAUUUUAGCUAGAUUUUGUAUCUCAUACAAUAGCCCAAAAUGUCUCCUUUAUGACAUCGAGUCAUAAACUCGGAUGCGCCUCUCUUUUAGAAGGACGACAUUCAACAUCCAAUGAAAUUCAUCACCACAAUUAAUUGGGAUGUACACUUCAUCAACCAAAUGUCAAGUUAAGCCAGCUGGAAUGCUAAAACCUUUGUUGAUGUUGAUUAAGCAUUCCUCAUUUCGGGAAACUUUCAGCUAUUGUUGACAAUACCUAUCGUAGGCAUUAUUGAUCUAAACUUUGAACAAACAAUUGUCUGUCGUGUAUCUGUAUUGUUCUUGUGUUUGCAGCUUGGCCUUUUUUUGGAGAUAGUAAAAAAUAACAUCGAUGUGCUGCACAUAUUAUCAAAUAUUACAGAUUACGUAACAAAAAAAUUAAUACACGGAUGUAACUAAAUAAAGUAUUAAUUAAUAGUAAUAUGUAUGGAAUUUAAACCUCAUCAUUCCAACAAGUUCGGAGAAGUAACAUCAAAUAGAACCAAUUCUUCAUUUCGGGAUAUGCAAUACAAAGUCGAACAUAUCAAAACCAAGACUCAAUUCGUUCACUUUGUAGUGUUCGUCAUUUAUUUUUUUACAUGAUGAUUUAUAUGUGUUAAUGUCAUGUUUUUACAACAAGGAUUGUAUCAAUCAAUAUCUUCAAAAUUGAUUUAUGUACCUGCCGGCAUGAUGCUUUAACAGUCCAUCGGCAAUCCAUUCUGAAUAGUCGUUGAUCAACUUUGUUAGUUUGUUAGGAGCAUCGUCCAAGAUGUUAAACCCUUCAAACGGGUAAUUCUUCCAUUCUUACGAACUGACAAGCUUCACUUUUUCUUCUUCUUUGGAAUCAGUUGAUGGAUUAUCAACUGUGAUAUUAUGUUCUUCAGCAGUAGCUUUUACUGUGACAUCCACCUGGAAAGCCAGAAUUGUCAAUGCUAAUUACAGAUAUACAACAGAUUGUCUAUCUGUUGCAAUAGAUGAGUCUUAUGUUGCAACAGAUGGAUUAUCUAUUGGGAUAAAUUCAAACAUAAAUUCAAACAUAUAAAAUAGAGCGAUACAAUAAUUUUGAACAGAUAACCCAUUUAUUGCAACAUAAGACUCAUCUGUUGGUACAAAUUAAAAUGGUACAAAAACUUAUUUGAUUUACUAAAAAUGACGGACAUAUAUUGCAACAGAUAAAGCAUCUGAUGCAACAGGUUAGAUAGUAGUUGCAAUAGAUGUAUAUAUCUGUUUGAUAAUUUUCAGCAGAUGUAUCAACUGUUGAAACAGCUAUGUGCCUGUUUGUUUGUUGGAACAGAUGAAAUAUAUUCACCUUCUUUGGCUUAUACCGCUCUCCUGUUUCCCUUGUACAUUGAAAAACGAUGCAAGACAACGAAAAAAGAGUUGCAAUUUUAAUUUUUUUGAUGCUUGAUGAUGCCCUGGAAAUAUCUUUCCUUCUCCUCUUAGCCACCUUGAUCUCUAGUAGAGUGUAUGGAUAUGAAAUCUUCUUUGAUUGAAUAAAACUCCUGUUAGAUGUCAUUUACUUUACAGAAGCGGUUAGUGCAUUAAUAAAAUUAAUCACUCUAUCAUGUUUCGCCUUGCAGUCUUGACAUUUGCAUGCAGAACAUUCGCUAGAAGUGGCAAAAUCUGUAUAACCAGUAUGAUUAUAAUCAUAAUGGUUUGUUGUUUCAAAAACUAUAAGAGGAGCAUCAUUAGCCCCAACAGCAGCACUACUACCACUACCACUACCAUCAUCAUCAACAACAAGCCCACCUUCUAAAAUUAUUUUUCUUGUGAUGGUUAUUACUCCAAACAAUUCUAUUUUUAUUCUAUCAAUGAUCUUAGGGUUCGAUAAAAUUUGCACAGACCGUAAAGUAAGAAAAAAUGGCAUCUUCGACUCUCAAUUGAUCGGAACAAGUCACGGAUGGACAAUCUAAAAUAAAUCAGUACAUAUAUUAGAAUGAUGAUGAAAUCAUUUAAAAUAAUCAUUAAUUAAAAUAAAAACUUGAUUAGAAUUAGACUUACUACUUUCUUCGGGGGAUUGAAAAGAUCAAGAAAUUUUAUAUUUUUAUCAAUUUUGACCGUCAACCAUCUCAGGAUUCUUGGACAGGAAACUUCUUCCUGGUAGUUCACUUGUUGUCUCAAAUAAGGAAUGACUUCAAAUGCCCAAGCCUAUAAUAUAACAACAAUAAAUCAAAAGCAAUAUUGAAUAAAAAAAUCAUAUCAUAAUAAAAGAAAUAUUUACCAUGAAAGCCCAUGGAAAGCCAUAUAAGUUUAUUGUCUUUGGCGUGAACAGAGUCAACAAAUAUUUGAUAGUCAUUUUGAAGCUUUCAUAACCCCAAGGAUAGAUGUUAAAUGCCUCAAGAUUCUCGGAGAAAUUUAUUAAACUAAGGCUUAUGUUGUUGUUAACGUCUCUCGCCCAAAGAAUAUUAGGUACAAACCAAACCAAGCACAAUGAUUGAUUAUGCUUCUUUGAAAGUCGUUUACCUUUCAACACUUUUAUCAAAUUUUUGUUUUUGAAGCUUGGACCAACAAUGGACACCAGGUCAUCAUGAUCACUCGACUUUCCUUUACCUUUUUGGGGUGUGCGGGGUAUUUUUUUGGGUUAGAGUAGGUAUAACUUAAAAAGGAGGAGGAGGAUAAUAUUUUAGUCCAGUAACUAUGGCAAACUCCUUCCAACCAAAACAAACAGGCAUGCCACAGUAAUUUAUCCAUACCUCAUCCAUCUUAUCUUUGUUUUCAUACAUAAAACUAUGCUUGAGAAGAUCAUAUACCAUAUUUAUUUGGAAAUAAGCACUGUUGUCCUCCGGCAAACCAAGAUAUUGCCCAAGGCAGCUUUCUUUGAAAUAACAAUCCAAUUUUUAUUCUUGAAGUAUUUUUUUGAAGGCGUCAAAAGAUUUUUCCAUGGCUGACUUAACCACGAAAUCAUCCGUUAAAUCUGUGGCACCAUCGCACUGCAUUCUCACAGGAUAACGAUCAAUGCUGAAAGUUUUAACCAACUGUUCAGUGGAAGGGCUAUUAUCAUUUGGAUCAUCUCUUUUGAAACAUUCCUCCUUCCCGUGUUGAUUAUCUUCUGCUCCUGAUUGAGAUAACGCUUGUAAAGCAACUCAUAGAGUGGUGGAUGUAGCCUAGUUGCUUCACUUGUUCUUUUACUUGAACUUGAUUCAAUUUUUUUCUUUUGAGGGUCAUAUUAUCUUAAAUUAAUAGGAACAUAAAAUAUAUUAUAAUUGAUAAAUGCAUCGUUAAAAAGGGAUAACAGUAAAUCUAACAUGCGCAAAAAUAAAAUAACAGUUCCAACAAACCACACAUCUGUUGCACCAGGUAUGUUAUCUGUUGUAACACAUAACCGACCUGUUGCAAUGGAUGAGUAAACCGUUGGAAAUAAUAAAAAUAGAUCACUCAUCUGUUGCACCAGGAAAGUUAUCUGUUGCAACAUAUAACCAACCUGUUGCAACAGAUGAGUAAUCCAUUGAAAAUAAUAAAAAUAGAUCACUCAUAUAUUGCACCAGAAAGGUUAUUUAUUGCAACAUAUAACCAACCUAUUGCAGUGAAUGAGUAAUCCAUUGAAAAUAAUUAUAACAGAUAACUCAUCUGUUACACCAGGUAGGAUAUCUAUUACAAGCAUAUAACCAACUUGUUGCAGUGAAUGAGUAAUCCGUUGAAAAUAAUAAAAAUAGAUCACUCAUUUAUUGCACCAGGUAGGAUAUCUAUUGCAGCAUAUAACCAACUUGUUGCAGCGGAUGAGUAAUCUGUUGGAAACAAUAAAAAUAGAUCUCUUAUAUGUUGCACCAAAUAGGUUAUCUGUUGCAAUUUAUAAGCAACCUAUUGCAGCGGAUGAGUAAUCCAUUAGAAACAAUAAAAAUAGGCCAUACAUCUGUUGAAACAGAUCACUCAUCUAUUUCCAAAUAAGUUAUCUGUUGGAUCAGUAUUGUUUACAUUUCUUUCAAAUAGAAGAGUCAUCUGUUGCAACAAAUGAAUGAUCUGUUUUGUUCAUUUAUUGCAUUAGAUGUUUAAUUUAUUGCAUCAGAUAUUUCAUCUGUUGGACCAGAUGGUUAAUCUGUUGCAUCAGAUGGUUAAUCUGUUACAUCAGAUAGUUAAUCUGUUGCAUCAGAUGGUUAAUCUGUUGCAACACCAUUUUUGCCACGAAAAAUAACAAAUCAACCCAGCAACACAAUACACACACACUAAGAACAUCAAUGGUCACCAAAAAUCACCAACAAAUAGAAUCAUCGAUUCGACAACAAGAACUAUAAUAACAACAAAAAAUUAUAUUUCACACCAGAAAGAGUAGAGAAAAAAUGCUAGAAACUAGGGUUUUAUUUUGUCCUCAUUUCAAAUUUAAGUAAGAAAUAUUAAAAUUGUUAAUCAAUACUAGAAGAGAAGUUGGCUCAAGUUCCUCUAUUUCUACAUAACUAAAAAGACAUAAUUUUUUACCUUUGAAAGAAGAAAUAGGACGAUGAAGAACUCAAAGUUGUUUUUGCCGGAGAAGUCUUCACGUCGAUUGACGGUUGAAAGUCGUAAAGGAACUCACCCGAAUAUUUAUCGCCGGGAGGUUGAAGUCGCCGGAGAUUGAAGGGAAAAAUUUUGCAGAACUGUUGGUUGCAAGAGAGUUGAGAGAAGCUGUCGAGAGAGAGAGAAGAGAGACGGUCAAUGAUUUGGAGAGGAGAGAGGUGUGAGUUAAUUUGUAUUUUUGAAAAGAUUAGAAAGUUUUGAAAAUAUUAAUCAAGUCCACAAUUAACUUAAUCAAGUUUCCUAAUUAUGUAUGACCCUUUAAGUUGAUCAAUGUCACUAAUCCUUCAUUCAAGACUUAAAAGUCACUUUUCCUUCAAUUUUCUCUAGUUUCCCUUAGGAAACAACCUUUUCUACCUCUGAAAACACGGAAACAACAUCGAAAGCUUCACCCAACAACGAAGGGUUAAUAUAUGAUGAUUUUGGCCUCAUUUAUUUUCUUUGAAUUUGAAUUGUUUAGACAUUAAUUUAUUAAGUGCAUCAAUUUUUCUACUCAAAAAUCUCUCAAAGAAUUUAAAAGAGUCUAAUGAGUCAAUUCUAUGACAAAUCUGACGCAAUAAAAUUGAAGUAACAAUCAAAAUAAAUAUUUUAACUAAGAACACAGUAGUACAAUAUAAUAGAUAACAAUCAUUCAAACUACUUAGUUUAAAUAAUCUAAAAUAAUCAUCUAAUAUAAUCAUCAACCAGGCGCUCUCCGACGGAGGCAAUUCACCUGGUGCGGAGACUGGUGGAACAGUACAGGGAAAGGAAGAAGGACCUGCACAUGGUAUUUAUAGACUUGGAGAAGGCAUACGAUAAAGUUCAUAGGGAAGUUCUUUGGAGAUGCUUGGAGGUAAGCAGGGUCCCGGUGGUAUAUAUCAGAGUAAUCAAGGACAUGUAUAAUGGAGCUAAGACCCAGGUGAGGACGACGGGGAGCGAUUUAGAACAUUUUCCUGGCUUGACAGGGUUGCAUCAGGGAUCUACUCUUAGUCCGUUUUUGUUUGAUUUGGUGUUGGAUGUGUUGACAUGGCAUAUCCAAGAAGAGGUGCCAUGGUGUAUGCUUUUUACAGAUGAUGUGGUGUUGAUUGAUGAGACUCGGGGGGUGUGGCUUGAAAGUAAUUGGGUGCUUGCAACCCAAAUAUUCAUCAAUUUGUAAAGCUAACGCACCCGCGGUGGGUGGUUUUUAAAAUUAUUUUUGAUAUUAGAUUUGGGGUUUUGUGUUGUCUUUUUUUAGUUAGAAAUGGUUAAUUAUUUUUUAGAUUUUACAUGAUGGAAAAGGAAUCCUAUAUUUGUGAGAAAAGAGUUUUGUUAAUUUAAUAUUAAUAUUAUUAAAAUAAUAGAAGAAAGGCAAAAGAUGAUUUUGUCUAAAGCGGAGACUUUUAAUAUAGGGCAAAAAGUUCAAACGAUAUUUUUAAGGUUCUUCACACUUUUAAUAUAUUAUAGAUAUAGAUUAUAGAUAUAGAUAUAGAUUAUAGAUUAUAGAUUAUAGAUAUAGAUUAUAGAUAGAUUAUAGAUAAUAUAUAUUAUGUAUUUGAGACUCUUAUAUCAACUUCUUCCUAUAUUUUUAGGAGUCCUUAAUUCAAUAAAAUAAUAAUUGAAGAAAAAGGGUGAAAAACGAUUUUGUCUAUUUCGAAGUCUUUUAAUGAAGGACAAAAUGUUCAAAGCACUUUUCUAAGGGUCUUCACAUUUUUAAUAUAUUAUUAUAGAAUAGAUAGAUAUAGAUCAUAGAUAUAAAUAAUACUCAAUAAUUAAAGAUACUUUUUUGCCCUUGUAUGGCAUAUCUAUCUUUGUUUGUCCCACUUAUCACUCUUCGAUAGGUGUAUUUUUUGUUCGAUUUGAAUCGAUUUUGUUUUAAAUCAAAUCAAUUUAAACGGUUGUUAUCGAUUUGGUUCUUGCCGGUUCAGUUCGAUUUUUUAUUUUUUACUAACCAAUGAUAAAUUGAUAAGGAUAAAAUAAUGGGUACAUGAAAGAGUUAUAUAUUUCAAAUGAACAUUAGGAAUGAAAAAUAAUCUAUCUUUCAAUUCUAUUCCGAUGUUUUAGCAUGUUUAAGCUGCAUAACUGUAGAGGUUAGUCCACAUCACAUGUCUAACAUCCACAGAAUUAAGAUACAACUUGAAAUAGAAUGAUUAACCCUUCAAAAAUCAAAGAGGCAAGGCAUUGAAGAGUAGAUGGGUGUCCUCAGGGGCUGUUUGGAUAGACUGAAAAAUGGCUUUUAAAAAGUUCUUUAAAAGUGUUUUUAAAAGUGCUGAACUUAUUUUAAAAAUAAGCAGUUACGUGUUUGGAUAAAAGUGCUGAAACUGAAAAAAAGUUAUUGAUGUGGUUGGUAAACAAGUGCUUUUAAGAACUUUUUGGGCAAAAUGUAUGAAAUACCCUUAAAGUUGUUAACAAUAUAUAGAGUUGAUUAUUAUUAAUUUUUAUUUCUAAAAUGAUUCAAAUUAAAAUUAACAUAUAUAUAGAGAGCGAGAGAGAGAAAAUAUUUUCAUGAAUGACUAUCAAUUUGUGUCCUAAAAACUUUUUUUUUGUUAAAAGAGUUUAUAACAUUGGCUAAUACGAAUACUGUGUCGUAAAAUAUAGAUGGAUCAUUCACUAAUAGUCCAUGAAGUUGUAUAUCUUCAAUGAGUAUUCUCCAUAUAUUUUGGUUGUAGAGUUAUUUUUUUAUUAGCGAAAUUCAUAUAUUGUACAGUAAUAAUUGUUCAAAUUUAAAAGAAUACAUUAAAGAAAGAGAAUAAUAUAUAAAAAUUCAUAUUUUAUAAAUUAGAAGUUUCAUACAAAAGAAGUAUUACUAUAGCUACACAAGGGUAAUUUUGGAACAAAGGAGAAUUUUGUAGGACAAAAAUGCCUUUUAAUUGGUCAAAAUACAAUGACUUAUAAGCCAAAAAAAAUAAGUUGGAAAUUGGAGCUUUUAAUUUUUGGCUUAUAAAAAACAAAUUUUGAUUUUUUUUUUUAAGUAAUUUUGAAACUUGUCAAACACUUAAAAAAGGUAAAAAGUAGUUUAAAAGCUAUUUUCGCCAAAAUAUAAGCCCAUCCAAACAUCCACUUAGUAAAGAAAUUUAAAAAUUAAUAAUGCACAAUACUACAAAUAGACAAUUAGAUUUAGAGUGUUGGGUUAGAGCAUAAUUUUUAAGAAAUGAAACUUUAAAGUAUUAAAGUGCAUGUGAAAGAAGUAGAAUAAAUCAAAGUAUGUUCGGAAAAAUAUAAAAUAUUUAUAAUUAUUAUGAAAAACCAAUAUCAUAUAUUUAAAUAAUUAUAAAAUUUAUGUACACUAGAUUUGAUUAUUUUCUUUGAAUUAUUUUAGUAAAAUAAAAAUCAAACUAAAUUUUAUUGGUUUUUAAAAUUCAAAAUCAAAUCAAAUCAAAUAUUAUUUUUUUAAUUAAUUAGUUUGAUUGAUGGUUUGUUUUGAUUUUAAUCAAAUUGUGAACACCCAUACUCAUCAAUAUAAUAGAAACAUAGAAUUAUAAUAGGCACCACUAUAAUAUAGUAAUUCAUAACAAUAGAUUUUUUUAAAUCAAAUUUAUAUAAAGCAACAAACUAUCCAGCUACUUUUGUGUUACUUUCUUCAUUUAUCUUUAAUUGACCGUAUUACUAAAAAUAAAUAUUCAACAAUACUUGUUCAGUUUAAAAAAUUAAUAAAUAAAUUAUUCAUGUAUUCAUUUUAUCUUUGCUAUUAAAUAUUUUUAUUAUUCAAUACAUUUUUCAAAACUGUUAAUAUAUGAUAUUUAAAGAGCAAUAUAGCAGAAUUAUAUAUUAUUUAUUAUUUUAUAAGAUAUCUAUUAAAUUAAAUUGGACAAAUAAAAAUGAACGAAAAAAUAAUAGUUGUUAUGCAUUAUGUUCAUUCUGAAAGCGUCCAUUUAAGACAUGCUGCAUAUAGGUCUUUUUUCUAUAAUUAAUAUUUCGUGAAGCUGUUGAAACGGAAAUGUCAUCUCUGACAUGUCUUGCUUGGCUAAAGGGCAUGAUAGUUUAAGUUGAAAAGGAGCAACGUCAUUGGCCAAAAAGGUUUGUUGGUUAUCUAUGCUACACUUAUUUGUCCUAAAUUAUCCUUAUGUCACUUUUGUUUUUUUAUUUUUCAUUCGAUAUCUGGUAUCCGCAUUACAGUUUGACUAAUUUGAAUUCGAAUUGGAUAAGGCUUCAUUUGAAAAUAGCGCUUCCUAUCAAAGAUUUUUUCAUGUGAGGGCUCGAACAUAAAACCUCUGACUAAGAAAGGAGCAGCCCUAUCCAUUAUACCAGAUCCUUUGGUGGUCCUUAUGUCACAUUAUAACAUCCAUUUAAUAGUCACAAGACCCACAACUGAUGACAACGUAUCUUCUCCAUUUAUUAUCUUUACUUUACUAACUUUUUCAUCUUUCUUUGCUAAACUUAGAACAUAUCUCUAGUUUAUAACCCCCAAAAAUUAACAAAAAAUAUUCAACUUUUAAUUCUUCAAAUAAGAUCAAUCUAACUCCACCUUAAAUUAUAUAUGACAAAAAAAUAAAUUAUUCCAACAAUAACCACAUAUAAUAUUACAAAGCAAAAAAUAAAACUAACUACAAGUAGUUAUAUUUCAAAGCUAGGUUUAAUAUUAUUUUCAAAGAGAAAAAAAGACUUUGAAAAUCUAUUGUCUUAAAUAUGUUAUAAUUGUUAUUGUAUGGUUAUCAAAUUUUUUAAGUUUGUGAUAUUAUUAAAUAUGUCAUAACAUUUGUGUGGUGAUAAAAACUUGUGAUAAAAAGUAAAAAUGAAAGUGUAAAUUAAAUUGAUAAUUUUUUUAAAAAGACAUUAUUAAAAAUAAAUUGAAACAAAUGUCAUACACUUUAAUAUUUCAGAAAAAAAAAAUUUAAUUUAUGAAAAAAUAUUGAGCUCGUGCACAACACGACUUCUUCUCGCUAGUAUAUAUAUCGUCUGGGUCCAUGAAGUUUUUUUUUUUUAAGUAACGAAAUAUUUUUGAAUUUUGUGAUUAUUAAUUAAAAGCAUAUAUAUUGUAGUAAAAAAAAUUUGAUCUUAUAAUCUUAAAUAUGUCAUAUGUAAUAUUGAAAUUGAAAAAGAUUUCAAUUCAAAAAUAUAUAUUUUUUAAAUGAAUUUAAAAAAUAAUACAAAUAAAUUAAAAAAAAAAGAGUAAUUAAUUAUCUUAUCACAAAAAAGAAAAAAGAAAUCAAUGGAUAAUAAUUAAAAGAAAAAAGAACUAGGUUCACCCACUCUGUAGAAUACGAAUAUGCUCCCAUGAGCUUUUAAGAAUAAUGUUAAUCUAUUUCAUAAUAAAUGUUUUUAAUCCACUCUAGCUCCCUUGAAUACUCUAAUCUUUUCCUCCACGGCAAUAAACUGGGACAAUAAAAUUUAAAACUUUAAUUUAUAUCCAAAAGUAGAUAAUUUUGUAUUCAGUUUUAUAAGGAAAGCAAAAAUUUAUUAUUACUAGAAAAAAAACUGCUAGAAUCAACCUAAAAAGACCUCAAAAUAGGUUCAAAAAUCCUCCAUUUAAAAAAAAAAAAAAAUCCUUUUAAAGAAACAGACCUCGUGAGGUUAUUAAUGAUUUUUAAAACUUGAUUCUAAUACCAAACCUCAUGAGGCUGAAAUUAAAUUUCAAAAAAUAUAACAACGUGGUGACAAUUUCUUAGAUAAUUUAAAAAUAAAACUACAACUGCAACCACUGGGAUUGCUAUUAUUAAUUAUAAAAUAAAGUUCUUUUUAAAAAAAAAAAUAAAAAAAUGCUACCUCAUGAGCUCGACUUUUUCAGAAAAAAAACAAAUUUGGUUUUCAACUCUAUUUUCUUAAAUUUCAAAAAAGUAUUUUCUUCUCUCCUCUACAAAAAGUACAAUCAAGUAUCAUUUCAUCUUUAACUCCAGCUUCUUAAAUUCUAAGUAUAAGUGAAAAAUAUUUGAAAUCUAUGACAAACACUACCUAAAGUUAUUGUGAAGUACUUUCUUCAUUUUAAUUUAUUUUAUUUUUUUUAUAUAAAGUUUUAAAAAGUGAAGAAGAUUUUUGAAUCAUAUGAUCUUAACUUAAAAAUAUAUCAAAGGUAUCAAAAUACCUUUUAAUUUUAUAAUGUCAUAUAUAUCAUGUAAAAAUCUAGGUUUACAAAACAGAAAAAUAAAAUAAAAUUUGAAACAGAUUUAAAAAAAAAAAUUAAAAAAAAAUUAAGAGUAUAUUUGGUAUGAUGGAAAAUAUUUUCUGGAAAAUGUUUUCCUAUUUUUCCUUAUUUGGUUGUAGUAAAAUAUUGAAAAAAUAUUUUCCAAAAUAACUCAUUUUUCUCUAUUUGAGGGAAAAUGACUUCCCUCAUGGGUCAAGGGAAGUUAUUUUUCGGAAAAUGACAAAUUUGACUUCUGUCCCCACCCUCAUCCCUUUUCUCCACCCCAACAAUACUCAUAUUCACGUUACUCAAAAAAUUCACAUUACUCAGAAAUAUUUUUCAUAGUGCUUUGUUUCAAUUUUUCACUGUUUGAAAUAAAAAAUAGAGUAGGAAAAAAGAGAAUUUUCUCCUUUUUCAAUGUUCAUUGAAUUUACUAUUAUUUCCGCAUAGAGGAAGACUUACCUAUGUUAUUUUUGCUAAUUACAUAUUUUAUUUUGUCAUCAAUGUAGCUUGUUUCACAAGGUUGAAUAAGCUUGUUGUUCCGUUUAUUUCUAUUAAUUGUAGUAUCUUGAGAUUGUCCUGACAAAAUAUUGAAAAGUGUCUCCUAUAUUUGUUAAUUAAUAGUUGCUUAAAUUUUAGUGAUUUGUAAUAUUUUAGUAUUUGAUAUUGAUUUGCUAUGCUUAAAUUAGUUCUUACAAAUUGUUGAGUUGCUAGAGGCAGUAAUAUACUAGUUAACAGUUAAUAGUAUUUUUUUAAAAAUAUUUUUUCACUCACCAGCUAAACACUAAAAAAUAUCUUUCUAAAAAAUAUUUUCUACUCAUCAACCAAACACCAUAAAAUAUUUUUCAAAAAAUAUUUUUCACUCACCAAUCAAACAUAAGCAAAUAAAUAGAAACCAACUUAUUUUCCAACAAAAUAUUUUUCAUCAUACUAAACACGCCCUAAAACGAAAGGGGAGUACGUAGACAGUAAACUUACAUGAUGAGGCCAAAAAUAGAAAUAGUACUCGGCCUUUGCAAAGCCAUAAUUGCCCAUACAUAUAUUUUGAUUAAAGUGACAUGGUCCAUAUAAAAAAAUAAAAAAUAAAAAUCUGUCCUAAAAUAAAUGUUAUUUUAAAAAAAAACUAUUAUAUCAAAAUAAGUGUUAUCUUAACAAUUUAAGAUAAAAAUUAGAAUAUUUUUCAACUAUGCCUUUAUAUUUCAUCAUUUUAAUAAUGCUCCAUUUUUUUCAAACAAAAAUAAUUUAAUAUAUUAUAUUAUUAACUUUUUAAUGAAUUAUUUUUUUGGUAAAAUGACACUUUUCUAACUCUCAAAUUUGUCGUAAUUGUUUGCAGCGACAUGGUAGCUUAUUACAUGACCUCUCCUUUUUUUGUUGGUUAAGAUAUACCUACACAACUUUGAUAUUUAAAAGUCAUCCAAUUCUAUAUUAGAGUAUUAUAUUCAAUACUAUUAUUGAAUGUUUGGUAAGCAUAUAAAACGGUCAAUUGAUUUCACGAAAAUAGACCAAAAUAUCCUUAUGAGUAUAUUUAGUAGUACUCCUUUUGAUCAGCUAAAUCAAGAAUAAUGUUCAGCUCAUGUUGACAAGAAUAAGGACAUUUCACAUAAUAUAGUUGUAUCUGUGGAUCAAAAUUUUGUGGGACACUCCAAGAUGAGUCUAGUUUCAUUUAAUGUUCGUGAAGAUUGCUUUACCCUGAAUCCUGUCUAAAACUAUAAAAAAGGAUAACAUAUUCCUUUAAAGAGUCAUCUCGAUUAUUCUAUAAGUUUGGGGUAUUCACAAAGAGAUCAAAGUCCAAAAUAUCUUAUGUUUCAGAAAUAUGUUACUGACAAUCUUUGAAUUAUGGAGAUAAUUAAAGAGAAUAAUCAAGGGACGAACAAAAUCCUACCUAUUUUCUUUAUCAAUAAAAAUUUGUUUCUACAUAUUUUAUUUGUGAUUAAAAAAAAAAUUCUAUCACUAUAAAAUUGUGUUAAUACAUAAAAAUGACCCUAAACUUGACAUCAAAUUAUAACUUUGACCUUAAAUCUUGAUAGUGCACAAAUAGGACCUUUAACUAUUCAAAACCUAAACAAAUAUGACCUCCGAUUUUGCAACCCCAUGCGUGAGUCUCACUCGCGCCUACGUGGAAAGGUAAUUCAAUCACACGAUGUCACGUCGUUAAAAGAGCUGACUUGGAGAGAGGUCAUAUUUGUGCAGUUUUAAAUAGUUAAAGGUCAUAGUUGUGCAUUGUCAAAGUUUUGCUUUUUAUGUUAAAACGACGUCGUUUUUAUUAUUACUAUUAUUAUUUUUAUUAUUAUUAUUAUUAAUAUUAAUAGUAUUGUUAUUAUUGUUGUUAUUAUUAUUAUUAUUAUUUUAUUUAUUUCUAUAGUAGCAGCACCUAACUUUUUUUUUAUUUAAAAAAUNNNNNNNNNNNNNNNNNNNNNNNNNNNNNNNNNNNNNNNNNNNNNNNNNNNNNNNNNNNNNNNNNNNNNNNNNNNNNNNNNNNNNNNNNNNNNNNNNNNNNNNNNNNNNNNNNNNNNNNNNNNNNNNNNNNNNNNNNNNNNNNNNNNNNNNNNNNNNNNNNNNNNNNNNNNNNNNNNNNNNNNNNNNNNNNNNNNNNNNNNNNNNNNNNNNNNNNNNNNNNNNNNNNNNNNNNNNNNNNNNNNNNNNNNNNNNNNNNNNNNNNNNNNNNNNNNNNNNNNNNNNNNNNNNNNNNNNNNNNNNNNNNNNNNNNNNNNNNNNNNNNNNNNNNNNNNNNNNNNNNNNNNNNNNNNNNNNNNNNNNNNNNNNNNNNNNNNNNNNNNNNNNNNNNNNNNNNNNNNNNNNNNNNNNNNNNNNNNNNNNNNNNNNNNNNNNNNNNNNNNNNNNNNNNNNNNNNNNNNNNNNNNNNNNNNNNNNNNNNNNNNNNNNNNNNNNNNNNNNNNNNNNNNNNNNNNNNNNNNNNNNNNNNNNNNNNNNNNNNNNNNNNNNNNNNNNNNNNNNNNNNNNNNNNNNNNNNNNNNNNNNNNNNNNNNNNNNNNNNNNNNNNNNNNNNNNNNNNNNNNNNNNNNNNNNNNNNNNNNNNNNNNNNNNNNNNNNNNNNNNNNNNNNNNNNNNNNNNNNNNNNNNNNNNNNNNNNNAAAUCUUCAAUAUUGCUCUUUUUCCGCAAUGACAAAAGAAAUUAGAUGUCAUUUUCAUCUUUGAGCCGAAAAUAAUGAAAAAAUAAUAAUGAAGAGUCAUUUAAAGGUCAUAUUUGUACAGUUUUGAAUAGUUAAAGGUCAUAUUUGUGCACUGUCAAAGUUUAAGGUCAUAUUUAUGUAUUAUGCCCUUAGAUUUUAAGUUGGAUGCAUCUAGUUUUGCGUGUUGAACACCCGUUUUGCCACGUAGGAUUGGAGGUCAUAUUUAUGCAGUUUUGAAUAGUUAAAUGUCAUAUUUGUGCACUGUUAAAGUUUAAGGUCAAAGUUAUAAUUUGGUGUCAAAUUUAGGAUCAUUUUUAUGUAUUAACUCCCGUAAAAUUUGUUGCAAACCUUAUCCUUUCGAAUUCAACAGCUUUUAUAAUAUAAACACUAGAAGCACAAAAACUAAUAAAGAUUUUUAUAGCAUAAAACUCAGCAAAAGGAAAAAGAGAGCUGCUCACCGUAUCCACCCUUCAAACAUAAGUAUGGAAAAUGACUAUAACUAAUAAUAAAGUUAAAUUAGAAUCUUAAUGAUAAAUUAUCGCUUAAUUUUUUUGAAUCAAACAAGCAAAAAAUGGGCAUUUAUAUUUUAAUAUAGUGUAUUAAAAUUAGAUGAAGGGAAUAAUAAAUGUUGAGAAGUUGGUGGACAAUUUUUAUUCCAAAAUGCAAGAAGUGAUGUCAGCUAUCGUAAUAUUGGGUUUGAAAUUGGUAGUGAGACACACGAAAACGAAUAAUUACAAAUUAUAGUUGGAAUAAAUCAGAUGACAUAUAAAAUUAUACUAAAAAUUUAUAUUAUUAUAUGAUUUGGCCAAUUUAUCAACACAUAAAAUCUAAUAUUAAAACAAUACAAAAAUAUUGAGAGAAAAUUUCUCCCCUAAAUAAAACACUCAUAAAAAUACUGAAAAAAGUUCUGCCGUUGAUAAUUCUCUCUAAUCAAUUUUUUUUCAACCAAUAUCUUUAUUUUAUUAAUGCAAAGCUGAACUUAAAGAAUUAAAAGAUGCAGAAGCAUCUUUGACAACCCAACAAGGAAAACAAGAGGUUCAUACUAAUUUGUCUAACAAUGUAAGAGAAAAUUUUGCCAUAUUGUGCGCUACCAUAUUCCAAGAUCUAGGAAUAUAUAUAAUUGAAACUUCUUCAAACAUCCUUAUUAGCUUUCAUAUAUCUUCGCACGUGGUAUCUAUCUCCCAUGAAGCUACACUUCUCUUCAUAACCAUAUUCACUACACUUUUUGCGUCUGAUAAAAUCUGCACCUUUGUCCGUCCAUUUUCUUGAGCUUUUUCCAAUGCAGUCCGUAUUGCAAGCGCUUCUGCAAUGAUGGUGUUCCUAACAAAUUGAAUUGGGGAGCCAAGGACUUGAAGCAAAUUUCCAGAGCUAUCCAUAGCUGUCAUUCCAAUGCUUGUCAUAUUCUUCUCCUUUUGUAAGCUAGCAUCUGUAAAUAUAAUCACAAAAUCUUGUUUACAAUUUCAUUAGAUUCAGAGAUUACACCAUUAAAGUUCCUAUCGUUUCUAGCCUUCCAAAUUUGCCACAUUAUAGAUACACUUAAUUUAAUAAGCUCAGUAGAAUCAGGAUAUUAACUAGUAUUAUCAAAUAGCUCUUUCCACCAUCUAGCAAAAUUUGUAAUAUUUUCUAUGUUUGGUCAAUUAAUAGGGCAAAUUUUUCAUACCAUCUGAGCCUUCGGACAUCUAAAAAAUAUAUGUUCAAUAGUUUCACUAUCCUCACCACAACUCUUACAGACAUCACAAUUAUUUUUUAGCUUUUUAGAAAUAACAUCAUUCACAGGAAGCACAUUCAGGAUACAUUUACGAAUGAAAUGUUUAUACUUAUUUUUAACAUUCAUAGACCAUAAAAAUUUCAAAACUUUUUAGAAAAAGAAAGAUAACUAGAUUGAGUUCUACCACUAUUGGAUAUACUACUUCUAUCAAUUUUCCUGGCCAAAUGAUAACCAUAUUUCACUUCAUAGAUUCCCGACUUCGUGUGAUGCCAAAUAAUUCUAUCUGGAGAUCCGGUACUAGAGAUUGGGAUAAACAAAAUGUCGUUGAUAUCCUCUAUAGCAAACCUCUUCUUAAGUUCUUGAAGCUUCCAAGUGUAGUUUCUAUGAUCAAUAAGGUGAUUCACUUGUAAUUCUACAUCCAUUUGAGAUUGAGAGAACCUGGGUUUGAAGCCACAGGCAUUAGGCAUCCAAGGGUCAGUCCAAACCUUAAUACUAUCUCCGGAUCCCACCCUCUAUCUAAUACCUUUUUGUAAUAGGUUUCUUCCCCAAAUGAUAUUUUUCCAUACCCAAGAGCUAGUAGAAGAGGAAAUAGCUUUGAGUAAAAAAGUCCAAAAUUUCUCCAAAAGAGAACUACAUCUCCUGAAUAUAGAAGUCCAAAAUUUCUCCUUUAAAGGAACUACUUUGAAAGAGACCUUUCCCGACAAGAAAAUCUUUUCUAUCAAAAAAAUAAGUAAAACAUAAUUAUGAUAAAUUUCAAAUAAAAUAAAAAAUUCAGAAUAAAUCCUAACAACACGUUCUAUACCUCUUAAUUUUGAAGAUUUACAUAAAAUCCUUGGUGUGGACUGUGUGAACUUAAUUGAGCCAAUUGAAUUCCAAUAUCAUGUUUACCUCUCCAUUUCUAAACUGGAAACUUAUCGAUCAAUACGUCUUUUAAUAGAAACUGAUUGUACGUUUAUUUAAUUAUAAAAAGAGUGUUAAUUAAAUGCCACAGAGAAAAAUUAAGGUGAGACAUGAAUAUUUAACACUAUAAUUAAAUAUGAUUUUUUUAGGGUACAGUAACAAAUAUGAUUCUAAAGCUAAAUGAAAAUGACAGAUAUAUUGAAAAGAUAAAGAUAAUUGUAUCUAUCACGUGUCUCAUUUUUUUCUGAGGGAAAGGGUUCCCAUUGGAAACAGCCAUCUCAAAAGGCAUAUAUAAUUUAUUUAUAAAAGUACAAGAAUAAAUACGACUCCUUUUAUUUUAUGAAUUUUGAUUUGAUUGGUCAUGAAAUUCAAGAAUAUAUGUAAAAAACUUUUUAAAUCUUAUGAUCUAUAUGAUCAUCAGAAUAGUUGAAGUAUCUAAAUGAAUUGUUAUGACAACUUGAAUGUUAUUUUAUGUAUAGUUUCGGGUACAAGAAUCUGUAUAAUUGCAACACCAACUUCAACAAUAGUUCAUGUAUAAACAAGAACACCUUUGAAGUUCUUUAACACCUCCAACACAAGAUUACUUAAUAAUCUAUCCAAGAAGUUUGUUAGAUUUUAGAAAAUAGAUGAAACAGAAUUUAAGGCCAAGUUUUCCGACUUCACGGAGUGUCCUUAAGGAAUAAUUCUCCUCACUGUACCCGAGGUUAUGGAAUCUUUCUUCCAGGAUAAAAUGGACUACAAUCCGAACAAUAGUGGUACCUCAAAUUGUCGGAUUCUACAAACUCACUCAAUAGUUUGAUUGAUCACACAGAAUAUUUUUAAGACAAGAAGAGAUUUUUUAUUUUAGAAAAAUUUCGUACCUAAACCUGUGGAUGAAAGCAGGUUUAUUUAGCCAACAUGUGCCUCUUCUGAAAAGUGGCAAUGGUUCACUUAAAAGGUGUGAUCUUUCUGGAAAAGCCAUGUCUAUUCGUCCAAAGAAUGUGUCUUUUCUGAACAGGUAUACUAUUGCAUGAAUCAGUGUGUCAUUUCGUUGAAGGGUUGCAUCCCUUCGUUUCAGCACUGAACUGUUUCAAAAUACUGUUUCAGAAUCUGCAUGCAUGCAUAUAAAUGGAGUAUUAAAACACAGAACAAAAAAGUUGCAUUUUUCCCUUUGGUAUUUUCGAACUGAAUUUCUGAAUUUUUGUCAAAUAAACUUUGUCCAAAAAGAUAGAUCUCAUCGAUCAUUUUCCAAAUCCAAAUCCAAAUCCAAAUUCGAAGCCGAAGCUGAGCCGAGCGAGCGAGCGACGAUGAAGGCAUCUCUUAUUUCUUGCCUCACUUACCAUGUGGAGUAAGUGUUCCUUAUUUUAAACACUCACAAGUUCUCUUUUUCAACCAAUGUGGGAGAAAGAGUGAACUUUCCAAUUUGGGAGUACACUUUCUAAAUUGGUGUCUCCCUUCUACACCAUUUUUCCUCUAUUUUUCAUUCACACUUUUUCAUAUAUACUUUGAACCCAACAAUCCUCUACAAGAAUGGAAAAUGACUAUUUUUCAUAAAAAUUUUAUGAACAAGUAUGUGAUCAUCAAGCAAAAACUGAUUGCAUUUGGAUAAGUGGUUUUCCUUUGAACUUUCCGUAGUGAACAUGCAUCGGAUGCACUCGGUCAAUCGAUAGAUUUGAUAUCUUUAAACCAUCGAGUUUUAGUGUACACCUAAACAACACAUGUCACACAAUCAGCCUUUUACUGUUUAUGGUUCUCACGGUUUUAUUCUUUUCAGUCAUGAACACGUCUCGAUUUCAUGAGAGCAUAGAGAAUAGGCCUUUACUAACAUUCUCCUUGAAGCGGAUUUCACUUCGCCCUCACAUAGGUGAUUUUUAAACGUUCAAUCCUAUAGAUUAAAUUAUUUGAUCAAAUCUGCCAAAUUUAGAUAAUCAUUAAAAGACUUUUCACCUUAAGUCUUAUCCUUGUUUACUGAACAUUGUCUACAUCAUGAGAAUGGGUUGGGUAAUUGACAACCUGUCAGAUACAACUUUGUUUGAUCUCCUUGAACCUAGCUCUUAGAAUCUCCAGUCUGCUAGGUAGAGUUAUCGCCAUGCUGACUUGUCUUAGGCCUUAAACUCAUUCCUUUAGAUGUCAUUUCCACUCCUUAUCUAGAUAGGCCUUUUGUAAGUGGAUCCGACACAUUAUCCUUUGACUUUAUAUAGUCUACAGUAAUAAUUUCACUAGAGAGAAGUUCUCUAAUGGUAUUAUGUUUCUGUCGUAUGUGAUGAGAUUUAUCGUUGUACAUCAUGCUUCCUGCCCUACCUAUUGCCGCUUGGCUAUCACAGUGUAUACAUACUGGUUCCACUAGUUUGGUCCAAUAAGGAAUGUCUUCCAAGAAAUUUCAAAGUCAUUCUGCUUCUUCACCGGCUUUAUCCAAUGGGAUAAAUUCAGAUUCCAUUGUAGAGCGAGCAAUACAAGUCUGUUUGGAUGAUUUCUAAGAGACUGCUCCUCCACCGAUAGUAAAUAUAUAUCUACUUGUGGAUUUUACUUCGUUUGAUCCAAUGAUUCAAUUUGCAUCACUAUAUCCUUCGAGUACUGCAGGAUAUUUAUUAUAAUGCAAGGCAUAGUCUUGAGUAUAUUUAAGAUACCCCAAAACUCUUUUCAUUGUCAUCCAAUAAGUUUUGUUGGGAUUACUCGUGUACUGACUCAAUUUACUAAUAGCUCAUGCUAUGUCUGGUCGUGUACAGUUCAUUAUAUACAUUAAACAUUCCAAUACUCUUGCGUACUCCAAUUGUGAGUCACUUUCACCUUCAUUCUUUCAAAGUGCAAAGCUUGCAUCCAAUGGAGUCUUGGCAAUACCGAAUUCUAUAUACUUGAAUUUUUCAAGUACAUUGUCGAUAUAAUGAGAUUGUGACAAUGCCAACCCCUGUGGAGUUCUAUGGAUUCUUAUUCCUAAGAUCACAUCCGCAACUCUAAGGUCUUUCAUAUCGAACUUACUCUCGAGCAUUCGUUUUGUUGCAUUUAUGUCAGAAAUGUCUCUACUAAUGAUCAACAUAUCAUCCACAUAUAAACAAACAAUGACUUGGUGAUUUAGAGUGUCUUUAAUAUAAACACAUUUAUCACAUUCAUUUAUCUUGAACCCGUUUGCCAACAUGGUUUGGUCAAACUUCGCAUUCUAUUGUUUAGGUGCUUGCUUAAGUCCAUACAACGACUUAAUAAGUUUACACACCUUAUUCUACUUUCCUGAAACCACAAAACCUUCAGGUCGCUCCAUGUAAAUUUCUUCCUCCAAUUCUCUGUUUAGGAUUACUGUUUUCACAUCCAUUUGAUGGAUUUCAAGACCAUAUACCACCGCCAAGGCAAUUAACAUUUGAAUCGAUGUUAUCCUUGUUACUGACGAGUAUGUAUCAAAGUAAUCAAGACCUUCUUUUUGUUUGAAGCCUUUUACUACAAGUCUUGCCUUGUAUUUGUCAAUAGUACCAUCCACUUUCAUUUUCCUUUUGAAGAUCCAUUUAGAACGUAAAAGUUUAUUACCUGGAGGAAGAUCAACCAAUUCCCAUUUAUGGUUGCUUAAGAUUGAAUCAAUCUCACUAUUGACUGUCUUUUUCCAAAAGGAUGAGUCCGAAGAUGACAUUGCUUCUUUAAAUGUUUGAGGCUCAUUUUCUAAAACAAAUGUUACAAAAUCCGAAUCAAAAAAAGUUGACGUUCUUUGACGUGUACUACGUCUUGGAUUUUCUUCAUUAUGUACAUUCUCACUUGUUUUAUCUCGAGAUCGUUUAGACCCCUCACUAGAUUGUUCAUGUGUAGUUUUAUACGGAUAAAUAUUUUCAAAGAAUUCAGCAUUAUCUGAUUCAAUUACUGUAUUUUCAUUUAUAUUCGGAUGUUCAAAUUUAUGAACUAAAAAUCGACAUGCUUUACUGCUUUUAGCAUAUCCUAUGAACACGCAGUCCACAGUCUUAGGUCCUAUCUUAACCCUUUUAGGCAUAGGAACUUGGACCUUUUCUAUACACCCCCACACUUUGAAAAAUUUCAAGUUGGGUUUCCUUUCUUUUUAUUUUUUCAUAAGGAAUUGAUUGUGUCUUACUAUGGGGAACUCUAUUGAGUAUACGAUUGGCUGAAAGGAUAGCGUUCUCUCACAAGUUUUGCGGUAAAUCGGAACUUAUAAGUAAAGCAUUCAUCAUUUCAUUUAAAGUUUGAUUUUUCCUUUUCACAAUUCCGUUAGAUUGAGGUGAAUACAGGGUUGUAGUUUGAUGGACAAUUCCAUUCUCUACACAUAUUUUGGGGAAGGGAGAUUCAUAUUCUCCGCCCCUAUCACUUCUUAUCAUUUUUAUCUUUUUCUCUAACUGAUUUUCUACUUCAGUUUUGUAUUGCCUAAACGCAUCUAUUGCUUCAUCCUUACUAUUUAGCAAGUAGACAUAACAAUAUCUAGUGCAAUUCAACGGACUUAUAAGGAUGCUUUGCAUAUUUUGAUUCCACACACGUUUGACACUUUGAUUUAUUGCACUCAAAGUUUGGCAAAACUUCUAAGUUAAUCAGUUUUCAUAAUGUUUUGUAAUUAACAUGGCCUAAAUGUUCAUGCCAUAAAUCAUAAUACUCAAGCAAAUAAGAAGAAUUUGAACUUUUAUUUAUUUCAACAGUCAUUACAUUCAUCUUAUAAAGGCCUUCGGUGAGAUAGCUUUUUCCUACAUACAUUUCUCCUUUGCUAAUUACAUUUUUUCCAGAAAUGAUUACACAUUUGAAUCCGUUCUUGUCUAGAAGUGAAAUAGAAAUCAAGUUCCUACAUAAUUUUGGAACGUACAAGACAUUAUUAAGUGUCAAGACCUUUCCUGAAGUUAUUUUCAAGUCCAUUUUUCCUGUUCCUUCUACCUUAGCCGUAGCGGAGUUAGCCAUGUAGAUUAUUUCUUCUACUUGAGCCAGAGCGAAUGAUGAAAACAACUCUUUGUUGGCACAAACAUAGCGGGUGGCACCAGAAUCCAUCCACUACCCGCGAGGAUUCCCCACCAAGUGGCAUUCUGAAAACAUAGCACACAGAUCAUCACAUUCUUUGUUGGACUCAAUCAUAUUUGCUUGGUCCUUUUUCUUGCCUUUCUUAGGGGCAUGACAAUCCGUGGACUUAUGGUCAAUCUUGCCACAGUUGAAGCACUUUCUCUUGAGAUUCUUCUUGAGUUGAUGGCUUCCUUUUUUAACUUUCUUCCUUUUCUUAGAAUUGUUUUGGUCAUCCUCUACAAUAUGUGCUCCAUUAAUUGUAGAAUUUCCUUUUAACCUUCCCUUGAUAGCCUUAUUAUCCUCUUCAAUACGUAGUCGAACAAUAAGAUCUUCGACAGUCAUCUCCUUGCAUUUGUGCUUCAAGUAGUUUUUGAAGUCUUUCCACAUAGCUGGUAGCUUCUCAAUGAUCGCUGCUAAAUGAAAAGCAUCAUUCACAAUCAAACCUACAAAACAGUUUAUGUGAGUACUAAGAACAUUUUCAAUUUAUUCAACCAAGGUAUUUUUCAAAGAUAUACCUUCUUCUAGGAGAUCGUGAAUGAUUACUUGCAAUUCCUGCACUUGAGAGACAACCGAUUUGCUAUCUAUCAUUCUAAAGUCCAAGAACCUUGCAACAAAGAAUUUCUUAAUUCCCGUAUCCUCUGUCUUGUAUUUUCGUUCUAGUGCCCCCCACAAUUCCUUCGAUGUCUUAGUUCUACUGUAAACAUUGUAGAGGUCAUCUUGGAGACCACUCAAUAUAUAAUUCCUGCAAAGGAAGUUCGAGUGUUUCCAAGCUUCUACAAUCAUGAAAUGUUUUUUGUCCGAGGUUCCCUCGGGCACCUUAGGAGCAUCCUCACUAGUGAACCUUUGAGGCAUAGAGUGGUGAGCUAAAAGAACAUCUUUUGCUGCCAUCGCUUAAAGUCAAUGACCGUAAAUUUGUCGAGCUUCUCCGCAGGUGCCUGCGGAGCAUUUGCUCGACUUUUUGAAGCGAUGCUAGUUGCCCUCACAGUCGUAGCCUCAUUUUGCAUUUGACUUUCGUUAGUCAUUUUUCCUGUCACCACAAGACAAUAAAAUUUAGUAUGUUCAGAAUACUAUUUAUAAAGUUAAGCAACUUUAAACUCUUCUUCUUGUUUUGAGUUAACGAUGAAGUUUUUAUGACUUCCAAUCGUCAACCGAAUGAUCUUUAACUUGUGAUGAAGAUUUUAUGUCUUCGAAUCACUAGUUAAGUUCAAACGGAGUAGAAAACUUAAAGCUUUAAUCUCCAAAAACAAUCAAUACAGAUUCUACAGAAAUUAUUCCUUAAGAUUGUUAUUUUAUGUAUAGUUUCGGGUACAAGAAUCUGUAUAAUUGCAACACCAACUUCAACAAUAGUUCAUGUAUAAACAAGAACACCUUUGAAGUUCUUUAACACCUUCAACACAAGAUUACUUAAUAAUCUAUCCAAGAAGUGUGUUAGAUUUUAGAAAAUAGAUGAAACAGAAUUUAAGGUCAAGUCCCCCGACUUCACAGAGUGUCCUUAAGGAAUAAUUUUCCUCACUGUACCCGAGGUUAUGGAAUCUUUUUUCCAAGAUAAAAUGGCUUACAAUCCGAACAUUAGCGGUACCUAAAAUUGUUGGAUUCUACAAACUCACUCAAUAGUUUGAUUGGUCACACAGAAUGUUUUUAAGACAAGAAGAGAGUUUUUAUUUCAGAAAAAUUUCGUACCUAAACUUGUGGAUGAAAGUAGGUUUAUAUAGCCAACAUGCGCCUCUUCUGAAAAGUGGCAAUGGUUCACUUAAAAGGUGUGACCUUUCUGGAAAACUCAUGUCAGUUCGUCCAAAGAAUGUGUCUUUUCCGAACAGGCAUACCAUUUCAUGAAUCAAUGUGUCAUUUUCAACACUGCACUAUUUUGAAAUCCAUAAACCGAUCGAUCAUUUGAUAAAGCCGAAGCCGAAGCCGACCGACGACGACGACGACGCAAGUCAUCUCUCAUUUCUUGCCUCACUUACCAUGUGGAGUAAGUGUUCCUUAUUUUAAACACUCACAAGUUCUCUUCUUCCACCAAUGAGAGAGAAAGAGUGAACUUUCCAAUUUGGGAGUACACUUUCUAAAUUGGUGUCUCCCUUCUCCACCAUUUUUCCGCCAUUUUUUCAUUGCACUUUUUCAUAUAUACUUCCAACCCAACAUUGAAUACUUUCACCAACUUAUAAUGAUUUUGCAUUCUUUCACAUGUUGCUUUUUAUAGGUUUAAGUUCAAAUUUUCUUCCACAUUAUUACUUGGUUACCUUGUCAGACACGAAACAAGGGUUGAAUCCUAAGCAAAAUAGUUGAAAAUAAAGGGUCAAUCCUGACCUGAAAAUAGUUAAGUUCUACUUUAUACAAACUAACACGUAAUGAAUAAAAAACAUGGAUUAUAUUAUGUCUGUAUAAAUUAGUUAUACAUAUUAUGUGGAUACUCAUAAUUUUUAACAUAGACGUUAUGGGCCAAAGUUAUUGAGUUCUGCCAAACUCGCAAGCAAAAUAACUCAACCCCUGAGUAUUCCAUCAACUUAUUGUUUAGAUGUGGAGGAAGUUCUUUUCUAUCAAGCUUUCAACAGUAUCUUUCACGCUCAACUCAAGAGAUGUGAAUUUGACUCCUAAACUUUUUGCUCUUUCACUUGAUACUUGGAAGUGUGGAGUAAUAGGCAAUCCAUCUUCAAAACUGCAUCCACAUUUAACAAUUAUGAUUAAUCUCUAGUCAAAUAAUUGCUUUAAAUAGAACAAAAGAUUCUUAAUUAAUGAAACAUCACGUAAGCUUAAGAAGGGUGCAAUUUAUGUUUUUUCUUUGCUGAAAGGAGAUAGUAAUGAAAACUAAUCAGUAUGAAGAAAAUUAUAACUGUGAUAUUGGCAAUACUUACUUCUCAGGGAGAGUGAUGGAGGGGUAAAGAUUUUGUACAAUCUUCAAAACCGACGAAGAGUAUCCAUUCACCCCAACUAAACAAUAUCUUCCAUUUGCUGAAGGAACCUCAAAUGCUAGAAUAUGUGCAUUAGCAACAUCCCUAACAUCGACAAAUCUGUAUAUUCCACCAGACCAUGCUUCUUUUCCUUCAUCAAAUAAAAGACAAGUGUGUCAAACAUUAGUACUAUUUAUUAUGAAAAGCGUGAUUUAAACCCUGAACAAGGAGAAAAAGAAAGCGCAAGGACCUUCAUGUAGUAACUAAAUAAAAUAAGUCAUCUACAUAUCAAUUGAGCUGGUCAUUUUUCAUAGUAUUUCACCACCAAAAUAUAUAUCUACUUCGUUUGGCCAGACAAGACUUCUUAAAGCUUUUUGGAGUAACUUGUUUGGUUAAGUUUUUUUCAGGAAAGUAUUCUUUUGGAUCUUAUUGGGAGCACAUGCUUGUUUUGGUUCACUUUUCCUCGACAAAAACAUAUUGCCAUGGUAAAUAUUUACACUAAGUACACUCAGUUGGAGUUCUGUACCAACUAACUUAAAUAUUGCUUCAGCUUGACCAUCCCUUUACCGACUAAUAUUGUCCAAGAGAAGGAAGGUGAAUUGGUCCUCCUAAAAGUCUCAUCCAUAAAGGAUGUGAUGAGUUUUGUUUAAAAAAUGGAAAGUUGAUCCUGGUGUAUAUUAGCCAAUUUGAAAUUUUUAAGGAGUUUGGGUCGGGUGGGGGGUGUAGGCUUCAGACUGCCUUAGAAUAUUAAUGAUACACAAUAUUAGUAAGUAGGGAAAUUGUAAUAAGUUCCAGAAGUUAGUUAACACUGGAAAGCUACAGUGUAGUUAGUUACUCAGCAACUAAAGUUAGUUAAGUAGUUAUUACUAACUCAAGCAGCCUAGUCAAUGGAUAGUGGAUCAUGAGCUCUAUAUAAACAAUUAAUCCAUUCAUUUUCAUAUAGAUAUACAAACAUUAAUUUUUCUUUCUCAAAAUCUCUCUCUGUUUUCUCAAUUCUCAUUAACUGUUUUCUCGAGUUAGUUACUCCUGAAGCAGUAAUUUCGAUCCUCAAGUUCAUUCGAACUCCUGCAAUCGAGUAAAAGUUAGUAUCAUUGGUAUCAAAGCCAAUCGAAUUUUUGGCAAUCAUGACGAAAACAGCUCGAUCCAUUGAUAAUUCUCCAGCUGACAUGGGAGAAAUAAGGGAUAUGUGUUGGUUUUUAACUUUGAAAUUGGAGAAAUAACAUAGAAAGAGUUGGAGAAAAAUAAAAUACGGCAAUAGUAUUAUCAAAGAAAAUUAUUUUAUUAAUAACUUAAAUCAUGUAUUUAUAGUUAAAUUUCUAACUAUACUCCAAUUUAAAUUGGAUAACUAAUUCUUAUUCAAAUAAUAAAGGGACAACUAAUUCCUAAAUCACAUAGGACUCUAAUAAUUUAAAACUACUAAAAUUAUUUAUUCCUACUUUAUUUCUGAGACAUAUUUUCAACACUCCUCCUUGGAUCAGAAAUUGUCUCGGCUUUGGCUGAAUUUGACCUCUUGAAUAAAUCUGUCAAUUCAUCUUUGUUCUUGCAUGGCUUGUGUGCAUCUUCUGUUGGAUUAAAUAAGAAACUGUUGCCUCUUAUAUCAAAUUGUAAAAUUUCCUGAGUAGUAGAAUCAAAGAUUCGACAAUAUUUGUCUCCAAAUAAUAAUUUAAAUCCUUCUUCCAUUAGCUCACCAACACUUAACGAACUUUUGUCAAUAUCGGGCACGUAAAGGACAUUUGAAAUUAUUUUUGUACCUGAAACUAUUUUCAUUGCAACAUUCCCUUUUCCUUCUUCAAAAAUAUAGUCACCAUUCCCAAUUCUGAUUUUAUUAUUUUCCAAAGGCAAAAACUCUUUAAAAAAAGUUUUGUCAUAUGUCAUGUGGGUUAUACAACCACUAUCAAUCAUCCAAAAAUCAGAUUUCUUGGUUGAAGAAUAUGUUGCCACAAAUAAGUGAUUUUCUUCUUUUUUGGUGACUUGGGCAUCUGCUUCAUCUUCUUGAUAUUUGUUUUUGCAAAUAACAACUUCAUCGCCAAGUUGAUUGCAGAUCUUACAUUCUGCAUCUGGUCCAUUCCAAUAUUUAAAUGGAGGAUGACCUAUUUUGCCACAGUGCUGGCAAGGUGGGUAAUUUUUUCUUGAAUUAUUAUCCUUGUUUUGAGUCUUGUGGGCAGCGGAAUAACAUCAUAAUCCUCCUCAAUGGCCUCCCAAAGAUCUAAAGCCUCAAGAUAAGUCUCCGUUUUUAUUGCUCAAAGAUGGUAAUUCUCACCAUCAAAGACAAGAGGGGUUAUUUGGGAAAAGUUGUUUUCAGAAUUCAUCUCUCAGAGAUCCCUCAAGAAACUGGCCCUGAUACCAAUUGUUGGUUUUUAGCUUUGAAAUUGGAGAAAUAACAUAGAAAGAGUUGGAGAAAAAUAAAAUACGGCAAUAGUAUUGUCAAAGAAAAUUAUUUUAUUAAUAACUCAAAUCAUGUAUUUAUAGCUAAAUUUCUAACUAUACUCCAAUUUAAAUUGAAUAACUAAUUCCUAUUCAAAUAAUAAAGGGACAACUAAUUCCUAAAUCAUAUAGGACUCUAAUAAUUUAAAACUACUAAAAUUAUUUAUUCCUACUUUAUUUCUGAGACAUAUUUUCAACAAUAUGCUGCAGAAAUUGACUACAGAUAUGAGCAAUUUGAAAGGGGAAGUUACUACCUUGAAAAGGUUGGAUUAGGUGGUAAUGGAAUUAAAGGAUUAUUUGGAGAAUUCUGCAGAGAAUAUGAGAGAUAAAUCUCCAUUAGAUCAAGCUGAAAGGGAGCACAAAGAUCAAAGCCCUGGCAGUUAUCACAAUUCCCAUUCCCAAGUGGUCGGGCAUGGAGUUUUUGAGGUUUUCAGGGAAUGAUUUGCGUUCUUGGUUGUUCAAAAUUGAACAAUUUUUUUCAAUGGAAAAUGUACCUGCUUUUGAUAAAAUUACCAUAGCCAUACUACAUCGGGAAGGAGAGGCAAUUCAGUGGCAUCUAUCCUUCAUUAGGUAUUGACAAUACCUUCAACCUAUUGGAUGGAAUGAGUAUGCGAUGGCACUGGUGGAGAGGUUUGGAUCUGACUUUGAUGAUCCUAUGGAGGAAUUGAAGAAGGUUAAGCAAGUUAGGACUCUCAAAGAGUAUCAGGCUGUGUUUGAAAGGCAUCUUACAAGGGUGAAUUUGUCAGAAGAAAAUGCCAUUAGUUGCUCCAUUAGGGGUUUGACACCUCAGCUUAACAUUGUUGUUAAGAUUACCAACCUUACUACCUUGUCUCAUGUUUACAGGAGUGCAAGACUGCAAGAAUCUUACUUGAAUGCUGUUAAACCACCUGUAAGUUCAGAUCGGGUGUUUAAUUCAAGAAAGAUAGGAGAUCAAAAAACUUCCAAUAAUAAGCCUCUACUACCUGCUCCUAACAUCACCCGAGGAAACUAUAAUAAGAAUCUGAAUAGGAGAAGGUUGAGCUUGGAAGAAAUUAAUGAGAAGAGGGCAACAGGAUUGUGUUAUUUUUGCAAUGAAAAAUAUACUAUGGGCCAUAAAUGUAAGACUACUAAGCAAUUGUACUUGUUGGAGUUAGAAGAAGGGGAUGAAACAGAAGAUGGAGUGUCUGAAACUGAGGUAGAGUUACAUGAAGAUGGGGAUAGCAAAAGUGAGUUGUCUCAACAUGCUGAGCACAUGGAGAUUUCAAUACAUGCCUUAAAUGGUUCUUUGGGUUUUAGGUUACUUAAGGUGACCGAAUAUCAAACCAAAAAAGGGUUGCAUAUUAUAGACACAGGAAGUUCUCAUAACUUCAUAGAUCUUGAUUUAGUAAAACAAUUAGGUUGUCCGGUCAGAUCUACCAGUCCUUAAAUGGUUGUUGCAGCAAAUGGGAGCAUGAAGGUGGAUAAAAUGACCACUAUUACUUGGUUACUACAAGCAGCUAAAUUUUUAGCAGAUUUUCUGCUAUUACCUUUGGGUUCUUGUGGUGUUGUAUUGGGGAUUCAGGGGUAGCUGCCCUUAGGAGAUAUCAAGAUAAACUUCAGGAAUUUGACCAUGGAAUUCUGGUACAAGGGAAGGAAACAUCUGCUAAGAGGAGCUGGGAACCAGGUACAGACUUCUGGAGCUAGUAAAUUAGCUAAAUACUCAGGUAACCAAUCUCAACUUUGUAUGAUUCAAGUCAUGCCUAUGGGGAGUGAACAAAUAAAGGGUCACCCAGUAUUACUGGAGGAAGAUAAAACUGAAUGUGAUCAAGCUUUAUUAAAUCUAUUAUCAAAGUUUCAAAGGUUAUUUGAGGAACCUAUCGGCUUACCACCUCACAAGGGAGUAUUUGACCAUAGAAUUGUAUUGCAGGGGGGGACUGAGCCUAUGAAUAAGAGGCCAUAUAGAUAUCCUUCCAUUAAGGACAUUAUUAAAUGUCUGGUACAACAGAUGUUUAGAAAGUGAUCAUAUAACCUAGUUGUAGUCCGUUUGCAUCCCCAGUGGUCUUAGUGGGCAAGGAAGAUGGUACCUGGAGGUUGUGUGUUGACUAUAGGGACUCAAAUAAGUUUACUGUGAAGAACAAGUUUCCUAUACCUAUUGUUGAAGAUUUAUUGGAUGAAUUAGAAGGAUCCAAAAUCUUUUCAAGGAUUGACUUAAGAUCUGGUUAUCACCAAUUAAGAAUGGCUGCAGAGGAUGUGCCUAAAACUAUUUUUAGAACCCAUUCCAGCCAUGUUGAAUACCUGGUAAUGCCUUUUGGCUUAUCUAAUGCACCUGUUACCUUUCAAGGAUUAAUGAACUCUAUAUUUCAGCAAUUUCUCAGGACGUAUGUGUUAGUUUCCUUUGAUGAUAUUCUAAUUUACAGUAGUACUAUUGAAGAAUAUGUAAGGCAUUUGAGGUCUAUUUUUAAGGAAAUGAUCAGACAUCAACUAUUUGCUAAAAGGAGCAAGCGUUUUUUUGGGGUUUAGAAAAUUGAAUAUCUUGGACACUUUAUAUCAGCAAAAGGUGUUUCAACAGAUCCUCAGAAAAUAACAGUUGUGAGGAAGUGGCCCAUUCCAACUACUCUUAAGCAACUAAGAGGGUUCUUAGGACUGGAUAAUUACUGCAGGAGGUUCAUAAAAGGUUUUGGUGUGAUUUGAAGGCCUUUAAAUGACUUAACAAAGAAGAACAAUUUUAAAUAGUCAACUGCAGCUCAAGAUGCUUUAACACAAGCUCCCGUGCUUGCUUUACCUGAUGUCAACAAAACAUUUAUGGUGGAGACUGAUGCUAGUGGAUUUGGAAUAGGAGUUGUACUUAUGCAAGAGGGACAUCGAAUUGCUUUCAUCAGCAAGGCAAUGUCACCAAGGCAUGUUGCAUUAUCAGUGUAUGAUAUGGAGUUAUUGGCCAUUGUUAAAGCUGUCACUAAAUGGUCUCAAUACUUGUUAGGCCAAAGAUUUAUAAUAAGGACUGAUCAGAAGGUUUUAAAGUUCCUUAUGAAGCAAAGUUACAUACUAAUUCACAGUUCUUAUGGUUGACAAAGUUGAUGCCAUUUGAUUACUCUUAGAGUAUAAAAGAGGAGUUGACAACAAGGUGGCUGAUGCCUUCUCAAGAGUUACUGGAGCAGAAUUGUUAGCCUUGUUUAUUUCUCCUACAGAUACUGAUCUAUUUCAAGCUAUUGUGGAUAGUUGGACUAUGGAUCCAGAACUUCAACAACUUACUGCAGAUUUGCAGAUUAAUCCUACAGUUCACAAAUAAUUCACUUAGAGUCGAGGUCAGCUGAGAAGGAAAGGCAGACUGGUGGUUGGCAAGGUUCAAGAAUUGAGAAGGGAGAUCAUGACAUUGUGGCAUGCAAGCCCCCAAGGAGGUCAUUCUGGGGUAAAGGCUACAUUAAGAAGGUUGCUCAGCCUCUUUUACUGGAAGAACAUGAGAGAGGGGGUGAAGAAAUUCAUUUAAAACUGUGAUGUUUGCCAAAGGAAUAAGUCUGAUUUGGCUGCAUACCCUGGACUUUUACUGCCUUUACCCAUACCUGAUGUGGUAUGGUGGCAAAUUAGCAUGGAUUUCAUUAAUGGAUAACUAAAUCAAAUGGUUAUGAGGUGAUUCUAGUGGUGGUAGACAGAUUUAGCAAGUAUGGGCAUUUUCUUCCACUUAAACAUCCUUAUACAACCCAAACUGUUGCUAAGGUUUUCGUGGAUAAUAUUGUUAAGCUGCAUGGAUUCCCUAAUGCUAUCACUAGUGAUAGGAAUGUUGUUUUCAUCAGCUCCUUCUGGCAGGAGCUAUUCACUCUACAAGGUGUUAAGUUGCAUACUUCAUUAGCAUAUCACCCUCAGUCUGAUGGCCAUAUGGCCAUACUGAGGUUUUAAACAGAUGCUUAGAGACUUAUUUGAGGUGCUACUGUAAUGAGGAUGCUUCUAACUAAUUUUCUUGUCUUUCUACGGCUGAGUAUUGGUUAAAUACCUCCCAUCACAUAGCUAUUCACUCAACACCAUAUGAGGCAUUGUAUGGAAGACCACCUCCACUAUAUUUACCAUAUCUUCCUAGAGAAUCAGCUUCAGCUGAGGUUGAUAACACCCUGCUACUCAAGCUGCAGCCGCUUAAGCAUCAUCUCACCAGAGCAGUUUAUGGUCACCCAGUUUAUGACUCGUAUCUCAUAAAGUAACUUAACUUUGAGUUUUAUUUCAAAAGUCACUCAACUAACUUUGACUUUAGCAGCAUUUACCAAACUUAACAUUUCAAUCAUAAAUAUCUGAUUUUUGGUCAGAGUUAAUUUUUGUGAAGUAAAUAAGAAGUGUUAAAAGAUUGUUCCCAUAAAACGUUCAUCAGUGGCAGGGUAACAAAUAGAACGUAAGCAUUUAGAAAAUCUUACUUCUGUAAAUGAUGGUUCUUCUUAUUAUAAUCUUUAAGGCUUUAGAAAAGAAAAUUGUUAGAAAAGAUCAUCAGAAGCAGAGGUUUGAGUUUCUGAAUUGAGGAAACACUAACAGAAGAUGUACAAUGCAAAAAUAAGUUUCCAGUUAAAUGAUCAUUAAAUUCCAACAUCAUUUCAAUCUAGUCAAAUGCAGACAAAAGAACACAUGUUCCUCUUAUGUAUUUCUACACAUAAAUAUUUCAUCAAGGGUGUCAUAUAAGCUGAUUAGAAAAGAAGAAUAGGUGUCAUGGAGGGUGGGGGCAGAGGGCGGGAGAAGGAGGUAAGAAUAUCUCAAGGAGUCUCGUGUCUCUGAACAAACUUACCUUCUAUUAUGAAGUUCACUAUAGCUUCACAAGAGAAAUUGAGCGUAGGCUGCAGAAGUGGACCAAUGACUAGACCUGGAUGAAGUGUUACCAAGUCGAUCCCAUUCUCUUUUGCAAAUUUCCAAGCAGCCUGCUCAGCCAGGGUUUUGGAGAGUUGAUACCAGUCCUGCAAACAAAAUACCUUCAAGGCUUCAAUAAGCCAACUGUGAAGAGAAUGCUGACAUCUUCCAUUACUUUCUCAAACAUAUCUACCAAAUGAAGUAUAUAAUACCAUCUCCAGUGUGUAUUAUAGACAUUUUAGCAAACUGAAUUUGUUCCAAAAUAUUUGACAUUACAGGAAAACAAGAAUCACUUAUUGCUUUUUAUUUUUCAAAUUCACCUUAACUGCUUCAGUUAGUGGAGUGGUAACAAAUUGAGAUGUUUGAGGGAUACAGAGUAGUUUAGACAAAUACUCUUAUGAUUAAGGUUUGUAAAUGUAUUUCUUAACGUGUAUGCAAACACCUUAAAAAGACAGAUAACAUAUAUUGAAUGUAAUAAUUAUCUGAUCAUAUUGACAAAUACAAGGACAGAUACUUAGCAUCUCACUAUUCGAGACAAGAUGAGGCUUUCUUUCACUCAGUACUACAGGGAAUGCAGAAUUUAAUUUUCUUCUGAUCUAAGAAACAUAUCUUACUAGGGCAGCAUAACACAGACUAACUCCAAAAAGCAUGCACACACACACAUAGGGACAAAUGUGAAGGGGAAAUAUGAGAAAGUUUGUUAAACAGCAAGGGUAUGAAUGUCCCAAGUAUAAACCUAGGAGUAUUAGCCGAUCGGGUACAUCAGUAUACAUGUUCCUAGGCCUAUUCAAAUACAAAGAUCAAAUAAAGAUAUUUCUACAAUCGUCGAUAUGUAAGUUUGGACUUCUUUCCAUAGUAAAAAGAUGUGGAAAAGAUCAAACCGGAGAAGAGCACCGAAACACUAAAUCAACUUCCAAUGCUGCUCCAAUAAAGAUGCUCAUAAAUUUUCUAAACCACUGCUACAGUAAUCAAUGGUCCUCAUCAAAUUGAAAAGAACUACCAAUUAAUAGACACAUCGAACCUUUCUUUCCUCGCAGAAUUCUGGAUCUGAAUACCAAGUCUCAUCAGCUACAGCUCCAGGGGUUGACAUAUUUUUAUUGCAGACAACAGAAGCAGUAGAAGAAGUUAUCACCACUCUUCUGACAGAUGGUGAUUUGGCACAUGACUGAAGGACAUUCAACGUUCCUUUCACAGCAGGAUUCACAAGUUCCUCCUGAAAGAUGAAAGAGAAUAUUUAUUAGUAUGAAACUAAAGCAUCCAGGUCUAUUUAACUGCAAAGUAAAAGCAGCAAACAAACGUGUUCCUCCUUAAAGACAUCUCUUAACAUAUUUUGAUGUCACAGUAGGUUUCUGACCUUAGAUUUUCCUGUGAGAAAAACAGGUGAAGCUGUAUGAAAGACACCUUCACAACCAUCAACGGCAGGAUCAAAUGAUUGCUCUUCAAGUAACUCAGCUUUGAAUAGAUGCAGCCUCUCAUUAGCUCCAUCAAGGCUUCGCAGGUGAGCCACUUUACUUGUAUCGUCUGCGUGCUUAUAACGAACAUUUUAGAAGCUGGGAACAAUUUUAUACAUACGAAGGAUUAAUAGCAACAGCUAAGCCAAUGAUCACAUAAAAUUAUUGCAGAAAUUCAGUUCUGUCAUGAAGAUCAAAUGUAUGUGAAACCACCAUUUCGAUUUGACUAAAACAAAAACUGAAUGUACUUUAACAUUUCUGAGAGUUAAUUUCACAUUAUUGUUAUCAAAUCUAUGACUUACAAGCUCAGUGAAUUUACUUAUUAUAUUUUAAUUUGCCAAAAGUUAUUGUUAAGGCUGCGUACAAUACACCCUUGCGGUGAAGCCCUUCCCCGGACCAGCGCAUAACGGGAGCUUUAGUGCACCGGGCUGUCCUUUUUUACUAAUAUAGUAGAUGAAGCUCAGUGAGUAUACAUGAAAUCAAAUCUGUUUUUUUAUGAUUGAAAUGAUCAGAGGCCAUAGUUGAUGUGUAGACCAUAUUUCAUGUAGUUAUAGGUGCUUGAUAAAAAAGGAUAUCGGAACUCUGACUACUUAAUCUGGAAAGUUGAUCCAUGAUUAUCACAUGCUGCAGACAACUUGAACAUUUGCAAUGGUAUUCUUCUCAAUUGUCCUUCUAAGAUAUCAGCCAAAACACCACCAAAGGGGUUCCAGUUCAUGGAAAUUUCAUAGAGCAUCUCGUAUGAGGGAUCUUUUAGUCAAAAUUUCAUGUGAAAAUGUUGUUCCGAUGGGUACAAAAUCUGUAUGUUUUCUAUACAAACUUCAAUACUAAGUUCAAUAACAACUUUCAAGAACUACAAUGAAUUUACAACAACUUCAAACACAAGUCCAAAUAAAUAAUCAAAUGAACUAUCAAAAUAAAGUGUUUAUCAACUUUAAGAAAGAAGAUGAAGUAGAAAAUUGUAGAAUCAAGUCUACCGAAUGCACGGUGUGUUCUUAAGAAAUUUAUUUCUCUCAAGUAUCCGAGGUUAUGAAAUCUUUCCUCCUAGGAUAAAAUGAUUCUCUUUCUGAAAAUAACAGUACCUCAAAUUUUCAGAAACUUCGAACAUAAAAUGAUUCUCUUUCUGAAAAUAGCGGUACCUCAAAUUUUCAGAAACUUUGAACACACUCAAAGAUUUGAUGAUCACACAAGAGUUUUUAUAAGAAGAAAAAGAUUGUUUUUCCACCCAAAAAAAAAUUGUCUUUCCCUGAGGAAAAAUUCAUAUAUUUAUAGCCAUCAAGGUGUUGCUUCAUCAAGAGAAGCAAUGGUUUAGAAAGGUACAUCCCUUCAUAAAAAUGCAACUCUUCGAAAAAGUCACUAUCAUUGGAAAGGUCUUAACCAUUCAAUCCGAAAAGGUGCCUAUUCAAAUUGCAUCCUUUCACUUAGUGUCUUUCCGAAAAAAAACACCACCUUUUUAUUUUUCAUUCACACCUCUUAAUAACCCAACAAUCCCCCACAUGAAUGGAAAAUGACUAUUUUAUCAAAAAUUUACGAACAAGUAUGUGAUCAAUGAGCAAAGACUGAUUGCAUCCGGAUAAGUGGGUUUUCCUUUGAACUUUCUAUAGUGAACAUGCAUCGGAUGCACUCGGUCAAUUGGUAGAUUUGAUAUUUUUGAACCGUCGAACUUUAAUGUACACCUAGACAACACAUGUCACACAACUAACCUUUUACUGUUUAUAAUUCUCACGGUUUUGUUCAUUUCAGCCAUGAACACGUCCUGGUUUCAUGAGAGCGUAGAGAAUAGGCCUUUACUAUCAUUCUCCUUGAAGCGGCUUCCACUUAACCCUCACAUAGGUGAUUUCUAAACGUUCAAUCCUAUAGAUUAAACUAUUUGGUUAAAUCUGCAAAUUUAGAUAACCAUUAAAAAGCUUCACACCAUAAGCUUUAUCCUUGUUUCCUAAACAUUGUCUACAUCAUGAGAAUGGGUUGAGUAUAUUGACAAUGUUGAACCGUCAGUCACAACUUGGUUUGAUCUCCUUGAACCUAGCUCUUGGGAUCUCCAGUCUGCUAGGUAGAGUCACCGCCAUACUGACUUGUCCUAGGCCGUAAACCCAUUCCCUUCUAUGUUCUCUCAACUCCCUCUCUAGGUAGGCCUUUUGUAAGUGGAUCCGACACAUUAUUCUUUGACUUCACAUAGUCGACAGUGAUAAUUCCACUAAAGAGUAGUUCUCUAACGGUAUUAUGUCUCUGUUUUAUAUGACGAGAUUUACCGUGAUAAAUCAUUCUCCCUGCCCUACCGAUCGUCGCUUGGCUAUCACAGUGUAAAUAUACAGCCAAUGGUUUGGGCCAAUAAGGAAUAUCUUUCAAGAAAUUUUGGAGCCAUUUAGCUUCUUCACCGGCUUUAGCUAAUGUGAUAAAUUCAGAUUCUAUUAUAGAGUGGGCAAUACAUGUCUGUUUGGAUGAUUUCCAAGAGACUGCUCCUCCAUCUAAAGUAAAUACAUAUCCACUCAUGGAUUUUACUUUAUUCGAUCCAGUGAUCCAAUUUACAUCACUAUAUCCUUCAAUUACCACUGGAUAUUUAUUAUAAUGCAAAGUAUAGUCUUGAGUAUAUAUAAGAUACCCCAAAACUCUUUCUAUUGCCAUCCAAUGAGUUUUAUUGGGAUUACUCGUGUACCGACUCAAUUUACUAAUAACACAUUCUAUGUCUGGCCGUGUACAAUUCAUGAUAUACAUCAUACAUCCCAACACUCUUGCAUAGUCCAACUGUGAGUCACUUUCACCUCAUUUUUUUGAAGUGCAAAACUCACGACUAAUGGAGUCUUAGCAAUACCGAAAUCCAAAUAUUUGAACUUGUCAAGUACCUUUUCAAUGUAAUAAAAUUGUGACAACGCCAACCCUUGUGGAGUUUUAUGGACUCUUAUCCCUUAGAUCACAUUCGUAACUCCAAGGUCUUUAUAUCAAACUUGUUCUCAAACAUUCGUUUCAUAGCAUUUAUGUUAGAAAUGUCUCUACUGAUAAUCAACAUGUCAUCCACGUAUAAACAAACGAUGACUGUGAUUAAAUGUGUCUUUAAUAUAAACACAUUUAUCACAUUCCUUUAUCUUAAAUCCGUUUGCCAACAUGGUUUGGUCAAACUUUGCACGCCACUCUUUGAGUGCUUGUUUUAGUCCAUAAAGUGACUUAACAAGUUUGCACACCUUCUUUUCUUUACCAGGAACCACAAAACCCUCAAGUUGUUCCAUGUAAAUUUCUUCCUCCAAUUCUCCAUUUAGGAAUGUUGUUUUCACAUCCAUUUGAUGGAUUUCAAGACCAUAUACCGCCGCCAAUGCAACUAAGAAUUGACGUUAUCCGUGUUACAGUCGAGUAUGUAUCAAAAUAAUCAAGACCUUCCUCCUGUUUUAAGACUUUUACUACAAGUCUUGCCUUGUAUUUGUCAGUAGUACCAUCCACUUUCAUUUUCCUUUUGAAGAUCCAUUUAGAACCUAAAGGAUUAUUUCUUGGAGGAAGAUGAACCAACUCCCACGUAUGGUUGCUCAAGAUUGAAUCAAUCUCACUAUUGACUGCCUUUUUCCCAAAGGAUGAAUGUGAAGACGAUAUCGCUUCUUUAAAUGUUUGAGGCUCAUUUUCUAGGAGAAAUGUUACAAAAUUUGAUCCAAACCAAGUUGACGUUCUUUGAUGGGUACUAUGUCUUGGAUUCUCAUCAUUACGUACAUUCUCAUUUGGUUCGUCUAAAAGUCGUUUAGACCCUCCUCUAGACAGUACAUGUUUAGUUUUAUAUGGAUAAAUGUGUUCAAAGAACUCAACAUUAUCUGAUUCAAUUAUCGUAUUUUCAUUGAUAUCCAAAUGUUCAAAUUUAUGAACCAAAAACCGACAUGCUUUACUACUUUUAGCAUAUCCUAUAAAUACGCAGUCCACAGUCUUAGGUUCUAUAUUCACCCUUUUAGACAUAGGAACUUGGACUUUCGCUAGACACCCCCACACUGAAAUAUUUCAAGUUGGGUUUCCUUCCUUUCCAUUUUUCAUAUGGAAUUGAUAGUGUCUUACUAUGGGUCACUCUAUUGAGUAUUCGGUUAGCUGUGAGGAUAGUUUCCCCCACAAGUUUUGCGGUAAAUCUGAACUUAUAAGUAAGGUAUUCAUCAUUUUCUUUAAGAUUCGGCUCUUUCUUUCUGCAAUUCCAUUAGAUUGAGGUGAAUACAGAGUCGUAGUUUGAUGGACAAUCCCAUUCUCUACACAUAUCUCCGCAAAAGGGGAUUCAUAUUCUCCACCCCUAUCACUUCUUAUUAUUUUGAUCCUUUUCUCUAACUGAUUUUCAACUUCUGCUUUAUAUUGCCCAAACGCAUCUAUCGCUUCAUCCUUACUAUUUAGCAAAUAGACAUAACGGUACCUAGCACAAUCGUCAAUAAAAGUUAUAAAAUAUUUUUUCCACCGCAAGAUGUUUUUGACUUCAUAUCACAAAUGUCUGUAUGGAUUAAGUUUAGGGGAUUGGAAUUCCUUUCAACGGACUUAUACGGGUGCUUAGUAUAUUUUGAUUCCACACACGUUUGACAUUUUAAUUUUUUACACUCAAAGUUAGGCAACACUUCCAAACUAGUCAGUUUUCGCAAGGUUUUAUACUUGACAUGUCCUAAAUGACUAUGCCACAAAUUGCUUGACUCUAGCAAGUAAGAAGAAGCCUUAGUUUUCUUCAUUUCAACAACCAUUACAUAAAGUUUGAGAAAGACCCUCAUUGAGGUAGCCAUUUCCUACACAAGUUUCGUUCUUUCUUAUUACAACUUUCUUCGAAAAAACAUACACUUAAAUCCAUUUUUAACGAGAAGUGUUAUCGACACUAAGUUUUUCCUAAUAGUAGGAACAAAGAGAACAUUGUUGAGAGUCAACACCUUGUCGGAAGUCACUUUUGGGAAUAUCUUCCCACUUCCUUCAACCUUGGUUGUUGUAUUAUUUCCCAUAAAGAUCACUUCUUUGGGACCAACGGUAUCAUAAGUAGCAAAAGUUUCUUUUUCUGCUUAAACAUAUCUAGUGGCUCCUAAAUUAAACCACCAUUUAUUUGGAUAUCCAACUAGAUUGCUCAGUGAUCAUAUCACAUAGAUUUUCAAUUUUUCUAGUUGUUUCCAAUAUGUUUAUCUAAUCUCUUUUCUUGUUCUUAUUUAGAACUUGACUAUUUGGAGCUUUGUGGCCAACAUCACUACAAAUGUAGCAAUUUCCUUUGAACAUUUUUUUACUCUGCUCUUUCUCUUGUCCAGAAGACUUCUUCAUCUUCUUAUCAUUUGGAGCAUCAUCUUUAAUAGGAUUUGCAACCAUCAUUGAUGAUUUUUCAUUCAACUCAUUAUCCUCGUCUAUCUUGGAAUGACUCACAAGAUCUUUCAAAUCGGACUAUUGAUUUUCAAUCAUUAUUUUUUUUCUAGAAUAUGAUGAUCUAUACUUGUGAACAUUUGCAUUUAUAGUUUGGCCAGCCAAAAUGACAUCAUUUGUUGUCAUUCUUUGAAGUUCACAACAAAAUAUUUUUUUAAUUUCUCUGCCAUUUUCAUUGCUAGAGCAAUACCUCAAUGACUUAAUGAUGCAACAUUGGUUGUCGUUAAGACAACAUCACUCACAAUCGAAUCAAUUUGUUGUUCAAUUUCAUUUGUCAUUUUUUUGUCAAUUUUUGACAUACUUUUUAGUAUUUCAGAAUACUAACAAUAAAGACCUUAAUCUUUAGCCAACUUGUUUCUAGUCAAUAAUGAAGUUUUUAUAUCUUCAAAUCAUCAACCGAAUGAACUUUGAAGCAUGACGAAGUUUUUAUGACUUCAAAUCAUAAUCAAAUUCAAACAGAGUGAAACCCCAUAGAUUUUAAACUCCAGAAAUCAAUACAGAGAUUUUAACGAAUCAGUGAAGUUUUUAUAUUCUUUGAACCGAAUUCCCACACUAAUUUCUCGAUGAAAUUUUUAUAUUCUUCUAAUCGAGGGAGUAGAAAUCAAAAGAUUUUAGUCUCCACAAAAUCAGAGCCAAUACAAAUUAACCAAAUACUUGAUUUAUAAAUUGUGAUAAAAAAAAAAAAUUUCACCAAACAAGCAGAAAAAAUAAAUAUUUUUAUAAUUUUCUUAAAAUUGUUGUUUUUCUUGGGUUUGGUAUAAUAUGUAUUUUCCAACAAUAACUUCAAGCGCGUGUUCAAAAUAACAUAUGAACAAUCAAAUGGAGUUUAAACUCCAUAUUUACAACUUUGAACGUUUAACAAUGAGUUCAACCCAACUUAUGAACAUCAACAAAAUGAAGUUCAAACUAUUUUUCUGAAAAAUAGCGAAACCAAAUAUUAAGAACUUCAACAUAAGUUCAACCAACUUAUGAACUAUCAAAAUGAAGUUUCAAGAACUUCAAACACAAGUUCAGACAGUUGAAGACUAUCAAUAUGAAGUUCAAACUAUUUACUAAAAAAGUAAAAACAAACAAUACAGCAACAACAACAUCAACAAACCCAAUGUAUUCCUACAAAGUGGGAUCUGGGGAGGGUAAGAUGUAUGCAAACCAAAACGCUACCUCCGAAGAAGUAGAGAGGUUGUUUCCGAUAGACCUCCGGCUCAAGCAAAAAAAAAAAAACAAUACAGAUUAGUAUAAAUUCCUUAAGAUUGUUGUUUCGGCGGGUACAAAAUCUGUAUGUUUUCUAUACAAACCUCAAUACUAAGUUCAAGAACAACUUUCAAGAACUACAAUAAAUUUACAACAACUUCAAACACAAGUCCAAAUGAAUAAUCAAAUGACUAUUAAAAUGAAGUGUUUAUCAACUUUAAGAAAGAAGAUGAAGUAGAAAAUUGUAGAAUAAAGUCCACCGAAUGUACACUGUAUCCUUAAGGAGUUUAUUCCUCUUAAGUACCCGAGGUUAUGGAAUCUUUCCUCCCAGGAUAAAUUCUCUUUCUGAAAAUAGCGGUACCUCAAAUUUUCAGAAACUUCAAAUACACUCAACUAUUUGAUGAUCACACAAGAGUUUUUAGAAGAAGAAGAUUGUUUUUCCACUCAAAAAAGAAAUUGUCUUUACCUGAGGAAAAAUUCAGGUAUUUAUAGUCAUCAAGGUGUUGCUUCAUGAAGAGAAGCAAUGGUGCAGAAAAGUACACCCCUUAGUAAAGGUGUAACUCUUCGAAAAAGUCACAAUCAUUGGAAAGAUCAUAACCAUUCAAUCCGAAAAGUUGCGUAUUCAAAUUGCAUCCUUUCACUUAGUGUUUUUCCGGAAAAAAAAACACCUUUUUAUUUUUCAUUCACACCUCUUAAUAACCCAACAAAAACUGCCCUAGAUCUUUCCAAUAAAUUGCAAUCUUUAGGAAUGUCGUCAGCGGUAAGAUAUUGAGCAAAUUUUCAUUGUCUAAAAAGAACAAUGUUGAUGAAAAACUUAAUAACUUAUUCAUUUUUACAUAAAUGGAGCUAAGAAAGGCCAACUAGCAGGAAAUUUAUGUGCUCGAACCACAGUUUGUAGGCUUUUGACACUUUAUACUGUUGAAAUAAAGUUUUGCUUACUAUCCACUACAUAUUUUGGGGUCAAAUCCGCCGUAUCUACAAUUACAAUCUCAUUUGGGUGUGAAUGAGUAGAAUGACUUAUCCCUUGGUCUAUUAGUGAACCAUCUCUCCAGGGAUUGUGAAAGAUGUUCUACUAGAAAUACUCAUAUCUGAUCAAUUACUCUUUGCGAAUCAUAAGCAUCUAGAUUUUUCAUUAAUAUUAACGAAGGCCAGUCCUAUUCUAGUUCUACUAUCUACGUUAUUAAGAAUCAAUUCCGUAUAUGCAGUUAGAGCUCGUCAUAGUAUUUUGUGAUGAAUUAGGAAAAGAAAUACAUAUCAAGCUGCUGAAGUAAGGGUCCUUCUAAAGUAGCUAUAGCCUAGUGUCAUGGUGGUAAAAGAGAUUAUAGUGAUACCAUAAUUUGCUUUUUCCUCUGAAUUGAUUUACAGAGAUAUAAUUGGAGAUAUCCAACUCGAUGUAUAUUUUCUUCUGAAUUUAUUUUGUGUGAUAUAAUUGGAGAGAACCAACUAUCUUCUGAAUUAAUUUACGGAUUUGGAUCAAAUAUAUUGUCCAAAGCUUACUAUGUCUUGGAUAGAGGCUGAUGUAUCAUACGGACAUUUGACAUUGGGAUUCAUUUGAGCUCAGUGCUUUCGAUGUAGAGCAUAAAUUUAUGAGUAAAAAACACAAAGAUGUAGAGAAAGAAAAAGAGAGAAGUAACUAACUGAGGUUGCGAACAGUGGCGUUGACAGUGUAGCCACGCUGUAGCAACAACUGAACCAGCCAUGAAGCUAUAAAACCAGAUGCCCCUGUUACACAUACAAUCUUUCCUUUUCCACUCUUGUUGUUUUCCAUUGCCGUGUCCAAGUUAGAAUAUAGAGAAAGUAAACAAACAGUGCCUUGUGUUUGGCCAUAUAUGCCGUUUGUUUAAAAUACAUACAUUUAUGUUCUUGGAAGUAUUCACCAACCAUGUCGUCAAGUGAAAAAAAUGCAUCACGUUAUUUUGCUGCUAUUUGUUUCACCUCAUCACCCUCUCAUCUCAAGUGACUUCACUUAAAAACUAAAACAAGAGUUUUAACUCCAAUACUGCGGCUAAAUUUAUACUUAGUCCUUAUCUUGAUUAUAGGUCCUCAUAAAACAGUCGACACUUAAAUAUGAUUUUUUUUUUUUCUAAACAGAGUCAAAACACAAAAAUCACCGAACAAAUUUAAUAGCUGAGAUCUUGAAAGAUUAAAAUCGAAAUCCUUAUUAAAGUAAAACAAAUAAUGAGACAUAAAUACAUUUAUUUCCCAUUGAUUGAAACGUUUAUUUGCGUGUUAAAAAUGUUACAUUUUGAAUAUUUUAGAGUUAUAAUACAUUUAAAUAUGAAGUAAUAAUAAUCUAAAAAUUACACAAACCCACAACUUAAGUUUCAUUUAUUAUAAAAAAUCUCAUCUCUCCAAACAUAUUAUAAAAAUUCUAUUUUUCUCUAAAAAUACAUAUACAUAGCUUUCUUGUAUAUGUCGGCCCUGUUAUGUAUAUGAAUCGACUUUAUUAUGUAUAUGUUGGCCUUGUUAUGUAUAUGUCGGUCUUAUCAUACUUGUUAUAUAUAUGAAUCGGACUUGUUAUGUAUAUGUCGGUCUUGUCAUAUUUGUUAUAUAUAUGAAUCAGCCUUAUUAUGUAUAUGUCGGUCUUGUCAUAUACAAAGAUUUCUAUGUAUAUGUCGGUCUUAUUAUGUAUAUAAAUCAAUACAAAGAGUAAAGUAAUUAAAUGAGAGAGUGUAUAUAUAAUUCUAAUAAGGUUGAGAUUUAUGUUAUUUUUAUUAAUGAUAAUACAGACUUAACAUAGCCCACAAAUAACUAAAUAAUGUAAUGGUAAAUAAUUCAUUAAAUUGUUUGGUUUUUGUCCUGAUUUUCUUACUAUAUUUAAGUUUUACUUUUUUUUAGAAAGAAAAUAAAAAUUACCAUAAUUACUUUUAUUUUUUCUGGAAGAAUUUUCAUAUUUGGCUAACCUCUUUAUUGGAUGGAGGAAAGGUUUUGGACAUCUAUAAAUAGAAGACCCCUCCUCAUAUCAUAAUAUAAUAGCAUUCACAAUGUAGUCAUUAAAAAGUCUUUAUUUAAGGGAGAUUUCUCCCAAUAGGUUUAAUGUUUUUUAUAUUAGGUUUUAUAAUAUGUAGGCCGAUUGGCCAAAACAUAUAAUAAUUUUAUGCUUUUUUAGUAUUGUUUUCUUUGUCGUCUAAUUUAUUGUCUCGAGGUUUGCAAACAUUAAGCUUCCGCAUGACGCCCAAUCGAGUUCGAACCCAACAAGUGAUAUCAGAGCCCACGGUUCAAUAAAUCGAUGGUCCAAUUGUUGAACAAAGUUGCAAUCAAUUUGAUAAUAAUGAAGAUAUAUGUCCAAGCUCACUUUUAACCCUGCAAAAGGGCUCCAAUAUUUUUAACCUGAAAAGGGCUAAUAUAUUUUUAACCCCAAAAACUCCAUUUUUAAACAUGCCAAACAACAGUGAUAUAUGAAGAAUAUAUAUGAAGAACGAAGAUCAUGCACGAGAAGAAGGGGGAGGAUCAAGAAUAUUUUGAAGAAAAUCAAGCCAAAAAGAGGAGAAUUGUUAGGGUUUUUGCCCUAAUUUUCUUACUAUGUUUAAGUUUUACUUUUUCUUAGAAGGAAAAUAAAAGUUAUUAUAAUUACUUUUACUUUUCUUGGAAAAAAAAUAUACUCCCUCCGUUCGGAAUAAGUGAAUUGUUGAGGUAUUUAUUGGUGUUUCAAAAUAAGUAGCCGUUUAGUCAUGAAAAUUAAAAUUUUUUAGAGUUGGAGUUGGAGUUGUGUAUGGUCAUAUCUUUUUUGAAUUAUUUUUUUUGGCUUCUGAAAAAUCUUUUUUAAAUAUAAUUUUAUGUCUUAACUUUUACAAACUAUCAAAAUCGCCCAACUAAAAUUUACCUACUAAUGAAAAAGAACACAAUUAGCCAUUAUUAUAAAAAUAAUUACAUAUACAUGACCAUAUUUAAUGAAUUUCAAUUAUGACAUAUAUAAUAUUUACAUUAACAACCGUUUUCUCAUAUUUGAAAAUUUUAAAUAUGGAUGUUAUAUUAACAGAUCACUGCUUCCUGUUUUUUAGGUAACAAAUAUUAUCUUUCAAAAAAAUUUAUUUUUUUAGGAAUUUAUUUAAUUUAUUUCCUUCAUUUUUCGUUCCUAAAAAAUAGAAAAUGAUGAGUUAUAUCUAUGUAAAACAUGUUUCGCAUAUUUAUGGUAUAUUAUAUCAUAUACCAUAAAUAUAUAAAUAUGUUUUAGUAUUUUUUUUAUACUUUGUAUUUUUAUAUAUGUGUGUCUAUGGUAUAUACAUGGUAUAAACUUCAUAUAUAACAUACUUUGUUAUUUAUAUUAUAAAUAUGCUUAGUAUGUUUCUUAAUACUUUGUAUUUAUUAUAGAUAUAAUACUUUAUAUAUUUAUGGGUAUAAAUAUAAUAUUUUAUAUAUUUAUGGGUAUAAAUAUAAUACUUUACAUAUUUAUGGGUAUAAAUAUAAAUUAGCAGUAAAAUAAUGUCUUAAAUAAGGGAGAAAUUAAAUGAGGGAUAAAAAUAAUGAUGAGAGAGAAAAAGAGAUAUAUAUUAAUUAGGAUAGCAUUAAGUUUGAAAUUAUAAUUAUCUUAUUCUUUAAAACUGCUAUAUACGUAAUAUUGAAAAAGUAAUGUUAUAAGUAGAGUUUUAUGUAAAAAUUUAAAAGAUUGGGGUUAUAUGUAGUAGUAAUAAUAAUAAAAGUUGGAGUUGAAAAAUUGUGAAAACAACAAAAACCUGUUUUCCUUUUUCAGAAAAAAUUUUCGAAAUUAUAUUCAGAAUUUUCAUGGCCAAACACCACAAUUUCCAACUCCAAAAAAAAUUUUCGGAAAAAAAGAAAAAUUUUCCAUGGCCAAACGGUCCCUAAGUGAAUCAUUGAUUUAUUUUUUUUUUAAAUUUACCCUUAUGAUUUGACAAUCAAUUAACUUUUGAAGAAGUAUUACAAAGUCAACUUUUUUUGGGGGGUAAAAAUGGAAAGUUGUGUUAAAUUUAUGUCUUUAAUAUUUUUUCUUAAUCUGUGUGCCAAAAUCUAACAAUUCAUUUAUUAUGAAACGAAGGAGUAAUUCUUUUCCAUAUUUGACUAACCUCUUUCUUGAAGGGAGGAAAAGUUUUGGACAUCUAUAAAUAGACCCUUCUCAUACCUUAACAUAAUAGCAUCCACAAUAUAGUCAUUAAAGAGUUUUUGUUUAGGGGGAGAUUUCUCCCAAUAGGUUUAAUGUUUUUUAUAUUAGAUUUUAUAAUAUGUAGGCCGAUUGGUCAAAACAUAUAAUAAUUUUAUGCCUUUUUAGUAUUAUUUUCUUUGUCGUCUGAUUUAUUAUCUCAAGAUUUGCAAACGUUAAGCUUCCGCAUGACGCCCUCUCGAUUUUGAAAUCGACAUAAAUUUGAUAAGUUUCACAAGCUGAAGGAUCAAGCAUGCUGAAUUUCAAUUGAUCGAAGAUUGAACAUUCUUUAGCAAGAUAUUAUAAGGAUCAAAAUAAAUAUUUCUCAUAUUAGAGGGGCUAAAUAAAAAUUCACUCGAAGGAAAAAAUAAUUUUAUCUUUUGAUAUUGGGAUAAGGUUUAUAUGGUUUACUAAAUGCGGUAUAAAUCUCAUUUCAUUUUUAAUUUUGAAUAUAUAGUUAAAUUUCUUUAUCAUAAUAGUAUUCAUCCAAAAAAAUUUAUGUAUUUUAUAAAGAGAAAAUGCAUGAAUACAAAAAGGCAAAUAUUUAUACUUUUUUUUCUUGUGAAGUUAUGAAAAAAUUAAUGCACAUCAUUUAAAUAUAUUUUUUUCUUUAAAUUAGAUAUUCUUACUUAAAAUUUAGUGUGUGCAUAAAAUUAAUGAUGAUUAUUAUAAAUAUUUUGAUAUAAUAAAUUUUCUACAAAAUAUUAUUAUUACAAAGUGUACUACAAUAACAAAUAUUAUUGAUGUUAUAGAUAGGAUAUUGUUAUAAAAGAAUAAAAUAUAACAUAAAUAAUUAAUUUUGAAGAAAAUCAAAUUGUUCUAACGAGGUGAACUUAUAUGAGAUUAUGAUAUCCAUACGACCCAAAGAGUAUCUUUUAACUGCGUUGAGCAACAAAAACUUUUGCAACUGAACAAGUACAGUACUACUAAAAUGACAAAAUUUCAUUUUAACACCUUAUUGUAGGUAAAUUUUGUAGAGUCAUAUUUUCCAGAACCGAACAGUAGAUCCUCCCUUAGAAAUUCUCAAUUCCAGAUCUCAUACAUUGUGAGCAAUGUCGAUGGAUUCGGAAGAUCCGAUGGAGGAAUCAUCUUCACCGGUGACGGGACUAGUCCCACUGGCAUCACCUUCACAACAGCCUUACAUCUCCGAACUCCUUUCUUUCACUCUCGAUCGCCUUCACAAAGUACCCUUCUAAUUGCCUAGUUUGAUUAUAUUGCUUUGAUUUGGACGAACUUUGAUGUGGAUUAUUUCUGUAGGAACCGGAACUGCUGAGAGUUGAUGCGGAGAGAAUUCGGAGACAGAUGCAAGAGGUUGCCGUUGGGAAUUACCGUGCUUUCAUUUCUGCUGCUGAUGCAUUACAUGCCAUAAGGGAACAAGUUUCUUCUGUUGAUAAGCAUCUUGAGUCCUUGGUAAUUUUUUGCCUUUACGUUGUGGGAAUUUUUGCAAUUGCUUUGAUUUUUUAGGUAACUAAUUGUGUAUAUUAAUCACCUGCAUGAGAAUUACAAUCCAGCUAACAACCACGGUUAGCUCAGUCUACACAAUUCACCUCACCCUCAUCAUCUAUGCAAUCCAGUCCUAUAUCACCUUCAGAAAAUCUAAUUACUACAGCAUCCACGCCUGAAUUAGGCUUUUAAUUCCUACAGGAGCCAUAAAUUUGCUUUGGUUUUUGAUUUGUUGAAUUGCUAUUUUAGUUCUCAUUUGAUUUAAUAGUGUAUAUUGAUCUACAAAUAGGAUAGUAAGCACUGAGUGAUUUGGUGUGUCACACUUCUAUAGCUUGAAUAGAUUUUUAAAAAAAAGUGUUGACUUGAAUAGCACCUAAGGGUGUGGUUUAGUGGUCGAUGAAGUGGGUUGAGUACCAUGAGGUCUUAGGUUUAAAUCCUAGUCGAGACAAAACAAAUCACUAGGUGAUUUGUUUCCGUCUAUUCUAGUCUUACUAGUCUUGGUGGACAAAGUUACUUGAUAUUGCUGGUGGGAGGUGGGGGUAUCAUGUGGACUUAGUCAAGGCGCGCACAAGCUGGUCCCAACACCAUGGUUUUUUUUUUAAAAAAAGGUGUGACUGGAAUAUGAGUGCAGGAAUCUCUUUCCGAAGAAGAUUUAAGCUAACCAGACAAAGCUUCUAAGGACCCUUUUGGCUAGCUUAUUCAAUUUAGGUGUGCCUUAUAGUUGGCUUCAAUGUUAGUAUCAUUUCAAUUUAUUCAUUAAAUUUAUAUCUAGUUUAGUUUCUCUGAUCAACAAAGCACUAUGUUGAACUCAAACUCAAACAACCACAGAGCAUUGGGAUCUAUAAUGGAAACUCAAGUCAUUGGAUUCAAAUCCGCUACCCUAACAGAAAUAGUUACUCCAUUCCAGUGGUAACAACCAAAGAGACGCGCCAAAGAUAUCAUCAUGCUAAUUACAAUUAUUGCAACCAAACUAAUUCUAGAUUGAUACAGGUUAAUUCUUGAAUUUGAGUGAUACCAUGAAAUAUUGUUAAAUAUGGGCAAGUUUUCUCGCUUCAUUUAACUCAAAGUGCAACAAAAAUUAAUCAGAGAAACCCGUAAAAUGCCGUAAGGACUUAGCAAUUUUAAACUAAAAACAUUCUUUAUCCAUAUAAAGAUCAAGCCAUCAAUUGCACCCAAGGGUGUGGCGUAGUGGUCAAUGAAGCGGGUGAGACCUUGAGGUCUCAGGUUCAAAUUCCAACAAAAAACACUAGGUAAUUUCUUCCCAUCUGUCCUAGCCUUGUGGAUAGAGUUACCUGGUAGUUCCUGGUGGAGGUUACAUGUAUCCCAUGGAAUAGUCAAGGUAUCCCAUGGAAUAGUCAAGGUGCGUGCAAACUGGCUCGGACACCACCGCUAUCCAAAAAAAAAAGAUCAAGCUAUCAGCUCUUCUUUUGGCUAUUUUGACACUGAACUUUUUUUAAAAUAUUCUUUUUCCUCUUUGCUUUGUUUGGAAAUAAAUUUUAGGUUAACAGCUUAAAAUAAUUCAAAUUGAGAGGUCUAAUGAGCAAAAGUUUCCUGUUAACUUUGUUACUAGAUUUAAUCAAUUGAGUCAAAAUCGAGUUUAUAUUUAUCUGAACCUUUCAGCGUUUACAUCAAAUUUGGUAGCGCUCAGAACCAAGGAACAUCUUGUAUGCUAUCUUCGUUCUAUCUAAAACCUAUAUGCCAUUGUUUUGGGCAAAGCUUAAGAAGGCUGCUUCACUGGUGAUUCUUUAUGUAUUCACCUUUACAUGCUGCAGUUGUAAUUGCAAAACUAUUGGCUAGUUUUCUGCUCUUGCUUUCCUUUAUUUCUCUGUUUAACUGUGCAAGUGGGAAAUGCAUUUCAUAGUUUCUUAAAUAAAACUUUUUAGGUAGAAAAGGGCGUAAAAACUUAUGGCUGUGUUUCUUGGUUUGCAGAUCAAUGAGAUACCUAAGCUAACUUCAGGUUGCAGCAAGUUCAGCACCUCUGCAGAACAUAUCUUGGAGAAGAGGAAGAUGAACCAAACAUUGCUUGCAAAUCAUAGUACUCUGCUUGACUUGCUUGAAAUUCCUCAGCUAAUGGACACGUAUGUUUUCGUCAAUGCUGUAAGGAUCAUUCGUUAGAAUUGAAACUGCAUCCAUUUCCAAAUUGCAGUUUUUGUAUUUGACUCGUAAAUUUGUGAGAGGAUGAUUUUGGUGCAGACAUUGUAAUUGAGUUAUAAUAUCUAACUUUACUUUUUUAGACAAGGGAUCUUAGUCUAGUGGAAAAGACCUUUUACCUUAAACCAUGAGCCACAAGGUUGGUGGUUCGAGUCACCAAAGGGCAAAGAGAGUAAACUGAGAGGAUGUGUAGUGUUUAGUUCUAGGUAGAAAGGUUUGGAUGUGGGGUUUAGCAUAUAAAAAGAUCCAAGUUUUUUUUUUUUUUUUUAAAUGUUGGGUGAUGAACAAUGUUGUGUUGUUCUUGGAGCCAUCACUGCUGUCAUAUCUGGAGAUUCAGCCUGAAUUGUCUUGCAUAGCAUAGCCAUGCAAGUAGUCAAGCUUGAGGAAGAAGCUUUAUGUGUUCAGAACAUAAUAUGUAUAAUUAUUACUAUUUCAUAUUAGUGAAUGAAUAGUAUCCAUAUCUUUUAGCUUCCAUGUUUUGGUGGUGCCAGACUUGAAUGAUCUCUUAAUUUUGCAGAUGUGUGAGGAAUGGAAACUAUGAUGAAGCGCUUGAUUUAGAAGCAUUUGUUUCCAAGCUUUCAACUAUGCAUCCCAAGUGAGUCCUGGGUCCUUUUUCUUGUUUUACUGUAGGAACUGAUUUAACGGAAUUUAAUGAAAAUUUACUAAGGUAGUUUUGUUUCUUUUUCGUCUCCCCCUGAAGUUUACCAGUCAUUCAAGCCCUUGCUGCAGAAGUUCGGCAAACCACCCAGUCUCUUCUUUCUCAGCUUCUCCAAAGACUUAGGUCAAACAUUCAGGUGACUUCUGGCAUAGAUUUAUUUAUAUCUUGUUACAGUUCUUCUGUUGGAGCAUACUGGAUGAAAGUUGUCCAUAAAUGAUGAUGUUUAAGAUCUUACUGCUUACAAUUUACUGGUGCAGUUGCCAGAAUGCCUGCGUAUCAUUGGAUACUUGCGUCGGAUAGGAGUGUUCAAUGAAUAUGAGAUGCGCUUACAGGUGAGAUUGAUAUAUUUUAACAACAGUGGGUCUAAGGCCAGUUUGCUUUUGGUAUUCAGUUAUUGCGUUUAGUUCUAUUUCUUUACCAAUAUUUGACCAAUUUUGCCAAUUCAACAGUUCCUAAGGUGCCGUCAGGCAUGGCUUUCUGGGAUCCUUGAUGACUUGGACCAGAGAAAUGCUUAUGAAUACCUCAAAGGGAUGGUAAAUUGUCAUCGAAUGCAUCUCUUUGAUGUUGUUAACCAGUAUCGUGCGAUAUUUGCUGAUGAUACUUCAGGGAGGGAAGAAAACUAUGAUGGUGGACUUCUCUUCAGUUGGGCCAUGCAUCAAAUUUCUUCUCACCUUAGAACUCUAAAGUUGAUGCUACCGAAGAUCACUGAAGGAGGUUCUUUAUCAAACAUUCUUGAUCAGUGCAUGGUGAGCAUAUAUAUUUGUGCUAGGCAGCUCAUCGAAAUUCAUUUUGCUCAAGUAAAACGUCUAUUUGGCUGUGAUCAACAUUGAUGUCUUCUUCUUGCAAUCACCAUGAAUGCUAAACACGUGAAAGAAAAUGUUUUGUAAUUUGACUACAGAACAAAGGGAGAUGUAAAUUCCCAGAAUGGCUGGAAAAAAAUAGUUUAAGCUUGUCGUAUCAUUCAAGUAGUUUGUUGCACUUUGGUUAUCCUGCUGGAAAUGUUCCAAGAUUUUGAUAUGAUUUGCGAAAAGCAAAAAGUAAGCAGUUGUAUUCUCUUCUCUCUCUCUCUCUGUCGGAGCAGGAAAGCAGAUGGUGGAGCAAAAAAAGAAAAAAACAUAUUUACCUUUGGGUACACUUGUCUGGUGAGCUAAUCAGGUGUCCCAUAUAACUCAAAAGCUAGUAUUAAGCCUAAAAGAGUAGAGGCGAAAUCCAUCCUUUUGUUUCCUUCUAGUCGCUUUGCGUUUCCCAGUCAACUUCAAUUUCUAACCUAACCUCUUUCUCACAUUUGUGGCCAAUUUCAAUUUUCAACACAACUUUGUCAUAUCUAGAAUCAUUCUCCACUUUGGCCUCUAUCUCCAUGAAACCAAAGCAGAUGGCAUCAACUUAAUUGUCGUUCUUCCAUGUUAGCAAUACAAAAUAAGUAGGCUUCAAUUCCCUGCAAGCUGAAAAGUUAAAAUCACUUCACAUGUUUAAAUUGUACACUGACUUGGCUCUGAUGGCAUAAAAUAUGGUAGAAAUUACUUAUUAUAUGUUAUAUUGAAGAGAAGUAUUAGUUACAAGAGUAUGCCUGCAGACUUUUUCUUAUGUUCCCUCCGUCCUGUUUGAUGUGAUAUCAUUUGACUAGCGUGCUCUGAGAUAGAGAUACGGACGUACACUCUACCCUCCUCAGAUCCCACUUUGGUGGGAAUACCCUGGGUAUGUUGUUGUAGUGGAAAGUGUGAAUAGCACCAAAAUUUAGAAUUUGCUUACUAAACGAGUUUAAGUUCUUGAAAAUUGUGAAGCUUUUAUAGAAUUGAACAGUUACAGCUCACCGAGGACAUGACCCUAGAUAGGAAGGUAUGGAAGAUGCGAAUUACGGCAGAGGAUUAGGGCCAGUUCGGGUCGCUAGUGUAGGGAAUUAAUUGGUGGGGGGGUAUUCCUGUUACGAUUCCGUAUUCAGUGUUUCGUGUUCCGUGUUCCGUGUUCCAUGUUUAUUACGAAUCUGUGUGCUUUCCUCUGCUUUAUAUUCCUGCAUUCCUGAUUUACUCUGUUUUAUAUUCCUUAUGGGUGCCGUAUUUAUGUUAUGUCAUCUGCUUCUGUGCUGUACUAUGUGUUUGUGUGAUAUCUCGUGACUUGAGCCGGGGGUCUUUCGGAAACAGCCUUUCUACUUCAUCAGAGGUAGAGGUAUGGACUGCGUACAUCUUACCCCCCCCAGACCCCACUAAGUGGGAAUACACUGGGUUUGUUGUUGUUGUUGUUGUUGUAUUAUUUUGAGAAUUGUGUCAAACAAUUUCCAGAGGAAAGACUGUCAUGUAAAUGUGACUAGGGGAGUGUCCACCCCCACUUUUGGAGGAUUGUUCUUUUGGGUAGGGUUGGGGGUUGAAGAGGGACAGUAACCAUCAGUUCCUUUCUGGUUAUUAUCUACGAGUUUAGGUGAAUACAGUUAUUGCUUGUUUCGUAGUCUUGCAAUAGUUGUUUCUAUUGUUACACUUGUUAUUUACUCAUUCACUUGUUAAAUCAAGAUUUGGAUUUUAUUCACUUAUUUAUGAUUUAUUCUUUUGUGUUGACAGUAUUGUGCUAUGGGGCUUGGUUGGGUUGGAUUGGACUUCCGUGGCUUGCUUCCCCCUCUUUUUGAAGAGUACAUACCUGAUUGGUUCUUUGUGAUUCUGGAAUGUUAAAAUCGGUCACUAAGCUAGUUCUUUUAUGCAUUUGAUUUUCUAAUGACUUUUGCAGGGCGGUCCUAAAUCUCUUUUCGAAGAACAUGAAUGCAGCUGUUGAGAAUUUCCAGGUAUAUAUUUUAGACCAUUGACAAAAAUAUUGUGCAUAGCACAGUCGGCCUAAAUGGGAACACUUUUACCUUAUCGUCUGAAGUAAGCAACCUAUCAUUCUUCAUUCUGAAUUGGUAAUAUGUAUACUUUACUUGAUUCCAGUUGGUCCUCGAUUCUCAUCGCUGGGUUCCAUUACCAGCAGUCGGCUUUCCUACCAGCAGUUUUAGUGAAGAAAGUCAUGAAGAUGUUACUCCUCCCUCAAGUCUAAUGGAGCACCCACCUCUGGCUGUCUUUGUUAAUGGUACGUUACUAGAUCAGUUCACUACUUAAGUAUAAGCACCUUUGCAAAGGUCCCCUUGGGCCCCUUUUGUUCAUUGCUCUCAAAUGUUAAUUCACCAAAUAAAGGACAAGUAGUACCAAAGAAUGGGAUUUCUUAUGCCAGCAUGAGAGAUAUCUAGGUUUUUGAAUUCAAAAUUGUGCUUUGAGCUCUUGCUGGAGUACUCCAAUAAAUUAAUGGUUUUAUGCAUGCAAGUAUGUCAUUAGAAUUGCUUAAAUGUCUCCAACUCUGCCUAUGGUCUCGUACCAUGCAAAGGAAAGUUUCUCCUAGAAUUCUGCAAGUUCAUUCAUUGGGAUUUCCCAUGAAUAAAUAAACAACAAAGGAUCUUAGAGAGCGACUCACUUUUCUGUAACUUGUGUGGAGUUCACUCUGUUUCAUCUUGUUGAAAAUCUAAACCCGUUUUCGAAAAAAUAAAAAAUUACGGUUGCUGGAAUUUUUUGAGUUCUGAUUAUGAAAUCUGGUUAUCUCCUAGUUGAGAACUCAACUAUAGAACUGAUAAUUGUUCAUCUUGUCUAACAUCUCUAAUUUGGGCUAAUUAUCUUCAUUGAGAGCUACGACCUCCAGGUGUGUAAAAGCUGUCUUUGAUAUAUUCCAAAAAUUGAGCUUCUAUUUAUCACGGUAACAUUUGCAGGGCAUCAUAUUCUCUGUGAGUUGUUAUCGUAAUCAAUUUAUUGUUGAGCUGAUACUGUCAUGACUAAUGGUUUCAACACCGCCCUGUAUCAGUUAGGUGUCAGGUUCUAGUCCCACCAGAGUCUUUUUCCCCUUUUAGCUUCCAUUCCUCACUAUUCAUGGGCCCAUCCGCACCAAUUAAAAACAGACAAUAGCUUCACCAACUACUAAGAAUUAUUGACCUUUGCACUAAUAAUAUAACCUUUGGCCUUAUGUUUAAAGCUCAAAAAAAAAGGAAAAGAAAAUCGUAGGCUUUAUGAUUCAACUAAUUGCUAAAUAGUCAUACUACCUUUGGCCUUAUGUUUAAAGCUCAAAAAAAAAAAGGAAAAGAAAAUCGUAGGCUUUAUGAUUCAACUAAUUGCUAAAUAGUCUUUUUACACUAAUCCAGAUUUGUAUGCAUCCUCCGUAUAUAAUAUGCAGGUGUCUCUGCGGCAAUGAAUGAAUUACGACCUUGUGCUCCCUUAAGUUUAAAACACGUGCUUGCACAAGAACUGGCGAAAGGAUUGCAGGCUGUUUCUGAUGCUUUACUGAGAUAUAACACUACUCGCAUGCUUCGAGAGAACGAGUCUCUGCUUUUCCUAUCACUAUGUCGAGCAUUUAUUGAGGUACCAUCAUAUGAACUUGUUUGACCUUAAUGUACAAUUGAUUUGUGCGCCAGUUGACUCAAGCAUACAAAUUAUGUACCUUUCAGGUUGCUUUUCCACACUGUGUUACUUGUUUUGGUCGUUGUUAUCCGGGUGGAGCUGCUCUUAUAGCCGAUGCCAAAACUCUUUUCGAUGGAAUCAGCCAACUAUUGGCAACCUCUUCCUCCAGAGAACUUCCAAAACCAGUUUGUAAUUCAGAGGCCAAGAGUGUAUCAGAAAAUGGCGAUGUGACUAACAAGGAAAAUGGGGAAAUUCCUAGCACUGAACAAACUGAGAGUACCAACACAGAAGAGGAACCCGACAAUGUCCCCUCAGAAAACGAGGAGAAGCCUGAUAAUGUGUCAUCAUGAUAUGAAGAGCAUAUGCAUUUAGGAAGCCAGUUGAUAUGUACUCCUGUUCCCGUAUAGAAAGUACUAAAAGAGAAUCAGAAAGAUGCUUGUUUUUCCUACUUCAAAUCCGGGGAGUAACUUUUUCAUCCAAUGAGAUAGUGAUGGUGGCUGAUUCAUUAUGACCAGAUAGCUAUAUGAUCAGUCACAUUUGUAUUCGUUCUAAAGUAUACUGCUCAGAUGCAGUUCGGCUUGUAACAUAUUUGAAAAAAAAUUCUUCCUGUUCCACCUCACUUGAUGAUAGUGUUACCAAGAAUUAUACAAGAUUUUGAAGUGUAAUGAAGAUUUUGUAUACGCUGAUGCUGUAGGGUUUUUAAAGCACUAAAUUGUAUGAGCUCUCAGAAUUGUUUAUUUUUUCGAACCAAGUGGGACUUGUAUGCUUCUUCCUUUUGCAAAGUUCUUAUUUUUUAAUUGGGGGUAGGGGAGGGGAAAUGAGGAGGGGGAUUAACAUGUGAUAAAUUGAACCCUCACAGCUGAGGUGGGAGUUUAGGUAGCAAACCAACCAGAGUCUCACAACUUUGAAAUUCAAAACAUGUAUCUAUAGGUUCUUAAUUUCCCAAAGGACGAUUAAGCUUGUCAAUUUUCUUUUAUGUUGUCGCGAUCUCCUUGAGAGCUUAGAUAUGUUGCCGCUGAUUCAUGCCGCAGCAAGUCGAAAUGUUCAAAAACUUGUGUUAUGGUUUUGGCUUCAUGAGCCAUUUGAGUUACCAGGUUGUCUUGUAACUUGUGAAUCUUUGCAAGCUUUGAAACUGAACUUGUGUGGGGACGUACUUAAACUGCCUAAUCAUUUGGGAUUUCGUCAGCUGAAAUUGCUUCAUCUUGAGAGUGCUGAGUUACCAAAUGAGCACUUUACAAGUUGCUUGUUCUCAAAAUGUGAUGUCCUUGAAAAAUUGGUCUUAGUGCAUUGCAAUUUGGCAUAUAUGACUACUUUAUAUUGAUUCGCCAUCUCUUUAAUACAUUACUGUUUCAUAGGGUCUGGUGUUUUGACAAUUGUGAAAUCAAAAUUUCUUGCCCCGAGUCUCAAAUCCUUAACAUAUAAAACUCCAGUGCCAAACUAUAUACUAAUCAUGAAUCUCUUUUCAAUAGAAGAUGUUCACAUCUUCUUUGAUUUUAAAGGCUCAAUUGGAAAAUCGGAGAAUGAUUUAAGGAAGUCCCUUCUAUAUCAGUUCUGAAACUAUGCAAGGCUUCACUUAAGGUAAAGUUCUCUUUAAGUUGAGCAUAGAAGGUAUAUACAAGUGUUAAAACAUAUAUAAGCACAUUUUUAACUCUCAUUUUUUGUUGUUCUAGGGUCUCUGCAAAGAGUCUCACCAAGGAAAACUCUCUCCCAUCUCCUUUUAUAAGCUGAAGUCCUUAAAAGUUCUCGAGGUGGCAAUCUCAGUUCAUAUUUAUAAAAUCAACCCAUGUUACCCACAUUUUAAUGAGUUGGAUCGUUCGUAUUUUAGUUAGGUAAAUAUGGACUUCAAUCUCUUUUUAACCCAUAAUAAUAUGGACAAAUAUGGGUAAAAUAUGGGCAUCCAUCUCUAAAGUCGAUUGGUUUCAAAGAUGAAGAAAACGAAAUAGAACUAUAAGGUUUUUUCUGAAGAAUGCACGGGUACUGGAAAAACUUAUGAUUGUUUGGACUGGCUAUGCUCAUUUAUCAGAAGUGACAUCAAAGGAGGUUUUGAAGAUUCCUAGAACUUCCUGUAUGACACGGAUCCUUCAUGUUUAUGAAACUUCUGUGUAGUAGGGUAUGGUUUAAAGUUCAUUUGUUAAGUGUCAAAGAAACAAUUCUGACGUUGAUGUUUUUGCAACAUGUUAUUCAGAAAAACACAUCCGAACAUCUAUAGAGAAUGUGUCAUAGUUGAAAUAAGCUCAGCAAGUACGAGCAUUUCUUGUUCCUUGUCAUCCUUAUACAGCAUACUCACUAGCUUACAUAUUCAUGUACAACAUGUUUAAACUGCUUGCCUUACUAUUGUGAGUUUUCCUGAAGUUGGAAGAUUACAGACAACUUCCCUUGUUCACAAACUCACUUGAAAAUUGGGCUUUCAACAAUUGGGCAAGACUCCUUUCUUUGUUAAGUUUUCAGAUCCACAAUCAUUAUUCUUUCUUGCAGAAUUGUUAGGCUUAUUGACAUCUGCAUGACUUUCUAUUAAUAGCUCUUGUUUCUUAAGUCGAGAAUAUAAUUUAACCUUCUGGCCAUGAUACAUCUAUGCAACUACAAAUGAAAAGUGAAAACAUGAGCAAAAGUAGCAAAACUGAACACCAAGAAAACAAAAUUUCAAUUACGCUAGUAACAAUGGGCUUAAAAUGCAAUUGUUCUAUUAAAAUAUACCUAUAAAAAAAACAAAAUUUCAAUUACGCUAGUAACAAUGGGCUUAAAAUGCAAUUGUUCUAUUAAAAUAUACCUAUAAAAAAAACAAAAUUUCAAUUACGCUAGUAACAAUGGGCUUAAAAUGCAAUUGUUCUAUAAAAUAUACCUAUAAAAAAAAAAUUGCAAUUACAUUGCAACAGCCUAGGGAUGUCAUGUUGACAUUAAUCAAAAAAACUGGGAGUUGGUAAAGAACGCGAUCAUGCAUAUAUUACUUUGGAUCUUUUCUUCUAUUUUUGGCCAAACUGCAGAAUGAACUUCUAAAAGCUUUCUUGCCUUCUCCUGCACUUUUGACUGGCAUCGAACUGUUUCACCAUGAAUCUGUCCAGCACAAGUUAAAAGACAUGUUAAACUACAUUAUAUUCAACAAACAUCACAGAAAAAUUUCAACUAAUAGCAAAUUUGCAGUUAAGACUUGUGUCGGUAGAUGGAGCCUCGGAACACUCUUUGAACCUGUACUUGACGAUCCCUCUUAGCAAAAUCGUGCAAAGAAUAUAAACUAGAGAGCUUGUGAAUCCAGAAAUUUACCUUCAAAAACAAUGUAAUCAGAGCCUGUAUAUACUCAAAAUUGGUUCCGCAUGAAAGCUCAUGUAUAAAGUAAUCAAGUAGCAGUUCAAUAAAAUGCAAUUCUUGUCUCUUCUCAGGCUCCUGCUCGUCAUCGUCAUCUAUUAUCUGAAGCAUCCGCAGCUCCAUAUCCAAUAUUGAAGGAGACAAGCUUUUGAUAUAAUCAGUGAAUGGUGCAACUGCAAAAGGCAAUAAAUAAGUCUUCCUAGAGUCUGUCCAAUAAGGAAAGUAGAUACACAUAAAGAGAAGGAGAAGAGCUUACAAUUCUCUUUCUCCGCGCAUGACUGAAGAAUUUGCAAGAAUUUGGACACUGGAAGAUCAUUUUUCUUACUGCUCACUUCCAAUCCAGUAUUUUGCGUAUUAUUCUCCUCAUUAGUACCUUCGCUUGGUUUAAAUACUAUCUCACCGGACAAAGAUGGAAUUGAAGGCAAGAAAAAAGGUGCAUUUUCAGGUUUCUUUGGAGGCUCGAUAGGUUUGUUGCGGGCCUUAUUGUUCUAUAAAAUAUACCUAUAAAAAAAAAAUUGCAAUUACAUUGCAACAGCCUAGGGAUGUCAUGUUGACAUUAAUCAAAAAAACUGGGAGUUGGUAAAGAACGCGAUCAUGCAUAUAUUACUUUGGAUCUUUUCUUCUAUUUUUGGCCAAACUGCAGAAUGAACUUCUAAAAGCUUUCUUGCCUUCUCCUGCACUUUUGACUGGCAUCGAACUGUUUCACCAUGAAUCUGUCCAGCACAAGUUAAAAGACAUGUUAAACUACAUUAUAUUCAACAAACAUCACAGAAAAAUUUCAACUAAUAGCAAAUUUGCAGUUAAGACUUGUGUCGGUAGAUGGAGCCUCGGAACACUCUUUGAACCUGUACUUGACGAUCCCUCUUAGCAAAAUCGUGCAAAGAAUAUAAACUAGAGAGCUUGUGAAUCCAGAAAUUUACCUUCAAAAACAAUGUAAUCAGAGCCUGUAUAUACUCAAAAUUGGUUCCGCAUGAAAGCUCAUGUAUAAAGUAAUCAAGUAGCAGUUCAAUAAAAUGCAAUUCUUGUCUCUUCUCAGGCUCCUGCUCGUCAUCGUCAUCUAUUAUCUGAAGCAUCCGCAGCUCCAUAUCCAAUAUUGAAGGAGACAAGCUUUUGAUAUAAUCAGUGAAUGGUGCAACUGCAAAAGGCAAUAAAUAAGUCUUCCUAGAGUCUGUCCAAUAAGGAAAGUAGAUACACAUAAAGAGAAGGAGAAGAGCUUACAAUUCUCUUUCUCCGCGCAUGACUGAAGAAUUUGCAAGAAUUUGGACACUGGAAGAUCAUUUUUCUUACUGCUCACUUCCAAUCCAGUAUUUUGCGUAUUAUUCUCCUCAUUAGUACCUUCGCUUGGUUUAAAUACUAUCUCACCGGACAAAGAUGGAAUUGAAGGCAAGAAAAAAGGUGCAUUUUCAGGUUUCUUUGGAGGCUCGAUAGGUUUGUUGCGGGCCUUUAUUAUGUCAAGGUUGAUCAAGCUCUGCCAUUGACUCUUAGGCAAAAGUGAAAGAGUGACUAGAUCUGGAAUUUGAGGGAUUGAAUUUAGAAACUGAGAAGUGUCAGAGGACUCCAAUGGCUUAAUUAUAGUUCUGGUAUCGCUGUUUUCACCGUCUUUUUCAGAAGAAGUGGAUGGCAUCUUAACGUUGACUAUUUCUUUUCCACUUCCAUAUGAUGCAAAGCUGGCAGCUCCUGAGAACAUCGCUUGAUUGACCCACAGAUAGACACCAUUUUGAUCAACAUGUGACGUGGCCAAGAUAUCCAUAUUAGGCGAUAAAGAUAAUCCAGUGAUAGACAGAUCAACUUGUAUUGCAUCUAUCUGUCUAGCUAAAAUUACAUCCCAAAUUCUGAGGGUCCCAUCCAUACUGGAUGUCAAAAGCCAUUUCCCAUCCUCACUAAAGCACAUAUCAGUAAUACGGUCAGUAUGGCCCUCAAAUUUACGAACCAACCUCUGUGCAAUAACAUCAAAUAGACGGAUAACUAAAUCAUCUGCUACAGUCGCCAAAAGACCAUUAGAACGGUGGAACACAAUCUUGACUAAGGAACACCCAACCUCCCAUUUAUACUUUAACUGGCGUCCUUUGAAGUCCCAAACUUUUACAUCGCCAUGGUAUCCAGCACUUAUCAUGAUGUUAUUUGUCGCAUCACAAGCUAUGCCAAUCACUUCCCCAUCAUGAGCAGCACUUUCACCUUCCAACACAUCAACAUAAUUGCCACGGCUGAUUCCUGACUGAAGAUUAAAUCGCUCAAUCCAACCGCCGGCAGUUCCUAGUACAGCAAAAUUGCCACAGGCACUAAUAGCACAAGCCUUGACUGGAGUUGGAUUUUCAGGGCAUGGGGUUAAGAUAUGCUCGCCAAGAACAAAAUUUUGCAGCCUCCAUACAUAAGCACGCGGGGUGUCCAUGUGACAGGUAACCACAUUACACCAGUCGCGUUCCCUAAUUUCAGCAACAUCGAAUGCAAUAACAGGCUUCAAUUUUAUCUCCUCCUCUUUCAACUUCAGUUUCCUCGCUCUUUUAGAAACAUGUCGUUGGGAAAGUUCUCUACUUUGUUGAUCUUGAACAACAGAAAAAAGACGAAACGCUCGAUCUUGACCAGCGGAUAAGAUGUGACGCCCAUUUGCAUAGAACUUGAUACAUAGAGGAGGAGCACUAUGACCACUUCUAAACCGUAGUAAACGAGGAUCCCCAUCACUUCUAUCGAAGAUCCACAUUUUUAUUGAAUUGUCUGCCGAUGAACUCAUGAGGACAGGCUCAUUAGCAAAGAACUGAAGUGAAACUAUGGAGGAGUCAUGGGCUUCCUUGAUGACAGACUGCAGCCUUCUUUUCUCAAGAUUCCAUAUGCUUAUAACACCAGAUGAACCUCCAGAAGCAAGAAGAGGCUGCCCAUCAGUGCUGAAUGACAAGGCAUUAACAGCGCCUCUUGUAGAGUGACUAAAUGUAGCUACCUCUUCAUCAUAGCGAAGGUUAUGGACAUGAAUCUUCCCAUCCCCACAUCCGGCAGCAAUAACAUCUAGUGCUGGAGAUGAAACACAACAAGUAAUAGAAGAUCCCCAUCCCUUGAACUCAUAAAUUUUCUCCUUUGUGCUUAUAUUCCAUAGUUGCAAAGAACCUUCUUGACUUCCUAAAAUAACCUGUUUGAUUAAUCUGUCAAGUGAAACAUAGGAAAUCAAAGGAACUACUAAAUUAUUACCUUUUUCCUCAAUUAAGAGGCGUGUUUUCUGGGUUGGGGGGGUUACUAUUGUCACCAACUCAUGCUUUAGUUAUUGUGUUACUCAAAGUUAAAAAUAGAAAAUCCAUACCUUAUUUAAAUAAGUAUCUGGAUGCAUUAUGCAGCUAGGGGAGAAUUUGUCCUCAAGCUUUAUGUGUCCGAUAGGAGCAGGAUUUUUGUCUAUACCUUUAAAUUGCCAUAUGAAGAUAUUGCCUUCAACAUCAACACUUAGGAUGUGUUCACCAAAAAGAAGCAACUGGUUCACCUUAGCACUAUGGCCACUCCAUGUAGCCACCUGACCAAACAAAAAACAUUUUCACCAGAAAACAAAAAAAUGCUCAUUAAUUACACACUGAAACUCGAAGAUGAGCCCAAAAGAAAAAUCUUAACCAAAAUACUUAAAAGGAAAAAAGGAGAGGAAAAAAAAAAGUUGUUAAUAAUAUAUCAAGUAGAAAGAAAGACACAGUAACAGGUAUUAUAAGGCCAACCCUUGCACCAUUUGAAACAAAAUCUGAUCUUCAUCCAAGCAAAAUGAGGGCAAAAGGUAAGGAAGAACAGAGAUGAGGAUUAAUCAAGUAGAGAUCCCCUGGCACAGGUUCUUCAGUAGAAUUAUCCUCCUACUUUAGAAACAUUCCGAUCAUUGAUAAAUUUUAGGAAGUUAAAACUCAUCUGCGGGGUAGGGGUAGACCGAAGAUAUACUGGACAGAAGUAAUUAGAUAUGACAUGGAGCAAUUACGGCUCACUGAGGACAUGACCCUUGAUAGGUAGGUUUGGAGGACGAGUAUUAGGGUAGAGGGCUAAGGGAUGUGGUUAAGUCAUAGGCUGGAGUUAGGAGAGUUUCGUGUAGCUUGGUUGGUAGGGCAAGGGUUGGGGGGAGGGUGUGUCUUUUGUUGGUUCAUGUACUUAUUUGAGGUUGUUGUAUCGUUGUUAUUUUAUCAUGUUGUAUGCUUGCGAUAUUUGAACACGGUCUCGGUCCUUUUCUUGAGCCCGGGGUCUAUCGAAAUCAAUCUCUCUACUUCUUCGGAUGUAGUGGUAUGGACUGCGUACAUUCUACCCUCCCCAGACCCCACUAUGUGGGAAUAUACUGUGUUUGUUGUUGUUGUAAAAUUCAUCCGCACUUAAAAGGAAAGCUUUCCAGAGAUCAUGAGUUUUUGUGAAUGAAAAAUGACAAGAGUAACAACAUUAAUGGCCCCAACACAAGGCCAAGAAUCUACAAAGCAUAUUAGGAAAUUCGAAGGCGUUCUUCAAAAUGAUACAAGAGUGAUGUGAUCAAUCAUCACUAGAUUCUUUUUCCUCUUCAGGGAAGUUCGUUGGAGCAGGGAUGCCUCAAUGGUUGAUUUUUUUUUUAUUAUUUUUUUUUGCGGGGAGGGGGUGGGGGGUNNNNNNNNNNNNNNNNNNNNNNNNNNNNNNNNNNNNNNNNNNNNNNNNNNNNNNNNNNNNNNNNNNNNNNNNNNNNNNNNNNNNNNNNNNNNNNNNNNNNNNNNNNNNNNNNNNNNNNNNNNNNNNNNNAAGUGCAGGGAAAAAAGAUUUAAGAAUGAAAUUAAAUAACUCCAUAUAUAAUUAGAUACUACUUUUUCCACCACAAUAUGUUGAACUUAAAUAAGUCUGAUAUUUGGCAAAAGUUCUGAUUCAUGUUUGACACUUGUAUUUAGUAUGGACAUACAUGAAGAUUCAUAGAUUACUAUAUUUUUGGAAACUAGUAACCACUAACUUGCUUUGAAAAGAUAAAUCAAUUGAAGUUGAAAUGAAAAUUGAUGCAGGUAGAUUGGAUAGGAUAUAGAGAAUCCAUAUAGCCAAAACAACAACUCUUGGAUUGAGGUAUAGUUGAAUUUUAGUUGACAAUAAUCUGAACACGGCAGUAUAGCAAACAAGAACAGGCCACAAUCUAGCAUCAAAACUAAUACUAAAAGUAAAAUUAAACUGAUCACUGUUUCUAGAAGAGUAGAGCCCAUUGUUUCUCUUCUUUUUUUUUGUCCAGCAGCACAUUGUUUCUCUGAUUUGACUGAAAUAAUCUUCUUACAUUAUGCCUUUUUCUGUAUAUUAGGCAACUGAGCUUCCCCUAACCCUAUAAAUGCAAAACACUGUGAUGAGUUGGCUACCAGCAGGAACAGCCCCUCACGUCUCCUUCUGAAGAUAAUUUUCUCUUAAAACUUGUAUCUAUUUUUAUAUAUCCCUCUUAUAAAUCCCUUUUCACCUUGAAAAUUGAACUCCAUAAAGAAAACUUGAAAUGAAGAUUCCAGUUCCAACAUCACUGACAUUAAUUCUCUCAUCCUAUAGUUAUUGAUUAAUUACAGUUUGUGGGAUGCGAAUAAAGACCUGGAUUCUAAGCAUCAUUUCUUUUUAUAUAUUAAUUAGAAGGUAAAACUAUUGAAUAGAAAAAUGGAACUUUCUUAAAUAACUAUAGGAUGAAGCUUUCACGGAAACCCAAAAAGGGUAUCAUGAAAGGUUAAAAGAGACUCGAAGUGUUUUGUUUCUAGGAACUUAAGUAACCCAGAACCAGAUUUUAUCUGAAGAGUAUCAGUUCCCCUGACGGUGAUCUCUUCAAGGAUGUGUACAUUAAAUUAGGAAUAUUUUUGCAGCAAAGCCAGAGUAUCGCAGAAAACUGAAAAGAAACACAAUGAGCUCCAUCUGUUCUGAAGUCCAGUAAUGUUGGUCACGCAGACUAUGAACGACAACUAAAUCAUACCAAUUUGGUAUGCAUUCGAUAUCUAUCGAACUUUCGUCUUCUUAUUUCUCAGCUUGGAACCAUUCAUUUACAACAGAAGUAGCUUGAUAAAUUUGGGCACAGAAUUGGAUGAGUUCACUGAGCAUAACAAUGGUUAGUCUGGUAUUCAAACUGAAAGGCUGAGAGACUACAAUAGAUAUUCUCAUAGUCCAACUCAUUGGUACACAUUGUGCAGUAUAGAGUAUAUUCUAGUUAUGCUCAGCUAAAAAAAGGCAGUUCGAUGCACAAAGCACCACGCGUUGGUAGAGCCUGGGGAAGUACAUUAGUGGCUGCUUCCACGGCUUGAACCCGUGACCUACUGGUCACACAAAGACAACAUUACCUCUGCUCCAAGGUUUCAUUAACUAUAUUUCAAGAACCCAUGUGUACAAUGUUAUGUCAUCUGCCUUCGUCCUCUACUAUUCCUACUUGGCUUCUUAGGAUAAUAAUAUAUUUAACUGUUCAACACUCCCUUUAACAACUAAAAACCAACUAAUUUCUUCAAAUCACUAUGUCCGAGUACUUUUCAGCCUACAACUACUGAAGAUAUUCAAGAUUACAUUAAUACAUUUCAGUCUAAGAUCACCCACAGGAUGUAAGAACGAGAUAAAGUCUAUAGGAGUAAUUUCAGAUAUAGGACUCCUAAUUUAGAGUUAACAAGUUAAAUAAGGGUAUGAAUAUCACAGAUCCUUCAACAUACACCAAAAGAAGCUUAGUAAAACUUGAACAACAGGUAUACAUAACCAUAUCCAGGUCCAUGUAAUACAGGCUCCUUCCCUUCGAUAUUCCCCUUUCUCUGUGUAACUUAAGAGAUCUAACUAGUGCAUAAACCAAUUAGCAUGAAAUCUUAUUCUAUUAACAACAACCAACACCUCACAUAACCUGCACCCAGCAGCAACUACAACAACAUAAACAGUGCAGUCUCACAAAAUGUGGUCUGGAGAGGGUAGUGGCAAAAGUCAUAAAUGAAAUAGAACUCUCUGUCUCAUUCCCCGCUAACCGUGAACAGAGUGAAAGGCUGGCCAAGAGUUUUUUAUAAGGGGUCUUUUUUCUAAAAUAUUCCCCGAGCUCACCUAUAUCCUAUUUCUCUUCUAAGGGUGAUCCUAUUCCUCAACUCACAAUAAGUAAGGUAGGGACAACUCAAACAGACCUCAGCUCUACCUCAGAUGUAGAGAGGUUAUUUCCGAUAGACCUACUGCUGAUAACCUGCACCUAGCAGCAAAAAGAUAGGUUCUUUCUCACUUUCAACUACCCCCAUCACCCCCACACACAAAAAACCCCAAACGCAAAAACCCCAUAAUUUCUAAGUUCUGUUUUUUUUAAUAACCAUGGUGUCCAGGCAAGCUUUCGCACACCUCGACUAAAUCCGCGGCUACCUGCCACCUCCCACCAGCAACAGUUUAUCCUUAUUUAUCUAUUAGUUUUCAGUUCUUAUCUUCAGCGCGGGGUAGAGCAGUUUGGUAGCUCGCAAGGCUCAUAACCUUGAGGUCACGGGUUCAAAUCCUGUCUCCGCAACAUCUUGUUUUUCCAAACUAUUUUAGGGUUGACUCUGGUAACUAGUAAUUAAUUCCCGCCUUUCGCUUUUUGGGGGUGGAAGGCAAAAGAAAACGUAGGGGAUAUCAGGUAACUCUGUCUAACAAGGGUCGGACAAAUGGGAAGAAUCAUCUAGUGUUGUUUGUCCAUAAUUUCGAAGUUGUAACUGAAUCAGAAGUUCAAAUUUAACAAAUUCCAAGAAUUAAACUGCUUAAAAAUACUGAAACUAUAAAAAAUAGCUUACCAACAAGAACCAAACUGAGCUUAGCACACUGCACAUUCAAAAAGAAAUCCAAAAAUUAAUUAAUUAAUUCUUCACAAAAUCAAAAAACUUGAGAAUAGUGAAGGAGAGGGCAAGAGCUACAUUGUAAAUUUGGAAAGCUUUGCCAACAGCGACAGUGACGAAGGUUUCAGUACCAAGUCUCUGUACAGAGAAAGGAACAUUGGUCGUAAUGUAACCAAUUGCUCUAAAUGGCUCGAAUAUCCCCAUUUUCUUUGCUCCACAAGAAAAUUGAAGAGCUUUGUAAAGAUUUAGGCUACUACUAUGCACAAGGGUUUAACAAGUGUAAGCUUUAAACCCUAAUUUGUUGCACACCCUCGACUGUGUGUAUUUGUGUGUUUCUCUUUUCGUAUUAUUUUUUGUUUUAUGUUUUACUCCGCUCGGUCCAACUUUACUUACCCACUUUUGAACUUAAAACGCAUCUCACAAACAAUAAAUAAUAGAACUAAUUUUACUACAUUAUCGUUUAAACAUAAUAAAAUAAAGAAUCGUUUGAUAGACAGGCCGGCUUCAAGGUGAAGUCAUCGAAGCAAGCGCUUUAGGUUUUUAAUUUUUGGAGACCUUAUUUUUUUAAAGCAUUAUAGGUUUGUAUUUUUUUUUAGAUUUUUUCUUUAGAAAAUAUCAAAUAUUUCUUAAUAUUUUUGUCACCAUAUUUUAAUUUCUCUUAAGUUCAAAUAAAAACAUCACUUUAGAAAUUCAAGAUUAAAGUUGACAAUCAACAUUAAAAAAUAUCUUUUAAUACUCUCAAAUCUAAAAAAAAAGUCUAAUAAAUAGAGGUAACUCAAAAAAUCAUAUCUUCUAUUUAUUAUUUUGAUUAAUGGGGCGAAAAGAAUCAAAGCAACAAUUACAAUUGAAUCAAAGAAGUUGAAAGAUAAGAUGUAUUUCGGUCAAAUAAAAAGAUUUUACUAUUUUAUGAGUGCAUUUUUUUUCUUAAUCUUAUGUAAUUGUCUUAGCUGAAAAAAGUUUUUUUUAAAAUAAAAUUUUAAAAAUAUUACUUAAGCUUAAAAAAUAAAUAUUUCAAGAGUUAUCAAAUGAAUUAAGCAUAGUAUUAAUUGAAAAGGAAUUUUUUCAGAUAAAUCAAUUACAAAACAAUUUUAUUUAUAAUUUUACACCUCAAAAAGCUAUAAAUAUAGAUUUGUAAAAAAAAUAUUCAAAACCUCAUUUUAAAAUUUCGCUUUAGGCCACCAAUUAUGUUGAGUCGCCCCUGUUGAUAGAAUACAUUAAAAAAUUAAUACAUACAUUAACUUUAUGUAUUAUUAAUAUCUUAUUUGAUACACAUUUUCAACCUACACUCUAUUGUGUAUUAUGUUAUUCAUAUUACAUUCUUGAUAUUAGCAACGAAAAGGACUUUAAUGCAUGCAUUAGCAAGAUAAAGACGCAAUAGUCCCUCAAAAACUUUUUCACAUUAUUUUCAUUAUAUUUGUGGAGGAUAUUUUUAUAAAUAAUUUUUUAUUAAAAAUAUGCAAUGCAAGUUAUUUUUAACAUGUCAAAUCAAACACAACAUAAAAAAUAAUUUUGACAUAAUUAAUGCAAACAUAAAUAAUAUAUCAUAAUUUGCACUAUUCUUCUACACCCUACAAAAUGAUUCUUAAUGUCUUGAAAAAUGCAUUAUGUACCGAAUAUAAUAUUUACUAAUAAAGAUAAAAAAUACACAAAUAAAUAAAUUAAGCACUAAUUUUUUGAAUUAGAUAUCUAUUUUAGUAACAUGGAUAAAUAAAAAUGGAUAAUGUAUUUAUGUUUUAAUAAAUGUAUAUUUUUUUAUGUUUAUUUGUUGAAAAGUUACUACUUUCGUUCAAUAAUACUUGUCUAUUAUUGUUUUAGCACAAAAAUUUAAAUAAUAUGAAUAAUUUUAUCAUAUUACUCUUUGAAUACAAUUAAUUCAGUAUUUUAAAAAAUAUACUAAAUAAUGACUAUACUUUAACCGUCGAUAAAAUAAAUAAAAAUAAAUAAAUUAUUUAUUAAUUUUUUAAAUUAAAAAAAUAUUACUAUAUAUAUUGUAGGAACCCCUACCUUGAACCCUUGGGGGAGGGUUGAGGGGGGCUUGCUUGAUUGUUUUUUUUUUGGUUAAAUAUGAUGUUUCAUAAGUAAUUUUUCCUUUCUUUUUUUUGUAUAGUUUUUUUUUUUUUUUUUUGGUUCUCACCCAUUGUUCAAUAUCCAUAUUGAAACUUUGAUUAAUUCAAUAUCCAUAUUGAAACUUUGACUAAUUCAAAUUGUGCAUUGUAUGGCCCAUUCUGGGGGUGACGCUCCCAACGAGAUUUUCUCCAUACCCAGGGCUCGAACCUGAGACCUCUGGUUAAGGGUGGAGAAGUCCCACCACUACACCACAGUCCAUGUUGGUGUAAAAUCGUUUAGAAUCUUAAACUUUGCUGUAAAAAUCAAACACCCCCUCAACUUUGAACAAUAAUCAUUUUCCUUCCUUUUUCCUAUUUGAUAUUUUUAAAUACGUAUUUUACCCUUAUAUUUAUAUCAACAUUUGUAUCUUUUUAAGAAAAAAAAAUUAUAAAAAUAGUUUUUUAUUUUUUAAUCUAUAUAACAUAUUUUAUAUAAAAGUUAAAAAAUAUUUUUAUCAAACCCACAUUUUAACUUUAUUAGUAAAUUCUUUUAUAAUUAAUUACAAAAUCUAAAGGUACUUUUUACAUUCAAAUUUUUUAUAUUAUCUAUAUUUAUAAUCUAUAUCUAUAAUAUUUUAAAAGUGUGAAGACCCUUAAAAAAGUGGUUAGAAUUUUUGUCCUUCAUUAAAAUACUCUGCCAUAGACAAAAUCGUCUUUUCACCUUUUUCCACCAAUUAUUAUUUAAUUAAAUUAAACACUCCUAAAAUAUAUAGCAAUAACAAUUCUAUGGUAAAAAAUAUUAGGAGAAUUAAAAUAUUUGAAUAUAUAUGAAAAGUCUAAUUAGCUAAGGAGAAUUAAUGCUACUUUAUAAAAACCCUAAAUUAAAAAUUAUGUCAAUUAAAGCAAAAAAAAAAAGUCCAUAAAAGUAUUCUUGAAUAGGAAUGCAAUGAUAUUGAAGAAGCUAUAUUUAUAUACAUAAUAAAAUAAGGAACAUAUUCAUAUAUACGACAAUAAUACUCAUGUUUUUAAAAUUCUUUUGAACAUUGCUAUUUUUAUUUAUUUUGUAAAAUAAAGUUUAUCCCAAAUAAAUUGCCUCCCUAAUUAAAUUGGAAAAAGAUUUGUAUAUGAUAUUAUAUAAAAGGCGGUGAAAAGUCCCAUAAUAAUUUCAAUUAAGAAAAGAAAUUCAACAAUGAGAAAAGUUUUUAUCAAAGUUAUUAGAUGUUCUUUAAUAAAUAUAAAUGGUAUAAGUCAUUAUUGCUUGAUUCUUUAAUAUUUUUGUGUGGAUGAAGAAAAAUUCAUGUGGAGAACGUGAUUGAGAUUUUGUGUCCAUUACAAGCGAGUUUGUAUUGAAUUUUAUUUCUAAUGCAUAAUAAUACUAUUUAUAUUGUUAAAGUUAAAUUAUUAGACGUUCUUCAACUAAUAUUCUUCUACGCUUUUAUUUAUAUGCAUUGUCUUUUUUUUUUGUCAGUUGGUGCUAAGAUUUGAUGUAUUUCUAAUGUCAUGAUUUGCUUGAUACUGGUGGUAUUGGUUUGAUACCUCAAUAUUGUCAUAUUAUUUUGUUGUAUUCUACUAUGUUACCUUCUACUGUUUUAGUUGUUAUUGUUUCUUUAUUGUAUUUCAGUAAUUACUUUUUUUAACGACUUUGGACUGUUUUUUCUUGGGUCGAAGUCCUUCAACAAGCUGAAGUAUGAAAACUUAACAAAUUGAUGAGUGUUUUCAUAUUGUGAGUAGUUGAGAGUAUUUGAAAUUAUAAAACUACCGAAUAUAUUGUUUUAUUGUAGUUUCUAUUAUAUUAUCAUCUAUUAUUUUAUUAUAAUCUAUUGUUUAUUGUACUUCUCUAAUUACUUCUUUAUUGAAUUACUUUGGACUGUUUUUUCUUGAGCUGAAGUCCUUCAUCAAGUUGAAGUGUGAAUACACUAUUAAUUGAUGAGUGUUUUCAUAUUGCGAGUAGUUGGGGGUAUCUGAAAUUUUAUAGAUGCCAGUAGAAUUCAUCAUUCACUUUUUUGAAUAUGCAAUUUAUUAUUUAUCUUCGAAUUUUGAGUUCUACUUAUUGAGUUUGCUUUAUUGUUUUUCCUUUUCCAGUUUAGUUUGUAUUUGAUUGACAUGUCAUGAAAUUUAUUUUGUGAAGUUUCAAUCUUGCAGAUUCUUGAAUAGACAUAUCUUGUUUAUGUUUUAGUACUCAUUAGAUGCUUAUUUUCAUAAAAUUUUAAUGGCUUUAACAAAUUUAUAAAUACAAUAUAAAUUAUACAUAAUAACAUUUUAUAUUAAUCAUAUAUUCAUUGAACACAUACAUGCGCAAAGCGAGUACAUCUAAACUAGUAUGUAUUAAGUAUGUAUGUGAGUAUGUAAUAUGUAUAUAAAUGCAUACUUUGAUUUUCUCUUAUUCUUUAAUGUCUAUAUAGAUAAACAAGUUUUGGUUGUUAAUAUGAAUUAUUUUCUAAAUUAUAAUUUAAAAUUCAUCAACAACAAUCAUUUGAUUUGUAACAAAUAUACAUCUACAACAUCAUAUCUAGUGAAAAUUUUUAAGUGAGGUCUGAGGAGGGUAGAGGUACACAAACCUUACCACUAUCUCGGUGAGGUAGAGAGAUUGUUUUCGAAAGACCAUCAACUAUUAAUUAUUUUGUAUACCUAUAUUGAAAUAUAUUUAUAAAAUUAUAAUACCUAUUAUUUUCAAGUAUAAAUAUAUAUUAGAGUUUUGAUUUUUAAUAAAAUUAAUUUUUACUAUUGCUCAUUUAUAAUAUUAUAGUUUGUCAUUAAAUUAUAUACUCAAUUAAUAUUUCACACUUUUAUUUUUUUAUCUUAAUAAUAAUUUUUAACCUUUAUACAAAAUAUGUUGUAUAGAUUAAAAAAUAAAAAAUAUUUUCAUAAAAAGUUCUUUUUCAAAUAAAAAAAGAUACAAAUGUUGAUAUAAAUAUAAGGGUUAAAUAGGUAUUUAAAAAAAAUCAAAUAGAAAAAAGGAGGGAGAAUGAUUAUUGUUCAAUGUUGAGGGGUUUUUGAUUUUUAUAGCAAAGUUCGGGGGUGUAAACAAUUUUAACUCUAAAAAUAUUUAAAGGUGUAUUUGGAACAAUGAAGUAAUAUUUUGUGAUAAAUGUAUUUUCUCAAAUUUUUUGACUGGAAAAUUUAUUUUCUCAUAAUUGAUUGGUGAGUUUGAAAGUAUUUUUUUAAAAAUAUAUACUAUAUACAAUUAUAAUACCAAUAAAUGUGAGAAUGUUUUGAUAAAAUCCUUUAGUAAUAAGAUAUUAAUGAUGUUUAAAUUUUAAUUAUAAAUAUCUAAAUAAUUCAUAUGUUUUUAAGGCCUAAAUAUAUAUUUACAUGAGGAUUAUUGACAUCAAUAUGACUAUUGAAAAAUAUUUGGGAGUAGUGAAUGAAUCCAGAAAAACAAAAAUAUAUUAAAUUGAUGUUGAUUAUGCAAGAUUUAGUUAUUCAUAUAUUAAUUACUUUAUCUUUUAUUCUGCAUAAAUAGUACAUAAGUUUUCUCAGAACUUAUACAUAUAUUAGUUAUACGCAUUUUUAAAUUGCAAAUCAAACAUCGUAUUAAUUUUAUACAUGAAUAAUUUACAUUCCAACCAGUGAGAUUUAAUAUCCGCAUAACUCACCUCCAAAUCAGCUACCAAACGCCCCAUUACAGAUAAAAUAAUAUUUUAAAACCUUAUGUGUGAAAAAAUAAAAAGUCUCGUAAAAGAAAAAAGAGAAAAUUUCUUAAAUAACAAACACGAGUCCAUAAUUAAUUUUUUUCGUAGCAACAUGUUGUUAAUUGUAUCCCGUAGCCACUCACAUCUUUCUUUUAUAUAUGAAAAAAUUACUUAAAACAUCACCUUAACUUUCCAUUAUUACUUAAAACCCAUCCCACUAAACUAAAUACAAAAAUCUUUUCUAACUCAUAAAAGUAGCUUAUUUAAAGAUACAUCACAAUUCACCCCUAUUACUUCACCUAUUGCGCCGCAAAUCUCACCAAAAAUUUAGGUAAUGUAUCCGGCUAUUUUCUAAGUAAAACUUUCGAUUGUUUUUAUUACAAUUUCUAUAAAUUAAUUUUCGUCCAUCUGUUAGACUAUUAUGCAUCAAAAGAUAUUUUACUCUUCAGCAAUGUAUCAUAUAAGCUAAUUGUUGUUUUAUAACUUAAUGUAAAUUAUAUAAUGUACCAGAUAUUUUCAAAAAUAAGUCAGGUAUAAUGCAAACUUAAUCACAGUGAUGUAUCUCAACCAAAAUAAUGUAAUGUAUCAGAAACUUAAAUUAAUAAUACAAUAGUAGAUAUAAUAUUAUUGUAUUUGCAUAUAAAGUUAUGUAUCAUAAGAUAUUUAGCUUUUAAUAUAAUGCAUCAGAUAAUUUUUACACAUAUAAAAUAUUAAGCACAUUAAAUAUAAUAAUGUAUUAGUAACCACAAAUAAGUGUAAUGUGUCAUGAAUUGUAGUGUAUCAUGAACUCAAUGUUAUUAAAUGAGAUAUUUGUUAUCAUAAUACAAUAUACAUAAGUUUUUACAUAAUAGGAAAACUUAUGAUAUUUGUUACCAUAAGUUAUUAUAUGACGUAUAUUAUGUAAUUUAAACAACAAUUUCUUUAAUUAAGCGCAUUAAUUGCUCAACUGUAAGUUUAAUUAUCGUUUCUUUCCAUUUUUAACCACAAUUAAACAUUCAUUAAUGUAUCAUAAACUAAUGAAUCAUGACGUUAACUAAUGUAUCAUAUCUGAAAUUUUAUGUAAUUAUUAUAAAAGUAGGGAGAGAGAAUAAUUAGGUAGUAAAGUAUUGGGAUUUAUGUUGUUUAUCCUUUAUAUAUACUCCUAUUCUUCAUGUUUUCUAUCUUUUCUCUCUAGCCUCUUUUUCUUUCAUAUAUAUUUUUUUUCUUGUAUUUUAUAUUUUAUAUUUUCAUAUUUCUCCCCAUCUCUCUCCCUUGCUCGUUUUUUUUUUCUUUUUCUUAUUUAUAUUUUGAAUUUUAUAUUUUCAUCUCUCUUUCUCUCUCUUGUUUUAUUUGUCUUUUAUAUUUUUUUUUUGUAUCAACUAAUGUAUUUUGUGUGAAUUUAUCAUUUUUAUUUAGAUGGUCCAAUCAUGAAUAUGUACCAUUUAUCAAUUAUAUUUGUAUAUAAACAAGUAUAUGAAUUACUUAUAUUUGUUUGUAAUGAAUUAUUUAAACAAACAUGUAAUGUAUUAUUUAAUACAAAUAUAUCGUUUCGAUUUGUAUGUCAAAUUUAUUAAUUGUUUUGUAUAUAAUCAUGUAUUAUUUGUAUAGUUAGAAUUGUAUAAACAUUUAUUUUCUGAUACAAAUAUAUUCUUUAAAUUUGUAUAGUUCAAUUGUCUUAAUAAACACAAUUCGUAUCAGUGAAUACAAAGACAAGUAUUUAUAGAAAGAAAACAAUUCUUUUUCAAUUAUUUAAAAAUAUAAAUAACGCAAUUAGUCAACUAUAAAUAUAAGUACAAAUAUAAAAGAAAUACAAAUAAUGCAGUCGACUACAAAUACAAACAUUUCAAGAGUUCGUUGAUAUGCAAAAUACAAAUAUUAGCCAUGAAAAUUUAGGUGGCACAAUAUUCAAUGAGAUUUGACCAUAGAGAGUUAGGACUUUUUACGUGAUUGGACAAAACCCAAAUGGAUAAUUGAAUAAAAUCUCAAAAAUGGAGGAGUAUGAGGCGACGUUAUGAUUUGGGAUACUCCUCGUAGGUAAUUCUUAGAUAAAGGAAUUGAGAGAUAUUGAAGAGUACCCAGGAUAUAAAGAAAAUGAACAAAAAGAGUAGGAGAAAAGUAAUCGAAAAAUAAGAAGAAAAUAGACAUAUAAGGUAAUUAAUGAAAAUGUUGUGCGGUAUAAUUAAAAUGUAAUUAAUAAAAUCUCUCUCUCUCUCUCUCUCUAUAUAUAUAUUAUAAAACAAAGGACGAAGCACUAGAAGAAGCCAUGUGGCAAAAUGCUGAGAAUCCAUGUGGCAGUUUUUAGGACAAUUUUAAAAGUAUUGUAAUAAGAUCUUUAUAAUUAGUUGAAUUUUAAAAUAUAAUAAAAUCUUUAUUAUAUAUUUGAAUUUGAAAAUAAUAAUACUUUUAAAUAAAAAUAAUAAAAAAUUUAUCAGCUUAAACCUAGCAACCAUAGUUGAAUAGUCUUAAAUAAACUCUAACUAUUUCAUAAUAAUAAUAAUAAUAAUAAUAAUAAUAAUAAUAAUAAUAAUAAUAAUAAUAAUAAUAAUAAUAAUAAUAAUAAUAAUAAUAAUAAUAAUAAUAAUAAUAAUAAUAAUAAUAAUAAUAAUAAAACUCAUAAUAUUACGCUUAGGGUGAUAUAUUUAUCAAAAAAUAUUUUAAAAAAUAUAAUAGUAAUAAUAGUAAUAACAAUAAAUAAUAAUAAUAAUUAUAGUAAUAAUAGUAGAAGACACGGAGCACUAAUUUUUUAAGUUAGAAAAAAAGUAUGUUGCGGUUAGCAGUAGUAGUUUUAAUAAUAAUAAUAAUAAUAAUAAUAAUAAUAAUAAUAAUAAUAAUAAUAAUAAUAAUAAUAAUAAUAAUAAUAAUAAUAAUAAUAAUAAUAAUAAUAAUAAUAAUAAUAAUAAUAAUAAUAAUAAUAAUUUAUUGAAGAGAAAAUCUUAUAUUAUUAUUUUUUAAAAAAUAUUUGAAUGUGAAAAUAAUAUGUUUUUAGAUUUAAAAAAUAACAUAUUUUCAUUAGCUUAAAACUAGGAAAUCAUGAGUGGAGAGUAGUAAAUACAUAAAUUUAAACUUUUUAAAUGCUAUAAAAUAUAUUUAUAUAUUAAAUAUAAAAUAAUAAUUUUUAAAAUUAUCAUUAUUAUCUCAUUAACUUAAGAUAUUUAUCUCAAUUCAAAUAUAUCGAUAAGAUAACUAUAUAUUACAUUUGAAAAAGGAAGGAUAAGAAAGCCUAAUAAACUAGAUAACUAUGAUAGUGUUUGAAUUUAAACAAAAUUUGAAUUGGAAUGAAAUUCCAGAUUCUUAGGUUCUCUUAUAUAUAAUCCCAUAUAUAUAUCAUUAGCUUUAUUUGGAAUGAAUUUAUUUACUGCAUUUUUUAAUUCUUCAUAUUUUAAAAACUAUUUUUGAUUGAAAGAAUAUGUCAUUUUUCAUCUUUAUUUUCCUCCAUUAAUAUUCAAGGUACAUCAAUUUAAUCAAUCUGUUUUUCUUAAAUUUAUAAAAUUCAAUCUUUUGUUGUUUUUGAACAAUAUAUAUACAUGCAUUACAUGCUUUAUUAGGUACUAAACUAUCUGAAAAUUACAAUAUGUGAAUGUUCAUGGUGCCAUGACAAAUAAUAUUUUGUAUAAUAAUUGUAUAUCGUACUUUUCAUCUAUUUUUACUUUUUAGAUCCAUGAAUCUUGAUCAUUUCAGGUUACAAAACAAAUAUGUUUUUGAUUCUACAACAGCUAAUUUUUUUUCGAUUUGAUAAAUAUUAUUUUUACAAAAGUACUAUCAUUUAUAUAUAGAUUUUUUAUUUACCAAAAAAAAAUUCAAGAUUUUGUGCACCAUCAUUCUUAUCUUUUAUCACUGAGUUUUUAAUGAUUUUAUGGAUGUGUUCAUUAUGAAGAAAUAUAAUUUUUAGGAAAAAUAUUUUUUUAAGAAAAUAAAUUAUUUCUUACUUAUAUUUUUUGUUCGCGACGCAAAUAAAAAUAUUUUGUAAAAGCAUAUAUAUACUCUAAUACUAAACAAUAAAAAUGAAUAGUGGCAAAAAGAUGAAUAUAGUCAGAGUGAAUUAGAAAAGGUGGGGAUAAUGUAAGGGGGUGGUCUAGGUGGGUGGAGGGUAGGGGGUGGUGAAUUCAGGUUUAGUUGAGGUGGAUAGGAAAAAAGAUUCUUAAAAAUAUAAAUUAAAGAGUUUAAAAUUUUUUUGGGUUAGAAAAAAGAAAUCUAAAAAUAAAAUAAUUUAUUUUUUUAGGGGGGAGGGGUGCUAAGAAAAAAGUUUCUUUUUUAAAAUUAAAAUAAAUAAUUUUUAGCUGUUGAGGGGAGUCAGGAGUGUGAACUGGGGGUAGGGGGUUGGGUAGGGUAAGAAAAAAAAUUUAAAAGUUAUAAAAUAUAAAAUAAAAAUUGGGGGUGAGGAGAUGAAUGAUUUUGAGAGUAGUAUGAGAGAUUUUAACUAAAUUUAUUUAAAAGAUAUAAGAAUACAAAUAAAUAAAAUACUUAGAAAUAUUAGUGAUAAAAUCAAACAAUGAAAAAAAUUAUGAGCAAUUAAACUUUAUUUGAAAAUUGAAAAAGGUAUUAAAUUGUAUGUGCUUUGUUUAUUGAACCAAGAGUGUUGAAAUUUAAAUUUUGAAAUUAGAGUUUUUGUAAUUGUCACAAUUAAGUGUUUUGAAAUGAAAGUGAAAGAUAAAAUCUUUUUAUAAAAGAAAUGUAGUUAGUUGUUGAAGUUGAAUUGAUAGAUUAAAAUAAAAAAAAUGAAAAUGUGAAAUGAAAGUAAGUAUUGUAAUUACAUGCCUUAAUUUAUUAAAAAUAUAAGAUAAAAUCCCAAUAACAAAAUUAAUAAUUAUUUAAUAUUAAAUAAUUUAUUAUAUUUAAAAUUAAAGAGGAGGCUGGGGUGGAGAUGGUUAGGGUUUGAUUUGUUUUUUUACUAAAUUAUUUUUUUUAUUGGUAAAUAAUAUGAUACUUAAUUUUUUUAAGGUAAUAUGCUUUAGUAUGCUGGAACGAGAUAUGUCAAUAUAAAAUAAUUAAAAAUAUUAUUUUAAUAUUAUUCGUGCAUCGCACGGGUACGUAUACUAGUAGUUUUAAAAAGAGAGGACAAAGCCUCUACAUCAAGCCAAGUGGCAGUCCAAAAAUAAGUCACUUGAUAGUUUAGAACAAAAUAUAAUUAGAAUAGUUAUUAGUUGCUACUAUUUUUAAUUUGCUUUUAACAUUUUAAAAAUAAAUUUAAAUUUUGGCAGAAUUUACAGUUGGCAGUUUUUUAAAAAUUCAAAUUUUAAUAAUUAUAUAGAUGUUUUAGUCCUAAUAUACUGCCAACUUCCAUUUAUUUUUAAAAUUUGAAACUUAUACAACUUCUUACACUUACUAGAUUAUCCUUUAAUCUUUAAAUUAGAUUCUAAUUAUACUUUUGAUGUAAAAUAAUUUUACGUAAAAAAAAAAUCAGUUACAACUUCUACGAUUUUUUUUCUCUUAUGUUGAUCACCUUUUACGAUAUUUGUUUCAAAAUCCAACAACAUCUAUGGCUACGUGAAAUAACCAAUGUUCUAAGAAAACUCUCUUCUACCUCGAAAUCAUCUGGAAUGUAUGGAUGUUUGCUUUUCAAAUGGCAAACAUGAUCUACUGUUCUGAUAUUGCUCAAGGACACAGGUAACUAUUAGUUAGUAUAUUGCUAGUUUACCUACUUGAUACGACGUUAACUUAUUAAUCUUGAAAUAGCAGUAAUUAUACAAGCAAUACAUACCAAUAUUACUACCCAUAAUAAAAACUUCAUUAACCCAAACAAAUCUUUCUGUAUUAAAGCAAUAUUUACAGAAUAGGUGCUACGAUUUUCUCUCUUAUGCAUCCAAAUAUUGUAGUAUCGGAUAGAAGCAUCAUAGCUACUAUAUUCUAUGAUGAUUCUUUUGGAAAUUUUGAAUAGUACUAUUGUGAUUAUAUUAUUUGUGCCUAUUUCAAAUCUAAUCCGCAUUUUAUUCAAGUUGAAUAUUUGAAUAAAACAUAUAUAUUUUUAAGAUAUUAUUCGAACUUUUUUAAAAUUAUGUGUUUAGGAGUAGCCAUGACAUCUUUUGUACUUGCUAGUGAUUAUAUUAUGCAUAAUUAUGAUUAUGAUUACAUUAAUUAUUAAUAUUGGUGAAAUAGAAAUAAUGAGAAAGAAGAGUGGGAGGAAAAUAGUUGUUUUUAGGAUAAUGGACACAAAUUGAGAAGAGAAGGGGAAAUAAUCGAACACUAAGCAGAGGGUAAAAGUUUAUUCACACCCGAUGUUUAUAUCAAGUUAAUACACGCAUGUCAUGUAUUUAAAUUUAGAAUUCAUUUUACUUAAUUAUAAGUAAUUAACAUAUAUUUUAUUUUACUAAUUAAGGUGUUACUAGAUUGUUUUAUUGGACUGUGUCUGAUUACUUCAACGAGUUGUUUCCUUAAUGUAGUACAACACAUUGAGAGUUGUUGAGACUUGAAGCUAUUUUUCAAGAUCCAGAUUGGUUACUGUUGGGUUCAAUUGGAGUGAAUGGAAAAUGGAGGGACACAACCUUUUGAGGAAAAGACACAUUAUUUUGGAAAAGGAGUGGCUGUUCGGAUAGUUGUGUCUGUUCAAAAAAAGACACAAUAUUUUGAAUGAACAGACAUGACUCUUCCAAAUAAUACACCUUUUCGGAUGAACCAUUGCCACCUUUUAGAAGGGGCACAUUAUAGCUAUAUAAACCUAUAUUUUUUCCACAGGUUUAGAAUGAAAAAAUUUCUGCAUAAGAAAAAUAUUCUCUUGCUUCUAAAAACUCUGUGAGAUCAUCUCCCGUUGAGUGAGUUAGAAGAAAACCAGAAAGUUAGAGGUACCGCUACAUUCUGGUUGUGAAGUCAUUUUAUCCUGGGAGGAAAAUUUUGCAACCUUGGGUACUCGAGGGGAAUUAUUUCCUCAAGAGCACUCCGUGAAUUCAGAGGACAUGACUUUUUUCUGUUUCAUCUAUUUUUCUUUAAGAAACUGAAAACAUACUUCUUUGAAAGAUCAUUUUGAUCUUGUGUUGAAGGUGUUGGACAACUUCAUAAGUGUUCUUGAUUUAUUCUUGAACUUGUGUUGAAGUAGUGUUGAAAAUACAGAUUUUGUGUACCUGAAAAAUAACAAUCUUAAGGAAAUAAUAUUACUAAUCUGUAUUGUUUCGUUUACUAUUUUUUCAGUAAAUAGUUGAACUUCAUAUUGAUAGUUCUUCAACCUUUUGAACUUGUGUUUGAAGUUCUUGAAACUUUAUUUUGAUAGCUCAUAAGUUGGUUGAACUUGUGUUGAAGUUCUUAACAUUUGAUUUUGCUAUUUUUCAGAAAAUAGUUUGAACUUCAUUUUGUUGAUGUUUAUAAGUUGGGUUGAACUUAUUGUUAAAAGUUAAAAGUUGUAAAUAUAGAGUUAAAACUUCAUUUGAUUGUUCAUAUGUUAAUUUGAACAUGUGUUUGAAGUUAUUAUUGAAAAAUACAGAUUUUAUCAAAAUUGAGAAAAACAACAAUCUUAAGGAAAUAACUUUUGAAAAAAUAGUAUUUUUUUUUGCUUGUUUAGUGAAAUUUUCUUUUCACUAAAGUUUUUUUUUCGGAAUCUGUAUUGCUUGGUUUCUGGAGAUUAAACCUUUUAGCUUUCUACUCCGUUUGAACUUAACUGGUGAUUUGAAGAAAUAAAAAAUCUUCAUCACAAGUUAAAGAUCACUUGGUUGACGAUUGGAAGUCAUAAAAACUUCAUCAUUAAACUAGAAACAAGAGGUGUUUAAAGUUGCUCCAACUUUAUUAAUAGUAUUUUGAUAUACUAAAGUUACUGUCUUGUUAUGAUAGGAAAGUGACUAUGGAUAGUCAAGUGCAUGAUGUUGCAACGACAGUGGCUGCAACUAGUGUUGCCACAACGAGUCGUACAAAUGCUCCGCCGACAAUGGCACCAACGAAGAAACCCAAAAAGUUCGCGGGUAUUAACUUCAAAAGGUGACAGCAAAAAAUAUUUUUCUACCUUACAACUCUUUGUCUUCAAAGGUUCACAUUUGAGGAAGCUGUAGAGGUGCCCGAGAGAACCUCUGAACAAGAGCGAUUUGUGAUUGUGGAGGCUUGGAAACACUUAGAUUUCCUUUGCAGGAACUACAUCUUGAUUGGUCUCCAAGAUGAUCUCUACAAUAUGUAUAGUGGAGCAAAGACAACAAAAGAGUUGUAGGGAGCGCUGGAACGAAAGUACAGGACAGAGGAUGCAGGAACUAAAAAGUUCUUCGUUGUAAGAUUUUUGGAAUAUAAAAUGAUAGACAACAAGUCGUUGUCUCCCAAGUGAAGAAAUUCAAGAGAAAGUGCUUUAACUGCGGCAAGAUUGGCCACAAGUCUACGGAUUGUCGUGCUCCAAAAAAAGGCAAGAAAAAAGACCAAGCAAAUAUGGCUGAGUCCAAGAAAAAAAUGAACGAUCUGUGUGCUAUGUUGUUCGAAUGCAACUUAGUGGAAAAUCCUUGUGAAUGGUGGAUAGAUUUCAAUGCCACCCACCAUGUUUGCGCUAAUAAGGAGUUAUUUGCUAAUUUUUCUCCGGUUUAAGGGGAAGAAAAUAUCUUUAUGGCUAACUCCGCUACUGCAAAAGUAGAAGGAACAGGAACAGUAUGCUUAAAAAUGACAUCAGGCAAAGUGUUGACACUCAAUAAUGUCUUGUAUGUACCAGAGUUAAGAAAGAACUUGAUUUCUGUAUCACUUCUAGACAAGAACGGAUUUAAAUAUGUAUUUGUGUCCGAAAAAGUUCUACUUAGUAAAAGAGAAGUUUAUGUAGGAAAAGGCUACCUCAAUGAGGGCCUAUUUAAAAUGAAUGUAAUAAAUGUUGAAAUCAAUAAAAGUUCAGUUUCUUCUUACUUGCUUGAGUCUUAUGAUUUAUGGCAUGAACGAUUAGGCUAUGUUAAUUACAAAACAUUGAAAAAAUUAAUUAACUUAGAAGUUUUUUCAAACUUUGAGUGCAAUAAAUCAAAAUGUCAAACGUGUGUGGAAUCAAAGUAUGCUAAGCAUCUGUAUAAGUCCGUUGAAAGAAUUCCAAUCUCUUAGACUUAAUCCACACUUACAUUUAUGAUAUGAAGUCAACACCAUCUCGUGGUGGAAAAAAGUAUUUUAUAACUUUUAUUGAAGAUUGCACUAGAUAUUGUUAUGUCUAUUUGCUAAAUAGUAAGGAUGAAGCAAUAACUGCGUUUAGGCAAUAUAAAACUGAAGUUGAUAAUCAGUUAGAGAAAAAUAUCGAAACGAUAAGAAGUGAUAGGGGCGGAGAAUUUAUAUCUCCCUUUGCGAAAAUAUGUGUAAAGAAUAAAAUUAUCCAUCAAACUACAACCCCGUAUUCACCUCAAUCUAAUGGAAUUGCGGAAAGGAAAAAUCGAACCUUGAAAAAAAUAAUGAAUGCCUUACUUAUUCAGGUUUACAACAAAACUUAUGGGGGAAAGCUAUCCUUACGGCUAACCGAAUACUCAAUACAGUGCCCCAUAGUAAGACACAAUCAAUUACAUAUAAAAAAUAGAAAGAAAGAAAACCCAACUUGAAAUAUUUCAAAGUUUGAGAGUGUCUAGCGAAGGUCCAAGUUCCUAUGCCUAAAAGUGUAAGGAUAGGACCUAAGACGGUGGACUGCGUGUUCAUAGGAUAUGCUAAAAGUAGCAAAGCAUGUUGGUUUUUGGUUCAUAAGUCCUAACAUCCGGAUAUCAAUGAAAAUAUGAUAAUUGAAUCAGAUAAUGCUGAAUUGGUUAAAAAUAAUUAUUCGUAUAAAACUAGACAUGAACAGUCUAGUGGGGGGUCUAAACGACCUCAAAAUGAACCAAGUGAGGAUAUACAUAAUGAUGAGAAUCCAAGGCGUAGUACAGUCAAAGAAUGGCAACUUCGUUUGGAUCGAAUUUUGUAACAUUUCUCUUAGAAAAUGAACCUCAAACAUUUAAAGAAGCGAUGGGUCUUCGGACUCAUCCUUUUAGAAAGAGGCAGUCGAUAGUGAGAUUGAUUUAAUCUUAAACAACCAUAUAUAGGAGUUGGUUGAUCUUCCUCCAGGAAAAAAACCUUUAGGUUCUAAAUGGAUCUUCAAAAGGAAAAUGAAAGCGGAUGGUACUAUUGACAAAUACAAGGCAAUACUCAUAGUAAAAGGCUUUAAGCAGAAAAAAGGCCUUGAUUACUUUGAUACAUACUCGCCAGUAACAAGGAUAACGUUGAUUCGAAUGUUAAUUGCCCUGACGGCGGUAUAUGAUCUUAAAAUCCAUCAAAUAGAUGUGAAAAUCACAUUUCUAAAUGGAGAAUUGGAGGAAGAAAUUUACAUGGAACAACCUGAGGGUUUUGUGAUUUCAGGAAAAGAAAAUAAGGUGUAUAAAAAUGUUAAGUCACUUUAUGGACUAAAACAAACACCUAAACAAUGGCAUGUGAAGUUUGACCAAACCAUGUUGGCAAACAUAUUCAAGAUUAAUAAAUGUAAUAAAUGUGUGUAUAUUAAAGACACUCCAAAUCAACAAGUCAUUGUGUGUUUAUAUGUGGAUGAUAUGUUGAUUAGCAGUAGAGACAUUUCUGACAUAAAUGCAACAAAACGAAUGCUCAAGAGCAAAUUUAAUAUGAAAGACCUUGGAAUUGCGGAUGUGAUCUUAGGGAUAAGAAUCCAUAGAACUCCACAAGGGUUGGCAUUGUCACAGUCUCAUUAUAUUGAAAAGGUACUUUACAAAUUCAAGUAUUUGAAAUUUGGUAUUGCCAAGGCUGCAUUGGACGUGAGCUUUCCACUUCAAAAGAAUGAAGGUGAAAGUGACUCAUAGUUGGAGUACGCAAGAGUGUUGGGAUGUUUAAUGUAUAUCAUGAAUUGUACAUGACCAGACAUAACAUGUGUCAUUAACAAGUUGAGUCGGUACAAUAAUAAUCCCAAUAAAACUCAUUGGAUGGAAAUGAAAAGAGUUUUGGGGUAUCUUAAAUACACUCAAGACUAUGCUUUUCAUUAUAAUAAAUAUCCCUCGGUACUUGAAGGAUAUAGUGAUGCAAAUUGGAUCACCGGAUCGAAUAAAGUAAAAUCCACGAGUAGAUAUGUAUUUACUAUUAGUGGAGGAGCGAUCUUUUGGAAAUCUUCCAAAUAAACAUGGAUCGCUCGCUCUACAAUGGAAUCUGAAUUUAUCGCAUUGGAUAAAGCCGGUGAUGAAGCAAAAUGACUUUGAAAUUUCUUUUAAGAUAUUCCUUAUUGGCCCAAACCAGUGACACCAGUAUGUAUACACUGUGAUAGCCAAGCGACAAUAGGUAGGGCAGGGAGAAUGAUGUACAAUGAUAAAUCUCGUCACAUAAGAUGGAGAAAUAAUACCGUUAGAGAACUUCUCUCUUGUGGAAUUAUCACUGUUGACUAUGUGAAGUCAGAAUAAUGUGUCAGAUCUACUUACAAAAGGCCUAUCUAGAGAAGAAGUUGAGAGAACAUUCAAGGAAAUAGGUUUAAGGCCUAGGACAAGUAAGCAUGACGGUAACUCUACCUAGCAUCCUGGAGAUCCCAAGAGCUAGGUUCAAGGAGAUCAAACAAAGUUGUGUCUGACAGGUUCAAUAUUAUCAAUAUACCCAAUUCAUUCUCAUGAUGUAGACAAUGUUUAGUAAACAAGGAUAAGACUUAUGGUGUAAAGUCUUAUAAUGAUUAUCUAAAUUUGGAAGAUUGAUCAAAUAGUUUAAUCUACAGGAUUGAACGUUUAGAAAUUACCUAUGUGAGGGCAAAGUUGAAGCCGCUUCAAAGAGAAUGUUAGUAAAGGCCUAUUCUCUUAGCUCUUAUGAGACCGAAACGUAUUCAUGGCUGAAACGAAUAAAAUUGUGAGAACCAUAAAUGAUAAAAGGAUAGUUGUGUGACAUAUGUUGUCUAGUGUACAUUAAAGCUUGACGGUUCAAAGAUAUCAAAUCUAUCGAUUGACCGAGUGCAUCCGAUGCAUGUUCACUAUGGAAAGUUCAAAGGGAAACCUAUUUAUCCAGAUGCAAUCAGUCUUUGAUUGAUGAUCACAUACUUGUCUGUAAAAUUUUACAAAGAAUAGCCAUUCCCCAUUCAUGUGGGAGAUUGGUGGGUUCAAUUGGUAUGAAUGGAAAAUGGAGGGACACAACCCUUUGAGGAAAAGACACAUUGUUUUGGAAAAUGAGUGACUGUUCAUAUAGUUGUAUCUGUUCAGAAAAAGACAUAAUAUUUUGAAUGAACAUACAAGACUCUUUUAAAGGAUACACCUUUUCGGAUGAAUUAUUGCCACCUUUCGGAAGGGGCACUUUAUGGCUAUAUAAACUUGAAUUUUUUUCACAGGUUUAGAAUGAAAAAAUUUCUGUAUAACAAAAAUAUUCUCUUGCUUCUAAAAAAUCUGUGUGAUCAUCUCCCGUUGAGUGAGUUCGAAGAAAACUAAAAAGUUAGAGGUACCACUACAUUCUGGUUGUGAAACCAUUUUAUCCUGGGAGGAAAAUUCUGCAACCUCGGGUAUUUGAGUGGAAUUAUUUCCUUAAGGAAACUCCAUAAAUUCGAAGGACUUGGCUUUUUUCUGUUUCAUUUAUUUUUCUUUAAGAAGCUGAAAACAUAAUUCUUUGAAAGAUCAUUUUGAUCUUUUGUUGAAGGUGUUGGACAACUUCAUAAGUGUUCUUGAUUUAUUUUUGAACUUGUGUUGAAGUAGUGUUCCAAAAAUACAGAUUUUGUGUACCCAAAAAACAACAGUUACAUGUCAGUUAGCUGUAAAUUUCAUACUUGAGUUGCUAUUCUGUUUGGAUUAGACUGUGUCAUGAUUAACGAAUCAAAUAAUCCAACAUGACGAGUACGUAACAUUCUAUCUAAAUUCAGGGUCUAUCAGAAAUAACCUCUCUAUCCCUAUGAGGUAGUUUUAAGGUCUGCAUAUACUCUACCCUCACUAGACUCCACCUAUGAAAUUACACUAGGUAUGUCAUUAUUGAUAAGUAGCAUUCUAAAAGAUCGAAACUUUGUACCAAGGAAUUUGUAAAAAAAUAAAAGGGCGUGGUGUCUCCUUUAUUAGUUGAAACUUCAUUGAAACUUUAAGAACCAAACUAGAGACAUGAAACAUCAAUUGCAAUAUUGCUUCCCAAGUGUCUGUUGUGAGUUACUUUUAACCCUACGCAUAUCGGGAGCUUUAGUGCACUGCGCUGCCCUUUUACUAAGUAACACAAAUUUUUGAUUACUCUUUUCUUAUUUGAUUUUAGAAUGCGUGGUCUCUUUUUAAUUUUGGUGUCAAAUUUCAAAUUGCUUCAACGGGCAUUCCCAUAAGAGGUUGCAAUUUUUAGAGAUUUGAGAGUGCUGCUCUUAGGGCAUAUUUAGAGGAUUUUCUUUCUUUUUUUCUUCCUUUAUGUCCAAAAUAUUAAAGAGUUCUUUAACCUUUGGCUUUUUUCCUUAUUGAUUUUGCACAUUCAUUGAUAAUUUUGUGUCUCCUUCAAUAGUUGCCACUUAAUAAGCUAUGCAUGAACAAGAUGACGUGACACUACUCUUGCAUUUUGGGAGGCAUUUUCUAAUAUUCCUACGUAUUAUUCCUUUUUGGCAUUCCCUGUCUCUUGUAUGAAAACAUACACUAAUUUGUUUUAGAGAAACUCUAAAUUGAGUCUUGUGAGAAAACUAAAGUUGUAACUCUUCAACUUUAUGUAGUUAACAUUGUGUUUUUUGAUGUUUAUGUUUUUUUUUUAAAAAAUAUUUCUUUAGUCUGUUUAAUGGAUAGUAGUCCAAUUUCUAAUUUAGUGUUUGGUUAUCUAAUGAAUUUUCAGUGAUCUUUUCAUUCUUCAACGUAUAUAUGCUCAUUUCUUUCUUCCCAUAUGCUAUAAUCUUUUGCUUAAUUUGUUUUAGUAUAACAUUAUGGUAACUGGUAAGGAGAUCUCAUUUUGUUUAUUGAGUACUAAUAAAUUUUGUUUUAUACCCUGUCUUAAAAGGGCAGUCCGGUGCACUAAAACUACCUCUAUGCGCGGUGUCCGGAAAAGGGCCCCACCACAAGGGUGUAUCAUACGCAACCUUACCUUGCAUUUCGGCCAGAGACUGUAAACCUUGUCUUAAUCCUAGAUUUUAAAUUUCUGAUCUUUAUAUGAAUUUAAGAAAACACCAUCAAUAGAAUUACUUUAAACACUACUUUGGUGUUACAAAUUGUCUCGGUGUAACUUCUGUAAACAUCGAGCGCCAACACUAUUUGCUUUAUUAUUUUUCCCUUGGAAGAGUAGGUUAUCGGAAACUGCAAAUUCAAAUCAGAUUAAUCAACUUUAUCAAGGCUUAGGUUCUUUGGAACAUUUUUUUUUUUUUUUUUUUUUACAAUUUUAGAAAAGAUAAUUUUAGCACUUUUUCUUUAUUUUAGUAUCUCGAGCCGAAGUUCUUUUGAAAACUGUCUCUCCUCAAAGUAGAGUUAAGAUUUGUGUACAUUCUAUUAUCCUGAAAUUCACUUACAGGAUUUCACUUAAUAUAUUGGCUUUUAAGCACUGGUGUAAUUUGUUUAGAGAAUAUGAAUUUCAUAAGCAUCAAGUUGAUGAAAAAUAAAGCGCUUCGUCCAAUACGGAGUAUCAGAAUAAUAUGUCUACAAUGGAAUUAAAGGUAACUUUUUUUAUUUAAUUAUCAAAUUUGGUAUAUCAACCUUUUCCUUACAAUUAAAUUAUUCUCUAUAAUUGCCACAAGGUGUCUCAGCGGUCAACGAAGUGGGUUGAGAACAUGAAUGUCUCGGGUUCAAACCCCGACAGAGAUAAAAAAACAAGGUGAUUCUUCCCAUAUGUUCUAGCAUUGGUGGAUAGAAUCUGGUGGGAGGUGUUAGGUAUCCCGUGUAUAUAGUCAAGGUGCGCAUAAGCUGGCUAGGCACCAUGAUUAUCAAAAAUAUUAUUCUCUGUAAUUUAAUGUUUUUGUUUUGGUUACAAGAGAAUUCAUGUUUGGUUAAACAACAUUAAAAGCAUUCUUUAUAAUCUUCAAAUUUACGGGUGCUAUUCCAACUGAAAAUUAGUUCUAUGAUUAAUUUUCUUAGAUUUAUUUGAAACCUGUUAUUGAAUUCAGGAUAUGAUUUUACUUAAUGGUGUAUGUUGCAAAAUGAAGUGAUUUUACUGGUUAUAUGUAUCAAAAAGGAUGUUCAGAAGUAAUGAAUAAGAUAUACAUCACCGAUUCUAUUUUUUAAAACAUAAAUGCAGAACUUUUAGCUAUAACUUUGAUAAGAACAAUUACAAAUUUCAACUAAAAACUACAAGCAGGUGAAUAUUUGAGUUUACAAUCGUAAUAAGUUUAUAUACUUGGCCAAAAUUUCAAUUAUAAAUUAAGUCUUUUAUACUUUCCGCGCAUCGUGCAGGUACUACACUAGUGGUAACUAGGUUCCUUAAUUAAAUGCGUAGAAAUAUAUGAAAUAAAUGUAUUAGAGUAAAAUUGAUGGAGACCAUCUAAAAUGAUGCUAUAUUUGUUGGUUAGCAAUUUUUUAAAAAUUGUUGGUAUAGUAAGGGCUUAUGUUUCUUAUGUCACGUAAUUUUUUUUAUCAAAGAAACAUAAAAUCAAAAUUAAAACAUGUUUGUGAAAGGUUACAGAACCAAAUCUUUCUCUAAGUGCUUACUAAAAAGGUCACAUAUUCAAAAGUUAAAAUCUCUUGACCACUUGUAAAAUGAAUAGAUAAAAGUAUUUUUUUAUAUUUGUUUUAAGUGUAAAAAUGAAAAUCUAUUGAAAAGAUUAUAAAACUAAAAAAAUAAAUAAAAUAUAAAUUUCCAAAAAAAAAAUCAACUAUCCCCGCAUAUUAGCAAGUCAUUAAAAAUUAAAGUGUUCUUCUUGGUUUGCUCUUAUUAAUUUUUUUUUUACUUGUUCAAUUUAUUUAUUUUUAUUUGAUGAAAAAGAAAUUGAUUUAAAUUGAUAUUGGUGUUUUUUUUUUUUUUUUUUAAAGUAUUAAGACCAAUUCUAGUAUUUAGAUUAAUUAUUUUAAUCCUUAAUUUACUCCUGCCUCAAUAUGACCACCUUUCAUCUAAUACUUUUAGGAAAACGGAUAAUUUUUCAGUCAAAUUCUUUUUUCAUAAUACAAAUCAUUAUAGCAUAAAACCUUAAACCGAAUUUGAAAAGGUUAAGUUCCAAAUACAAUCCAAUUAGAAUAAGGAUUAGGUUCAGUUCUGCCCUGCUAUGUAUUGCUAUCCAUUAUAUCAACAUCCUAAUACACCUUAUUAAUUCCACCACUUUGUGCUGCCUGUUUAAUAGGUGUGAAUAAAAAAUGGAGGGACACAAUUUUUGAGGAAAAAACAUAUUAUUUUAGAAAAUAAGUGACUAUUCAGAUAGUUGUUUCUGUUCAGUUAAAGACACAAUGUUUCGAAUGAACAGACAUGACUCUUCCAAAGGAUACACCUUUUCGGAUGAACCAUUGUCACCUUUCGGAAGGGGCACUUGAUGACUAUAUAAACCUUCUUUUAUCCACAGGUUUAGGAAUGAAAAAAAUAAUAAUUCUGAAAUACAAACUCUUCUUGUCUUCAAAACAUUCCUUGUGAUCAAUCAAAUCGUUGAGUGAGUUCGACGAAUCCAAUUAUUGAGGUACCAGUAUAGUUGGAUUGAAAGACCAUUUAUCCUGGGAGGAAGAUUCCAAAACCUCGAGUACAGUGAGGGGAAUUAUUCCUUAAGGACACUCCAUGAAUUCGGGGGACUUGGCUUUACAUUUCUGUUUCAUCUUAAUUUCUGAAAAAAUAAAACACACUUCUUAGAAAGACCACUUUGAUCUUGUGUUGAGUGUGUUGUUGUACUUCAUAGUGUUCUUGUUUUAAAGAAAAUGAUGAAUGUCUUACUUAUAAGUUCAGGUUUACCGCAAAACUUGUGGGGGAGGCUAUCCUUACAGCAAACCGAAUACUCAAUAGAGUUCCCUAUAGUAAGACACAAUCAAUCCCUUAUGAAAAAUGGAAAGAAAGAAAACCCAACUUGAAAUAUUUCAAAGUGUGGGGGUGUCUAGCAAAGGUCCAAGUUCCUAUACCUAAAAAGGUUAAGAUAGGACCUAAGACGGUGGACUGCGUGUUCAUAGGAUAUGCUAAAACUAGUAAAGCAUGUCGGUUUUUUGUUCAUAAAUUCGAACAUCCGGAUAUUAAUGAAAAUACGGUAAUUGAAUCAGAUAACGCUGAAUUCUUUGAAAAUAAUUAUCCGUAUAAAACUAGACAUGAACAGUCUAGUGGAGGGUCUAAAUGAUCUCGAGAUGAACGAAGUGAGAAUGCACAUAAUGAUGAGAAUCCAAGACGUAGUACCCGUCAAAGAACGUCAACUUCAUUUGGAUCGGAUUUUGUAACAUUUCUCUUAGAAAAUGAACCUCAAACAUUUAAGGAAGCGAUGACGUCUUCGGACUCAUUCUUUUGGAAAGAGGCAGUCGAUAGUAAGAUUGAUUCAAUCUUAAGCAACCAUACAUGGGAGUUAGUUGAUCUUUCUCUAGGAAACAAAUCUUUAGGAUCUAAAUGGAUCUUCAAAAGAAAAAUGAAAUCGGAUGGUACUAUUGACAAAUACAAGGCAAGUCUUGUAGUAAAAGGCUUCAAACAAAAAGAAGGCCUUGAUUACUUUGAUACAUACUCACCGGUAACAAGGAUAAUGUCGAUUCGAAUGUUAAUUGCCUUGGCGGCGGUAUAUGAUCUUGAAAUCCAUCAAAUGGAUGAGAAAAUCGCAUUCCUAAAUGGAGAAUUGGAGGAAGAAAUUUAAAUGGAACAACCUGAGGGUUUUGUGGUUCCAAGAAAAGAAAAUAAGGUGUGUAAACUUGUUAAGUCACUUUAUGGACUAAAACAAGAACCUAAGCAAUGACAUGCAAAGUUUGACCAAACCAUGUUGACAAACGGAUUUAAAAUUAAUGAAUGUGAUAAAAUGUGUUUAAUUAAAGACACUCCAAAUCACCAAGUCAUUGUGUGUUUAUAUUUGGAUGAUAUGUUGAUCAUUAGUAGAGACAUUUCAGACAUAAAUGCAAUGAAACGAAUGCACGAAAGCAAGUUCGAUAUGGAAAACCUUGGAGUUGUGGAUGUGAUCUUAGGGAUAAGAAUCCAUAGAACUCCACAAGGGUUGACAUUGUCAUAGUCUCAUUACAUCGAAAAGGUACUUGACAAAUUCAAGUAUAUAAAAUUUGGUAUUGCCAAGACUCCAUUGGAUGUGAGCUUUGCACUUCGAAAGAAUGAAGGUGAAAGUGACUCAUAAUUGGAGUACGCAAGAGUAUUGGGAUGUCUAAUAUAUAUAAUAAAUUGUACACGACCAGACAUAGUAUGCGCUAUUGGUAAGUUAAGUCGGUACACGAGUAAUCCCAACAAAACUUAUUGGUUGGCAAUGGAAAGAGUUUUGGGGUAUCUCAAAUACACUCAAGACUACGCUUUGCAUUAUAAUAAAUAUCCCACGGUACUUGAAGGAUAUAGUGAUGCAAAUUGGAUCACCAGAUUGAACAAAGUAAAAUCCACGAGUGGAUAUGUAUUUACUAUCAGUGGAGGAGCGGUCUCUUGGAAAUCAUCCAAAUAGACUUGUAUUGCUCGCUCUACAAUGGAAUCUGAAUUUAUCGCAUUGGAUAAAACCGGUGAAGAAGCAGAAUGACUCUGGAAUUUCUUAGAAGAUAUUUCUUAUUGGCCCAAACCAGUGGCACCAGUAUGUAUACACUGCGAUAGCCAAAUGAGGAUAGAAAGGGCAGGAGCAUGAUGUACAACGAUAAAUCUCAUCACAUAAGAUGGAGACAUAAUAUCCUUAGAGAAUUUCUCUCUAGUUGAAUUAUCACUGUUGACUAUGUGAAGUCAAAGGAUAAUGUGUCGAAUCCACUUACAAAAGGCCUAUCUUGGUUAGGAGUUGAGAGAACAUCCAAGGGAAUGGUUUUAAGGCCUAGGACAAGUCAGCAUGGUGGUAACUCUACCUAGCAGACUGGAGAUCCCAAGAGCUAGGUUCAAGGAGAUUAAACAAAGUUGUCUCUAACAGGUUCAACAUUGGCAAAAUACCAACCCAUUCUCAUGAUGUAGACAAUGUUUAGUAAACAAGGAUAAGACUUAAGGUGAAAAGUCUUUUAAUGAUUAUCUAAAUUUGACAGAUUUGACCAAAUAGUUUAAUCUAUAGGAUUGAACGUUUAGAAAUCACCUAUGUGAGGGCGAAGUGGAAGCCGCUUCAAGGAGAAUGUUAGUAAAGGCCUAUUCUCUAAACUCUCAUGAAAUCGAGACGUGUUCAUGAUUGAAAAGAACAAAACCGUGAGCACAAUAAAUGGUAAAAGGCUGGUUGUGUGACAUGUGUUGUCUAGGUGUACAUUAAAGCUCGACGGUUCAAAGAUAUCAAAUCUACUGAUUGACCGAGUGCAUCCGAUGCGUGUUCACUACGAAAAGUUCAAAGGGAAACCCAUUUAUCCUGAUGCAAUAGUUUUUGCUUGAUGAUCACAUAUUUGUCCAUAAAGUUUUACAAAAAAAUAGCCAUUCCCCAUUCAUAUGGGGGAUUGUUGGGUUCAAUAGGUGUGAAUGGAAAGUGGAGGGACACAACCUUUGAGGAAAAGACAUAUUAUUUUGGAAAAUGAGUGACUAUUCAGAUAGUUGUGUCUGUUCAGAAGAAGACACAAUAUUUCAAAUGAACAAACACUACUCUUCCAAAGGAUACACCUUUUCGGAUGAACCAUUGUCACCUUUUGGAAGGGGCACUUGAUGGCUAUAUAAACCUGCUUUUAUCCACAGGUUUAGGAAUUAAAUUUUUUUUUUUUUGAAAUACAAACUUUUCUUGUCUUUAAAACAUUGGUUGUGAUCAAUCAAAUCGUUGAGUGAGUUCGACGAUUCCAAUUAUUUGAGGUACCACUAUAGUUGGAUUGAAAGCCAUUUUAUCCUGGUAGGAAAAUUUCAAAACCUCGGGUACAGUGAAGGGAAUUAUUCCUUAAGGACACUCCGUGAGGUUGGGGGGACUUGGCUUUACAUUUCUGUUUCAUCUUAAUUUCUGAAAAAAUAAAACACACUUCUUAAAAAUCCCUCUUUGAUCUUGUGUUGAGGGUGUUGUUGUACUUCAUAGUGUUCUUGUUUUAAACUUGAACUAGUGUUGAAGUUAUUGUGUCAAAUUACAGAUUCUUGUACCCGAAAACGUUGAAAGAUAACACUGCCUUCUUCACAAAUCUCACAUAUACAUACAUGGCUGCCUGCAGUCGUAUUGGGGAUUCUCUCUCUGUUUUGCGUUGGCGCAUAUGCUUUGAAAGGAUGCCCGUUUAAAGCCUUGUACCAGCAACAUAGGAAUUCAAUAUCAAUUGAUCACCGUCAACAACUCUCAAUUCAUGUCAACAACGAUACGCGGACAGUGAUUGGAGAAACACCUCAUGAUAUUAACUUCUUUACUCGAUAUGAUCAAUGGCACAAAAAUCAAGCCACCACGAUGGAGAAAGAGAAAAGUACCAAUAACAAUGACUACAACAAUUUCUGCAUAGUAGGUUUCAUCAUUGUUAUAACUCUUGCGAUUAUCCGUCUAUUUCGUGUUGAUCAUGCCGCUCACGCUCCGAGGGAAUGUCCGUUUAAAUCCAUGUACCGCAAAUAUGGAAAUUCCAUGUUGUCAAGUAGUACUAAUCUUGGAGUAAUUGGAGAAACACCUCAUGAUCGUAGCGCCUUUUUUGAUCAACAUCAAUGGCUCAAAAAUCACGUUAACAUGAUGCAGAAAAAGAUGUAAUUAAUGAAUCAAAGAUCAAUUUUAUGGAGAACACAUUGAAGCAAUGAUUAGAAUGUCUUUAUUGGUGACUAAAAACAUAGUAAUAUGUAUUGUACUUAGUAGAUGUUGGUCUAAGUCAUUGAACAAGCGUCUGUUCUAAUUGUGAAAUAGAAUCAUAAUAUUAGUUUAUCUAUGUUUUCUUAGUUUUGUUUUUAAUUAGCGCUAUAGACUUGUUUUUCCAGAUGUCAUGACUCAUGAGCUCCACUUUGAAUGUAAACUAUAGGAUAUGUGGGGUACUUAAUGAUUGUUAAGUAUGUUUGGUUGUGGUUACUCCAAAAAUCUCCACAUGGAAUGUGCGUGUUUUUCCCCUUUGGAAAUCGUGAUUUCCGAUUUAGCUUAUUACGUAUCUUUCACUAGUGAGUAUCAAGAAAGAAUUAUCUAGUGUUUUUAUAAUUAUGUUAAAAUUCAAAUCUAAGAUCUUGUAUUUUUUUGUUAAUUAGUUGUUAGGUCUGAAUGUGACUGGAAAAAGAUUGUGUAAGGAAGUGCACUUCAAUUUUUUUUUUUUUAAAUCGUGAAAGUUGUAAACGAGCAUUUCAUUUGAAAUAUAUAUUUUCAAACCAAUUUUCAUUUCAUGUUCAAAUACAGAAAUUUCAAAUACUUAUGAUCAAAAUUGAGGAAAAAAAAUUAAACGAACAAAACUGGGAAAAAGAGAAACAAUUAGGAUCGGGAUUCACAAGAAAUUUGUGGUGAAGCGGUAGUUUAUCCUUAACUUAGUCUCAAAGAUUUAAGCUCAAGAUAUGAAGCCGCCUUACCUUCAAAGUGCGAUUUUCUAACAUAAAUUCAAAUUAAUUUUUGUACUUAACUUAAUUAGUCUCAUUCAAUAGCGACUCAAGUAAAUUCGUGGCCUAAGACUAAAAUCAAACGGAAGUCUUAAUUUUUUAAGAAAAAAUAAUUUUUUUUUAUAAAGUCUACUUUUAAAAUUAUAUAAUCGAUUUCUUCUAAUAAUUUUUUUUAAUUAAUAAUAUAAUCAAUGUAUUAAAUCUUUCUUGAGACAUAUUAUUCUAGACUAGAUAUAUCACUCCUUUUAAAUUCCUUUUACGUAAAGAGUUUAUUUUUUCUACAAAUAGUGGUAAUCUAUUAUUACUAAAAAUAAAUACAUAAGGCCCCUCAAAUUUGGAAAUAUACGGAGGUGCCUUUUUUUUUUUUUUUCGAAAGGGCAGAGUCGCUCCUAGUCUCAAGGUUGUGCAUUUAUUUGUCUUUUUGGUUUGCCCUUAUUUUUUUCCUUCUUCAAUUUAAUUUUUUAUUUGAUCAUAAAAAGUUACUUUAAAUUGUUAUUGAUAUUCUUUUUAAAUUUAUUAAAACCAGUUUUAGCAUUUAAAUUAAGUGUGUUGUCCAAUAAAAUAAAAAUAGCUUGAGUGUUGGAACUUGGAAUUCUCAAUUUUACUCAUGCCUCAAUAUCUAUAUCUAUAUCUAUAUCUAUAUCAAUAUCUAUAUCUAUAUCUAUAUCUAUAAUCUAUAAUCUGUAAUCUACAAUUCUAUAAUAUAUUAAAAGUGUGAAGACCCUUAUAAAAGUGAUUUAAACUUUUUGUCCUUUAUUACAAGUCUCUACUUUAGACAAAUCGUAUUUUCACUAUUUUUCUAAUAAUAAAAAACAAACAUUAAACAAAAAAUUACAAGAAAAAUUCAAUCCAGAUUUGAUUUGGAUUUGGGAGUUAAAACUCGUGCUUAUAUAUAUGCUUUUGUUUAGAUUUUCUUGUACAACUAAAGUCAACCAAAAUUAAAUAAAAUAAUAUUUAACACUUCUAAAUCAAUUCAAAUUUUACCUUAUAUAAAUUAGAGUCCUAUUUAAGGAGUAAUAUUUUGGAUCAAACUUUACAAAAACAUAGUUUUGCAUAUAUUUUUUGCUUAAUUUAAUAAUUUUGAUUCAAGUUUUCUUCUUACAAUCAUUAUUAUCAUCUACUUUCUCUUGUUUUUUCUUUCAGUUUAUUUUGUUUGAUAGGACAAUUACAACUUACCUUCAACUGCUGAUCCUUUGAAAUGUACAUAUGUAUAUGUCCUUUGAAAAUAUUGUUUGGUUCCUCACAUAGCCAAAUUAGAGAUAAAAGAGCUAAGAGGUUUUUUUUUUUUACAAUUCUGUCAUCGUAAAAUUUAUUUGAGUAGAAAUAUGACAGAACCAGGUAAGAAUUAGUUAUACUAAAUGGCUCAUGCAUAAAGUCCUUUAUAUACUAGUAGGAGCAGUAGUUUUUGAUUAAGAGUCAUAAUUGAUCUAUGCUUCGUAUUGAAUAUUGAAGUUUUAAAUUUUUUGCAUUGUUCUUAUUUACUUAUUUUUAGUGAGUUAUAACUUAUUUUAGUCAGUAAGUUCUCUUUGAUUCUCUUGUGUUGUAUUCUAUAAUUUUUUUCUUUAACAAUGAACAAACGUCUUCUGUGGAAAGUUGGACAAUACGCUAUUUCUUUGGUCAUUAUUUGAUUAAUUUUUUGAAAUUAUAGAUUAUUGUAUGGAGUAGACAUGAAAUUAAUAUAUACCCACAUGAAGACAUCUCUAUAUCAAGUUCGUUUGUUUAAUCUGUCAUUUAGUUAAAUUUGAAGUUGUAAAAUUUCAUUGUGUUAACUCUUACAUGUUCAUAGUUAGUAUGACGGGAUUUUGUCAUUGGUGGUGAACAUUUAGAGGAAGAGGUACAUGGAGAAAUGAGUGUUUGAUAGCUCAAUUUAAAGAUGUGUUUGAUUCAUUACGAGGUCACUUCUAUUCUAUUCUUCUUCUUCUUCCUUUUUUUCUUGGGUCAUCUUCUUAAUUUCGCUCUAAGCUAUUAAAUUAUGUCAACUAAUUCGUUGAGUAAAAAUGAUAACAGAAAAGAUAUUUUGAUGAAUACAACUAAGAAGAAUAAUCUGGAUCAUACGCGUGACUUGCGAGCUACCAAUAUAAGAGUCUUUUGAGCCUUAAAAUUCUUUCAUGUUUAUUUCUCUUAUAUGAUUCAUUAUUUGAAUUUAACUUUUAAAAGUAUAUAUAAAUUUAAAGAUUAUUUUUUAUUGAUGGUUAUUAAGGACAUAUCAAACAAGUAUUCAAUGUAAUUGUAAUAGCUUCAUUUUAGAAGUCACAAUUAUGACUUUGGAAACUUUAUAAUGUAGUAAGAUGCUAUAUUAGUUGCUUUAAUUGUGUUUAUAGCUAAAAAUCAACAUGUCAAGGGUUUUCCUCUUUUAAUAAUUUCUCAUGUAUUUUCUUUAAUUAAAAUAUUUUGAUCGAAAAAUUUGACGUGAUACACGUACAUUAAACUAGUUUCAUCUAAUAAUAGGAAACUAAUAUUAUUAUAGCAUAAAAUUUUAAACCGAAUUUGAAAAGGUUAAGUUCCAAAUACGAAUCCAAUUAGAAUUAGGAUUAGGUUCAGUUCUGCCCUUCUAUAUAUUGCUGUCCAUUAUUAUUAUAUCAACUUCCUAAUACACCUACAAAUCACAAAUAUACAUACAUGGCUGCCUCAACAAAAUUAGCAGUCGUCUUGGUGAUUCUCUCUCUGUUUUGCAUCGGUACACACGCUUUGAAAGGAUGUCCGUUUAAAGCCCUGAACCAGCGACAUUGGAAUUCAAUCUCAAUUGAUCAUCGUCAACAACUUUCAAUUCAUGUCAACAACAAUACACGGAUAGUAAUUGGAGAAACACCUCACGAUAUCGACUUCUUUACCCGACAUGAUCAAUGGCUCAAAAAUCAAGUUAUCACGAUGGAGAAAGAGAAAAGUACCGAUAACAAUGACUACAACAAUUUCUACAUAGUAGGAUUCAUCUUUGUUGUUAUUCUUGCGAUUAUCAAUCUACUUCGUGUUGAUCAUGCCGCUCAUCACGCUCCAAGGGAAUGUCCGUUUAAAUCCAUGUAUCGUAAGUAUGGAAGAUCUAUGAUGUCAAGUAGUACUACUCUUGGAGUAAUUGGGGAAACACAUCAUGAUCAUAGCACCUUAUUCGAUCAACAUCAAUGGCUCAAAAAUCACGUUAGAAUGAUGCAGAAAAAGAUGUAAUUUAUGACCUACAAGAUCUUUUAUAGCAUAGACAUUGAAGCAAUGAUCAGAUGAGGUACUUUAUUGGUGGCUAUAAACAUAGUAAUAUGUAUUGUAGUAGAUGUUGGUCUAAGUCGUUCUAAUUGUGACAAUAGAAUCAUAUUACCUACUUAUUGGUUUAUCUAUAUAUGUUUUCUUAGUUUUGUUGUCAGCUUGUACAUACUCGUUUUCCUAAAUUUUCACAUGCUCCAGUUUGAAUGUAAACUAAGAUAUGUGGGCUAAUUGAUUAUAUGUUUGGUUGUGGUUACUCCAAAAAUCUUCACUAGGAUGUUGUGCCGUGUAUUUUUAUCCUCUCAGAAUCGUUGUGUCUUAUGUCUUGUUAUCAGCUUGUACAAACUCGUUUAUAUGAAAUAAUUCGUAUUUAUUGAAAAAACUAUGAGAAUUAAUUCAAAUUUGUCCAUAAAUCGUACGUUAAUGGUAUACAGUUUAGAUGCAACUUUGAACCAUCAUAUAUAAUUUAGAACAAAUUUGGACCUUUACCAUGCCGUAGUAAUUAAAAAAAACAAGAAGAAAAAAUUUCAAACAAACGAAAUGGGGGAAAAGAGAGACAAUUAGGAAUGGGCUUCACCACGAAGGGUGGUUGGGAAACAAAUUAUUUCCGAAUUAGUUAUCCCCAAAUUAUUAUCUUUUGAUUAUUUAUUUUGGGAUUGCUAUUUCACUCUCAAGGUGAGAUAAAAAUAACACCACAAUCUCCGGAUAAGUUAUUCCAUGAUUUUAUCUCAAUCAAAUAUGAAAUAAACUCAUCCUAAAAUUAAUUUCGAGAUUAGUUAUUCAUUGUUCCUCCUACCAAACGAGUUCUAAAGGUUGUGGUGGAGUUGUAACUAGUAAGUACUUGUUUAUUCUUAAAUAAAUGUCUCAUAUUUGAGCCCUAAACAUGAAGUCGUGCUUUACUCUAUUUCUAACACAAUUUUAAAUAAAUCAAACCUCAAAACAUCCGAUCUGGAUAAGAGAAAAAAAAAGAGAGUAGGAACAGGAAUCACAUGGGUAUACACUACUCCCUUCGUCUCAUUUUGUAUGACACACUUUUCUUUUUGAUUGUUCAGACAAAGAAUGAUGCAUUUUUUUAUUUGGUAACUAUUUAAGACGUAGUUUUUUUAUCCUUAUUGAUUCCUCUUAAUUUUAUUCCUUCUCUUUUUUACCUUUUUUUUAAAAAAGAACAAUUUGAUAAAAUUCACAAAAUUUUUAUUUAUUUUUUAAACUCCGUGUAACAACUCAAGUUACUAAUACAAGAAUAGCAAGUAUUAUAACCUUUACUUAUUUUUAAAACUCUGUGUAGCAACUCAAGUUACUAAUACAUGAAUAAAGGUAUUAUAAUCAGCUUCAUGUUAGGGGUUUUAUCUUUUCAACUCAGCUAUGUCCUUCAUCCGAAGACAUGAUGGACAACUACCCUUAUUUGUUCACUUCUAACAAUGAUUCAGUAAGAGUAAUAGAUCUCUCUCCUAGCAUUACGCUCUUCAAAUUUCAUGUCUAAAUUGUUCCAUAUGAUUCCUAUGUAUGUGUUCAUGUUCCAUAUGUACCAGUUGAGUCAGUACUCUGUCAAAAGGGUGAUUCCAGAUAUGAAACAUGAUCAAUUUUAGAAAUUCAGUUUUAUUUUAACUUUAGAAACACCUCUGACAGAAAUGUAAGGUAAGGUUGCACACAAUACACUCUUGUGGUGGGGUCUUUCCCUGGACCCUGCACAUAGCAGGAGUUUUAUUGCACCAAAAUGCUAUUUUUUUUAGUAACUACAUUCUUUUCAUCCUAAUAUCAAUCUUCAUCAUAGGAAGGAUGACCCAGGGGAGAGAUAUUAUAAUACUCCCAAAGUUCAUGCAAGUUCUUAGUGGGUUACUAUGUGUUUUAGGGUUAUGAGAAGUCCCUAACACAUAUAUAGUUAAAUUGUAAACUCCUCUUUCGGCCAAGUUUUAGUGUGAGGUUAUUUUUGAGUCAAAUUCAAACAAUCAUUACUCCUUUAAUAUGAAAGAUUUUGCAGCGUAAAACCCACCAAACAAAAGAUCUUUGAUUCUUGUUUUCAAUGCAUUUGAUUUCUCCUUAAUCUGAUAUCGGAGUAGAAAGUUAUGCUCAUUUUACCUGAAGGUGUUUGUUUGCCAGAGAUUGACGACCUGAGUUGACGAAUUGUCAACGAGUUGACGAACCGUUAACCUUAACUAGUAAAGCUUAAAAUCGGCUAGACAUUGACGACCUAAGUUGAGAAGCCAUCAACAGGUUGACGGACCAUCAACCAAGUCGUCAGAUAGGAAGUUUCUGCAGUUUUUUUAGUUUCCUUUGGGGUAAUGGUCCUUUCCUUACCCCAAAAUCUUUCCCCACGACUUAAAUCACUCGAUAAAUGUUAUUUACUUAGCAAUUUAAUAAGUUUUCAUCGCUUUUUAUCCUCUCCACUCUCACGAGAAAUGAAAUUAGUCUUUUUUCCAAAGUUUAACUUUUGAGGCUCCAAACUCAAAGUUUCUUUUAAGAAAUUUGGGUAUGUGAGGUUUGAACAAGGGUUUCCUUUCCCCCUUGUGCCCAAAAAUGUUAUUUUUUUUUAUAAUUAAGUUUAUGGAUUUGCUUAAUAAGGUUCAUAUCCACUUUACAUGAUUUAAAAUUAUGGUGCUCUCUUUUGAAUGAAAUUGUAUUUAUUAUGAAAAUUCACAAUUUACUCAUGAUUUUACUUGUAUGGUCGAGCUCGUGAAGUGAAUUUUAUUUUUUUUUGACAUGAAAUACCAUAAGUUGGUAAAUGCAUAUGAUUUUAGCACGAUUACUUAGUUUACAAGAAAUUUAGACUUAUGAUUUUAGAUUCAGAAUGAAACUGACAUUUGUACUUAUGAUUAUGAAAUAGAAACGGAAGCAUAUUAUGGUUUUAAAAUUUAUCAGAUUAUAUGCUUAUAUGAUAGUGAAUUUCAUUUAUUUUAUUCGCAAUUGUAUGAAUUUGAGAGUAGUAACUAGCACCGAGGGGUGAGGGUUUAGCGUAUUAUAGUCCCAUAAACUAUGUACCACCGUAGGUAUUCAUUAUUCUACUUGUCCAAAUAGGCACGUACAGGUGAUCACAUUUAUACGCCUUUAUAUAGUGACAAGGUAUAUCAAGUCCUUUCUAUGAGGGAGUUAACAUCGGACUCUAUGUUACUCGCAUGGUUUAUGUCGGUUAAGAGACUCUUCUAUAGAAAUAUUAAUUUGGAAACUAAAUGUAAUGACUUACUGACCUUACUAGAUUAUAAUACCCCGUGUAUAAAAGCUACUGUACAAUGUACAAAUUAUCUUUUUAAGUCAUAUAAACAACAUAUGAGUCGUAUGUUGGAGUCGUACCUAUGGCAGUGUGGAAUAGUUGAAGUAUGUUAUAGAUACGAGUUGAUCCUAGAAGUCGUCAUGACAUGGUACGACUUUUAUAAAGUUGAGUCGUAAGGGUAACAACCUAAGUUCUCUAAGCUUUUGUCCAAGUUACUAAUGGUGGAUACAAGUCGUAUUGAGAGGUUACUAGUCAUAGGUUAGACUCGUAUGUUGACCAGUGUAUACCAUCUUUGAUCCUGCCAAGCUCACAAGUCAUGUGGCUAACUCGUAUCUUCAUCAUAUAAGUCGUAUGGUUGACUCGUCACGACUGGCGGUCAAUUUAUGUAAUGUUUAGUUAAGGGGCCUUUUGAUCUUUUCCCCUCUUAUAACCCCAACCCACGACUUAUAACCUAAAAAUGAGCGUUAUUUUCCUCUACAUUCAACCAAUUUACAACCCUUUCCUCUUUCUAUCUUCAAAAUCCUCAAGAUUAGGGUUUCUCUCACCAAGUCACCUUUCAAGUUUCAAAGUUCAAGCUCUCUUCACAAGUCAAACAAUUCCAGGUAUGUGGGGUUUAUGAAGAAGGCUAUUCUUUCAUUCUUGUGCCCUAAAAGCAUGAUUUUUAAGAGUGAAUUUACUUAUUUUGAAUUACGGUUCAUACCCAAAUAACCAUAUUCUUAAAGUAUGACAUUAUCAUGUGAUAGAAAUAUUUAAUUGUAUCAAGGUUUACAUAUAUUCAUGUCUUGACUUGUAAGAUUUAUAAUGUGAUUUGAAAUUCAUUAUAUAAACUGGGAUGUUGUUGAAAGAUUUCAAGGUGAUUAAUGAGCAUAAUAUUUUGUUAUGAAUUUCUAUGAAAUAAAGCAUGAACUCCAAGUCCUAAGUACAAGUACUGAGUUUAUAACAAGUUUAUGCUCUUAAGCUCCAUUGAUAUAUUCUAUAACAUGAUUUAAAGAAAAGCUUGAUAUUUUGAUCUAAACAUAAGACAUAAAAUCACAAGUGUUCAUCUUGAUUAUGAUUUAAAGUAAAGAGAAGCAUAACUGGUUUUUAGUUUACAAACCCACAUGCUAUUUUAAGGUGGAUUUCCUAAGUAUGAGCAUAUACAUAAUUUGGGAGUAGUAGCACUGAGAAGGAAAUGCGGAUGAGUAUAACCUAAAUUCCUAAGAACUACGAGCCUCUGUAGGUUAAGCUCUUUCCCAAUAUGGAUGAAGUAUAGUUAUCACUUAAGUUAAGGUUCUAUUCUGAUGGCAAGGGUAGAACUGCUCUCCCUAACGUGGGUAAGACGUUGGACUUCAUGAUAGCUCGCAUUGUUUAUGUCGGUUAGAAGAAUCUCCCAUAAUAAAGAAUAAGGGUAAAGAUUUCUGAACCUAAGUGUUAUGGCUCACUAAGUUUACUCUUAUGCAUCAUUAUCCAUGUUUUAUGGUCUUGCAGUCUUUAGUUUUACUCAAGUUCAAUGUGAGUCAUUUACACUUAGCAUGCAUUAUUUGAAAUCUUACAGAUAUAUUCAGUUCUUGUUUUACUUUGCAUUAACCCCCACAUACUCAGUACAUUCUAGAUGUACUGACCCACAUAUAUGUCUAUGUGCUACAUCGUCUUAUAAUGUAGUUUCUGGUGCUCAUUUUCUGCAGCACGAUUGACUACGACAUCAUUACCUACAUCCCAACUUUUGGUGAGUCCUCAUAGUCCGAGGACCCAGCUUAUUAGAAUUUUAUUCAUUGAUGCAAGUAGUUUAGUUAUUUGAUUUCAUUUAUGUUCGGGUCAGCUAGGGUAUGUCCCAGUGGCUCUCUAGUUGGGUAGUAGAUACUUGUCAGACUGUGUAUUUUCUAAGUUCAAAGAGUUGGUUAAUGUUAUCAAUGUUAAAGAUUUAUAUUAAGUUUUGGAAUUGAUUAUCUUCGGUCCAUAUUCAUAUAAGGGUCAACCAUUCAUGCGAGGUGUAAGCUGAAUAGGUAUCAUGGGUUAGCUUAGGGCUAUUCGUAGUCUUGAGCACCCUAUGACGUCUAGGGGUUACUUUCGGGACAUUACAAACUUGGUAUCAGAGCUUAAUAUUUAAAAAGUCCUAGGGAGUCAGACAAGCCGCGUUAUGUAGAUUCUUGAUCAUGAAUGUGAGGCACACCAUAUUUAUGAGCGAGAGGCUACAGAACGAGUUAGGAAUCAUCAUUUCUUUCAUAAUCUAUCGUACUCAUAGUUGUCUCUAUCUGCCUUAACUCAUGCUUUUACGUGACAGAAUAUGCCUUCUCGUCAAGCCAACAAAUGUAAAAAUAGUGAUCAACCACCCCUGCACGCAGUCCCUCUGAAUAAGAAUGUAUCUCAUGCUUAAUUUUGGGUUGCCUUUCAGGCAUUGGCCUAAGCUGUAAGUGCUAAUGUUCAGGGAAAUCACGAGGCAACAAUCCCACUUCAGCAAAAUAGUAACCUAGCUGUAUCCCGAAUUCGGGACUUUAUGAGGAUGAAUCCACUUGAGUUCCAUAGAUCAAAGAUGGAUGAGGAUCCUCAACUCUUUAUUGAUAAGGUGAGAAAUAUUACUCAGAUCAUGCAUGUUACUAAAGAGGAGAGUGUAGAGCUGGUAUCCUAUAGGCUAAAUGAUAUUGCUUAUGAUUGGGUCACUAUGUGGAAGGAUGGUUGGGGUAAGAAUGCAGCUCCUAUGAGUUGGCAGGUAUUUCAAAAUGCUUUUUUUUGACAGGUUCUUUCCUCGUAUGAUGAGAGAGGCUAAAGUAGAGGAGUUCAUAAACCUGAGCCAGGGCUCUGUGACAGUGAAUGAGUACUGCCUUAAGUUUACUCAGUUGUCUAAAUAUGCCCCAGAGUUGUUAUCUGAUUUUAGAGCUCGUAUGAGUAAGUUUGUUACUGGGGUAUCAGACUUGGUGGUCAAAGAGUGUAGGACUGCCAUGCUGAUUGGGGAUAUGGAUAUUGCUCGAUUGAUGACUCAUGCUUAACAGAUUAAGGCCUAAAAGUUAAAGAAAAAAGAGAAGAGAAACAAGAGAGCUAGGAUUGGACAAUUUGAGCAUAGUCAGCCAAGGUCCGGAGGGGGAAGCCGUUCACAAUUUCAGGGCAAUUCAUCAGUACCUGCGCUAUCUCCAUCCAGUGCCCCUACACCUAGGACUCGAUAAGAGUAGUGGGGCAGGACUUCGAAUUCUAGGUCUCAGAAUAGUGUAGUCUAGAGGCCUAGUUACCCGACAUGUGCAAAGUAUGGUGGGACCUAUCCUGGUGAGUGUUUGAUGGGCAUAGGGGGUUGCUAUGGUUGUGUCAAGUUGGGCCACAGGAUUAAGGAAUGUACAUAUGUUUUGCAGGGGAGUCUAGAUCCUUAGGCUACUAAUCCAGCAGCUCAGCCAGGCUGCCCAGUUCCCUCACAGGGCGCAUCAUCCAGUACUGGUAGCGGUCAGCACCAGAAUUGAUUCUAUGCUUUAUCAUCCCACCAGGAGCAGGAGAGUUCACCAGAUGUUAUCAUUGGUAUACUUCGUGACCAUCACCUUGAUGUAUAUGGGUUGUUAGACCCGGGAUCAAAAUUUUCUUAUGUAACUCCAUUGGUUGCUAUAAAAUUUAGGGUAGGUCAUAAGAAUUUCCUUAAGCCCUUCUCAGUUUCUACUUUAGUGGGCGAGUCAGUUAUUGUUAGACGAGUCUAUAGGGAAUGUCCUAUUGCCAUCCUCUAUAAGAUCACACUAGCGGACUUAAUAGAGUUAGAUAUAGUAGAUUUUGAUGUUAUUUUGCAGGUAUUUCAAAAUGCUUUUUUUUGACAGGUUCUUUCCUCGUAUGAUGAGAGAGGCUAAAGUAGAGGAGUUCAUAAACCUGAGCCAGGGCUCUGUGACAGUGAAUGAGUACUGCCUUAAGUUUACUCAGUUGUCUAAAUAUGCCCCAGAGUUGUUAUCUGAUUUUAGAGCUCGUAUGAGUAAGUUUGUUACUGGGGUAUCAGACUUGGUGGUCAAAGAGUGUAGGACUGCCAUGCUGAUUGGGGAUAUGGAUAUUGCUCGAUUGAUGACUCAUGCUUAACAGAUUAAGGCCUAAAAGUUAAAGAAAAAAGAGAAGAGAAACAAGAGAGCUAGGAUUGGACAAUUUGAGCAUAGUCAGCCAAGGUCCGGAGGGGGAAGCCGUUCACAAUUUCAGGGCAAUUCAUCAGUACCUGCGCUAUCUCCAUCCAGUGCCCCUACACCUAGGACUCGAUAAGAGUAGUGGGGCAGGACUUCGAAUUCUAGGUCUCAGAAUAGUGUAGUCUAGAGGCCUAGUUACCCGACAUGUGCAAAGUAUGGUGGGACCUAUCCUGGUGAGUGUUUGAUGGGCAUAGGGGGUUGCUAUGGUUGUGUCAAGUUGGGCCACAGGAUUAAGGAAUGUACAUAUGUUUUGCAGGGGAGUCUAGAUCCUUAGGCUACUAAUCCAGCAGCUCAGCCAGGCUGCCCAGUUCCCUCACAGGGCGCAUCAUCCAGUACUGGUAGCGGUCAGCACCAGAAUUGAUUCUAUGCUUUAUCAUCCCACCAGGAGCAGGAGAGUUCACCAGAUGUUAUCAUUGGUAUACUUCGUGACCAUCACCUUGAUGUAUAUGGGUUGUUAGACCCGGGAUCAAAAUUUUCUUAUGUAACUCCAUUGGUUGCUAUAAAAUUUAGGGUAGGUCAUAAGAAUUUCCUUAAGCCCUUCUCAGUUUCUACUUUAGUGGGCGAGUCAGUUAUUGUUAGACGAGUCUAUAGGGAAUGUCCUAUUGCCAUCCUCUAUAAGAUCACACUAGCGGACUUAAUAGAGUUAGAUAUAGUAGAUUUUGAUGUUAUUUUGGGCAUGGAUUGACUCCAUUCAUGCUAUGCAUCAAUAGAUUAUUGCACCAGCAUAGUGAAGUUUUAAUUUUUUGGUGAGACAGUUUUUGAGUGGGAGGGUAGUUCUAUGUCUCCCAAAGGUCAUUUCAUCUCUUAUCUUAAGGCCAGGAAGUUAAUAUCAAAAAGGUGUAUUUAUCAUCUAGUUUAAGUCAAAGAUACCAAGUCUGAAGUCCCGACAGUUCAAUCAGUUCGGGUAGUAAAUGAGUUUCCAGAAGUUUUUCUUAAAGAUCUGCUAGGGGUACCUUCUGACAGAGAAAUAAAGUUCGGUAUUGAUCUUCUUCUUAAUACUCAACCCAUCUCUAUCCCUCCUUAUCGUAUGGCUCUGGAUAAACUUAUAGAGUUAAAGAAGCAGCUUAAGGACCUCUUAAAUAAAGGUUUCAUCAAACCAAAUGUUUAUCUGUGGGGUAUUACAAUCCUUUUUGUGCGCAAGAAAGAUGGCACUCUCCGAAUGUGUAUAGAUUAUAGACAACUAAACAAGGUUUCUAUUAAGAACAAGUAUCCUAUUCCUAAGAUCGACGAUUUAUUCGAUCAACUUCAGGUGCCCGGUGGUUUCCAAGAUUCAGAUUAGGUUGGGAUACCAUCAGUUGAAAGUUAGGGAGCAAGAUAUUUUGAAACAACUUUCGAACAAGGUACUAACUUUUUGAGUUUGUGGUUAUGUUGUUUGGACUGAUAAAUUCUCCUGCAACCUUUAUGAAUUUGAUAAAUAGGGUCUUCAAGCAAUAUUUAGAUAUGUUUGUCAUUGUCCUUAUAGAUGACAUACUGGUGUAUUCCUGGAGUGUGGAGGAACAUGUCGACCAUUUAAGAAUAGUGUUGCAGACCCUCGAAGAUCGUCAAUUGUAUAGGACGUUUGGUAAAUGUGAAUUUGGUUGGAAUCUAUUACUUUCUUGGGUCAUGUCAUUUCAGGGGCUGGUAUUCAUGUAGAUCCUCAGAAGACUAAUGUAGUGAAGCACUGGCCUAGACCUAUCACUCCAUUCGAUAUCAGGAGCUUUUUGGGUUUGGCUGGGUAUUAUAGAAGAUUUGUGGAAGAGUUUUCCUCUAUAACCGCACCAUUGACUAAGCUGACCCAAAAGAAAGUAAAGUUUAUAUAGUCAGAUAAAUAUGAGAAGAGUUUCCAAGAGUUGAAGGAUAGAUUGACUUCGGCUCCAGUUUUAGCUUUACUGGAGGGGUUAGAAGGAUUUGUAGUGUAUUGUGAUACUUAUAGAGUUGGGUUAGGUUGUGUGUUGAUACAGAAUGGGAGAGUGAUAGCCUAUGCCUCCAAGCAACUUAAGGAUCACGAAAAAAAUUACCCAACUCACGACUUGGAGUUAGCUGUCGUGGUUUUUGCCUUAACUGGAGGCACUACUUCUAUGGUGUGCACGUUGAUAUUUUUACUGACCGUAAAAGUCUUCAGUAUGUAUUUUCUUAGCAGGAGCUAAAUCUUUGUUAGAUAAGGUGGUUGAAGUUGUUGAAAGAUUAUGACAUGAUGCGCUCUAUCAUCCGAGCAAGGCCAACGUGGUGGCAAACGCACUGAGUAGGCUGUCUAUGGGUAGUGUGUCACAUGUGAAAGAGAAAAAAUGGGAACUGACCAAAUAGGUGCAUAGAUUAGCCCAUUCGGGAGUAUGUUUGUUCGACACCGAUGAUAGGAGAGUAGUAUUUCAGAAUGGUUCAGAAUUAUCUUUGGUAGUGAAAGUGAAAAAGAAGCAACGAAACGAUCCCAUACUUAGCCAAAUAUCGAAAGCAGUCCAGCAACAGAAGGUUGAGGUUUUCUCCCAAAGGGGAGAUGGUGUACUUCGUUAUGAAGGUAGGCUUUGUAUUCUGAAUGUAGAUGGGUUAAGGGAAAGGAUACUAGCCGAGGGCCAUGGUUCGAGGUAUUCCAUUCAUCUGGGUGCUACUAAGAUGUACCACAACUUAUAAAAAAAUUAUUGAUGGAGCGAUAUUAAGAGAGACAACAGAUUUUAUGGACAAGUGCCAAAAUACCAACAAGUUAAAGUUGAACACCAGAGAUUGGGUGGUACGCUACAGGAGACUACUUGGAAGUAGGAAAUAGUGAAUAUGGAUUUCAUCACAGGGUUGCCUUGUACCAAACAUCAGCAUGAUUCGAUUUGGGUCAUAGUAGAUUGAAUGACUAAAUCAACCCAUUUCCUACCUGCCAAAACUUUAGAUACAACAAAAGAUUAUGCCAAAAUAUAUAUUCGCGAGUUAGUAAGGCUUCAUGGGAUACCCUUGUCCAUUAUUUCAGAUAGAGGCACGUAGUUCACUUUACAGUUUUGGCAGUCUUUUCAGAAGGACCUUGGUACAAAGGUUAAGCUUAGUACUGCAUUUCAUCCGCAGACCGAUGGUCAGGCUGAACGUACAAUUAUGAUAUUAGAAAACAUGCUGAGGGCAUGUGUUUUCGACUUUAAAGAAAGUUGGGAUGACCACCUAUCUUUGAUUGAGUUUGCCUAUAAUAAUAGUUAUCAUGUUAACAUUCAGAUGACUCAAUUUAAAAGGUUAUAUGGGUGUAGAUACAGAUCACUAAUAAGGAGGUUUAAGGUGGGUGAAAUAGCUUUGAUUGGGCUGGACUUUGUUCUUAAAGUUAUGGAAAAGGUUUAGUUGAUUCAUGAAAGAUUGAAGACUGCUCAGAGUUGUCAGAAGUCAUAUGCAGAUGUAAGGAGGAGAGAACUCAAGUUUGAAGUAGGGGAUUGGGUAUUCUUGAAAGUGUUACCUAUGAAGGAAAUAAUGAGAUUGGAAAGAAACGGAAGCUGAGUCCCCAAUUUGUUGAUCCGUAUGAGGUAGUGAAGUGUGUCGGAGAAGUUGCUUACAAAUUGGACCUUCCAUCAGAGUUAGUUUUGAUUCACCUAGUGUUCCAUGUUUCAAUGCUUAGGAAGUGCAUUGGAGAUCCGUCCCUAGUAAUUCCCCUAGAGAGUAUUGGGGUCAAAAAUAACUUGUCGUAUGAGGAGAUUCCUGUGGAGAUUCUUGAUAGACAGGUCCAAAGGCUAAGGAAUAAAGAGGUAGCGUCAGUGAAAGUUCUUUGGAGAAAUCAAUUGGUUGAAGGGGCCACCUGGGAGUCUGAAGUAGACACGAUGACCAAGUAUACUUAUCUCUUUUCUUCCAAAACUCUUUCUCUUUAAGUCUAUUUAAGUAUUCUUAAGUCAUAUCUUAUGUGGUAAGUAAUUGGAUCCUUGUAAUAGAUAUAAGUUUGGCUAUAAGUUUGAUGUAGAGGUGUUGAUUCCUUUCUAAAUCCUAGAUGAAUCACAUUCGAGGACGCAUGUUUCCAAAGGGGAGAUAUUGUAAUACCGCAUGUCUAAAAGCUAUUGCUCAACGUAUGACUUAUCUCCUUAAGUCGUAUAAACAACAUACGAGUGAUAUGUUAGUGUCGUACCUAUGGCAGUGUGAAAUAGUUGAAGUCUGUUAUAGUUAUAAGUUGAUCCUAGAAGUAGUCAAGACAUGGUACGAGUCUUAUGAAGUUGAGUCGUAAGGGUAACAACGUAGGUUCUCUAAGUUUCUGUCCAAGUUACGAGUGGGGGGCUACAAGUCGUAUUGAGUGGCUACUAGUCAUAGGUUAGACUCGUAUGUUGACUAGUGUAUACCAUAUUUGAUCCUGCCAAGCUUAAGAGUCAUGAGGCUAAGUCGUAUCUCAACCAUACAAGUCGUAUGGUUGACUCGUUAGGACUGAUGGUCAAUUUCUGUAAUGUUUAUUUAAGGGACCUUUUGGUCUUUUUCCCUUUUAUAACUCCCAACCCAUGACUUAUAACCUAAAAAAGAGCAUUAUUUUCCUCUACUUUCAGUCAAUUAACAAUAUUUUCCUCCUCCCAUCUUUAAAAUCAUCAAGAUUAGGGUUUCUUUCACCAAGUCAUCUUUCAAGUCUCAAAGUCUAAGCUCUCUUCACAAGUCAAGCAAUUCCAGGUAUGUGGGGAUUAUGAACAAGGUUAUGCUUUCAUACUUGUAUCCCAAAAACAUAAUUUUUAAGAGUGAAUUUACUUAUUUUAAAUUAGGGUUCAUACCCAAAUAACCAUAUUCUUGAAAUAUGACAUUACCAUGUGAUAGAAAGCUUUAAGUGUAUUAAGGUUUACAUAUAUUCAUAUCUUGACUUGUAAGAUUUAUAAUGUAAUUUAAAAUUUGUUAUCUUGACUAGGAUUUUGUUGAAAGAUUUCAAGGUGAUUAAUGAGCAUAAUAUUUUGUUAUGAAUUUCUAUGAAAUGAAGCAUGAAAUCCAAGUCUUAAGUAGAGAUACUGAGUUUACAAGAAGUUUAUGCUCGUAAGCUCCAUUGAUACAUUCUAUAACAUGAUUUAAAGAAAAGCUUGAUAUUUUGAUCUAAAGAUAAGAUGUGAAAUCCACAAGUGUUCAUCUUGAUUAUGAUUUAAAGUAAAGAGAAGCAUAACUGAUUUUUAGUUUACAAACCCACAUGCUAUUUUAAAGUGGAUUUUCUAAGUAUGAGCAUAUACAUAAUUUGGGAGUAGUAGCACCGAGAAGGAAAUGCGGAUGAGCAUAUCCUAAAUUCCUUAAAACUAUGAGCCCCCGUAGGUUAAGCUUUUUCCCAAUAUGGAUGAAGUAUAGUGACCACUUAAGUUAAGUAUCUAUUCCGAUGGCAAGGGUAAAACAGCUCUCCCGAACCUGGGUAAGACGUUGGACUUCAUGAUAGCUCACAUGGUUUAUGCUGGUUAGAAUAAUCUCCUAUAAGAAAGAAUAAGGGUAAAGAUUUCUGAACCUAAGUGUUAUGGCUCACUAAUUUUACUCUUAUGCAUCAUUAUCCAUGCUUUAUGAUCUUGCAGUCUUUAGUUUUACUCAAGUUCGAGUCAUUUACGCUUAGCAUGCAUUAUUUGAAAGUGAACAUAUAUAUUCAGUUCUGGUUUUACUUUGCAUUCACCUCCACAUACUCAGUAUAUUCCAGAGGUACUGGCCCAUAUAUAUGUCUAUGUGCUACAUUGUCUUAUAAUGUAGGUUCUGGUGCCCGUUUUCAGCAACACGAUUGACUACGAGCAUCAUCACCUACAUCCCGACUUUUAAUGAGUCCUCAUAGUCUGAGGACCCAGCUUAUCAGACUUCUAUUCAUUGAUGCAAGUAUUUUAGUUAUUUGAUUUUUCUUUAUGUUCAGGUCAGCUGGGGUCGGUCCCAGUGGCUCUCUAGUUGAUAGUAGAGGUUUGUCAGACUGUGUAUUUUCUAAGUUCAAAGAGUUUGUUUAAGGUUUUCAAAGUAAAAGAUUUAUAUUAAGUUGUGAAAUUAAUUAUCUUCAGUCUAUAUUCAUAUAAGGGUUCACCGUUCGUGCGAGUUGUAACCUGAAUAGAUAUCAUCGGUUAGCUUAGGGCUAUUCGUAGUCUUGAGUACCGUGUGACGUUUAGGAGGUACUUCUGGGGCGUUACAUAGAUUUUGCUUUAUGCUUUAUAUAUUUCAGCUUUCAAUUUUAUUUAUGAAUAUGAUGAGUCUGUAUACACUUAGCAUGCAUAUUUUAAGCUUAAUAUAUAUAUAUAUAUAUAUAUAUAUAUCAGUUUUUACUUAUUGCAUUAACUUUCAUAUACUCAAUACAUUUCAUAAGUACCGAUCACAUAUACGUCUUUAUGGCUACAUUAUUUCAUAAUGUAGGUAGCAAUUCUAGCUCACAAACUCAUGAUCAAGCAGUUCGCAGCUUUCAACCAGCACGUGACGAGUUAUUUUCAUUCGAGGACUCAAGUCUGAUAUAGUCCUAGUAUUUUAUUUUGGUUUAGUUGUAUUGAUUUGAGAUAGUUAGGUGUCAUGUCCGAACUACCUAAUUAUAGUCAAUAUUAGUAGAGACUUCAUAUACAACCAGUCGAAGUUGACGUAUUCAGUUUCAGUUUCAGUUUCUUUUUCUUUAAUUAGUGUUGAACACAUUUAACUAAUGAUCUUAGUAUUUCAGUUUCAUGUAUUUUUAUUCAGUUGCUCAUGAAUUUUAUCAGUAUCAUGGGUUAGCUUGGAAUCACUUGUGGUUCUAAACAUCAUGUGACGUCCAGGGAUAGUCUCGGAGCAUAACGUUAUGCCAUGUAAUUUUUUCACCAAAAAAAUGAAAUUAAAACACGUUUUUAAAGGGUUGCAAAAACAAAUCUCUCUUUAAGUUGUUUUCUAGCGAGGUACAUAUUAAUAGAGCAUAAAACUUAAAAAAUAAAUAAACUGUAAGUGACCUAAAAAGCAAGUAUCCCCUCAUAUAUUAGCAAGUCAUUAAAAAUUAAAGUGUUCUUAUUGGUUUGCUCUUAUGAAUUUUUUCUACUUCUUCAAUUUUUUUUUAUUUGAUGAAAAAAGUAAAUUGAUUUAAAUUGUUAUUGAUGUUUUGUUUUUUAUUAUUAAGACCAAUUCUAGUACUUAGAUUAACUAUUGCAAUUCUUAAUUUACUCAUGCGUCAAUAUGACCACCUUUCAUCUAAUAAUAGGAUAAAACAGCUAACUUUUCAAUCAAACCUUUUUCAUAAAUACAAAUUAUUAUAGCAUAAAAAACUUUAAACCGAAUUUGAAAAGGUUAAAUUCCAAAUACGAAUCCAAUUAGAAUUAGGAUUAGGUUCAGUUCAGCCCUUCUAUAUAUUUCUAUCCAUUAUAUCAACUUCCUAAUGUACCUUAUUAAUUCCCCCACUUUGUGCUGCCUUCUUCAUAAAUCACAAAUAUACAUACAUGGUUGCCUCAACAAAAUUAGCAGUCGUCUUGGUGAUUCUCUCUCUGUUUUGCAUCGGCGCACACGCUUCGAAAGGAUGCCCGUUUAGAGCCUUGUACCAGCUACAUUGGAAUUCAAUCUCAAUUGAUCAUCGUCAACAACUUUCAAUUCAUGUCAACAACAAUAAUACGCGGAUAAUAAUUGGAGAAAUACCUCAUGAUAUCGACUUUUUUGCUCGGCAUGAUCAAUGGCUCAAAAAUCAAGAUAUCACGAUGCAUAAAGAGAAAAGUACCGAUCGUAGCGCCUUAAUUAUUUGAUCAACAUCAAUGGCUCAAAAAUCAUGUUAGAAUUAUGCAGAAAAAGAUGUAAUUAAAUAAACUACAAGAUCUUUUAUAGCAGACACAUUUUAGAAGAUGCUGGUCUAAGUCGUUCUAGUUGUGAAAAUAGAAUCAUAUUACUUAUUAGUUUAUCUGUAUAUGUUUUCUUAGUUUUGUUAUCAGCUUGUACAGAUUCGUUUAUAUGAAAUAAUUUCUAUUUAUUGAAAAAACUAUGAGAAAUAAUUCAAAUUUAUCCAUAAAUCGUACGUUAAUGGUACACAGUUUAGACUGCAACUUUGAACCAUUUCACAUAUAUAAUUCAGAACAAAUUUGGACCUUUACCAUGUGUUAAGAAUUCGUGCCCUACUGAUUAUCUUAUUUUCGCCUAACUGUUGCUUAUCGAUGGAAUGGGUUGCCUGAUGUGUUCCACUGACGUGUUCCAAGGAAGUAGUAAAACAGAAAGUAAAGAACACAAUGAUUUUUACGUAGAAAACACCCGGCUCAAAAAGGUGUAAAAAACCACGACCUGUACCUCUACAGGAUUUAACUCCAACUUCACUAAAUAACUCUGAGCCUCAACAAUGAUUACAAAACUCUUGUAACCAACAAAUAGGAAUUAUAAACUCUAAUCCCUAUAACUCAACAACUAGGAAUUAUAAACUCUAAUUCCUUUGACUCAACAACUAUGAAUUAUAAACUCUAAUUCCUAACUAUACACACACCUCCCAAGCUAUGCUUUCCCAAAAUCUCGGAGUUUUCCCCAACUCGAAGACUAGCUCCUAAUUCAGUUUAUAACACACUGAAACUAAUAUUAGAUCAAUAGUUCAAACAUAAUGAACAACUCUAAAAAUCAAUGCUAAAACUCUUAGCUGGAUUCUAUACUUAGGACCAGGUUCUUCAAUGUGUUUCUUCAAUGAUUGAGUAGCACUUCGUGAAGUCAAUCUGUCGAUUGUGGUUUUCUGCUUUGUAAGUGCGUGAGUUACUCUGAAUGAUACAUUUUCUAUUUAAACACAGCUCUCCAAAGAGUUAUUCUUUAUUUCAAACUCCUCCUUUAAUCAGAACUCUCAUUACAUAGAGUUCUACUUCAAGUGAGACUCCUUCUUCAAUUCUAACUCUUGUCUCCUUAGUGUUGUAGUAAAACUUUAACUCUUUAAAUCAACUUAUCUUCAAGUAUUUUACUCAACCACAACUUCUUCAAUUUUUCACGUGAUUAGUAGCUUGAGUAUGUCAAAAUCAGGCUUGCUCAUUCGUUAUAGACUUUCAGCAAUCUUUGUUUGCAUCUAUCAGUAAAACCUGAAACCUGUCUUCCUAUGCUUGGACCAUGUCAAGUAACAUGGUCCAUUCAUGUGCCAGUCAUCAAAAACUUCAUUGAUCUAAUAAAGAGUCUUUCAAUUUAUAUUUUUCCUAUCUUGCGUAGACGUCUUCAAUCUGCAGAAUCUUUCUCUUUCUACACAUAGGACUCUUCAGGAUAUGCUCAGAAGUGAAAUUCCUUCUUUCCAUAGGACUCUUUUUUCAACUCAACUUGCUUUCCCUUAUCGUCAAGUGUUUGAAUCAAAUUCAACUUCUUCAAAUUUGCAUAUAUUUAUUUCCUUGAGUUUAUCAGAAUUAACCACUCAUCUGGUUCUUGAUUUAUUUCACGCUUGUCUUUAAUCAUCGAUGAUUUUGCUAUAAGUUUCAGCUACAUGAGACGGUGUGUCUGUGAACCAAGUUGACUGAUAUGUUUCAUAUCACGUUGUCAGAUUAUCAAUCAUCAAAACUACAUCGUAUCCAACACCAUGCCGUAGUAAUAAAAAAACUAAGAAAAUUUUUUAAACAAACGAAAUAGGGGAAAAGAGAGACAAUUAGGAAUGGGAUUCACCAUGAAGGGUUUAUUUAAUGGGAAACAAAUUAUAUCUGAGUUAGUUAUCCCCUAAUUAUUAUCUUGUGAUUCUUUAUUUUGGGAUUGUUAUUUCACCUUGAAGUUGAGAUAAAAAUAACACUACAAUCUCAGGAUAAGUUAUUCCACGAUUUUAUCUCAAUCAAACAUGAAAUAAACUCAUCCUAAGAUUAAUCUAGUUAUCCCUUGUUCCUCCUACCAAAUGAGUUCUAAAGAUUGUGGUGGAGUUGUAACUUGUAAGUACUUGUUUUUUCUUAAAUAGAUGUCUCAUAUUUGAGCCCUAAACAUAAAAGCGAGCUUUACUCUAUUUCUAACACAAAUUUAAAAUAAUCAAACCUCAAAACGUCCUAUCCGAUCUGGAUAGGAGAAAAAAAGAGUAGGAACGGGAUUCACAUGGGUAGACAAUACUCCUUCCAUUUCAUUUUAUAUGAUACACUUUUUCUUUUUAGUCGUUCACAAAAAGAAUGUCACAUUUAUUUAUUUGGUAACUAUUUAAAGACAAAAUUUCUCUUUUAUCCUUAUUGAUCUCACUUAAUUUUACUCCUUUUUUUAAAAACUUUUUUUAAAAGAAUAAUUUAAUAAAGGCAUAAUACAUAAAUAUGACCCUAAACUUGACACCAAAUUAUAACUUUGACCUUAAACUUUGAUAGUGCACAAAUAGGACCUUUAACUAUUCAAAACCUGAACAAAUAUGACCUUCGAUUUUGCAACCCCAUGCGUGAGUUUCACUCGCGCCUACGUGGAAAAUUAAUCCCAUCACACGGUGCCACGUCGUUAAAAGGGCUGACUUGGAGGGAGGUCAUAUUUGUACAGUUUUGAAUAGUUAAAGGUUAUAUUUGUGCACUGUCAAAGUUUUGCUUUUUGUGUUAAAAAGGGUCAUUUUUAUUAUUACUAUUAUAAUUUUUUUUAUUUCUAUAGCAGCAACACCUAGAUUUUUUUUUAUUAAAAAAAAUAUUUGUGCACUGUCAAAUCUUUACUUUUUGUGUUAAAACGGGUGUUUUUUAUUAUUAUUAUAAUUUUUUUUUAUUUCUAUAGCAGCAACACCUAGUUUUUUUUAUUAAAAAAAAAGCCACUAGCAGGGAUCGAACCCACGCAGUAGGCUGAAGGAAGCACCCAAGAAGAGCAAAUAACACCACUGAGCUAUUUAAGUACCUUGUUUCAUGUGGUUCAACAUUAAUAUACGUACAUAAAUAUAGAUUUUCUACCUUAUAUAUAUAACGUAAUUUUUUUACAGAGGGGGUUUGGGUAAACCCCAUAGCAACCACGUAGGUCCGCCCCUGCGUUAAUUUAAUAACAUUUUGAUAAUGUUAUAUUUUAAUAACGUUAAUUUGAUAACAUUAAUUUAAGGCAAUAAUACAUAAACAUGACCCUAAACUUAACACCAAAUUAUAACUUUGACCUUAAACUUUGAUAGUGCACAAAUAGGACCUUUAACCAUUCAAAAUCUGAACAAAUAUGACCUCCGACUUUGCAACACCAUGUGUGAGUUUCACUCGCGCCUACGUGGAAAGGUAAUCCAAUCACAUGGUGCCACACCGUUAAAAGAGCUAACUUGGAGAGAGGUCAUAUUUGAGCAAUUUUGAAUAGUUAAAGGUCAUAUUUGUGCACUGUCAAAGUUUUGCUUUUUGUGUUGAAAUGACAUUGUUAUUAUUAUUAUUAUUAUUAUUAUUUUUUUUUUAUUUCUAUAGCAGCAGCAUCUAGCUUUUUUUUAAUUAAAAAAAACAGCCACUAACAUUGUUAUUAUUANNNNNNNNNNNNNNNNNNNNNNNNNNNAGUAGGCUGAAGAAAGCGCCCAAGAAGAGCAAAUAACACCACUGGACUAUCUAAGUGCCUUGUUUCAUGUGGUUCAACAUUAAUAUACGUACAUAAAUAUAGAUUUUCUACCUUAUAUAUAGCAUGUAAUUUUUUUACCGAGGGGGUUCGGGAGAACUCCAUGGCAACCACGUAGGUCCGCCUUUGCAUUAAGUUAAUAACAUUUUAAUAACGUUAAUUUGAUAAGGUUAAUUUAAUAUACUACUACUAUCCUUAAUAACGUUAAUUUAAUAACGUUUUAUUAGAACUAUAAUUUUUUUAUUAUUAGUAUAGUUUCAUCUUUAAUUUAAUAUUUAAAUAAAUUAUAUUUAGAUAUAUUAUAUAACUUAAAUUCACCCUCUUCUUUAUAAUAUAUAUACAUACCCGGGCGAUUUUUUCGUAUGAGACUGACCCACCUAAUUAAUAAAUCUUCAAUAUUGCUCUUUUCCGCAAUGACAAAAGAAAUUAGAUGCCAUUUUCAUCUUUGAGCCGAAAAUAAUGAAAAAAUAAUAGUAAAAAGUCAUUUAAAGGUCAUAUUUGUGCACUGUUAAAGUUUAAGGUCAAAGUUAUAAUUUGGUGUCAAGUUUAGGGUCAUCUUUAUGUACUAUGCCCAUAGAUUUUAAGCUGGACACGCCCAGUUUUGUGUGUUGAACAUGCGUUUUGCCUCGUAGGAUCGGAGGUCAUAUUUGUUCAGUUUUGAAUAGUUAAAGGUCAUAUUUGUGCACUAUCAAAAUUUAAGGUCAAAGUUAUAAUUUGGUGUCAAGUUUAGGGUUAUAUUUACGUAUUAUGCCUUAAUUUAAUAUACUACUAUCCUUAAUAAUGUUAAUUUAAUAAUGUUUUAUUAAAUCUAUAAUUUUUUCUAUUAUUAGUAUAGUUUCAUCUUUAAUUUAAUAUUUAAAGAAAUAAUAUUUAGAUAUAUUAUAUAACUUAAACUCGUCCUCUUCUUUAUAAUAUAUAUACAUACCCGCUCGAUUUUUUCGUAUGAGGCUGACCCGCCUAAUUAAUAAAUCUUCAAUAUUGCUUUUUUUUUUUUCGCAAUGACAAAAGAAAUUAGAUGCCAUUUUCAUCUUUGAACCGAAAAUAAUGAAAAAAUAAUAGUGAAAAGUCAUUUAAAGGUCAUAUUUGUGCAAUUUUAAAUAGUUAAAGGUCAUAUUUGUAUACUGUCAAAGUUUAAGGUCAAAGUUAUAAUUUGGUGUCAAGUUUAGGGUCAUAUUUAUAUAUUAUACCCUUAGAUUUUAAGCUGGACGCGCCCAAUUUCACGUAUUGAACACGCGUUUUGCCACGUAGGAUCGGAGGUCAUAUUUGUGCAGUUUUGAAUAGUUAAAGGUCAUAUUUGUGCACUGUCAAAGUUUAAGAUCAAAGUUAUAAUUUGAUGUUAAGUUUAGGGUCAUAUUUACGUAUUACGCCUUUAAUAAAAUUCACAAAAUCUUUACUUAUUUCUUAAAUUCUAUACCCAGUCAAAAAGUAACACAUAAAUUGAAACUUAGGGAACAAUAAAGAAAGGAAAAAUUUUAAAAGUAGCAACUUAACAACUAUACAAUUAAGAAAAAUAGCAAGUUGUAUUUUGUAUUUAAGUAAAAUGUUGCUAUAUAAAUACAUAUACAAAUUGAAUAUAGUUCUUAUUUUAAUUUUCAUCAGUUAGAGUUAAAUAAGGGAAGUAACCGUCUCUUAAUUCAGCUACUUUUAAUUAUAAAGAUUCCUUUUCCUUAUAUUACUCUUCCACUUCUUUUUUUUUUUUAAAUCCUUUUUCGUUUUUUUUUAAUUUUUCAUUUUCUUAUUUUUUACUUUCUCAUAUUUUUCUUUUUCUUUUCCUAUUUUCGUUUAUUUUUUUAUCGUUUUACUUUUUUAUUUUGAUUUUUUUUUUACACUCUUCUAUUUCUCUUCUUUUUUAUUUUUUUAUUUUUUCUUUAUUUUUUUUCUAUCCCGUUUUCUUAUUUUUUUUUCCUUUCUCAUAUUUUCCUUUUUCUUUUCCUAUUUUCGUUUUCUUCUUCUUUAUUCUAUUUUUCUAUUUUUAUUUAUUUUGUAUUUAAGUAAAAUGUUGCUAUAUAAAUACAUAUACAAAUUGAAUUGUGGUUCCUAUUUUAAUCCCCAUCAAUUAGAGUAAAAUAACAGAAGUAACCGUCCCUUAAUUCAUGCUAUUUUUAAUUAUAAAGAUUACUUUUCCUUAUACGACUCUUCUAUUUCCUUUUUUUCUAUCCUUUUUUCGUUUUUCUCUUUUUCUCUUUUUUUCUUUUUUUGUUUUCUUAUUUUUUCCUUUCUCAUAUUUUUCUUUUUCUUUUCCUAUUUUCGUUUCUUUUUUUAUCAUUUUAUUUUUUAAUUUGAUUUUUUUUAUUUCCACUUUAUUUUCUCUCUUCUAUUUCUCUUUUAUUUUUUUUAUCCUUUUUCAUUUUUUUCUUUUCCAGUUUCUUAUUUUUUUCCUUUCUCAUAUUUUUCUUUUUUCUUUUUUCUUUUCCUAUUUUCGUUUUCUUCUUCUUUUUUCUAUUUUUGUUUUUUUUUUUAAUUUACUUUUCUUUUUUUUUUUUACACUUAUAUUUUUAGCUUUUAUUUCUCUCUUUUUUUUUUUUCGUUUUUCACUUCUUUUUCUUUGGAAUUUUCUUUUUAUUUUUUUUUCAUUUUUUUACUCUUCUAUGUCUUGCUUAUUUUUAAAAAACACAUGUCUAUAUCACAUAUACAUAUUCAAAAAAUAUAUAACUAGACAUACAGAUCUGUGUAUGUAUUUAUAGUACAAAACAUACAUAUAUAUCUGCAUAUAUUUUUACAGAAAUACAUAUCUGACUCAUAUGUAUUUAUAAACAUAUAGGACACAAAAUCUCUAUAACAAAAAGUGACAUAAUACAUUUGUCUAAUUGAACUUGAAUUACACAUUUCUUCUUCAUGAUGUAGACAUCAAAAAUAUUAUUAUGAUGAAAAAUCUUAUACUGCUCCUUUGAUAACAUUGCCUUAAUAUGUUCUUCAAUAUCGUUGACCGUGUAACAUCCUAUAUGUGGUGCAAAUUUUGAAAGUACUUUUUCCAUGAAUAUUUGAUCACGUGGUAACUAUAGACCGAAAAAUGACAUAAAUCUAUAUUACAUGUACUUCUCACAAAAAAAAAUAUAAAAUACAUAAUAUGCAUAUGUUUUCUAUUACAUCAUACAUAUUACAUUACAACAAAUACAUAUAUCCCUGCAUAUGUAUUUUCAGAAUACAUGUCCGGUACAAAGUGUAUAUUAUCAUAUAAAACAUACAUAUAUAAACUCAUAUGUAUUUACAAAAUACAUACCAUAGUCAUAUUAAACAAAAUAUACAAAUGCAUAUCUUAAAACAAUAUAAAACAACUAUACUAUUUAUCUUGAUAUGUAUUUAUCUUAAUUGUAUGUUAUACGUUAUAGUUACAUUUGUAAUUGUAUGUUAUGUUGUAGUUGCAUUUGUAUAUUUAAUAAAUGUAAUUAUAUUUUAUUUUGGCAUUUGUAUUUCAAGAAAUACUCCAACAGAACUAAUCAGAGUGUACAGGUAUGACUGUAUGCCAAAAUACAUUUAUUAUUUUAUAUACAUUUGUAAUUACUGUUUAUUAUUACUUAUAUGUAUAUAUGUGUUUGACUCCAGUAAAAAAUAUAUUUUCAAAUGUAUUAUGUAAGAUAUAUGUAUAGUUGUGCAUAAAAUACUUAUACAAACAUAAAAGAGCUGAAAACUACAUAUAAUGACCUGUAAAUGCAUAUGCAGAACUGAAAAAUACAUAUGUAGAAUAAAAAAAAUACUAAUGUCCAACUGAAUUUGAGUUUUCUAACUAAUUUUCUUUGAAAAAUUUAAGGUUGUACAAGUCACAAAAUAUGUCUAUACGGUACAUGACAAAGAGAAGCAUUUUAUUGUUUGUCUCGAGAAAUUUUUUUUGUCAGAUAUUUCAAUUGGACGAGAUACUAUGUAUACAUGCUUGUGCAGUCCUUGAUAGCAAGAACCAUUUUAAAUUUGCUACAGAAAACAUCAAUGAUUUUCUUGAAUUUUAAAUUUGAUAAAAUUCAUUUCUUUGUUGAUAGUGAUAUAGUGGCAUAGUAUUUGACAAUUAUGUUAUGUUAUUGUAUUUUGGAGAUUCAUACUAUAUUGAAUUGAAUGGAAGAUUUUGACUUUAAUUUUAUUGUAAGAACCCGCAAAAUUCCUAGCUUAAGUCAGUGCUUUAAGCUUGUUAAGGGGGCCCAGACUUACAAAAUUCUAGCUAAGUAUUCAGACUUAGUUUAUUUUAGGCCUUUGAAAGUUAAAAAUCUCAUUUCGCGACCUUAAAGUCCUUUUAAUGUCUAUAUUUUAGUUAAUUCAUGAUCAGGAAGGUCAAUAGGUAUUUCCACACAAUUUUUGGAUUUUUCAAACUUCGUUUGAAGCUCCUUUGGAAUACCAAAAUAGUGUACCAAUGAGAUUUUGGCGUGCUGCGUGGCCUAUCGCGUUGCUUCAUAUUUUCCCCAGCUACCAGCAUCAAAUUCAAGUGAGUCGACGCGAUCUUGACGUGAAACAUUGGUUAUCACAUCGGUGCCAUCGACGCGUCGUGUCGACCUGCGUGUCGGCAAUCCAAUUUUCACUCAUUUAAAACCCACGUCUCAAGGGGUAAUUGGGUCUUUUUCCUACGCCCUUUAGUCCCCAUAUCAUAAAAUUUAGCUCUUUAGAGGCAUAAUACAAUCAUUAUUCAUAAAAUCCUCAAAAACAAAACCCUAGGGCUAUCAAUCCAAAAAUCAAAUUCAAGAGAUUUCCACCAUUAAUUUCCACAAAUUCUUCAACAAGGUAUAUAAAGUGUUCAUCCAAGGAUCCCUUCUACCCUUGGAGUUCAAGAAACUUCUUUUAAAAACAUAAAUUGUGAUUUUCAUGUUGUGGGUUUGAAUGUAAUCAUGUUGAUGUUGUGGAAUGCGUUCCAAGUUGAAAUCUUUAUGUGUUUCUUGAUAUUAUGAUAACAUGUAAGUUGAAUUUUGAUUCUCGUAUAUUGAAACCCUUGAAUUAUGAAGUCAUGAUGUAUUAGAAUUGUUGUUCAUGCCUAAGUAUAAAGCUAUACCUUGUAUGUGUUUGAUGGAAUGCUCGUGAGAUUGGUUUAAUAAAAUUAUGAUGUGUUAGUAUGCAUUCCUAUUCAUGUGCAAGUUCAUGACUUUCAAGUGAUUGAUGAAAUGCCUCAUAGAUCGUAUUAUGAGUUGUUGACUAUUAUCAAGUAUUCAAGAAUUGUCAUGCCUUAUUAUUUUCAUGCUAUCGAGUCCUGGGGGUAUUUAAUACCCAAUAAUUUAGCUGUGUGCCUAGAUCCAGUAUUAGUUACAGAACAAUCUCAAUUAUGUCACCAUCAGUAGUACUCUAGUUCAGUUACAGAACUAAAAAAAAAUCAGGAUCAAUCAAGUUCCAUUCAGUAUUCAGUUUAAUCCUCAGUAAACUCAGUCAGAUAACAGAACUCUAGUAUUCCGUCAGUCAAUGGAACUCAGUAAACUCCAAUCAGUUCAGUUAAUCAGUACAAUCAGUAACAAAUCAGUUCAGCCUAGUAUGAACUAGAAAAUCAGUUCAGUGUCUAUUCAGUUGGGAGUAGGAUUCAUCACCGAGUGAACCCAAGGAUGGGGACUCACCUUCUAACAGAGGGUGUGAUCCUUAAAAGCAGUCCUUGCAUUCCAGAACUACGUAGCCAGCAUAGGUUGAGAUAUCAAAUCCUGCUAGUUGAGGAUUGAUGAGGUGACUUAACCUGAUAGUUAAGUGUCCUAUCAUUCUCAUUUGAGAACCUGCCAGAUGAGGGUAUCUCUUCAGUGUCUUUACCCGUGGCACAGUACUGACACCCUUCCAACUGAGGUUACAAGUUUGACCCCGAAUUUAUUCAGAAAAGGGGCAUGCCGGUUCGAUAAUUACCUCCCACAGUCUCAAUCUCAGUCUUUAGUAAAGAACUCAGAUAGUUCUACAGAUUUUAGGACUGUCAGAUACAGUCACUCAGCUCAGUACGAAACUCAGCUAGUUCUAUUAGCAAUAAGACUGUCAGACACAGUCACUCAGUAAAUAGUAUAUCAGUUAUCAGUUAUUAGUAAUCCAUGUUAUCAGUAAACUCAGUAUUCAAAAUCCUUAUGACUUCAGUUGCAGUUAUGUAUUUAUAUAUGUAUUCUCACUCAGUCAUGUUCAUAUUUUUCAGUCAGUUAUAGUUCAUGCAUAUGAACCCUUGUAUUCAGCCUUACCUCACUUUGCGUACCAGUACAUUCACAUGUACUGAUGCGUACUUUUCUUUGCGCUAUGGUAUUUUAUAGCAUAGGUUCAGACGUACGAGCCCCAGAGCAUUCUUAGCGGUUCAAACAUUGGUUCAGACAUUCAGCCAGCAGCAGUAGACUAGCAGUGAGUCCUCAUCAUUCGAGGAUAUUCUUUUAUUUUAUUAUCUCAUGAGAUUAAGCAUUUCGGUAGAUGGAGUUAGUUGGGGGAUUGUCCCAUCAACUCUUUAUUUAGACAGUUCAGUUUAGAGGCUUUUCAGACUAGAUGUUCAGAUUAUAUUCAGUAUUUCAGAUUCUGAUGUUUUAUCAGACUUUGUCAUUUUUUUCAUCAGUAUUACAAUUUUGAACCUUAUGGAAUUUUAAUCUUGGGCAUAUUUAUAUGCUCAAAGCACCAAUAUGCACCUAGAUUUAGACUUAAUUUGAGAACUUUUGUAUGAAUUCUUAAAGUAUAAUUCAGCUUUUAUUCCAUUUCAUUCCUAAUAGGUAUGCUUAGUACUUUCAGGCUAAAAAUCAUGAAGAAUUGUACGCAUUUGGAUACAAUGAUGAUAUGGAAGGAUUGAAGGAAUACAAGGGAGUGAAAUAAAGCUCAAAAAGGAAAGUUGGAAAGUAGGAAUCCUCAUUUGAACAGACUUCGCAUCGCGCUAACCAACAAAAUAAAAAUGGUCGAAUUCCAGCAGAGGUUCACAAAAUCAACGCGUCGUGGAAAGGCAUAAAUUCUCUCUUGGAACUUUCCAGUACAGGUCCGCAAAACCACUGCGUCGCGGAGCAGUCCCACUUAUCAAAUUGUGCGACCUGGAAGUUUAGCGCGUCGCGGAGGAUAAAUAUUUCACAAUUUUCCAAAUCUAGUGGCUCACCGCGAUAGUGACGCGUAGCAGUGAGGGUGCAUUUUACAAAUUUUAAGGAAUAAUUGAGCUCUGCGAUUGUCCUGAUUUUAAUGGAAAAUAGCAAUUGAAGGUAUGGCGUGAUGCGCCAUGUGGCAAAAUCGGGAAGAUUUUAAGUGUUUUGUCCCAGCUAUAAAAAGAAAAUCUAAGAUAAUUUUGGGGACUUUUUGGCAAGCACAACAGCGACAGAAAAGUGGAAGUUUCUCUCUUUUAGGGUUCAAAAAAAUAAAUAAAAUUCUUUUAAACUUCUUUACUUCAAGAUUUAUUUUGGGUAUGAUUAAUUACUUAUUUUUGGAUGAUGAAUUCAAACAUGAGUACCUAAAUACCCUAUUUCUGGGGUUGAGGCUAAGAACAUGAUUACACUUUUAUAUUCUUAUUCAUAGUUCUUUUUGGAUUAUCAUCUGGGUUGUUCUUAAUUUCUUGAGCUUACUAUUUUAAUGAUUGGCCAUCAUUAUAAUAAAUUUAUAUUUCUAUGUGCAUCCGGGAGGAGAAUCGUAGGAUAGAACGAAGAAAUUAAGGAGCAAGGUUCUUAUUCUUAUUUCAUAAAAGAAUAAGAACCUUGUUCCCUAAUUUCUUUGUUCUAUCCUACAAUUCUCCUCUCGGAUGCACAUAGAAAUAUAGAUUUAUUCUAAUGGUGGCCAAUCAUUAAAAUAGUAAGCUCAAGAAAUUAAGAACAACCCAAAUGAUAAUCCAAAAAGAAACUAUGAAUAAAAAUAUAAAAGAGUACUCAUGUUCUUAGCCUCAACCCCAGAAAUAGGGUGUUUAGCAGCUACUCAUGUUUGAAUUCAUCAUCCAAAAAUAAGUAAUUAAUCAUACCCAAAACAAGUCUUGAAGUAAAGAAGUUUAAAAGAAUGCUUUUUUUUAACCCUAAAAGAGAGAAAAUUUCUCUUUUCGCCACUGCUAUGCUUGCCAAAAAGUCCCCAAAAUUAUCUUGGAUUUUUCCUUUUAUAGCUGGGACAAAACACUAAAAAUCUUCCUGAUUUUGCCAUACGGUGCGUCACGCUAUGCCUUCAAUUGCUAUUUUCCAUUAAAAUCUGGGCAAUCACGGAGCUCAAGUAUUUCUUGAAAUUUGUAAAAUGCACCCUCACAGUGACGUAUCACUAUCGCGUUGAGCCACUGGAUUUGAAAAAUUGUGAAAUAUUUAUCCUUUGGGACGCGCUAAACUUCCAGAUCGCACAAUUUUAUAAGUGGGACUGCUCCGCGACGCGGUGGUUUUGCGGACCUUUACUGGAAAGUGCCAAGUGAGAACGUACGCCUCUCUGCAACGCGUUGAUUUUCCAAACCUCCACUGGAAUUCGACCAUUGCUAAUUGGUUUGUUAGCGCGACGCGGAGUCUGUUCAAAUGAGGAUUCCUACAUCCAACUUCCCUUUUUGAGCUUUAUUUCACUCCCUUGUAUUCCUUCAAUCCUUCCAUAUCAUCAUUGUAUCCAAAUGCAUACAAUUCUUUAUGAUUUUUAGCUUGAAAGUACUAAUCCAUUAGGCAUGAAACGGAAUAAAAGUUGAAUUAUACUUUAAGAAUUCAUACAAAAGUUCUCAAAUUAAGUCUAAAUCUGGGUGCAUAUUGGUGAUUUGAGCAUAUAAAUAUGCCCAAGAUCACCAUCAUACACUUAGAACCUUGUUCGUCCUUGAACACUUUAAUUCAAAAGCAUAAUUACUUCCUCUUUACAUCACAAUCUCAAAGUUACGUUGCAAUGGGCACUUGCACUUUGCAAUAGUGUAUUCUUACAUCAGCAUGUCAAAACAAUUUUAGCAUAUAAGGCAAUUUAGUACAAGUUUUUCUAUCUCAAUAAUGAAUUUCUAACUUGUCAGCAAACUCAAUCAAAGAAACACAAUAAGUAAUCCGGCUUUCAUCCGCCUGUAUCCUCGCUCAAGAAAAAUUCCCCAUAUUAACUCCACUGAUAUCUACGCAAAAAUAGGGGAGUAUCAACAUCAAAUCACUCGCUCUCAACAAAGAAUUCAUACAUGCUAGUGAACGAACUAUAAGCUUGCCCCUAGUGUACUACUCCACCAAUAGUCGGAUGUUUAGGUGAAGGAUCAACUAGGUAUUUUUCGGGUUGUAAUAAAGGCUUGGAGACAGGUACUUACUAUUUGGGGAAAUAGUGACUAUUACUCCUAAGCGUUUUAUUACAAGAAAUAUCAAUUAACUCUGUUCUCCAACACCAAUUUAUCCUUCUAUUUUCUCCCCAUUGUUUCAUUUUUCAACUCCUCUUUCAAUUAGCUUAUUUACUCAAACUAGGUUGUGAGUAUUAGUUAUUCCUUCCACAUACUUCUCUUUUUCAUACCAAUUUUAUGCUACGCACCCCUAUUAUAGCCACCCUUAAAUUAAGAAAAAAGCCUUCGUUAAAGUGCACAUUAUCCAACUGGACCAAGGCCAAAAUAGGUUCAUUGUAACAUUUCUAUUUACUAACUCCCAAUUGCACCCAGAAUCUUUAAACAUCAAUAACAACUACUUGGGGGCAUUAAAUUUUUACCUUUUUCUCCUCAUCUUUUACGCUCUUAAUCUCCUCUUAGUUUUAUAUUAAAAUGCUCAGGAGCUUAUUUGGAUCAAAUUAAGAUUUAUCAAAGAAAGGACAGGUUUACAUAAUAGGCUACCAAAGAAAGAGGCUAAAGGCUCAACGGGGCUAAGACUAUGCACCAAGAUAGGUCUAUUUAGGCUAGAAAGACGGCUGUCAAAGAAAUACCUACAUCACUUCCAACACCCAACACCUUUUAUUUUGCUUUAUAAACACACCGGGCAAGUUCUAGUCAUUUCUAUUCAUGUAGAAUAUACACAAAUCCUCACACUCACAGUGCAUGCACGGAAUCUAACCGGGUCCUUAAGGUCCCUGAUCUUGAAUUCAGAAUUAAGCCAACACAUCAAAUUUCAUCUAUCAAGAUAAAAUUAUCUGUACUUAAAUCAGUACUCUUAUGCUCAUUUAUACUCAAUUUAAUUUACAUUACCGCAAAGAUGGCCCAUUCCACACACUCCUCUAAGAUAGUGAUUAGGUUCUAGUUUAUUCUUUACUUCCUACGACCACUCCCCUUAAGACGGUUAUCAUUCAUCUAUCAUAGGGGAUGGAAACU